CACGAUCCGCCUUUUACUGAGGAUUUGCCAAGACUAAACGUAUCACUUUUUUACUAUAAUCAGGAAGAUAUAUUGUUUGAAGAAGUUGACAAAAGACGGGGUUUGACUUGGUCCAUACACCGACCUUCCGGAAUAUUUGGGUUUUCACCUCAUAGUUUGAUGAAUAUUAUAGGCACUCUCUGCGUGUACGCAGCUAUUUGUAAACACGAAGGUGCUCCUCUUGUAUUUCAUGGGACUAGAGAUGCUUGGGAAGGUUUCCAAGAAUUUUCAGACGCAGAGUUGGUUGCGGAGCAGGAAAUUUGGGGGGCAGUGGAUCCUAAUGCAAGAAACGAAGCUUUCAAUUGCACCAAUGGAGAUGUUUUUAAGUGGAAGCAUUUAUGGAAAGUGUUGGCUGAGCAGUUUGAGAUUGAGAAUUAUGGGUUUGGAGAAGAAAUGGGUAGUGAGAGGGUGAGAUUGGAGGAAGUUAUGAAAGGUAAAGAAAGUGCGUGGGAGGAGAUUGUGAGAGAGAAUCAGCUGCAGCCAACAAAAUUGAAUGAGGUUGCUGUUUGGUCAUAUGCAGAUGUGGUGUUGAAUAUUGGUGCGGGUUAUUUUGUUAGCAUGAACAAGAGUAAGGAGCACGGGUUCUUGGGUUUCAGGAACUCUAAGAAUUCGUUUAUCACAUGGAUUAAUAGGUUGAAAAGUCACAGGAUUGUGCCUUAAGUAUUUUUUUUUUUUUUUCACUUUUUGAUUUGGUGCCUCGAGUAAUUGAAAAGCCACGAAAAAUUAAUAGUUCAACCCGUGAUUGGUUUGGCUGGAAAUUGUACCCUUUUGUUAGAUCCUUGUUUUGUUAAUCAAAGAAUUUUACCUCAGGUAGAAAAAAAAAAAAAAAGAUGCCUUUGUUGUUGCUAAAGAGUUAAUAAAUAAAUACAGUACUGAAUUAUCAACCUUAGAAAACCUCCAUUAUACAUUUCUGAAUCACGUACCUUCAAGUUAUAACGACCCAAUGUUCAAGUAAUGCCUAAUCCUAGUAGUCUAAAGCUUCUUUAAAUGGUUCGUGUGUCGAAAGCACUCUCUUUCGAACCAACCGAUUCACUAGACCAGGAAAAAAAAAAGAUUGACUGUGAAAAUAUUAAAAAUUAAAAAUGAAGUCUUUCGAAAUUUUUUAACCGGACAGCAUUUGUUAGAAAGGGGAGAGAGAGAGCAAAGGGUAAGAAAAGAAAAUUAAAAUAAAGUUUAUGGACAUUUAUCAUUUUACAUUAAUUAUUCGUUAUAAUUAAAGGAUGAAAUUAUAAUUUUAUUUGGUCAAAUUGGUCAACACUUUCAUUUAAUAGAAAAUCUAAAAGACCAAGCCUAUUCUCAGGCAUUCUUGGGGAAGAAUAAACUAUUUAUGUCUAUUUUAAAACUUUGAUGGUAGAUCUAUACUAAACUAAAAAUUGUUACGGGAGAUUCUUGUACCACUACGUAGCUCGAAAGAGGAAGACUGAAGUGGUACUAAAUUUGCUAUGAAAUGAGUUUAACGACCGCAUGCAAACGAACAAUUAUAAGAAAAGUUUAGUUGAGGAGCGAGCAAAGAUAUGCUGACCAAUACAAUAUUUGAAAAAUAUAAACAUAUGUUUUUAAACUAUUAUUAUUAGGCUAAUGCUAAGUUACAUGCAUGUGACUUAUAACCCUCUCACAUAAAUAGUGAAUAAUGUUGGUCCACUCACUAUUAAUGUGAGAUGGUUGUAAGUUACAUGCAUGUAACUUAGGGAGAUCUUAUUAUUAUCAUCAUCAUCAUCAAAUAAAUAUAGUGCAAACAUGUCUAAAAACAGGCGGGAGCCGGGUUUGAUUUAUGUUGUAUACUUGUGUAGGCCGCUGUUCAGAUAUAGUCCAGCCCAAUGGAAGCAAUAUGUAAGCCCAACACGGGUCUUCAUCGAUUUAUGCAAUGCAGUAAAAAAACAUAUCUAAUGGAAACAUCUACUGAAUUUGAAUCAGUUACUGCAAUUAAAGUUACCAACCUUGUAUGAUUGAACGAAAAUAUUAAUAUUAAGUAUACAUUAUUGGUAGAAGAAAAAUGACAUUUUUUGGAGAAAUUCUAUAAUGCAUUAGAAGUAUUAUAACAGUUAUAUAACAAGUAAAUGAUACUGUGAUAUUUAUGUAUUUAUUGUGAAAGAUCAUUAUGUAAAAUAAUGGUUACAUUAAAUUUAAUUAUACAUGUCAUGCAUACAUCAAUCGAUUAUAUUACUACUAAUGAAUUAUAAAAUUUCUCAAUUCGCUGAUAUUAUGUUUAAUAUUAAAUAAAAAAAUAUCAGUAUUUGAUGACUUACGUAGUUUUUAACAUUUUUAACGUACCAGCAUCAACAGUUAUUGAUAUUAUAGGAUCAUAAACCUUCACUCAUGCGAAGAUUUUAUAUUUUAUUUUAUUUUGAAAUUUAUUAUUUCAUUUAUUCUUAACGAUGUCGUUUUGGACAUAAAAUUUAGAUAAAUUAUUAAGUCUUCAUCUUCUCUUUCUUCACAAAAUCGUUUCCCUCUCUUUCCUGACACAGUAUCUCAACAAAACAAAAUACCAAAAUAAAACAAAGGCCAAAACCAAAAGCAGAAACAGAUCAAGCAGCUCAACCUCUCUAGCCUCUUAAUGAAUAAUGAUAGAUCGAACCAGAAGCAAAACAGUUGAGUUGAAGAUCGAAGCUCUAGGUCAAAACACACUCUCUCUUUCUCAAUUUUUGUAGUUUUUUCUUUCGACUUCAUCAAAGUCUAAACCCUAAAUGCUCGCCUUCUCAAGCACAACAACUUCAAAAGGAUUUAUCAUUUUCUUGGAGAUCUUAUAGAGUCGUAUUCUUAGCAUCAUCAAAGUCAGCCGCGUCGAGCCGUCAUGGUCUGUGUGACAAGCUAAAAGGUCACAUUGACUUGAGCAAAAGAAUAGUUAAGCUUGUAAAUAGAGGCAGAACAAUUAGCAAGCUCGUUCACUCUAUCGUGCGACCCGUGCCUGAGACUCUUGGAAUCGAAUUAGAGGUAUUGAUUUUGAUUUGAUUGUCGACAUAUUUUUGUUUUUAGAUUUUUUUUUUUUUUAUAUUUUAUAGUGUUUAAUUAGCAAUAAAUUUGAAUUUCUAGAGUAAUUUAGGUGUACUGGCGAAUUAAAUGUUGAUUUUAUGUAUUUACUUUUUGAUUUGAAAUCCGCUUUCUCUUAAGUGUUAUUCGUUUGUGUUUCGAAUGCAGGUUUAGUGCUUGAUGAAUUGCCUCAUUCGGGUCUACUUUUUAUGAUGCAGAAAACUUAUUGUUUUUUUUUUCUAUCUAAAUUUGGUUGUUAUUAAUUAAUAAAAGUAGAGAGAUUCAGUUGUUAUUCUUGGUUCUUUAUGCAGAUGGUGCUCUUGCUUUUCUUCUGUGUUCUAUUCUUUUUGUUCAAGAUAUUUAUAGUUGUCGAUCCAAUAUUUAUUUAUUCAUUAGUUUUUACUGAAAGCAUAAAUACUCUUCCACUCGCCAAAAAUUAUUUUAUUCCAGUAGUUUUUCAAUUGUAAUGCCAGCUAGGUCCUACCAAUGCUAUUAUUUUAUGCCAGUAGUUUGAGUUCAGGUUCCCAGUGGUUUUCUUCAUUUUAAACGUGGUUAGGCAAUUGGAGUAUUGAUAACAUUCAAGCCGUUUUUAGUUCAACGCCGCAACUAGAGAAAGAUCCUUUUAAUUUUCAAGCCAAUUAAGUUUUCGGAAUGCUUCAACCAAGUUAUUUCUUUGGGGUUCCACAUCAGUUUUUGGGGUAGCCAUAAACUUAUGAUGAUGAUGAUGAUGAUGAUGCUCUCGCCAAUUGAUUAUUGCUAAUUUUCUUUGUACCUAUUAGCUGUUCCAGGCUAUCUUAUUGCCAUUUUUACAAUGUUACUAAAAUUUGUUGGUAUAGCAGUGCCCUUUCAUUAUAGUUGGCCUCUUAUGAGUGUAAUUAAUCUCAAAUAUCAACAUUAUAAAUUAUGAGUGUAAUUGAUUGGGUAAAUACUCGUUUAAUCCCUAAAUUUUGAUAUAAGUGUCCGUUUAAUCUCCAAAUUUUAAAAAGUGCGUAAAAACACUCUUAUUGUUCAAUAUGUUACAUUCUUAUCAUUGUUUGUUUCUUUUCUUUUACAAUAAUAAUAUUGCAACAAUAUUCUUGACAUUAAUUAAUUUAUUUAUAAAAAAAUUAAUUAGCAAAUUAACCAAUAAAUAUAAGUGUGAAAGAACUAAUAUUUUUUGUAUCUGUUAAACAAUCUUACUAAUAAUUUUUUAUAAAUAAAUUAAUAUUAGCCUACUUAAAGUAAUGUCUAAUAUUUUUACAAUAAUUUUACUAAUAAUUAUCACGUCGGUAACGUCGAUUUUUACCGACGAAUCAUAGGUUUCGAAAAUAUAGUGCCUUUUGAUAAAUCGAGAGAGUGGGGACAAGCACCUUCUCGGAUGUCUGGAGCUGAAGUGAAAAAGCAGUUGAAUAAUAUCCUUACUGAGUUUAAGAUUGAAGACUUGAAAAGUGGAGAAUGAAUAAAAUGAGAGAAAUGACAAGAUUACUUGGAAGAAGAAAAGCAUAUUUUAUGAACUACCGUGUUGGGAGUUCAAUUUGAUUCAUCAUAAAAUGUGAGACAUGAGGGAGAGACAAAAGCUCAGGCUUGUCUGCAACCAUGUGGGCCCUCAUAAGCAAUUCGUGUACACAACUUGGUUCACCAAGCCCAACAACUUGAAGCAGGCAAAAUCCGGGAACGAUCCUUCUCCUUCGCAACCCUGGCAGCCUUAACCUUGUAUUUCUGAUAUUUAGUUAAAGAGUAAGAAGAUUGCUCCUCUGUCAAUUACCUUCGAGAGAGACUUUCUUUUUCAUUAAUCGAUGCUUGCUUGUGAAAGCAAGGGUUUUAGUUACACUUUCAACGCUGUCAAUGUAGUGAAGUAAAGCAUUCGUAGAAUAAUGAAGAUGGAAGCCCCACAGCAUGAAAACUUUUAAACAGUAACACAGCUCUUAUUCCAGAGGCUGCACGCGAGUGACCUGAAUCUUCUUCAGAACUUUCAAAUUUUAUCAAGCAAAGCUUUCAAAAUUUCUCAACAAAUUGAUUAUUUGGUGUGGUUGCCACAUUUUGAGUAACUGCUAUUUGUUCUCAAGUACAAAAUCCUUGCCCUCCUAAGUUAGGAAAUAUAGAUGUGAAGCAAACCAAAUGAAAUAAAUGGGUAAACAGAACAAACAGUGCAAAAAUUAAAAAUGAUGGCAAUUAACAAAUUAACUUGUAUUUCUGAUAUUUAGUUAAAGAGUAAGAAGAUUGCUCCUCUGUCAAUUACCUUCGAGAGAGACUUUCUUUUUCAUUCACCAAAAUAAAAUAAAUUUAGAAUUUCAAACAGUACUAGUAGUAAAAAAAUGACGACAACAACAAAAAUAGAAAAUUACAAGACUGCUGAUAAAAUUUCACUUGCAGGCAUUUCUCACAAAAUUUCUGUGAUUUAAUGUGCUUUCAUGCACGCAAGUCCUAACGUUUCUGUGAUCACAAAUGAAACUGAAGAUAAAACAGAACAACUACCAAACCUUUCAAGCGUGACGAAGCCAUGAGAAUUGAUAGCUCAAUGUCAUGGGAUGAGUGUUUUGUCACUAAAACAGAACAAUAAUUUUGAACACACCAUGUGGCAUUUAGACCAUUUGAUAGUUUGUUUCAAACAUAUUUGUUUAUAAAAUACUUUUCUUCAUGGUUUUGGUCCCAUAAUUUUCUAUGUAUGUACAGGUUUUAUCGAUACCGCUUUUGACAAGUUACACUUACAUAGCAAUGCCCUUUUUGAUAAACUGUGCUUCUGUGAUGAAGAAUGUUUUAGCUGUAAGUGGAUAUCCUAAUCAUUGAUCCAUAUACUUAGGUUAUAUUAUCCAUCAGCAAGUAUGUAUAAAAUUAUUUUGUGUCUUUUUUUAUUAGAAAUGUUGUAAUUCUAUUUUACUCUUCCUGAAUUAUAACAUCAGGUGUCUAUAAUAACUAGGUUAUUCCUUCUGCAAAACAGAGCAGUGGUAAAUAUUUUUUUUCUUUUGUUUGUUUAGUACAUUUACAUGCUUUCAGCUUUUUCAAAUUUUGUAUGUGUCAAAGUUUAAAUUUAAUUUGUUGGUUUAUGCCACAACAAAAGGAACAGCAUCAAAGAGGAGCUGCUAAUGGACUUGCUAUGACUGUAGUGUCGCUUACCAAAACUGCCGGUCCAGCUGUAGGAGGUGCUCUGUGAGUGUCCUGUUGAUUUUGUAAAACUAUAUGUAAAUGAAGUUAUAAUUUUUUUUUUCAUUAAUUGGGGUUCUGGCAGAUUUUCUUGAUCACAAAAGCAUCAAGAUGCUGGUUUCCUCCCAGGUAUGAUGAUCUACUAAUGAAAUUUCUCACGAGUUGGUGAAUUACUUUGUGCUAAUUAGCUUAGUUAGCUGCUUAAACUAAAGUGCAGGUAACCAGAUGAUUUUUUUCAUUUUGAAUUUGGUCGAGGCACUAGGAGUAAUAUUGACAUUCAAACCAUUUCUAACUCAACGUGCCCCGUGAGUAGAGAAAAGAUGCAUCUGUUGAAAUAUUCAAAUAUAUGUCGAGCAAAUUAAAGCUUUCAAAAUCUAUCAACAAUUUGAUUAUUUGAUGUGGUUUGCCACUUGCCGUAUUUUGUUUUGCUGUUCUAAAGGCUUAAAUAUGAAAAUGGUGGUUGGCGCUCACACCAAUCGAUUGCUGUUAACAUUAAUUGUUCAGUACUUUUCUCUGUCGACAUUUAUACUUGUUCAUUGUCAGAACUACGACAAUUUAUCUUUACAAUGAUGCAAGCUAGAAAGAAUUUUUCAUGUUAAGUAAAAUAUUGAAGCCACAAAGAGUCUGAAUUAAGUACUAAGUUUUCUGCCAUGCUUUCAACGGUAACACAUUUGUAGCUCUUAUUCCAGGGGCUUCACAGUAGAGAGACCUGAUUUCGACCUUCUUCAGAACUUGGGGAUUCCGUAAUAACAGAGGACAACAGUUAUAUAAGAAUAUUAUUUUGUACAAUUUUCGUAUAACCUGACCAAUGCAAGUAUAAUUUGAUGAUCUUAACUCAGAUCAAAAGACCUUCAAUGAUGUAAAAUUUGAACAUAAAGAUGAGAACCAAACAUUAGAACUUAUGAUGAAACGGAAACAAAAACAUUGAGAUUGAAAAGAUAGAGAAACACAAGCUUUUUAAAAGGAAUAAAUAUUCAUUUAGUCUCUAUAUUUUGACUUAAGAGCGCAUUUAGUUCUUAUAUUUUAAAAAGUGCCUCAACCUCAAGACACCCCUACUGUGUUGGAAUAAUAUUUUUGGGAAUAUCAAUGAAAAGAAACGAAUGGUAAUUCAUCUAGCCAGCCUUAAACAAAAUAAAUAUUAAUAAAAACUUUUAUGUUAUUAUUUUAGUUUUAGGACUAAUUUCGUAAAUUAAUUUUUUUAUGCAUUUAUUAGUAAGAUUGCUUUAAGAAUAUUAAACAUUACUUUAAGAUGGCUGCUAUUGAUUUAUUUAUAAAGAAUUAUUGGCAAGAUUGUUGUAAAAGUACAAAAAAAUACUGGUUAUUUCAUAUUGAUAUUUAUUGAUUAAUUUUCCAAUUAAAUUUUUUAUAAAUAAAUGAAAUUAAUUUAAGAAUAUUAUUGCCAAGAUAUUAUUGUAAAAGUAAAUAAAAUUUAAGGAAAAAUGUAACGUAUUUAAUAUCAAGGUAUAUUGAGGUAUUUUUUAAAAUAUAAUAACUAAACGAGCAUUGAAGUUAAAAUAUAGGUACCAGACGAACAUUUUCUCUUUUAGAAAGUUUUAUAUUUUAUUAAUGAAAGUCUGAAUAACAAAAUUAAGGUUUUGGACUUCUUUUAAACUAAACUUAAAUAUAACAAAUUUACCAAAAUAACUAAACCUAACAUAUUACUACAUAAUAACAUUCUCCUAAUUGAAAUAAGAUAAAUGUUACUCAAAUUCUAUAUCUAGAAAAAAAAAAGAUAAAAAUCCUAAAAACAAUAGGAAAAUAGAUCUUAAACUUGUAAAAUAAUAUGAAAUAAAUAUAAUUUUCAAUCGAACCACGAGACUAAUGCGGCGCUACAGUAUUAGAUUAGUUUCCCCUCGUCGCGAACUUCGAAAUGUAUAUUAUACACCCUAAAUAGAUACUUAUAGCUCAAGUUGUUACCCUAGAGAGAUACUCCACUCAUCCUACGCAACCUAGAGAGAUACUCCACUCAUCCUACGCAACCAUCCGCUGCAUCAAAUUCGUUCCAAAAUUAAGAAUAAACCAGCUGAUGCAUUCCAAAUAAUUUAGAUGAAACGAUAAAAUAAACCUAGAGAUCAAAUAACAUGAAAUGAAAAAGAUAAUUACCUUGGACUGAAGCUCAUACAAAUUCAUUAUUUGACACCUGCGGCAAUUGUUGAAAUAAUAGUUAAUGAAAUAUAAAAUAAGACAAGUACAUAUUAAUGAAACACCACUGUGAAUCGAUAGCUAAGGACGGAGUAAAAUUUAAUUGUAAAUUAGGACAGUAGAGCAAGCAUCCAUAAACAUAACAUGAACGUAAUACAUCAAUUGAAAUAUCAUAGGAUAAAUUGGGACAUCAGAGAAAGAAAUAAGUAAAUAAAUCAGCAAAGGAAACAUGCAUAAACAAAUAAAAAAACAAAGACAAAAUAAGGAAGAGUUUGUGAUAAUUUUCUUCUAUGGUCAUUGAAGUCCAAAAACUAAUAAGGAUCGAGCAAUUGAACGGUUGCAAACUCAAUGGAAAUACAAUGGAACCUUAAAAAUGAACAGUGAAGGAAAAUGAAGAAAUCUGCAGGAAAUAAGACGAGUGAGAGUGAAGAAUUAAUUACCACUGAGUAAAUGCGAAUGAAGAAUGGAGACAGAUCCUUCUUCGCCCCAUUGAGAAGUGAGAUUCAUAGAUUGCAUUGAAAUUGAGAGUUGAGAUCAAGAAGCGAUUCUUCUUCUCCGUAAUUUCCUUUUUCUUUUAAUGUUGUUAUUAUUAUUAUUUUUUUUUUUUUUCAAUUUCAUGAUAUCUUUUUUGUUUUAAACAGUAUUGGCAUAUUACAUUUAUUUAUGUUAAUUUUACAAUACCUCCCUUCAGAUUGCACAAAUUACAUUAAAAAAAAAAGUGCUUUAUGUAUAAAACUUUCAAACAAAUUGGGCCAAAAUCUAACUUUACCAAGUUUAGAGUAAUUUUGGGCUCGACAUUCCAUUUCCGACAAACGAUUUUUCUUGGCGUUUGAUUUUUCUUUAUACUUUUCAUAUUUAUCCAACGGCUCGUCAAUGACAAUACCUUUGUAAAAAGUACUUAUUUUGAAUAUUAUAUUGUGGAAAUGUCUGGUCGGUAAUACAACUAUUUCUUAUAGUGUAAAACUGAUACACUAGCGUUCACAUUUUGAUGAGUAAAUUAAGGAUUUCAAGAUGAAGUACAUAAUUAGAUUAAUGCUAAGAAACUGAAGUUUGAUCGAUUGAAAAUGAAAAUAAUAAUGAAGGUAAUUAAGAAAAUGAACAAUAUAUGCAGAAGCGGUCCUAUUAGGACUUCUAGAUUUUCUCUUGGGCUUUCCUUAUUAUUGUUAAAAAAUGACACGAAGAACUUUGAGUUUAAAAAUCUGGCCCUGAUGCCUGGUAGCCCUCCAUGAAGCACCAGAUGUUUUGAUGAGAAAUGACAAGACCAUUUAUCAAAUUUCUUGUGGAUAUAAAUACAUACACAUAGACGAGACCAACCUCCUCAAAUGAGAAUCAGAGUGAUUAAAAGACCUUGCAAUGAGACAAUGAUACACCAUCAAAUGUCAAAAUACAAUAGAAAUUCACGACAUAUAUAUAAUAAAAGACCUCUCAUUGAGUCAUAUAUAUUGAGAAUAAAAAUGUUAUAAUACAUACACAGAGCUUAGCUAGAAUAAAAUGUCUUUGAACUUGCGAUGAUCAAACAAAGGAAACAGACAGGUUGUAACUCACACUAUCACAAGAAGAUCACGAAGAUGAAAAUGGGAACCCAUCAGAAUGGAAACUUUGAAUAGAUGAAAAAAGAAAAACGACCUUAUUCACAGAAGAAGAGUGACUUAAAUCUUCAUCAGUAUCCAGACAUUUUGCAAUCAUAGAGUAGAGAAAUUUUAACAGGAACAGCAGAGAAAAUAUUAUGAAUAUGCUAUAGACCAAUAUACUUGUUCAUAGCUAACGUUUGAUGGUUUAAGGAUUUGUUCUAGGAAUAAUGGGCUGAUUACUUUCUUUUUAUUUUAAUUUUUUUUUAAUCCAAUGAAUGAUAUUCAGCUGUUAAUUAUGUGUUCAUAGGGAAGAACAUUUUCUAAGUACUUUCCUUGCCUUCUAACUUUCCGAAAAGCAAACCCAAUGAGCAAACAGAGCACAAACUAAAAUAAAAGAACAGCAAUGAUAACAAUAAAUAAUUGGCAAAGAAAAAAAGGAAAAAGUAUGCACGUUUUCAAGGAAUUAUAAAAUAUGAAGGCUUUUAAUGAAACUUUAUCAUACAAAGUAUGCAAGGAAUUAUAAAAUUUUAGAAAACAAGGGGAGCUCUCAAAAAAAAAUGAAAAACUCAAAUUAAACUAGACUAAAAGACAUUCAAUUUUGCAAAAUCUGUCCAUAAAAGUCUGAAAGGAUCAUUAAAAUUGCAUUGCAAAUUUAACAGUAAACCGAGGGACCCAUUCUAAAUAAUUCAGAUGAAAUUGCGAAACAAGACAUGGGAUUAAAUAAAUGAAACAAUCUAAUAAAAAAAAAAUAAAUGAAACAAAAAUUAAUUACCAGUUGAGACUUUCUUCUAAAAAUUCGCAACUCCAAGUCACAAGAAGCCUAUGAAAUUAGUCGUACUGCGUAGAGUAUGACGACGACACCGCCAACAGCCGACGACACCGCCAACAGCUGAAAGUAAAAUUCUUAUUCAUCAAAUAUCUUAUCAAUAUUGUAUUUAAGAAAGCAAAUUUUGUAAAAAUUUAUCAUGGGAGAUAAGAGUAAUAUGUAUAUACGUACCUUCUCAGCAUGUAAUGUUGUAUGGUUGUGUUUAGAUAAUUAUUAGCCCAGCGCCGUUGAUCCGCUGUCUCUCCAUACCAGACAUUUACUCUUGGAGGCGUGAUUGCUUCUCCUGUAGUGAAAAUCUUCAUCUUGGGACAACCAAUCACCCACAACUCUUGCAAAGAUGGGAAUUGGAAGGUGUAAUUGGCAGAGCAGAAACUUGUGAGGCUAUCUAAAUCACGCAGUUCCAACGUCUUCAAUUUGCGGAAAACAAUCUCUUCUUUUUCAACUCCAUCUUUGUCAUUUAUUACCACCUCUGUCAUUGCUCUGCAUCCAUAUAUUUCUAUUGCUACGAGUCGCACCAGAGUUUUUGCUGUGGAGGAUGUUACCAUGUGUAACAAUUUCUUGCAACCGAAAGCCACCAGAGCUGUUAGGUUCUGAAAAGAUACCGAUGAUGAUGGCAAUAGAAUUAACAGACUUUGACAACGAUAUGCUUUUAGAAUUUCAAGAUACUGAAAAGUGGGGCCAAGUUUGGAGUCUUGUUUGCACAGCUGCUUCAGAUGAUAGUGCCAGCGCAGCUCUAAUGUUUUUAUCAUUGCCAACUUCCCCGCAUGUUUCUCUAAGCUUCCUUCCUCCGAAAAUACCUCUUCGUGGAAUGAAAAUUGAAACAGUGAGAGUAUUUCAAGAUUGUGAAAUCUCUCAAGUACAUUCCAGAUUGGAAAACAAGCUGAGUUAUCUUCGGCAAUCUCUAGUUGUUUAAGACUGCCAAAAAGGUGUUGUGGGAAAUCGGCCUGCAAAAUCAUCUUCACGUCUUUUCCAUUCAAUGAUAGGUCCUUCAAGUUGGGUAAGAUCUGAUCAUCAUAAAUCAUAAUAACUAAUGAGGUCAAUUGAUGUUCUCUCAAAUGAUUUUGAGUAAUCCAAUUACAAGCAGUGACUUUAUUGUAUCUGUUUUAUAUUAAUUUUACCCCCAAAAAAAAUUGAAUUAGUGAUAAAAUUCAUUAUAUGAUUUUUUAUAUGUUAAUUUUAGAGGUAAAAAAGAAAUUAGGGAAAAAUGGUUGAUUUAUAUUUGCAUGAAAAUAUUUUAUUUCACAACAAUAAAUUAUUAAUUUAUAUUGUAAGUCCUUGUAUAAAGAAAAACUAAGGAUUCUUUACCUAAAAAAGUUCAUAUAAUUAUUAAUCUCCCACAUUGAUCCCUUAGUCAAGACUAGCAAAGAUUAUUAUGUAAUAAAAAUUUUUAAUUUAUUAAGUAUUAAUUUAUCAGUGUUUUGUUACAUUUUUCAAAGUCAAAAGUCGUCAAUGAGCUAUUGAAAAAAAUAUCUAGAAAAUGACUUCAUACCUUUUCGAACGGCAAUAAGGGCUGUUGUGCAGGAAUAUCAAGUUGAUUAUUCUCUUUAUUCUGCGAUAAAUCUUCAGCAAAUAUUUUUAAUUUGUCACAACGACACACUGCAAAAUUUUCUAGUGCUGGCCAUUCCGAAGUAUGCAUUCCUGGGUAUAAACAUCUAAGUUUUGGUAGACCUUGGAGUAUCAGAACGGUGGGUUGUGGAAAGACAAAAUAAGGGAUCACUUCAUCUGCUCUGUUUUCAAAACGAUCUCCUGUAAAUCCUUACAGUCUCAUAUAUCUAAGUGCUGGAGCUGCUUGAGGUUUCCGAUCAUAGACGCUGAAAAUAUGUAUUUCAGUUUGUCACAGUACCACACAACUAAUCGUGUUAAACUUUGAAAGUGAGGAAACACGGCCGCCAGAAUUUGAUUGUAAUGCCAAAUCUUGUCGACAUUAAUUGCAGAUAUCUCCAAAGCCACCAAGUUAGGCAACGCAACCUAAAAAAAUAAGAAUUUCUCGUUAGAUCCAAUAUCCAUAUAGGAAGCACUUGUUGAAAUUUUCUUCUUUGAUUACAAAUUGUUGAAAGUCAGAAUCAAUUUCCAACUGACAGCUGAGUUUGAUGCAUUCUAAUUCAUACUACUUGUUAAGAGCUCAAUUAGUGAGCGUGUUGUUAAGAGCUCAAUUAGUGAGCGUGUGAGAUUCUUUUUAUCCUUUUUUCCAUUUUCUUUCAAUUCUUAAAUGAUUUAAUUAUUUUCCACGUAUGACGUCAAAAGAGAACGCAUGAUAGAAUAAAAUCUGUUAUAUAUAUAUAUAUAUAUAUGAAGAAAAUGUUAGCCUACUAUCACGGGAUGAGUAUUUUGCGCAGCUAACCCGUGCGGUACUUAGACAACUUUGCCGAAUGUUGCUAAGUAAGCCUAGAGCUUCUCGAACUAGAGAAGAGAGCAAUUGAGCCGAAUAAGAGACAUUGUAUUGCACAAAGAGAGAUUACAAUGCUUGUUGUUGUGUUUGUUGGAUACAAAUGCCUAAUGCCAUCCCAUAUUUAUAGGGGAGGCUUGCCAAGCUAGAGGCUCUAGAGAUUCUAGAGAAUUCUACCAUUUCCUAGCUAUUUACAUGUGCUGGAAUUGUAAGGAGAAUUCUAGAGUAUUUGCAAGCUCACAUGUGCUAGAAUUGCCAAGAACUUUCCGGAAUUGGGCCAAGCUAGCACUCUUGGCCUUGUGUUGGCUCUCUAGCCCGAAAUUGUUGGCAAUUGGGCUAGCGAAUUGGGCGGUCCGCAACAUCCUCCCCCACCUAAGCUCGCGGCGUCCUCGUCGCGCUCUCGUGCUUGAAAUUCUAGAUGUGCUCAGCGAAUUGCCAUAAGUCAUCUUCACGUUCCCAAGUGGCUUCGCUCUCGGGGAGGUUUUUCCACUUCACCAAGUACUUGCUAUGUGCUGGCACGCCCCUCCUCGAAACCGUGCGGUCCGCAAUGAUGUAGUCCACAUCUUUGUCGAAUGCGGUGACAAGCAGUUGGCACGCGCCUCGAUUCUCCGCGACUUGGUUCUCCCAUGUCUUCGUGAUAUGGCUUGAGAAGGCUCACAUGGAAGACCGGAUGGAUCUUGAGUCUUGGCGGAAGUUGGAGUUGAUAUGAGACGUUGCCCACACGUCGAACAACUCGGAAGGGUCCCUCAUAGCGCCUCACUAACCCCUUGUGGACUUUCCGCAAUGUCUUGAAUUGUUGGGGUAGGAGCUUGAUCAUGACUUGAUCUCAUUCAUUGUACUCAACAUGCCGUCUCCUUGUAUCCGCCCAUUUCUUCAUUUUCCUCGCGGCUUUGUCGAGGUAGGCUCGCGUGAUGUCCGCUUCCUCAUGCCAUUCGCGGGCGAACUUGUGUGCCGCGGGGCUUUUCCCGCCGUAAGUCGAGGCUAUGGCGUUGGGGGUCAUGGGCUGGAAUCCCAUGAUGAUCUCGAACGGACUCUUGCCCGUAGCCUCACUUCGCUGCAAGUUAUAAGAAAAUUGGACGAUGUCGAGUAGCUUCGCCCAAUCCCACUGAUGAGCGCUCACAUAAUGCCUCAAGUACAUUUCGAGGAGGCCAUUGAUGCACUCGGUCUGCCCAUCCGUUUGUGGGUGGAAGCUUGUCGAGAACUUGAGAUCGGUCCCCAACAUCUUGAAGAGCUCCGUCCAAAAACGCCCAGUGAACCGAGGGUCUCACAAUGCUCCUUGGAACUCCCCAAAGCUUCACAAUGUGCUUGAUGAAUAGGCAGGCUGCCUCAUCCGCUUUACAAUCGAUUGGUGCGGCAAUGAAUGUGGCGUACUUGCUGUAUCGGUCGACAACGACCAUGAUGCUUCCGCAACCUUCGGAUUUGGGCAGCGAAGUAAUGAAGUCCAUGGAGACAUUUUCCCAUGGCCUUGUUGCUAGUGGUAGCGGCUCCAAUAAUCCCGCUGGAAGUUGAUGAUCCACCUUGUCUUGUUGGCACACAAGACAAGUUCGCACAUCUGCUUCGAUGUCGUCCCUCAUGUACGGCCAAAAAUACGAGGCUUGAACUAGUGCGGUGGUGCGCUCGAUUCCUGGGUGACCAGCCCACUUAGAGUCGUGGCACUCCUUGAUUACCUCCUUCCGUAAGUUUCCCCACCUUGGCACGAACAGCCGAUCUCCCUUGGUGUGGAGGAUGCCUUCCUCUUGCCAAAAUCGCCUUGUCUUGCCUUCGAGCACCUUCUCCAGCAAAUCCUUUGCUAGCGGAUCUUGUUGGAGGCCUUCCUUGAUGCGUGAGACAAGGUCGGACUUUGGUUGGCUCAUGCUAAUUGUUGCCAAUUCGGCCUUACGGCUUAGAGCGUCUGCAACGACAUUGGCUUUCCUCGGUUUGUACUCGAGCCAAUAGUCGAAUUCCGUAAGGAAAUCUUGCCACCGUGCUUGCUUCGGGCUCAACUUUUUUUGUGUUUGAAAGUAGCUCGUCGCUACGUUGUCCAUCAUAGUCAUGAAGUGAGAGCCUAGCAAGUAAUGUCGCCACACCCGCAAGCAAUGUAUGAUUGCGGUCAUCUCCUUCUCUUGCACCGUGUAGCGGCGUUCCGUAUCGUUUAGCUUUCGACUCUCGAACGCUAUGGGAUGGCCUUCUUGCAUAAGGACUCCACCUAUGGCGAAAUCCGAGGCAUCCGUUUGAACUUCGAAGGGUUUAGUGUGGUCCAGAAGAGCGUGGACGGGUUCCUCCGAAAUUGCCUUCUUCAACUGCUCGAAUGCGCGUUGGCACUCUUCGGACCAAUGCCACGUUCUGUUUUUCUUGAGCAUAUCCGUCAAGGGUGCUGCCUUGGCUGAGUAGCCCUCGAUGAAGCGGCGGUAGCAGUUCACCAACCCAAGGAAUGAGCGAAGCUCGGGUACUUUCGAGGGAGGUUCCCAUUCGAGGAUGGCCUUUACUUUGGCAUUCUCCAUCAUGAUCUUUCCGCCCGCAACCUUGUGGCUAAGGAACUCCACUUCUUGUUGGGCAAACGAGCACUUCUCCAACUUGAGGAAGAGCUCGUUGUCUCGGAGUACUUGGAGGACUUGUCGUAAGUGUUGGGCAUAAUCCUCGAGUGUGGUGCUAUACACCACUAUGUCGUCCAAGUACACGACCACGAAGCGGUCGAGGAAUGGUUGGAGUAUCUUGUUCAUGAGCGUGCAAAAUGUAACAGGUGCAUUAGUAAGGCCAAAAGGCAUCACAAGGAAUUCGAAAGACCCAUACCUUGUAGUGCACGCUGUCUUCGGUUCGUCUCCCUUGGCGAUGCGCACUUGAUAGUACCCGGAGCGCAAGUCAAGUUUGGUGAAGUACCGCACUUUGCCAAGUUGGUCGAACAAGUCCGCGAUCAAGGGAAUCAGAUACUUGUUCUUGAUGGUGAUCUUGUUGAGCGAUCUAUAGUCGAUGCACAUCCGCAGCGAUCCAUCCUUUUUCUUUUGGAAGAGGACCGGUGCACCGAAUAGGGCCUUUGAGGGGUGAAUGUAGCCUGCGUCCAGCAAGUCUUUGAGUUGUCUCCGCAACUCCUCUAAUUCGGGUGGCGCCAUGCGGUAGGGCGCCAAGGCUGGUGGCUUCGCGCCUUGUUCCAGCUCGAUCGCAUGAUCUACCUCUCGCCGAGGUGGGAGCUUCUUCGGAAGUUCCAGAGGCAUCACGUCCUUGUAUUCAUUGAGAACGGCUUGAAUUCGCGAAGGGACUUGGCUUGGCGACGUUCUGCUCUUUCCUUCCUUGUUUAGUUCCCGGAUGGAGACCAAGAAGCUUGGGUCCUUCUUGAAAGCCCUUUUGAAUUGCAUGGCGGAGAGUGUCUUCUCCUCGGACUUGCCUCGCUCCGUGGGUACCAUGCAUGCUUUGCUCCCGUCGAGGAUGCUUAGGGAGUUUGUAGCGGGCAGUGGGAAGGCAUGGACUUGGUCGAAAAAUUCCAUGCCGAGGACUAUCUUGAAGUCAUCCAUGGGGAUGAUGGAGAAAUCAAGCUUUCCGCUCCACGUACCGAGUGUUAAGUGCACGCCUUGUGCAAUUCCCGCAAUUGGCUUGGCGGGUGAGUUUACUGCCUUCAUUGUGCUUCGUGAGCUAACUUGCGUGCGUGCAAACCUUAGCUCCGAUACCACUUGUCACGGGAUGAGUAUUUUGCGCAGCUAACCCGUGCGGCACUUAGACAACUUUGCCGAAUGUUGCUAAGUAAGCCUAGAGCUUCUCGAACUAGAGAAGAGAGCAAUUGAGCCGAAUAAGAGAAAUUGUAUUGCACAAAGAGAGAUUACAAUGCUUGUUGUUGUGUUUGUUGGAUACAAAUGCCUAAUGCCAUCCCAUAUUUAUAGGGGAGGCUUGCCAAGCUCUAGAGAUUCUAGAGAAUUCUACCAUUUCCUAGCUAUUUACAUGUGCUGGAAUUGUAAGGAGAAUUCUAGAGUAUUUGCAAGCUCACAUGUGCUAGAAUUGCCUAGAACUUUCCGGAAUUGGGCCAAGCUAGCACUCUUGGCCUUGUGUUGGCUCUCUAGCCCGAAAUUGUGGGCAAUUGGGCUAGCGAAUUGGGCGGUCCGCAACAUCCUCCCCCACCUAAGCUCGCGGCGUCCUCGUCGCGCUCUCGUGCUUGAAAUUCUGGAUGUGCUCAGCGAAUUGCCAUAAGUCAUCUUCACGUUCCCAAGUGGCUUCGCUCUCGGGGAGGUUUUUCCACUUCACCAAGUACUUGCUAUGUGCUGGCACGCCCCUCCUCGAAACCGUGCGGUCCGCAAUGAUGUAGUCCACAUCUUUGUCGAAUGCGGUGACAAGCAGUUGGCACGCGCCUCGAUUCUCCGCGACUUGGUUCUCCCAUGUCUUCGUGAUAUGGCUUGAGAAGGCUCACAUGGAAGACCGGAUGGAUCUUGAGUCUUGGCGGAAGUUGGAGUUGAUAUGAGACGUUGCCCACACGUCGAACAACUCGGAAGGGUCCCUCGUAGCGCCUCACUAACCCCUUGUGGACUUUCCGCAACGUCUUGAAUUGUUGGGGUAGGAGCUUGAUCAUGACUUGAUCUCAUUCCUUGUAUUCAACAUGCCGUCUCCUUGUAUCUGCCCAUUUCUUCAUUUUCCUCGCGGCAUUGUCGAGGUAGGCUCGCGUGAUGUCCGCUUCCUCAUGCCAUUCGCGGGCGAGCUUGUGUGUGACGAUGGUCUGUUUGGUGAUGCUGAAGGAGUCUUUACUUCACGGCAGAAAUUUGUAACCUCUGGAAGAUUCCCCAGACUCAAAGAUCUUAAUUGAGCAAACUCUAUCUUCUCAAUUGCAUUAUCAACUUCUUCCCCAAUUGCAAAAAUCUCUUUCAUCUUGCUGCAAUCAACAACUGCAAUUCUCUCAAGUCUUGGAAGGCAUUUUGUAGUAGAGAGCCAAAAGAUAUUACUCAAUUUAUCACAAUUAUAUGCUUGUAUGAUUUUGGGUUCGUUCAAAGACUCUACUUUGAGCUGAUCAAUACAUAUCCUCUCCAUGUUGAUCAAAUUGUGAAGGAUAAGUGACUCCAAAAGAGGAAAGGCUUCACAAGCUACCAUCUCCAUUGAGUCCACGAUACACAGGAAGUUAGGAUUAUUUUGAACAUGGAGAUGCUUCAAUUGUGAAAAACCUUCUGUGUCCAAAUCAAAAAGAACAUUCUUGACACCUUGCAGCUUGUCCAACCAUAGGUAUUCAACGUUAUUGAUGCCCUGCAAUUUCAUGGAGAAAAUGUCCAUAAAAUCAAGCUUGAGCUUCAAUUCUCUUAAACUCUCACGAUUACUGUUGAUCAAAAAGUGCGGCCGGCUUUGAAACCAUUCUCUUGUAACACUCUUGGGAGGCAUGAAUGACUCAUUUCCAAUGGAUAUUUUGAACCUUUCGAGCUUUCUGGCCAAAAAGCCUUCCGGUAAAAUACUGUCAUUUUUAACAUCAAUUUCUAGAGUGGUUGGCCAAGGUAAAAGCAUCAAUUCAUCAAGGCUAGCAUUACUUCUUUCACUGUUGGCUCUUUCAACCUCCCAUUCAACGGAGCAAUUACCCAUAUACAAUUCUUCUAAUCGGAUUAAGCUCGAUAAGACAUUUGGGGCAAUAACUUUUAGAUGGAAACAGUCUCUUAAAUCUAACAGCCUUAGCUUAGUCAGUUGCCCUAGUGCUUUAGGUAACUGUACAAUAUCAGACCGCACAAAGCCAAGGAUUUCUAGAUUUUCCAACUUUCCAAUAAUGGCUGUGUCCAUGUCUCCCAAAUGCUUUGAUUAAGACAAAGUGUCCGAAGAUUUACUAGAAGAUCAAUUGAAGAUGGCAAUGACAAUAACCGCAUUCUAGUCAAAUCCAAAACCCGAAGCUUUUUCGUCCUUUUGAAGAAGUUCUCAGGAACAUUGGGCCCAACAAAAGAGUUCUUGGGUGACAUGAAUAAAAAUUCAAGUUGUGUAGAUUCCAACACUUCAGGAAUGUCAUUAAUAAUACUAUCUUUUAAACAAAUUGCAAAAUAUUUUUUUAGUGCAUCUGCAUCUGGCCAGUUCCACACAUCCUCAUUUCUCACCGCAAAUGCAAUUUUGUCACGACGUGCUAUUGAAAUGGCAACAUCGCGAACAACAUCAUGCAUGGAAAAGAAUUUACUGCCACCAUCCUCAAGCAACAAACAAGAGUCUCUUAGUUGAUGGACCCAUGCAUGUAAUUUGUUAUGUGCAUCUUCUAUCUUAUGGACACUUUCAAAUGCACCCAAGCCUAUGCUAUAUUUGAACAAGUCCAUAAUUGAAGUUGGUGUAAUUAGACUACACAGUAAAAAAGUUUUCUUUAGUUGCUCACCUCUUAAAUACUUGUAACUUAGCUCAAUUGUUGAGUAUGCCUCUACUGGUACUCCUUCAUCGAAGCUUGCCUCUGAAGGCGUUUGGAGUUCUUGCAAGGCGUUCUUCCACACAGGCAGCUCUUUGUUUCUCAGUGCCUUUGCUACUGUGGUUAGAGCAAUAGGCAAACCUCCACAUGCCUUGGCUACAUUUGUUGCUGUAGAUUUUAACUCACGAUUUUCAACAAAAUUACCAGCCAUUAUCUUGAACAACCUCCAAGCUUCAUGCUCAUUUAGAAUGCCAAUCAAGAAGUUAUUUUCAGAUCCCAUACUUAACAAGACAUUACGAUCCCUUGCUGUUAAUAAUAAUUUGCAUCCUCUAUGAUCAUCGUCAAAAGGAAUUCCAACAGUCUCUAAAUCAAGAUAUUUCCAGAUGUUAUCCAGAAUCACAAGGAUCAUCUUCUCUUUCUUCAAUCGUUCAUAAAGUCUACUAGCUCUUCUAGAUUCAGCCUCCUCGGACAACUCCAGACCUAGUUUCUCUGCAAUUUCCCCUUGAAUCUUUUUUAUGUCUGGAGUUUGGGAAACCUCUGAAAAAACCACCUGAUCAAAGAGUUUCUCUUCACUGGCUUGCGUUGCAAACUCCUUCACCAGUGUUGUCUUUCCAAUGCCGCCCAUGCCGUAUACCCCAACGAUGCUGACAUUGACAUCAGUCAAUGCAUCUUGUCUAGACUUCAGAGUAGAAAGUCUUGAUUUAAAGGCCUCGUAACCUUUGUUAGACUUUAGCCAUACCUCCUCCGCAAUGGUACGGUAGAAAAUUCUAUCAUCAAAUCUCCUAGCUUCUUCUUUGAGUUCAACAAGGGCCUUCACCUCUGUUUCUGCUUUCUUGCUAAGCUGAUAGCGGGUCUUGAAAUUAGGACACAAGCCCUUGAAACAUCGCUUACUUGUUGUCUCCCCAUCUUCAAUGAAUUUGGCUGCCUGCUCAAUGGUGUUGUUCGCACUAACCAGCCAGUUCUCAACCUUCUCUUCAAUCUUUUCUCCUUUUCUUUCAGCCUCAGAAACUCUGUGCUGAAUGCUCUUACUUUCAUCCUUGAGCUUGUCUAUUUCUGCCUUGAGAUUCUCAAAGUUGGCUUUAUAGUUACGCAAAUAACAAAGUUGGCGUUCUGUUGGAGGAGCGAAGCAUUUCACAACUUCUAACAGAACAGUAACAAUGCUUUCCACCAUCUUCGAUCCUCUUUUUUUCAAAGUUCCGAAAUGAAAAUAAACGACGAGCGAAACACAAAGAGAAAGAGAGGCAAAAAAAAAAAAAAAGAAAAACGAAAAAAAGAAAAUGAAACAACAAAGAUGACAAGUGUAUCUGGUUGUGGAAGCGGAGAAAUCAAAGAAAGCUUAAAAACUGUUGUGAAUCUGGUGAGAAGAUGGAAACAAGGAAAAGGUUUCUAGUUCAAAAGUGAUUGAAUUGAUAUAAGGAAUGAUUUAGAUAAUAGAGGAAAAGUGAAUCAGUCAAAAUAACUUAUGUAUUGACCAGAAGAAAGAUGCAAACAAUAUUAGAGACAACAACCGCGCUGUUGAUGCCCAAAUCUGAUCUAGUCUAUCAGCGACUUAAUGUCAGAUUUCUACACCAGUAUUAGAUUUAUUUGGUAGAGAAUCGAUUGGUCAAUCGUCAAGAUGUCCUGCAACCACUAGCGAUUAACCUAGGAAUACCUGAAAUCAUAGAAGAAGGUUAGAGGCGCCGGAAGUUUUUCCGGCGUGAACCCUCCGACACUCAAGUUAGUUUCUAGGCCUUUCGGAAAAACUUGUGCCACCACUCAUGUGGCUUAAUAAACAUUGCCUUAAAACCCAAGGCUUUUCGAGUAAUUUACAGAAAGUAAAGCAGAGUGUCAAAGAAAGAAUUUUCCAUGAGAGGAAGAGAGCCCAAAAAGCCCCCCUAGCUAACUCCCCACUCCCCUCUUUCCCCCCUUGUUCUCUCCCACUUUCGGAAGUUAAGGAUGAGAUAAAAGUAAUGCCCCCACUCUCCUUUUUUUCCUCCUUUUUCCGUUACCAAACACGCGCUAUUGACUGGUAAAAGAGAUGGAGAAAAAGAUAUAUCUUCACACGGUGGAAGUACAAAGGGUAGAUAUGGAACCAAACAGAGACAACAACAUGCCACAACUAGAUUGGGAAUGGAGAGAAACAAAUUAACAAAGACUGGAGAUUACAACAGAACAGAUGCCAAGAGAAAAGGGUUUCUUCAUCCAGUGAAAUUCAAGUGAGUUGACAGCAAAAGGGAGCAUAUGUGUUUCUUGAUUGAGAACGAGUGCAAAGGAUGACUUUUUAAUGAGGUUCUGAAGCUGACGGAUAACGAUUUGCUAAAAUUUUGAGAAAGUUAUAUAUUUCGUAACUUCAACAAGUGAAGAAUAAAAGAAUAAUAGUUCGUCAUCUUCACAAUGAAGAUCAUGGCCGAGAUUAAAAGCUAAAACUAGUCCAUUUGAAAAGCCAAAGUUCAAGUUCCUUGGCUAAGUUCAGAAGUGAAGCAAAGAAUAAAUAAAUAAAGAUCAAGGGAUGGGAAUAAAGUCACCCCCAGACAGUUGCAGAAAGAUUAUUAUUUGGUAAGCGUAGUUGAUUAUUAGUACAAAACAGAGUAGGUGAAACACAUCCUUUCUAUUUAGACUGAUCAGCAUCUAAAAUUUUAUGAAUUAUAAGUUGCAUUUUACUUUGUACAUUAUGUUAACACAUUUUAAUUUAGCCAAUUUUUCAAUAAAUGUUAUUGAUGUAUUAAAUUGCAACAACAAAACACAAUUAUUGGUUUUAAAGAAUGAAAAAAAAAAUACAAAAAUAGAAAAUGAAUUGAAUUCCACUCAUCGUCAUCUUGGCAAAUCAAGUCAAAAAAUAAAAAUCCAUAUGCUUUUGUUAAAGUUAAAAGCUACAUAAAUAAUAUCACAGAAGCUUCUGCUAAGGUUCAUGUGAAGUCACAGCUUUGAUACUUGUAAUACAAGGAGCACGGAGAAACCAUAAACUUCAGUUUAGGUAUAUACAUUGCUUGUCUUUCAAACUUGAAUUGAUAAGGGGGAAAAAAAUAAUACUAAAGCAAACAGAAGGAUCAUUUAGUUGACAAAAUUAUUAUUAUUUUUAAAUUCGGGUCAUUCAGUUACUUUCAUUUCAGUUUCACUACUGAUUCAAUUUAACCAGUUAACGUUGACAAAAAUAAAAUGCAAAUAUAAGGCUAAGGCUGCUAAUUUGAUGAACUAAUUAUCUCAGGAACCAAAGCAUCUAUAAGCAUGCAUGGGUGGCAACACCAUAAUUACUCAAGACUGGAGGAGUAAAAAGAUUGGAGAUGAUAAACAUUAAAUUUCAGGAAAAUCAUUCACAAAUAUGCUUUUAUAAAAGUUUUGCUGGUAAAGUUCGAGAAAUGCAUACAUGUCAAAUUUCCAUUUCUUGUGAGCAUUUCACCAAAUAGCUGAUAUGCAUUAAUAACUCCUAUCCUAUACUAUUGGCCAGUAGGUUGUUGCUGCUUCCCCAUUUUUAAUGAUGCGAACGUCUCAUACUUAGAAAUAAGGGCGGAGCCUGGAGAUUGAUUUAUAAGAUAAUCUUUUGAAUAAAAAUAAAAACAAUUACAGAUUUCAAAUGUGAGAAAAAUAAAAUUGCGUUAUAAAAUUAAUCCCACUAAGAAAGUCGUCUACGAAAUUGCCACAUUAAAAGAAAAUUUUUCCAUAAAUUAAAAUAAAAUUAAAUGAAAACUAUUUUUCAGUAAAGUCAAUUGCCCACGCUAGGCUAAGGCGUUUGUUUAUUUGUUUGUUUGUUUUUAUAAUCUGAAUAGGUAUAAAUUUUUCGUAAGCAUGAAUGAGCUGAGUACAAAUAUAUGAAUGAUAUAUUUAUUUUUCUUUUUCUUAAUACCCAAAUAUAAGUGACAUCUUAUUUAUCUUAAAUAUGGUUAUUUGAUAUUUAUAUUUUUACAAAUAAAAACAAAAAAAAGUAGUUAGAUUUUAUAGUUUAAGAAAUAAAUAUAUUUUAUAAAAAUAUUUUUAGAAUAUAUAUUUAAUUCUUAUUUAGACUUUUUCCUAUUCAAUAAAAGUCACAAAAGUUACUUUUUCUAUUCAAAUGUAAAUGCUUAAAAAUCAGAUAUAAGUCACAAAAAAAAUAAAUUUUAGAAAAAGUCAUAAAUUAAUAAAAUUUCAUAUAUUUAACUCCCAAUGCAGAUCCGCCCCUAUCAGUGUUAGGAAAUUGACUGGUGAAGUAGGUUCACAGCUAAAAUGAAAUUGGAAGAAAAUGAAGAACAAGCACAUAGAGGACACCAAAAAUUACAUGGUUCGACUUUUAGCCUACGUCUACGGGUAAAGACAAAAGGAUAAAACUUUACUGGUGAAAUGAGGAUUACUAGUAUUAUAAUAUUUUGUUUCACUUCCUAGAACCCCAAUCCACUCAAUCUCUUAAAACACUAAUCACUCAAGAGCAUUAAAACUCUUAGUCUCUCACUCUAGAAUUGAAGAAGAAAAGAAUGAAAUGCAGGGGUGAACCCCUCAUUUAUAGUUAAAAAUUUGGGCACUAUUUAUAUUUUUAUAUAUUUUUUUUAAAUUAAAAGUUUGAACUUGACAUUCAAACUUUGAAUAUCAAAAGGUAUUGGUCACUCUUCUAGAAAAGUGACAUUGACUUUGACAUUCUCCCACUUAGAAAUUUGAUUGAGAAUCAAUCAAUCUCCACACCAUCCUUUCUGCUUCGUCGCUAUCAUGUUGCUUAUGUCUCUACUAGGCCAUAAAAUGAUCUACUCCAAACAAAUUUAUCAGCAUUGAUAGGCUUGGGCAAAACAUUUGUUAAGUUCUCCUUGGUAUCCACUCUUGUAUCUUUCACUACUUCACGAAGAAGUGAUAUUGUACUCCUAUAUUCUUUGUCCUGAAAUAAAAGGUUGGAUUCCUUGCAUUCUAACUAUCACAAACCAUAAAAAUUUUUAUGCCCAAGCUCUUUCAGUAACCUUUGUAUCCAAAUAGCCCUUCCAAGCUUGUGUAGCUGCUAUGUAAUCUGCUUCUGUUGUUGAUAAAGCCACAAUGGUCUGCAAUUUUGAAAUCCAACUAACAAUUUCGCCUUCUGGUGUAAAUACUUAGCCAGUAGUGGGUUUCCUUUUAUUAAGAUUUUCUGCAAAAUCUGAAUGCACAAAGCCCUUGACAGUAAAUUCUAAUCCUUCGCAGCAUAAUGCAACAUCUGAUGUUCCUCUGAUAUUUCUCAGAAUCCUCUUAAUAGUCUUCCAAUGUUCUUUGCAAGGAUUCGCUAUGUAUCGACUAACUGCUCCCACUACUUGUACAAAUCAUAGCAAACCUUAAAUUUUCCACUGCUGAUGCAUACAGUACUCAAGACAUCUCUUCUUCUCUACUUCAUUACUAGAUGAAUACUUAAGAAUAACUUGAAAUUAAUAAGAAGCGGGGUAGAAAGCCAAAUCUUCUUGCUAUUACUAUCUCGGUGAAUUUGCAUCCCUAAAAUCUUGUUUGCUGGUUCUAAGUCUUUUAUUUCAAACUCCCUAGUUAACUGUGCCUUCAGUUCUUGGACUCGAUCUUUGUUGGGGCUUGCUACCAAUAUGUCAUCCACAUACCACAGUAGAAUGAUGAAAUCAUUAUUAUAAAACUUGUUGUAAUAUGUACAACAGUAUGAAAUGAUUCUAUUGUAUCCAAGGUUUAUGAUGAAAUGAUCAAUUCUCUUAUAUCAACAUCUCGGUGCAUGUUUGAGAUCGUAUAGAGAUUUGUUCAACUUGCAAACCAAGUGUCCCUUUUUAGUAAAACCUUCUAGUUAGAGCAUAUAAAUCUUUCCUUCAAGUUCUCCAUGAAGAAAUGAAAAUUUCACAUCUAACUGCUCCAAAUAUAGGUCAAAUGUAGCACACAUCGACAAGACCACUCUGACUGUCCUGGGUCAAAUCACUGGAGAAAAUAUCUCAUUGACGUUAAUACAUUCUUUCACCACCAAUCUUUCACGAUAUCGCUCCACUAGGUUAUUACCAUCACGUUUGAUCUUGUGAACCCAUUUGCAACCAAUGGUUUUUUUUUAUAUGGUAGUAGUACGAGUUCCUAUGUCAUAAUCUUGUGUAGAGCCUUAAUUUCUUCCUGCAUUGCUAUCAUUCACAAAGUAACAUCUGAGCUGUUUAAAAUUUCAUAGAAAGUUGAUGGCUUUCCAUUCUCUAUUAAAAGACAGUAUGCAAAAUUGAUAUCUGUGACAUAAUCCAAAUGCCACACAUACAUUUAUCUAUCACGAGUUGACCAACAAACUUUUGGGGCCUCAGACUUGAUUGGUUCUUGUUCUCAUACUUUGGUGCUGCUUCAAAAAAAUCUGAAUCUUCAUUUUCCAGAUUAUUUUCAACAUAUAUUAGCACAAUCUCUAAAUUUUAAUAGUGCUAUCAUCCAUAUCUCUCUUUUGCAUUUGAUCUUCUACAAAGACAAUAUCUCUGCUAAUAACGAUCUUGUGGGCAUUGAGGUCCCACAGAUAAUACCCUUUCACUCCAUCAAUAGAUUCUAAGAAGAUACAUCUCUUGGAUUUUGGAUCCAUCUUUAAUCUCACUUGGGUAUCGUAUAUCACGUAAAAGGACAUCAAAAUGCCUGAGAUGAGAGUAAUCAGUUGGCUUUCCUGUCCAUUUUUCCAUUGGAAUCUUCAACCCGAUUGCCUUGAAUGAUGACCCACUUACCACAUAAUAAGUAGUUUUUGCUACUUCCGCCUAGAAUGAGUUGGUAGACCAGCAGUUCUCAACAUAACUCUUAUUUUUUCUAUAAGAGUCAUGUUCUUUCACUCUACUACUCUAUUUUAUUGAGGAGUGUAUGCCACUGUAAAUUAUCUCUAGAUACUUUCUUACUUACAUAUGCAAGAAACAUGCUAUCUGUAUACUCUCCACCAUUGUCUGUCCUCAGGCACUUGAUCCCUUGCCCUGAUUUAAGUUCAAUCUACGCUUUGAAUUCUUUGAACAAUAGAAAUACAUUUGACCUUUUCUUGACUGGAUACACCAAAUAUCUCCUAGAAUAAUCAUCAAUAAAAGUCACCAAAUACUUUGCACCUCCCAUAGAUAUAUCAAUUGAUUCCCAAACAUUAGAAUGAAUCAAGUCUAAAAUACAUUUACUUUUGAAAGUGGAUCUGCUAAACUUUCAUCUAUGUUGCUUUCUUGUUUCGACAUGUGGCCAAGUUUAAGAUGCCACAUCAUCGCUGAAUUUUCUCUAUUUGAUGUGACACACACAAAAGUUUUCUGUAGUGUUUCCAUUUAAGCAUGAAUAGAUUAGCACCGAUCUUUUCCACCUUCAUUAAUGCAAGUGUGCCUUUGACUAUCUUUAUGAUCCCAUUUUCUACAUGAGUUUUGUGCACAAGGCUAUCUAUUUGUCCUAAAGACAAGAGAUAUUUUUCAAGUCUUUGACAUGUCUUACCUUCUCAAUUGUGCGAACCAUACCAUUAAACAUAUUUAUUUUGACAGUACCAAUAUCAAUGAUCUCAAAGGCAUGAUUAUCACCUAUGUAUACAGAUUCUCUUGAAAUAGGUUCAUAUUUGUGAAAUCAUUCUCUUGGAGAGAUCAUGUGCCAAACAACUAUUAAGUCUAUAAGCCAGACGUCAUAUAGUGGUUUUCUGCCUUUUGAAGCAGUUGUUGCCUUACUGUAGAGAAUUUUUCCAUUAUACGAGGUACUUACUACAUACCCUUGAGCAUUUGAUGACUCAGGAUCUUUACCCUCUCUUCUCUUCUAGUUGUUCCAAUACUCUUCCUUGACAUGCUCUUUCUUGCCACAGUUGUUGCAUUUAACAUUCUUCUUACUUCUUGAUUUCGAUCUACUGUGAUUGUGGCUCUCACUAGGGCCACGUUCCAUGGAUCUUCCUUUCAUCAUCAAUAGCGCUUCUACUUGCUGCGAACUUGUCUGUCUAUCUUUUUUAUUUUUUGCUACUCUCCUCAUUUAAUACGGAGGCUGCCAUAUUGUCAAAGACUAACUUGUUUGCUCGAUUGUUAUUAGUUAGAUUAAUGACGAAUUAAUCAUACGAAUCUGGUAAACCUUGAAGUAAAAGCUCUACAUGAUCAUUUUCCUCUAUUUUAUGACCCAACGUUGUAAGUUAUGAAAAUAAAGUCUUUAAAGUGUUGAUAUGGUCGAUCACUGAUGUAGAUUCCGUCAUUCGAAGAGUAUAAAGCCUCCUCUUUAAAAAGAUUUUAUUUUGUAGUGAUUUGACCUCGUAUAGUCUUGUGAGAGUAAACCAUAUUUCCUUUGCUCUCUUUUACUCUACCACAUUGAAUAAUACCUUAUUUGAAAGUGGUAUGUGUAGAUUUGCAAUGGCAUUAUUGUCUAUCUCAUUCCACUUGUCAUCAUCAGUUAUCUUUGUGAGCCUCUCUUCAAUUGUUGCCAAGCAAUUACUCUUCCUCAAUACAACUUUCAUCUUCAUUUUUCAUGACGAAAAAUUAUUUUUGUUGAACUUCUCAAUUUUGUAUUUUUCCGCCAUCAUUGUUCACCACGAGCUACCUUUGCUAAGAUCGAUUCCUACCAUUUCAUAUGAGCAGUAACUGUAUAUAUGAAUAAAGUGUUGUAUACAGAAACAAUAUCAUAUACAUGAACAGUACAAUAUAUGUAAACAGUAUCUUGACCCCAAAAAAUACAACCCGACUCUGAUACCACUAUUAGAAAAUUAAUUUGUGAAGUAGGGCCGCGACUAAAAUGAAAUUGGAAGAAAAUGAAGAGCAAGCACACUGAGGACACCAUAAAUUAUUUGGUUCGACUUUUAACUUAUGCCCAUAGGUAAGGACAAAAGGAUAAAACUUUACUAGUGAAAUGAGGAUUAUAAGUAUUUUAGUAUUUUGUUUCACUUCUCAAAACCUUAAUACACCCAAUCUCUCCAAACACUAGUCACUCAAGAGUAUAAAACUCUUAAUCUCUCAUUAUAGAACUAAAGAAGAAAAGAAUAGAAUGAAUGAAAUGAGGGGGUGAACCCCUCUAUUUAUAGCUAAAAAUUUGGGCACUUUUUAUAUUUAUUAUUAUUAUUAUUUCAAAAUUUAAAGUUUGAACUUGAUAUUCAAACUUUGAAUAUCAAAAGAUACGGGUUGUUCUUCUAGAAGAACGGCACCAACCUUGACUCUUAGGCAGACCUUUAGAGCUUUAAAUAAAGAAAAAGCUUUUAAAAAUGCCAUGUGUACUUGAUUAUACAAUAAUCUCCACCACAUAGAAUGAUUUGAUAAAAGAAAUUUUUUAUUUUUAAUUUUACUUUUAUCAGGCACGGUGCAUUUCCCCUUGGGCUCAUAUGUAAGGAUGUCAAUAAGAUGCGAAGGAGAGGGGAUUGAUUUCCCCAUACUCAUCUUUAAUACUCUGUCUAUCUCUUUGUACUCUAGACAUUUCCUUCAAAAUUACUUGAAACGAGGGGUUGGAUGUUUCUAAAUAAUACAAAGGGAUCUCUUAUGGCAUCCGAUCUCUGAUUAUUUAAUUUCUUUUUUUUCUUAAUUUAAUCAUCUUAAAGUAAAAAUAUAAAAUCAUAUUAACACAAAAAAUAUCAAAUUAACUAAAGUGAUUAAAAUCAUUUCCAUCAAAUUAAGUCAAUGUCAUCAAAUGAGAAGAUAAUCUUUGAACUAAUUAAGCAAAAGUAAAUCUUCAAAGUUGAACUCAUCCAUAAAUGUCAUAUAGUAUAAACCAUCAAUUAAAUUAUCUUUGUCAAUUUUAAAGUGUUUAUAUUUACUUUAUAUUGGCUGUUAUUUAUAUUAUUUUUAUAAAUGUAUUAUGAUAUUUUUUAUUUACAUCACACUAUUACAAUUGAAAUUUUAAAUGUAUUUACUAUAAAUUUGAAAAAAAAAAGAAUUAAAAAUAGAAACUAAAGAUGGAAAUAGAAAAAUGUGGAGCCAAAUAAAAUAUUAGGGCAAACACUAAAUUAUACACCCACACAUAUUAAUUUAUCAGAUUCUUGUCUCCACAUAGAAAAAUUAGAUCUAAAAUUAUCAAACUCCCGAAUGAGGAAGAUCCCUCGGGGCCAUCGUCCCUGUGGAAAUUUCUGCAUCCCUGCAGUCUACAACGCCUAAUAAUGAAUUGAACGGUUGAAAUCCCUCUAAAUUUUUGAUAAUUUCUAAUCGCCCCUCCAUAUUUGAUUGAACAUCAAAACUAUUGAGUCCAAAUUUAUAACUUUGAUUUAUCUUCCAUUCCAUAGUUUUCAAGUUCUCUCUCUCUCUCUCUUUUAAUCCUUUUUACUGCAACCACCAUCAAAGCCUAGUAGUUAAUAUGUAUGCUGCUUUGCUUUCAAAAUCGGACACUACUGGUAUUUAUGGUUUUUAUUCUUUAUUUGACACAAAAUUUGGCGAUAUCUCCGCGGAAAAACACUACUGGUGUAUUCAAUUUUAUCCGGUAAUGAUUAAAUUGAUUAUUACAUGAACCGUAACUUCGCCAAGCCCAAAAUACAUAUUAAGUUAUAAAGCGUGGCACUCAUUAUUUUUCGCAAAAAGUUUCGCCCAAAAUACAUAUAUUUUUUUAAUUUUUUCUGUGAAAAAAACUACUGUUAUAUUCAAUUUUAUCAUUAAAAACUACUGUUNNNNNNNNNNNNNNNNNNNNNNNNNNNNNNNNNNNNNNNNNNNNNNNNNNNNNNNNNNNNNNNNNNNNNNNNNNNNNNNNNNNNNNNNNNNNNNNNNNNNNNNNNNNNNNNNNNNNNNNNNNNNNNNNNNNNNNNNNNNNNNNNNNNNNNNNNNNNNNNNNNNNNNNNNNNNNNNNNNNNNNNNNNNNNNNNNNNNNNNNNNNNNNNNNNNNNNNNNNNNNNNNNNNNNNNNNNNNNNNNNNNNNNNNNNNNNNNNNNNNNNNNNNNNNNNNNNNNNNNNNNNNNNNNNNNNNNNNNNNNNNNNNNNNNNNNNNNNNNNNNNNNNNNNNNNNNNNNNNNNNNNNNNNNNNNNNNNNNNNNNNNNNNNNNNNNNNNNNNNNNNNNNNNNNNNNNNNNNNNNNNNNNNNNNNNNNNNNNNNNNNNNNNNNNNNNNNNNNNNNNNNNNNNNNNNNNNNNNNNNNNNNNNNNNNNNNNNNNNNNNNNNNNNNNNNNNNNNNNNNNNNNNNNNNNNNNNNNNNNNNNNNNNNNNNNNNNNNNNNNNNNNNNNNNNNNNNNNNNNNNNNNNNNNNNNNNNNNNNNNNNNNNNNNNNNNNNNNNNNNNNNNNNNNNNUCUAAGUUUUGAAAGAAAGGUUGAAAUAAACAGAGAAACAGGACAAACAGAAGAAGACUGAAUUAACAGAUCAACAAAGAUGGCAACUAACAAAUGGAAAAGUUCUCUUGUAAUCAAACUAUAGCAAACAGAUGACACCAUUACCAUAUAUCUUAAUGAGUAGAUUGAUUCUAAACAUAUAUGUUAGGAUACAUUUGGUUGUUUAAUAGUUUGAAAUAAGGAGGAUGAGAUGGUUUCCACAUAAAAGUGCUGGCCCUUUCAAUGACAUUUUCAAGGAAUUAUAAAAUUCAAAAUUAAAAAAAAAUAGCACAUUAUAAAGCCACACCGUCAAAUAAAUAAAUAAAUAAGUGAAGACCAAACUAAGUCACUAAGACCUUUAAUGAUAUAAAAUAAGCAUAUAAAUCUCAGAACAAAACAUUAAAACUCAUUCUAAAAGUAAAAAUAAACUAGUGGUGUAUUCCAAACAAUUUAGAUGAAGCGAUAAAACAAGCCAAGAAAUCAAAUAAAAUGAAAUGAAAUUGAAUUACCUGGGACUUUGUUUUUCAAAUUCACAACUCGAUUGUAAUUAAAGUAAAAUGCCAUUGCCAUUAGGACAUACACAUCAUUGAAUAAGAUGAGGACCCCUCCAACAGCUGAAAGUAAAAUUUUCAUUCAUUAGUUUCAAUUAAAAGUAAAGCACACAGAUUUGCAGGGAAGCAAGAGAUUUAAUAAAUUUAACAACAGCAAUUUAAUUUGACAGGACUUCCAUACAGUAAUGAAGCUAAAACUUAAUGAUUAACGAAUUUUUGUAAUUGAAUGAAUAAGAUUCUCUGAUUUUGGAUAAUUGAAUGAAUAUGAUUCUCUAACUCUUGUGAAAAUAUCAAUUUUAAAUAGGGUAGAGUUUCAAGAAUUAAGCACAUAUGUAUCCCAAGGCUGUUGAUCAUCUCUCUCUCCAUAGUAGAAGUUUACUCUCAGAGGCGCGUUUAAUUCUCCUUUAGUGAAAAUCUUCAUCUUGGGACAACCAAUUAUAGAUAAAUCUUCCAAAGAUGGGAAUUUGAAGGUGUAAUUGGCAGAGCAGAAACUUCUGAGACUAUCAGCAGAAACUUGUGAGACUAUCCAAAUCAUACAGAUACAAAAUCUUCAAUUUGGUGAAAACAAUCUCUUCUUCAAAAUUUGCUGCUCCAUCUUCUUCAUUUAUCACCACCUCUCUCAUUGCUCUGCAUCCAUAUACCAACAUUGAUAAGAGUCUCUGUAGAGUUUGGAGUGACAGAUUCGAUAAUGAUAAACUCCAAAUACUCGCCAAGAUCGCAAAUCAAACAACCAAGAUGCAAAAAGAAUCAAUCCAGAACAAAUCACAGAGACACUUAAGAACCUAAAAGAAUUAAAGAAUUAGCGGCAAAGACAAAAGAAUUAACGUGGUUCAGCUAGCUUUCACUAGCUUACAUCCACAGGAAAAACCAGGAUCAAGUUUAUUGAUUUUCAGAAGAUGAUUACAGAGAGUUUUAAGAGCUAAUAACAGAGUAUUUCUUGAAGCCUUCUCACGAAUCUUCUAAUCACUCAAUAGCUCUCACGCACAUGCCUCCUGUUGCACCAGAAGAAGCUGUUUAUAACAGCUUCUUCAACAAACCAAAAUGAACCCAGAAACUCACGUGAUUGGCAUGCGUUAUAACAGACUCAUAACGACCUUGAGCAGCUUCUUCGAGCACGUGUUUCUCUCGUGCUUUACUUAAAUUCCAGAGACAAAACAAAUUGCUCUUCAAAACGCAAUCAGCAAUUGUCGUAUUGUAGUUUACUUAAGCUGCAAAACGCAAGUCCAACUUGUCGUUUCAAAUAUCUUGAUUUGCUUCACAACACAACAGUCGCUCUAGACUUUUUGCUGUGGAGGAGGUUGCUAAGCUCAUCAAAUUCCUUGCAACGAAGAACUAGAAGUUCUUUUAGGUUCCCAAAAGAUACCGAUGAUGAUGGCCAUAGAUAUAACAGAUUUUGACAAUAAUGUACAUUUAGAAUUUCAAGGCAUUGAACAAAGGAGUCCAAUUUGGAGUCUUGUUUCCACAAUUGCUUCAGAUGAUUAAAUUUGUGCAGAUGUAAAUGUUUUAUCAUUGUAAACUUCCUCGCAUGUUUCUUCAAGUAUCCUCCAUUCGAAAAUACCUCUUCGCAUGAACAACGACGCCGUAUGAGAGUUUCCAGAUUAUGAAAUCUCUCAAGUAAAUCAAGUGGAAAACAAGUUGAGUCAUCAUCCAUUGUUUGUGGCAGUUUAAGACUGCCAAAAAGGUGUCGUGGGAAAUCGCUUUGCAAAGUCAUCCUCGGGUCUUUUCCACUUAAUGCCCGUUCCUCCAAGUUGGGUAAGCUCUGAUCAUUAUCAAUCACGCAAUAACUUAUUAAGUCAAUUCAUAUUCUCUCAAAUAACUUUUAAUGGCUAACACUAAGUUACGUUUAACGUAACAUACAUUCAGAUAACGAAAAUAUCUGUUAGCACCCCUAAACUUAAUGGAAACUACAUUAAUAGAGUUAAAAGAAAUACUUUUAAAUCUUAAAGAGGAAAUAAAAGAAAUUAAACAGGAAAUAGGAAAAAUAAAAAUAGAAAUGACUGUAAUACAAAUGAAUCAAAAGAAAAAUAAAAAAUUAGAAAGGUUUGAAAUAAUAAAAUCAAGAAUAAUUGGAACAAGUUUUAAGAAGCCCACACAAAAACCACAAGCAGGUAGUUAUGAUGCAUGGUUUAUGGACACCCAGUAUCCUAAAAUACUAAGAGCAUCACCAAAAAACUCUUCAAAUAAGAUUUUAUUACUUAUUUGAAGAGCUACAUCAACAUUUAAGGCUCCAAAAGACACUCCAAUUAAGAUUCUUGAAAUAAGAAAUGAUCAUCUCUCUUCAAAUUUGAAGAGUUACUUUCUCCCUCUUCAAUUUAUAUUUUAUUACUUUUUGUUGAAGAAAAAGAGAAAUGUGUUUUAAUUACUAUUGACUUUUCCUUUAAAAAAAUAGUUAUUUAUUUAAAAUAAUAUUAACUCAUUUCUAUUUGAAGAGUCUUUUGGAGAACAAUAUCUUUUUUCACUCAUCUAUUUGCCACAUAGGUAAGCAAAUGAAUAUUUGAAGAGUAAAAUUUAUAGAGCCUUUUGGAGAUGCUCUAAAAGAAACAGAAGAAUUAAGAGCAGAAUUAAAAAAUAAAGAAAAAGGAAAAGAAAAACUAGAAAUAAAAGAAACAACUCCUAGUGAUUCAGAUUAAUGGAAAACACAUUAGAAGAAUUAACUGAAAAAUUCAGUGAAAUAAACCUUAGUGAUUUAGAAGACUUUGAAAAAGAAUAUCAUAUAAAAAUGAAUACUUCUGGAGGACCAGAAUUGAAACCUGACAUAGGAGAACCAAGUCAUAGAUAUGCAACAAACAAAAAGAAAAAUAGACCAUUUUUUGAGUAUAUACCACCCGUUAAAAAUACUCCUUGGAAAAAAGAAUAUCAACCUAACAAUGAUAAUUUAACACCAAUAAGUAAUGCAGGAACAUUUUUAAAUCUAGACUGCAAAAUAAACCCCCAUAAGGUUUUAAUUGAAUGGGGAAUGCAAAUGUGAUUAUUUUUUCUAUAUAAUGGCUCUAAAGUCGAUUGGAAUGUAGAAACAGAAGAAGAAAAAAUAAAUUUAUUCGCUGACAUCCUCAUAGCCAGUUUUACAGGUAAUGUAUUUAACUGGUGGAAAGGAUUAAGUGAAGACACUCAAAGACUAAUAAAAGAUUCAACUAAAAUAGCUUUAGCCAGAAGUAGAGGAUUAGGAAUUGAAAGAAUAAUCGAAUAUAUUGCUAAUGAAUUCUUAGGAGAAAACUGGUUAGAAAAUACAGAAAGAGAAACAAAAAAUGAAAAAUUAGAGGCAAGGAUGAAAUUAAUAAACUUAACAAUUUGUAACAUGUGUUUCGUGAAAGAAUAUACCUGUGAAUUUAGUAAAUAUUAUUAUACACAAUUCUAUAGCCAAGAAGAUCAAAAUAUUUAUAAAAAUUUAUAUUAUUCCAAAUUACCAUAUCCCUGGAAUGGAUAUUUUAUAAAUGAGUAUGAGAAAAAUAGUACUGCUAAUAGAUCUCCAGACACAUUAGGAUCUAGAAUAAGGUUUUUGAAUACAAGAUUAAGUGAAAUAUGCAUUCAAAGAAAUUUAAUGAAAAAGAGUAAAAAUAUAGGAGAUACAUGUUGUGGAAAAACAGAAAUGCCAACCCAAUGGGGUUGUUAUACACCAUAUAAACGAAAAAGAAAGUUAUAUAAGAAAGAGAAAAAAUAUAAAAAAUACAAUAACUUUAAAAGAAAAUAUAGAAAACUGGAAAGAAAAUACUAUAAAAGAAAAUAUAAAAACCAAAAAAGAAAAUUAGAUAAAUCUAAAUGUAAAUGCUGGAAUUGUGGAGAAAUAGAACAUAUUAGCACAGAUUGUACAAAAAAGAAAGUAAGACUCUUAGAAGAAGAUUUUGAAAAUAUAAAAAAUGACUUAGAAGAAAUAAGUGAUAUAUCAGACUAUGAAGGAAAAGAAGUUUACAUGGUGAAAGAAUUAGAUGAUGAGUCAGAAUAAAGACGAAAUUAUAGAAAAUGAAAGAAUAGAAGAAAUAGAAGAAAUAGAAAAAGAAGAAAAUAAAAGUGGAUAUAGUCUUGUUGCCACUUUUAAUAAUGAAAAAUAUAAUAAACUUUUGAAAAUAAAUAUGGAAAAACCAGAAUAUGGAAUAAUACAUAAACUUAGAGAUAUGUUUAAAAGAAAAAGAAUAGUAUUACAUGAAUAUUAUGAACAAGAAAAAGUUGUUACAAUUACACAAGCUGAAGGAAAUAUCAGAUUCAGUUUAAUAAAUAAAAGAUCUAUAGAUUUAGCAUUAAGAAAGAUAAAAAAUGAAUCAACAAAAGAAAAAAUUCAAUAUGUAUAUCUAGCAGAAAUUCAAAUCUUAAUAAAAUCUCUUUUCAAAGAAGGCAUAGAUAGUCCCAUAGUAUUGUCACUACAUGAUCAAAGAUUUAAUGACCCUAGUACAGGACAUUUAGGAACAAUAGAAGGAAACUUAUGUUAUACUAAGUUAUUAUUCACAUGUCAUCCUAGAUAUUGUGUACAUAUAAAAGAUAAAAAUAUAGAUGAAACGCUAAGCUUACAUUUUAAACUACUAAAAAGAAACUUAAUGAAAGAAGGGAAUAGAAUAAUGACAAUACAUUAUUCUGCACUAUAUAGUUUUUGCAAUUCAAAUUACGGAGAAGUAUAUGGGAAUAAGCCUUACAUCGAAAUAAAUAAAGAAUGUGAAGAUAUAGCAACAUUCAUAGAACCAACAAUCCAGGAAUAUAAAAUUCCUAUAAACUAUGAGCUAAACAUAGAUGACAAAAAACAAUUUUUAGAUAUUGCUAACGAAAACUCCAUAAUCCCCAUAAGCUUUGCAGGAAGAACCUUAGUAAGAGGAGGUUCAUCUAGAAGGUUAAGUACUGAUAAACAAAUAACUAGAUCUAUAGUAACUAAUAACGUAAUAAAAAUAUUUGGACAAUAUUUUAAUGGAAUAGAUUAUACAACAAAAAUACCUAUAUUGGUAGAUACAGGUACAAGUCAUAAUUAUAUGAAUCACACAAAAAAUAAAGGACUCUUAAUAAAAGAAAAAGAAAUCCCGUAUCAAUAUACUGAUUUUAAUGGUAAUAAACAUAUUUGUAAACAAGAAGUUAAAGUCCCUAUAAUUAUAGAAGGAUUUAGAAUAAUAGUAUCUUGCUAUAUAGAUUCGUUCAUGACCACAGACCCAGAAAAACAUAUAGUACUAGGAAAUAGUUUUUUAAAUGAUUUAGAAUACUACAAAAUUGAAAAACAUAAAGUAACUCUACAAAUAGAAGGUAAAAAGAUAGUAUGUGAAACAUGUUAAAACAAGCUUAUAUAAAAUACCCUAUGUCCGUAUAUAUACAAAUAAACAUAACAGAAAAAGAUAUAGAUACAUGUGCCUUAAUAGACGGCAGUGAAAUAACGAUUAUGAAAUCCUUUCUAUCAAACCAAUGGAAACCAAACGAGAAAUUAAAAAUCAUUGGAAUAACAGGCGAUAAACAACAAGUAAACCAAUCUUUAAUAAACUUUGAAAUACUCUUAGGUAGUAAGAUAGUAUGUAUCAACCAAAUAUAUCAAUAUGAUGGUAUGGAUUGCGAUAUACUCCUAGGAAAUGACUUUAUACAAUAAUUCCAAUAUUAUCAACAAACUACCUAUAUGGUCACUUUAAAAACCCAUUGUAAUCAUAUUCUUCGCAUUCCUCGUGAAUUUAAACCUUAUCGAGUUCGGCCAGCCCAGCGUGGUGAUACAUUUAUUUAUGAAAAACAUUAUCUAAUACAAAAAUGACAGAGUUACAAUAUACAACUAGAAACAAUAAAAUCACAGCUUGAACAAGUCUAUAAAGAAAAUCCAUUAGCAUUAUGGAAACCAGAACAUCCUAGAGCAAAGAUAGAAUUAAUCGAAAAUAGAAUAAUAAGACUCAAACCUAUGAUGCACACAGAGGAAGAUAGAGAAGAAUUUAAAAUUCAAAUAAAAGAAUUAUUAAAUUUAAAGUUAAUUAGAACUAGCAACAGCCCACAUAAUAGCCCAGCCUUUAUGGUUAGGAAAAGAUCAGAACAGGUAAGAGGAAAAGCAAGAAUGGUAAUAAAUUAUAAAGAGUUAAAUAAAUACACAAAAUUUGACGGAUAUUUCCUCUCAAAUAAAGAAGUAUUAAUAAAUCUUGUAAAAAAUAAAACAUACUACUCAAAAUUUGAUUGUAAAUCAGGAUUUUGGCAAAUAAUAACAGGCGAUAAACAACAAGUAAACCAAUCUUUAAUAAACUUUGAAAUACUCUUAGGUAGUAAGAUAGUACGUAUCAACCAAAUAUAUCAAUAUGAUGGUAUGGAUUGCGAUAUACUCCUAGGAAAUGACUUUAUAUAAUAAUUCCAAUAUUAUCAACAAACUACCUAUAUGGUCACUUUAAAAACCCCUUGUAAUCAUAUUCUUCGCAUUCCUCGUGAAUUUAAACCUUAUCGAGUUCGGCCAGCCCAGCGUGGUGAUACAUUUAUUUAUGAAAAACAUUAUCUAAUACAAAAAGGACAGAGUUACAAUAUACAACUAGAAACAAUAAAAUCAUAGCUUGAACAAGUUUAUAAAGAAAAUCCAUUAGCAUUAUGGAAACCAGAACAUCCUAGAGCAAAGAUAGAAUUAAUCGAAAAUAGAAUAAUAAGACUCAAACCUAUGAUGCACACAGAGGAAGAUAGAGAAGAAUUUAAAAUUCAAAUAAAAGAAUUAUUAAAUUUAAAGUUAAUUAGAACUAGCAACAGCCCACAUAAUAGCCCAGCCUUUAUGGUUAGGAAAAGAUCAGAACAGGUAAGAGGAAAAGCAAGAAUGGUAAUAAAUUAUAAAGAGUUAAAUAAAUACACAAAAUUUGACGGGUAUUUCCUCCCAAAUAAAGAAGUAUUAAUAAAUCUUGUAAAAAAUAAAACAUACUACUCAAAAUUUGAUUGUAAAUCAGGAUUUUGGCAAAUAAAAAUGGAAGAAAACAGUAUCCCUUAUACAGCAUUUAGCACUCCACAAGGACAUUACGAAUGGAUAGUAAUGCCUUUUGGACUAAAAAAUGCCCCUCAAAUAUUUCAAAGUCGAAUGGAUAAAAUAUUUAGAGAUUAUAGCUAUAUCAUAGUCUAUGUUGAUGACAUAUUAAUAGCAUCAGAAACAUUAGAAGACCAUAGAACCCAUUUAAAAGAAUUCGUUAACGUAUGUAUUAGAGAAGGUAUAGUAUUAUCAGAAAGAAAAGCAGUCAUAGAACAUAAAAAAUAAAAUUUUUAGGAAUGAUUCUUGAUAAAAAAGGAAUAAGACUCCAAAGCCAUAUAGGAAAAAAGAUUACAGAAUUCCCAAAUAAAUUGGAAAAUAAACAACAAAUACAAAAAUUCUUAGGUUGUUUAAACUAUGCAGAAGGAUUCAUAAAAGACUUAGCAAAAAAGAGAAAUAUACUCCAGAAACUACUUAGAAAAAAUAAUACUAAAGGAUGGAACGAAGAACAUACGGAAACUGUAAUAAAUCUAAAAGAAGAAUGUAAAAACCUCCCAGCAUUAAGGUUACCAGAAGAAAAUGAUAAGUUAGUAAUACAAACUGAUGCAUCUGAUUUAUAUUGGGGAGCAAUACUUAAAACUGAUAUAAAUGAAAUUUGCUGAUAUACUAGUGGAACAUUUAAUCAAGCACAAGUUAAUUACCCAGUUCAUGAAAAAGAACUCCUUGCAAUAUAUAAAUGAAUAAAAAAGUUCUCGUUAUUUUUACUCCAGAAAUAAUUUAUUGUAGAAACAGAUAAUUCUCAGGUAAGUUCACUUAUUAGUAGAAUUUUGCCAAAUGAACCCCAAUACAGGCGACUGCAUAGAUGGCAAGCUUAUUUAUCUUAUUAUAAUUUCAAAAUCAUACAUAUAAAAGGAACUAACAAUUUUCUUGCAGAUUUCCUAAGCAGGAACAUAGAAUUCAGAGAAUGAAUGCAGAAGUAAAUAAAAUCAUUUCUGUAAUAAACACAGAAAUACAAAGGCUCAAAGCUGAAGCAUCAGACAUGCUUGAUGCCAUAAAUUACAUAAAAGAAGCCACAGAGGCUCAUGAGAAGGGAAUACAUUUGUUAGAGUCAUACAUAAACGACCUAACAAAAGGGCUUUCAAUAAACACUAGCCCAAUAGAGAUAGGAAGUAGUAGUGGACCACUCCCACAACAAGAACCAGUCUCUGACCCAUCAUCCAGCCGAACCAUAUCCAUAAGUGUUGAAUCACCUAAAGCAACUUCUUCAAAAAAGUUUAUCAAAAUAAACAACACUCCCUCAGAAGAAGAAGAAAAACCUUCUCCACUAAAUCCAAGAGAAGAAGAGUAUAAACAGUUCUCCACAUGGGUAUACUCUACAUGUACCCACAACAACACCAUUUUCAAAGCCCCUGGCAAAAAUAUAUAUCCCAGAAUGAUAGCCAUAAAAGGAGCAGAUCCUCUCCUUAUUGGAAAAAUAGCAAAAUACGGAUAUCUAGAUUUAAUAUAUCCAGAUACAGACCUAAGAGAAAUAGCCAGUUUAGAUGAGCUAUUAGUCAAAGAAGUCUCAAAAUUUGCCCAAAAAAGGCCCAUAUACUUAAAAUUUUACACUAUUAGCCCAGAAUACCACCAAAAUGUCGAAUACCAAGCAUUUUACAUGAUCUCUGUAGGCCACCUCACAAAAAAUUUUCAGAUAGAAGUAGGAACUGAAUAUACAAAUGUUCCUCAAAUAACCAAAGCAUGGAUCAGAACCCGUAGAGCCCGAGGAAUAAAAGCAAUAUGGAGUAUUGCAAAAGACCUUUAUAAAAGAAACUUUAGAACAAUCAUCCGAUUCCAAAAUUAUAUCCUCGUAACUUCUGAAGAUAGCCAUACACCAUCAAAUAUCUUCUUGGAACUCAUGAACGAAAUCAGCACCAUGAGAUUCCCCAGCAGUAGUGAGACCAUGCAGCAAGCUUAUCAGCUUAUGGAGAUGAAGAUGCCCGACAAAUAAAGUUGUUCGUGGCAGACAAAGAAGAUAUGUGGCAGACAAGAAGAUAAAAAGAAGAUAAAAAAGUUGUACGUGGCAGACAAGAAGAUGCUCGUGAUAAAAAACAGAGAAAAAGAAGAUGCUCGUAAAAAGCAAGAAGACAAGAAGACAAGAAUUCAAGAACCUCUUGUAAUGAUAGAGUGAUGAUGUAAGCAGUGUGAUCAGAAAGCAAUAAUGUAAAUCAAUAAUGGGAUCAUCUUUUCUAAUAUAAAUAGAAAGAGAAGGAGAAAGCAGAAAAAGCUUUCGAAGACAUUCGAUAACUCUCGAUCCAAAAAAUUCUCUGAAAAAGAAUGAAGCUCUAAACACUCUCUUGCUCGAAAUCCAAAAUCAGUACAUCAUAAACCAAAAACAAAAACCAUUAGAGAAAGAGACGAGAAACCUAACUUCACUCAAUACCUCUUUAACAAGAAGAUCGAAAUCUAUACAGUAAAGCCAUCUGAGUCCACAGAUCCCGCUGAGGCAGGAGGCCGUUAAGGGAACAGGACAACCAGGCUGCAGGUCACUGGAAGGAGAUCAGAAAUCAAAGAAGUAACAGUGAGCUAGGUAAUAAUACUCAACUCUUAUCUCUUGGUGGUGGUUGUUGAUGGUGGUUGAUGGAAUGAUUUUUGGAGAAAGAGCAGAUUCUUAAACUGAAGCAGAUCUGUAAUUAAUUUUAUGACAUGAAUCACAGAAUUUACUUAGGAGAAUCUAAAGAAUACAUGAUAAACCCAACUACUAAAAUAACUUAUAAUGAGUACAUGAUGAUAAUAGACUUCGAUUUAGGUUCAUUUAAACAAAGUUCUUAUCUAUUCAGUAAACAAGAACUUGUUAGAACAGAAGACCUAUUAGCCAUAGACCUUCUUAAGUUACCCCAAGAAAUAAAAAGAAAAAUUAUAAAUAACAUUGAAACAGAUAACCUAAAACAUAAUAUAAUUAUGUUGACAAUAGAAGAAGGAAUAGAUGUAGCAAAAGCCUAUUUAGAGCAAAAAACUUAUGAAUCUGGACCUUCAUAUAUCUAUGAUUCAGAUAACGAAGAAUUUGAAAUAUAACUGUGAAAGGUAUAUAGGCUGGGAACCUCUUCGGGUUGCGGACUACUAGUCCAAAGGGCGACCUGGAUCGCUGUACCUAGAGGUAAAACAACGCCACGUACUUUUCUAAUAAAAAUUUAGGACAGAUAAAGAUAGAUAAACAUCAAUUUGAUAAUUAUAAUCAAUAAUAAUCCUGAAUGGUUGAUUUUGUUUUACUGCUCUUGUAAUUUUAUUUUGAAUAUAUUUGUCUAGUCUUGUCAUAUUUUUAUAAUUCUGUUUGUACUUUUGUAUUUGUAAUUUUGUAAUUUUAUUUGUAUUUUUGUAAUUUGUAUUUUUGUUUGAAUUUGUAAUUUCGUAUUUUUGUUUUAAAUACACACCUGAAAAUGGUAUCAGAGCCAGCAGAAUCAUAAGACAUGGACCCUAUACAAGCAAUAGUAGAUAGCUUAUAUACAUUAAAGGUAUAUAAUAAAGAAGAAAUAAAAAAUUUAAUAAAGGCCAUCAAAACUGACAAAAAUAAUAUAAGAAAUAUAGAACUUGAGUUAACUCAGGAGCUUAGAGAAAGAUUUAUAGAAACAACAGGAGGAGAAAUUUUAAUAGAAAAGAAAAUGAAAUUUAUAGAUAAAUUUAUAAAGUUUUUAAUAUAUUGGUGUAAAACAGAAACAUUAUGAAUCAACAGGCUGUUAAUGUAAUACAGGGAUUGGCAAGCUGCAUAGAUCACCUACUCUUAGGAUGGGAAAAUACAGUAAAUGCAUAUAUAAAUCUAAUAAACCAAAAAAUAGAUUUAUUAGAACAAGAAAGGAUAGGACUGGUAAAUUUAGGACCAGAGGUCUAUUAUGAAUUUGUAGAUUUAUAUGAAUUUGAUAACCAUAUAUUGCUGUUUAAAGAAAUAAAAUAAAGUUCUCGAAAGAUUAAAAAAUAGAUGUGCAGGGAUGGAAGAAGACAAAUACAUCCAGGAUUAUAAAAAUUGGAAAUAGAAAGAAUUAUAAGAAUCCUUAUGAAAUUAACCAGGAGAAUAAGACAAAAUUAUAAGAUACAAUCAACGUAAGUUAGAGGCCCCCACUUUUAAUAAUCCAAUCAUAUACAGUGACUUUAAUAUAAAUGCAUAAUAUUUUACCAAAAAAAAGGGAAAAAAUCGAAUUAGAGGUAAAAGUUAUUCUACGAUUUUAUUUUUUGUAUAUAUCUUGCAUGCUAUUCCCAAAAGCAAUCAUAAACGGCCCUUAAAACAAUUUUACAAAAGCGGCUGUUACUUAUAUCACCAACUUUGUUAGGGAUGACAAUGGGGAGGGGAGAGGAGGAGACCAAUCUUGUAGUAUCUAUCCCUGAUAUUUUGCGUAUAUUCUCGUUCUCUCUCCAUCCCCGACAAAAUUACUUUAGGGAAUCACCUCCUCUCCCUGAAUAAUAAUAUGGGAUCUCCGUGGGUCAUUGAUCCCUGAAUAACUGAUAUGUUUUUAGUUUUUUAUUUUAAUUUAAUCAUAUUAAAAUAAAAAUUUAAAUAAAAAUAAAGUUUGAUGAUAUAUCUCACAUUAGCAUUAAUCCAUUACAAAAGUCACAUUACAAAGUAUAAAUCACCACAAUAAUUAUCUUCGUCAAUUUUCAAAAUCCUACAAUAAAAAAAAAAGAAAUUACUUUUAUAUCAACAAUGAAAUAAAUAAAAUAAAUAUAAAUAAAUACUUAAUCAAUAUUUCUAAUAAAAGUAUUUACCUCUUGCGUCUCUUGCUCCUCUUGUUCUUCCUCGAUGAAUGUGGCAAAUUGAAAGAUAGCCUCAGAUUUCAAAUUUAAAACAAUAAAAAUAAUAGAAGUAAUGUAACUUAUAAGCGAAAAUAUUAAUUAUUAUAUAAUAUAAUUACAAUGUAAAAUAAACUCAUACUGCCAUUUUAAGCUUGUAGCUUAUUUUGACAACACAUUAAAUCCUCCAAUGUGCUUGAAUGAAGCGUGUUACGAUACUCUACUAAUGGUGUUAAAAGUUGAUUCAGAAGCAACAGUUGUAAUUGGAAUUGUCAAAAUAUCUCUAGCAAUUCGUGCCAAUAUAUGAUACCUAUGGACAUUUGUUUUUAACCAACUCAAAAUAUUAAAAUCUUUCAUCUGUAGCAUAACUUUCUCAUCCAAAUAUUAAUGCAGUCAAUUAGGCCUAAAAGUUUAAUAAUAUAAUUAUUUUGAUAUUUUUUAUUUAUACUAAUAUUUAAUAUUUUAUAAUUUACAUUUUAUUAUUUAUUUACAAAUAAUUUAUAAAAUUAAAAUUAAAAUUAAAAUCAAUAAAUUAGGAGGGGAUGAGGAUUCUACUGUAUCCUCAUCCCUUUCUCGAAUAAGAAAUUGGGUAAAAAAUUAUUCUCGUCCCUUCCUUGAAUAAGAAAUUGGAUAAAAAAUUAUCUCUUUACCCUCUCCGAAUGGAGAAAAAUUCCGAGAAUCCCUAUCCCUGCGGGGAUUUCUGCCACCCCUAAACUUUGCAACAGCCAGUUGCUUUUGUGACCAUUUAUGUGACGGAUAGACUGCUCUCACUUAUGUUACUAAUAAGCUUGGCAAAAUCAGGGUCCGGUCCGGGCUUCUAAGCCCGCAUGUGAUAACUUUAAUUUUUUUCUUCAAUUUUUUCUUUCAUUUCUCUAACAAUGCAAAUUUUAAAAAAGAAAAUAGUCAAAUAAAUUCAUUCAAUCUCAAGCUUUAGAAAAGAAAAUAGUCAAAUAUAAAUAUAUAACAUACUAACAAUGCAAAUUUUACACAAAUAAUAAAUAAAAAUUGUUUCAAUCUACUUUAUAAUACCUAAAUUCAUCUAAUUUCUAACCUAAACUCAUUCAAUCUAUAUAAAAAUAAAAUAAAUUCAACAACACAAUAGUCACACAAUAAAUCUAAAUAACAUCCAACAUAUCAUAAAAUUCAUAAUUAUAUAUUUAUAUAUAAUAUAUUUAUAUAUUUUUUUUAAUUUAUUAAGAAAUCGGGUCUGAGUCUAGCUUCCUGGUUUUUGGUGUUGAGAAUUUCAAAUCCGGGUCUGGUUUUUUGUGUAUGCGGUCCGGGUUUUACCCGACUGGAUUGCCUGGGUUCGGUUCGGACGAGCUUUUUUGACGCCCUUACUAACGGGCUUUUUUGACGCCCUUACUAACCACGUGACGGUAGAGAGCCAAUUGGCAUGCUAUUAGUUUAGAGUUAUAAAUUGGAAAAUGAGACUCUUAGAGCAUCACCAAAAGGCUCUUCAAAUAAGAUUUUAUUACUUAUUUGAAGGGCCACAUUAAUAUUUAAAGCUCCAAAAGACACUUCAAUUAAAAUUCUUCAAAUAAGAAUUGAUUCUCUCUCUUCAAAUUUGGAGAGUUAAUUUCUCCCUCUUCAAUUUGUAUUUUAUUACUUUUUAUUGAAGAAAAAGAGAGAAAUACUUUAAUUGUUAUUGACUUUUCCUUUAAAAAAAUAAUUAUUUGAUUAAAAUAAUAUUAAUUUAUUUUCAUUUGAAGAGUUUUUUGGAGAAUAUUAUAUUUUUUUACCCUUCUAUUUACCACAUAAGUAAGUAAAUAGAUAUUUAAAGAGUAAAAUUUAGAGAGACUUUCGGAGAUGCUCUUACAACAUUAAGCACAACACAUAGCACCGAACGGUGCGUUUAAAGGCAACUAUAAAAGGUCACAGUAAUCGACAAUUGCAACACACACGUUCUCAACUACAGCACACGCUCUCUCCCUCACAUUCUUCCUCACGCUCUCUCUGUUCUCCCUCACAACACACGGCUCUCUCUCUCCCCCCUCCAAAUCCAACAGCCGUGGGUUACUCUCGCUCUUCGCCCUCCAAAUCCAAGACCUAUGGAUGCAUAAUAGAGUAAAUAGCAAUUCCCAUCCACUCUAGUAACAGAAAAUGACAGCUUCUGUGAUUGUGGUGAAAAGUUUCCCCUAGUAAUGCUAAGUACAGCGAGGAAACCAGCAAGGAAACCAUCAAUUCUGUACACAUAUAGAUGCCAAAAACAAGCAGUGAAUUGCAUCAGAUAUUAGUGAAGAAUAAUUACCAGCCGUAAACUCAGCUCCUUCGGUUGCUAGUGUACAAUAGAGCAAUAGGUUGUGUUUGGGGAUGUUAGAUGUCGAAAUAAUUGAGGCAAAAUUCUUUUAUGCAAUAGUUGGCUUGUGUCGACUUUUGAAAGGAAACUUAUUUUUGUGCUGUCAAUGUUACUUAUUUGUUAGUUUAUUUCUUAGGUUUUGUUGUUCGGGAUAUUAUGUAUUGGAUUUCAUUUCCUUUUGCCUCUGGUAUGGCCCCUAAUAGAACUUGACGUAAUUCUUUUUGGGAUAUGUUUUUCUGAACUAGAGAUGACAUCACUAGCAUCUGGUCUUUCUCUUUGAGACAGCCGAGAGAGUGAGGUGCCGUGAGAGAUGCAAUCGAUGGGGGGUGGAGAGAGGUAGCCGACAGUGAGAAUGGUAAGGAAGAACGGAGCGUAGUGAGAUUAGUGGAUUGGUGAGGAAGAGCGUGAGGGAGAGAAUGAGAGAGCAUGUGUUGUGGUUGAGAAUGUUGCAAUUGAGAAUUUACUGUGACCUUUUAUGCUUGCCUCAAAACUCACCGUUUUGUGCUAACUGUUGUACUCAAUGUUGUAAGAAUAUCGGAACUGUUAUAAAUUUGUUUCUAAAUAGAAAACUCUUUUGUGGAGUCAAUAUUUUGAAAACCAAAGUCUCGAGUUCUUUCUCGUGCGUGCCUGGCCAGCAUCCUAAACCUUACUGGUAGCCGGAGAAUGGCGUAAAACGGCGGCGAUCUUCUUCUUCAUCUUAUUCUCUCUGUCAUCGUUUCAGGUAACCUUGUGAUUAUGAGUUUCUUCUCUUUCUUAGCUUGCAAAAAUAGGUUUUGAUUUCUUUAAUUCGUAUUGUAGCCAUUAAUAUCAAAUUUUGUCCUGCCGGCAAUAUUUUUUUGUUCCUAGAGGUUGAAGCCCUUCUGUUCUUGUUCCAUUGGUGACUUUGCUCACUCAAAUUAAUUUUGUUCUGCAGAAUUUACAAAGUUCAAAUGGAUUCGUUUGGAUUACUAUUGAAUUUAGCUUUCAUUUCAACAUUCAUUCUAAUGUUUUACAAUUAUGUAUUUAGAUUUACUUUAAUUUUAUGUUUAAAGCUUCUGCAAUGAAUAGCUGAGCUUGGGUCUUAGUUUCAUUUUCUAAUUAACUUGUUUUAGUUUAUCUUAUAUGCUCACCAAGUGCUUGUUAUAUUGUCUGAUAGGUUAUAUAACAUAGCUGAUUAUAUAAUAAUAAUGUCAUGUUCCAUUUUCAGAAAUUAUAAUAUAAAAGUUUUUACAAUGGGGUGCAUCUACAAACUGAAUUGACUUGUAGAGUAAGAGCUUGGAGUAGUGUGCAUUCUUGAAUAAAUGAAAGUUCAUAUUGUGUAAGAGCAUGUAGAUGUAAAGCAUCAUUACCAUUUCUACCAAGUGCUUUCAUUCUGUUCAGAUGCUCCUCUUGAACUUUGGAAGGUGCCUCAUUCAAGUCCUAGCUAUAACUAAUUGCUCUGAUUAAUUAAGUUCAUAUGCUAGCUGAAACAGAUUUAAUUAAUUAAUUAAUUAAUUGUGUAUGUACUAAUUAUAUUGAAAGUAUAUGAAGAAAUUGUUUAACAUGAAUGACUUCUAAAUGACUUAAAAGCCUAGAGGAUAUGUGAAAUAAUGCUCAUUUCACUUGAACGAGCCUAUUAAUACUUGUAUGUCUAUGAUUGUCAAUAUUGCUUAAGUGUUUCAGUUAAGUGGUUUACCUAGCAGGGAAAAAAAUUUAAUGGAAAACCUUAGAGUUUUAAUAGAAAUAUAGUUGACUAUGCAGAUAUAGUUAUUUUACGGUAUAUAAAUCAUGUUGUCCUAUUCUCAAUGUCCUACAACCUAUUUUAUUUUAUAUAGUCAUUCAUUUUACGAUGGUUUUUUGUGUUUAUGAGUAUGGAAAUAGUGGGAUUUGGUGUACCUUAGCAUCUUUCGAAAAUUCUCUUUAAAUGCGGCAAACAGAAAUAUACAUAUAAUCAAGUUUCUUAAUCAUGUAUAUUAGGUUUGGGUGUGAAUGUUUUCCUAUUCUAGUUCUAGGCAAAGUUUCUUCAUUUUGGUCUUCAGAUUUCCAGUAGGUUAAGCUAAUCAACUAUCAUAACUGGCUAGCUAGUUAUUGCCUGCCUUGUCGCCAUUACCGACGCCAUUACAUUGCAUGGCAUAGGGAAUAGUAACUAUGUGAUUAUUGGUGAUUUGUUGAGCUUAUUAUUGACCAAACAAACAUAUUCGCCUUUACCCACAACUUGGUUUGAUUAGUUACUGGACAAUAAAGAGCCUUAAUCUAUGCAUUGGCUUUCUUAUUUUUAUUUGGUUUUUCUUUCAACAAUAUUGUUGAUUUCUUAUAUCAUUGGCUAUUUAAUGAAGCUAAUUAAAACUAAGGCUUCGGAUCACUUUCUUCUAACAACAAACAAAUGAGGAUAACCUAUCUCCUCUAAGCAAAUUUUUCUAAUAUCCUUGAUUUGUUAGGACCUGGAGGCCUGAAAUCCUCUAGAUUUUUUUAGCACUGCCAAUGUUCCUUUUAUUCUGAAAAGGAAAAAAAGGUUAUAUCGUUUAUACCCUAACAGUAAAAUGGCCUUUGACUUAACAUGCCUUCCUGAGGAUUUGCAAGAUUCACAAGCAGCCUAGCCACCCCCCAACGCAAAAAAAAUAAAAAAAAUAAAAAACUAAUAAAAAUAAAAAAUAAAACAACCCAAAUAGGAAGACUUUGCAACAUUCACAACGUGGUUACAUUUAAGUUAUUAAUUGUGUGUGUGUGUACUAGUUAUAUGUUGAUAGUAUAGGAAGAAGUAUUUUAACAUGGAUGACUUAAAACUUAUUGCUCAGUAAACAUAGUCUGCAUCAGUGCUAGAAAAUGUAUUUAUUGUUUGUAUUUUUUAUGGUUUUGAUUAAGAAAUGAAAUGUGAAAAAAUGCUACAUUGUAUUAGGAAUAAAUUGAAGAGAUUUAUGAUAUUUAUGUGUUAUUCAAGUUUCAGAUUCAAUUUUAAACUUUUGAUACAUGCAUUGAAAGCUUAAACUCCUUUAAGAAGUUAUUGAUAGACACAUGUUUUAUUAGUGUCAUCUUUGGAUGAUAGUGAGGAUCUUAUGUCUAUUAAUAAUUCUUGAAUUAUCCAGGCUCGGACAUUUUGGUAAUGCAUAGUUUUCUAUGGUAGCUAGUACCUGAAAUUUUUUUCCCACUAAAAAUGGGCUUUUCAGUAGCUGCUCCUCAUAUUCUGGGUGCAUACUAGACGAAUGGGUGUCGUUUUGUUUUGGGAUAACACAUAAACACUCAUAUAUCUAUGUCAUGUACUUGAAGAACUAUAGGGAGAUGCUUCCGAAAUUUCUAUAAACGUAGAGGAAAACUUUAGAUACUUAAGAUUGAAGAAACUUAUGCAUUCUUGAGUGGGAUAUAGAGGACCACUUACCUUUUGUAAUAUGAAGGGAAUGUUGGAUAUAUUGAUGGGAGUGGAGGAGCUGAGUGGGAUGAAUGUAAUCGGUUAUGAUUUUGCUGAGUUGACUUGGUUUUGAGUCUUGUAAUUUUGUUUAUAAAUGGAGUACUAUCUCCAAUGUUGGUUUAUAAAUAUUGUUUCAGCUGGCUGACCUAAUUUUUUAUUUCUAGGUAACAGGCUUUAUAUAUUCGUAAUUGAUAGCCAAGUGAAGUUCUCAGCAGUGGGUGAGGAUAUUUCUUUACAGAAGGUAUUGGAAACUGUUUUUCACAUUAAUUAGUAUUGUAUACAUACUUUAAUUUCACAUCUUUUUCUCUGAUUCUUGUGGCUUUGCUUGCUUUCAUAUAUAUAAACAUUCUAAUGAGAUUAACAUAAAAUUGUAUAAUGAUUUUUUUUAAUUAUAAAUUGCGCGCACACGAAAAUAUCUUGUUUAGUAGUAGAAAUGAAGAACUAAAAUGAUUUAUUUAACUAAUUUUUCUAGUGCAUUAAAAGGAGAUAGUCAUGGACAAGAGUUGGGUUGGUUUGCCAAAUAGAUAUCCAAGUCAUAUACUGAUGGGGUUGAAAAAUUUAUAGAUUUUGCAUUUGAGAAUGUUGUUGGUGAUAAAAGAAUUUAUUGUCCUUGUAAGAAGUGUCGUAAUAUCGAUAUUUCAUUAUAAGGGAAGUGGCAAGAGACCAUAUCAUUACAAAUGGCUUUUGGUUAAAGUAUUGAAACUGGAUAUUGCAGGGUGAGCCAUCUUCAUCUUUGAAAUCUAACUAAGAAACAGGUUAGUCAUGACUCGGGUGCUGAUGAUAGUAUGGUUGGAGUGAUACACGAUGCAUCACAUAAUCAAGUGUUCAAGUUACACACAGCAUUGUUAUGUUAUGGACUAUCAGUGACUUUCUAACAUAUGCCAACUUGUUUGGGUAGAGUAUUAAAGGUAAAUAAGCAUUUCUUGUUUGCCAACAAAACACUAGAUCUAAUUGGUUGAUACAUAAUAGAAAAUUUUGUUACUGGGUUACGGUCGAUUCUUACCAACGAAUCAUAGGUUUCGAAAAUAUAGUGUCUUUUGAUAAAACUAGGGGGUAGGGAUAAGCGCCUUCUCGGUUGUCUUGAACUGACGUGAAAAAGCAGGUGAAUAAUAUAUUUACUAAGUAUAAGAUUGAAGACUUGAAAAGAGGAGAAUGAAUAAAAUGAAAGAAAUGAUAAGAUUACUUGGAAGAAGAAAAGCAUUUUUUAUGAACUAACGUAUUGGGAGUUCAACUUGAUUCAUCAUAAUCUUGAUGUCAUGCAUAUGAUCUACUUUCUUUCAUUUUCUCACCUCCCAAACAUCCAUUAUACAAUAAAGUUUUUUUAGAUUUUAUUGUUUCAUAGAAUUAUAUUUUGCAUAUGAUGAAAUAACUUAACAUUUUAGUAUUCAUUUGCAUAUAAUAAUUAUAAGUAAGAAAAAAUAUUUGUUUACAAUCACUACUAGUUUUAUUGUCGUGAUUACAAAUAAAUUGCUCAAAUUUUCUGCUUCAGCUAUCAAACCUUUUAGCUGCUUCCAGACAUGAAGAAAUUAAACCCAUAAUUUCUAGGUACAAUUGCAUUCGUAUAUGCCAUGAUACAUAUGAUAUGAUUAGAACCAAAAGGAGAAAUAAAUUUUUGGGACUUAUUGUGAUGGUGAUUAAUCUUUUUCUACCUUAACUUUGAUAAGGUUAUAAUUAAAUUUUAUAUGAUUAAAGUGGUCAAUGGUUAAAUAAAUAAAUAAAUAAAACAGAUGAGGAUGGACUAAUGAAAUGACCCACCCCGAACUCCACAAGGUGAGUCUAUGUAAUAUCGUCUUACUUGACUGAUAAUAAUCUAAUUAGUAAGGAUUUUGCCGAAAAUUUGAUAGAGUCUCCACUUUGAAUAUAACAUUUCCAACCUGCAAAUGUGUAAAACAAGCACUCUCAAAUAAAUCAGUAUACAACCAACUUCAUUGAUCAACCUCCUCAACUAUAUUACUGAAUAUUACCCAAAAUAUCUACAAAGUAUCAAAAGAUUAUAUUAUACCUACUGUUGACAUAUAUUAAACUAUUUUUAAUCACAAAAAAUAUUAAAAAAUUAUAUAAUCCAAAAAAUAAGAAAUCAAAAUGCCCUGACAAUAUAAUCUAUAUCUCCUAGUACCAUCACAUGGCCAAAUUUCAAAAUACUAUAGUUGCUAAGUCAACUGGUGUCUUGCAACCUCCUGAGGGGUGGGAGCGAAUUAUAACAAAACGGGUGAGUAUAAAACUCAGUGAGCUCGGUGAGUGGAUAAUAGUUUUUGAAAAUAACUUACCAUAAAUAAUUAUACCACUUUUAUAUAUGAUUUUAUCAAACUAUAUGUAAGAAACAUGAAUAAAUUAUUUAACCUUUGAAUCAAGUAAUUGACAUUGAAAAGAAUACAUUAAGAGGUGCAUAAUAAUCAUGGAAAUUGUAUCACAAUAUAAAAUACAUGAUUAUGAAAUUAUCACAAAACAAGUACCUAAGGGAAUAAUCUUGUCGUACCUAGAGCUCAUACGGGCAAUGCAAUGACAUAUUCUCUAGGUACUGUCAUCCUCGGAGCUAGCACCGGUAGAUCAAUGAAGUGUCAUCUUAUAUAUCUUAUCAUAUCUUUGCAUGCAUAAACUAGUCCCCAAAAGACAAAGGUGUCCAAGCACAUAAUCCAAGGCCUCUAUGAGCCCCAAAGGCCCCUAUUUCAUUUGUAUCUUAGUAACUGAAUCUUUGUUAUCAUCAUAUUUCAUGCAUAAGCGCCCAAAAGGCAAAAGUGCCUAAAUAGACGGCCCAAAGCCUCCCUGUGUGUUCAGACGGGCCCCAAAGUCCUCUCAUCUCAUCUGUAUAAUUGUAAUUGGAGGGGAAGGGCAUUGUUCAACGAGUUUGAGAACAAACUUAUAUAUAUACACACAUAAACAUUUUAAUCAUACUUUAAACUCUUAUUUCCUUUUCAUUACAUACUUUAAAUUUGAUUUUCUUUUCUUUAUAUUACUCUCAUGUAUAUACUCAAAAUCGAUAAUAAAACCAAUAAUCAUACUUUUUAAUAAUAAAUAUCAAUACUUAAAUAAAACCUAUUUCUAGAAAAUCAUUAGAUCGGAGCAUUAAACACUUAUUUCCCAAACCUGCUUUACUAUACUUUAAAAUCAUAAUAAAAUAUGAAAAAUAGGUUUUGCUUAUUUCACUCACCGUGACGAUACUCAAACUCGGCUAUCAUUAAUGUCUGCAGGAUGGGUCUCACUCACUAUUCCUCCUAAAUCAAGGAUACGACAUAAUUACUUUCCAUAAAUGUGAAAUACAACUAACUGUAUGUAAUAUACUCGAAACGAACAUCUAUCCACAAUAUGCUACUCCUAUGUCUGUAACGUUACCAAAAAUACCCCCAAAAUCAUAAAUUGUCAAACAACCCUCAAAAUCAUAAAUUACCAAACUAUCCUCUAUAAAAUAUUAUUAAAAUAUCCACAAAGUCAGAAAUUAAAAAAUUACCAUCAAAAUAUAAAUUUAUCAAAAUGCCUUUGUUGGUCAAUGGUGAUCGGGAGUCAAGUGAUGGUGGUUGGAAUGGUCAAGAUAAAUGCUUUGGACCACGCUGAAUUUAAUGGUGGCAAAUUGACCAUUUCUGGUGACAUGGGUGAUUAAAAAUUGUAGAGGGUGUCGUGAGGGAGAAAACUAAGCAGUAGUGUGCCACAAGUUCGACGAAAUCCCAUCGAAUCGAGGUGGUAGUACCAAAGCUCUUCACAUUCUUGAUUGGUGGUCUUUUAGCAGUUAUUUAGUGACCAUGAUGGUUGGGGAAUGACUAGCAUUGGUUAAGGAUUCGAUCGAUACCUUCUGUUGUCGAUAGAGUGGCCGAAAAUAGUAGUUAGCGGCGGGUGGGGUUUCAAGUCUAUCAGUUAGGUUGAUAGCUCUUCCUCUCUUUGUUUUUCUCUUCCCCUCGAUUCCGUGUCAUAACAAGUUUAAACUAGUCCAAACUCGAACCAUUUAACAAGCGUGUCAAAUUUAACAACCCACACAUUUAUUCAUGUUGAGUAAUUGAGUCGUGUCAAAUCUGCCAAUAACAAUUAUAAUAAUGACUUUUAAAACUUCAAGUCAAAGAGGAGGAUAAAAUAAUGCAUUUGAUUAAACAUAAAAUGCAUAUGUUACAACUAAUCACUAUUCAAAAUAUUAAGAGUGGAGUAGCAAAUGUCAAUUUAUUUGGUUGCAGUCAAAUUUAUCCUAUGAUAAAUAGUGAUUAUUAAAUAAUAUAUAGAUCUAUUAUAUAGUCAAUUAAUAAUAUAUAUUAAUGAAAAUUUAAAAAUAAAUUAUUUAAAAAAGUCAAACUAGGUAAUGGACUUAAAUGUGAAAAUUUAAAAUAAUUUGGAGUUAUGUGUUAAAAUAUUGAAACUUUGUCAUUUUUUAAUGUGCAAGCAAAUAAUAGGGACUAUAGACUUAAUAAACUAUUAAAUCCAUCUAAGCCACUAAGCUACGUUUAUGUUAAAUCUAAUGGUUAGUAAUAGCUAAUAAGAAAAGGACAAAAAUUGGGGUAUGAUGUCACAGGGACACCAUAGUCGGACCCAUUAUUAAUGUUUAGUACAAGUAUUUUCUGAAAUAACAACUACAUAAUUAUUAUCUUAUGUAUCUAAUGAGAUUAUUAAUUUAGUAUAUUAGCCCAAGUUAGGAACGUAAGAUUUUGUUAUUUAAUCAAGUAUAUUAAUUUAUAAAACAUUCAUUUAUUGAGAUUUUAUUGUAUAUUACAUUUGCACACUUUCUUUUUAAUGUGAAGUAAAAACUAAUGUUACACAUGAACUUAUUGCUGACAACAUUAGUACAUAAUUGCUGUCAUAAGAAAAUUUAUCAAUCCAGGAAUUUUGGAUUUUAUAAAGUCUUUACAAGUGAAAAGAGUAGUUUAUAACAUUGUAAAUGUGACCUCGACCUGGAAGCGAACUCGGCUGUCAUAAAUUGAUCAAAGCCACACUUAACUUCUACUACUACUUGCAUUGUUACCACCGUCUUCAGCCUUCUGCUUUGCCCAUUCAAAAAAAAAAAAAAAUUAUAUAACUUUUGUCAGCCAACAAUUAUAAUAAACUAAAAACAUGUCCAAAGAUUCAAAAAAAAAUUUUUCCCUUUUUUUGGUUUUAGCUCCUCUGACAUAUCAAAUCCUAUUGCCGUGAAAAGUUUCCCUUGCAGCGCAUAAUUUUGCCACAGCAUCUCUCAUCUCCAUUCGCUCAGUUGGAGACUCCAUUGAGCAGGAAACCCCAAUUCCAAUUACAGCAGACAAGCAUUGCUCAGUCCUGACUCUUAUCUCUCCAUCAGUAUUUCUUGCAAUUUCCUCAGUUAGAAGUGAAGGCUCAACAAUAUUCACCACUUCUUCUGGCAAAGCCCUUUUGGCAAAUUCAUGGAGAGUUAAGCCAUCAUUGAACAUACUGUCCGUGGGCCGCUUUCCUGUGAACAUUUCUAGCAAAAGAAUUCCGAAGCUGUACACAUCACCUCGCAUGGAGACUUCGCCACCCGUACCGUACUCUGAAAAAAACAUGUUAGAUAUAUUACUCAGUUAGUUGCCACAUAUACGAGUUCUAACAAACAGCAGAUUAAUUCAAAAAAUGUAAAAUUACAAUAUCAAAAUAUCUAUCUAAAGAGGAAUAUAUAUAAUUACCUGGAGCUACAUAACCGACUGUUCCUUUUAUCCCAAUUGAGCUUGAUUGAGAUUGAGGAGCAGUCACCCACAUGGGCAACCAUGUCAUGAUCAAAAAGAAUAUUGCUGGGCUUUAGAUCACCAUGAAUUAUUGGUGGUUGACUGUGGUGGUGGAGAUACUCGAUUGCAGAAGCUACAUCAAUGGCUAUGUCCAGUCUUUGAAUGAGACUUACAUUGCACGCUUCUAGGUGAUCAUUCCUCUGAUGCAACCACUCCUCUAGACUUCCGUUUUCCAUGUAUUCGUAAACGAGAGCCUUGAAAUCAGCUCCUUUAGAAUCAAUGCUUGAGCAAAUAGUGAUGAUUUUAAUGAGAUUCCGGUGGCGAAUAUUUCUCAAAGCUUCACAUUCUGCUACAAAACUCCUGAAACCCCCUUUCUGAUUAAGAUUGAUCACCUUCACAGCAACUACCAUUCCAUUUUCACUAAAAAUUCCCUUGUAAACAAUGCCAAAGCUUCCUUGACCAAUCAUGUUUGAUGUUGAAAAUUCAUUAGUUGCCUUCCUUAGCGCCGCGUACGAGACAAAUGGGAACUUUUGUUCUAUUAGCAACGAAUUAGAAUCUUUGUGUGCUGAUCUCCUUCUUCGAGCAUAAACAACAAGAAAGCAUGCUGAUAAGAUUAAACAUGACAUAAUGACUGGAAAUAUCACUUUGACUAGGAAAGUAACUUUUGAUUUUCUUGAUCCUUUCAAAGGACAUGAUGGUAAAUGCAAUUCAUCCAACCCUCCACAAAGAUUCUCAUUCCCAACCAGUGAAAUGCUUGUCUUAUUGUGAAAAACUCCUUUUGCUGGUACCUGGCCCUCAAAAUGAUUGUAAGAAAGAUCCAAAUAUUGCAAGAAUGGUAGAUUCUCAAGAUAUUCUGGAAUCUUGCCGGACAAAUUGUUACGGGAUAGAUCUAACACUUUCAAGCUUUUCAAGGAAAUCAGAGAAAGAGGAAUCCUUCCUCCAAAGGAAUUGCCUUGCAUAUAAAGAUAUUCUAAGCUUGUACAAGCACUUAGAGUCGCAGGAAUCUCACCAAAAAAAUGGUUCAUGGAAAUAUCUAAUCGAGCGAGAUUCUUCAAGUUUCCCACCCGAAAAGGAAGAUAGCCACUGAGAAGGUUAUUAGACAAAUCUAGUUGAAAUGAAAGGGUCCUUAUUUCAAGAAUUUGUUGUGGCAAAGUUCCAUUAAGCUUAUUGUGAGAGACAAUCAAUUCCAUCAAAUUCUGACAACUUCCGAGGGAUGAGGGGAUAUUUCCUUGCAAGUUGUUGAAGUCCAGUGCAAGCUUUGUUAGUAGUGUUAGAUUACCUAGAGAGGAGGGUAUGUUCCCUUCUAAAGAGUUUCCAUACAGAUAUAGUAAUUGUAAGUUUUAAGACUACCGAUAACAUGAGGAAUAGUGCCAAUUAAUUGGUUUAAAUGUAAAGAAAAUAAAUUUAGAUUGACAAGAUUUCCUAUCCCAAGAGGUAUGGUUCCAGAUAAUUUAUUCUCCCCCAUGUCGAUUAUGGUCAUUGUUUUUGAGAGAUUGGCUAUAAAAUGCGGCAGGUUUCCUCCAAAUUGAUUCUUACGUAACUCAAGCCAUUCCAAUUUGCUACAGUUUGUCAGGGAGAAUACAAAAUCAAGGUCAUUGCUAGCCUCAGCUCCUAAAUUAUUAGCCUCAAAACUUAGCCAAGCUAGAUCCGAAAGACCGUUAAAAUCUAUGCUCACUUUUCCUGUGAAAUGAUUUUGUCCAAGGUUAAGCUCUAUGAGAUUUGAAGCAUUGGACAAUGAAUGUGGGAUAGGUCCUGUCAGAUUGUUUUGAGCUACAAUAAGAGAUUUCAGGUUUGGAAGAUUGAAACCUAUAUUAAGGGGAAGAAUACCUUCGAGUCUGUUUGACGGUAGAAAAAUCAUCUCAAGCGAUGAGAUGUUGUAAAUUGAAACAGGAACCAUACCGGAGAAAUUAUUUUCUUCUACGUUAAGAAACUUUAAGCUUCUUAAUUGACCAAGACUUUCAGGAAUUCUCCCGUGCAGUGUAUUCUCUCCAACAUCAAAUGCCUGCAGAGCAGAAAGAUUCCCAAUGGAAGCAGGGAGCUGUCCUCUCAAAUGAUUGACAGCAAUGGACAGUUUCUCAAGCUUCGACCAGCUGCUGUAACCGAUAUCAGCUGGAAUUUCUCCCACGAGGUUGUUUUUAUGGGAUAAAAAGUUGAUGAGGUUGGAGCAACGGGACAAAUUUGUUGGUAUUUUCCCUGAAAAAGAAUUAUUUGCCACGACUAGAGUUUCAAGUCUGGAAAGACGACCAACCUCAUCCGGAAUUUCGCCAUCGAAAUUGUUGUCUCCCAGGUGGAUUAACUUGAGGAAGCUAAGAUUGCCAACAUAAGGAGACAAGGUACCUCCUAGACUUUGGUUCCUCAGAUACAACUCGGUUACCCUUUGAUGCCGACGACCACAAGUCACUCCUGUCCACUGGCAUAAGUUUACAGAAGUGUCCCACGAACUUGUUACUUCUAGUGGAUCAUGGAACUGUGACUUUAUAGCAAGUAAUGCUAGACGAUCUGUCUCGUUUGUGUGGACAGAAAAGCUGUGUGAACUAAGCAACAAACUGAAGCACCAUAUAAGAGUUGCAAGGCUGGUAGUGGUAGUAAAAAUGGAGCUAAACAUGUUUAGCGGCUGCAGGGUAUAAGAUAAUAAGACUAAUGAAAAGCGUGGCGUGAUCGUUGAAGUUCAUGUGAAGGGUUUUUAAAGUCGAAAAAUGAGUGUACGGUAAAAUCUCUUUAUAGUUAUAAUAUGAAGAGUAAAUUAUUUUUAUGAGAAGGUUAUAAUUUAAUUAAGGUUUAGUUAAAAAAACUUAUUAUUUUGGUAUAGUUAACCUUAGUGCAAGUGACAUAGAGAUAAAGUAUGCUUUAUAUUAAUAGUCAACUGCUAGAACACGUCAAAUUGAAUAUAUAAACAUUGACAAAAGAGAUAGACAUAAUUUCAAAAAGCUAUCAUAAAUUUUUUACAAUAUAAAGGUAGUUAUUAUUAUUUUAUGGAGGCAAGUUCAUGAAGAGGAAUUUAAAAAAAUUUAGACUGUUACAAUAUAAAAUUUAGGGCUUGUUUGGGAUUGUUUUUGGGAGACUCAAAAGAUAUUUUGAAAAGUUAAAAAUUAAUUUUAAUAUUUGAUAUAUUUUUUAAGAAUUAGUUUUGAAAAAAUUACUCUAUCGUACAAUAGAUUUUAAAAAGUAAAGAAUAGUUUUUUAAAAGAUGAUUUUGAAAAUCAUUCUUAUAUUGAAUACAAGUUUAUAUAUAUUCUCAUUUAUAUUAUAAAAAUUCAAAAUUAUCCUUUUUAAUUAAGAAGUAGAAUCAUUAAAUUUUAAAAGAUAUUAUUACUACCACUUAUAUUGAGAUAACUAAAUUAAAAUUAAAAUUAAUAAUAUAAAACAUUUAUUUUAGCUAUCAAUUAUUAUAUGUUAUAAAAAAAUUUUAUACACAUAUUUAUAAAUGUUUAAAUAAAUUUUAACUAACAUUAUAUCUAAUUGAGUCAUUUACAUGAUUACAACAAUUUAACGUCAAGAUUUAUCAAACUAAUUGUUUUUAAAAAUCACAAUACUUUUAAAAAUUUAUUUUACUAAAUGUUUAACUGAUUUCGUCGUAGCUGAUUAUUUCUAUAUUACAAUCAAUAAUAAUUAUUUUAAAAAUUAUAGUAUUACCAAACUAACCCAUAUUCUUAUUUAUAACCGAUCAAAUUGUUACCGAGAUUUUUAAAAUUAUGUGAAAAUGACUUUUAUGGAAUAUCAUUGUAAAAGAAUUUUAUCAAUACAUAUAUUUUUUUCAACUGCGGCUGCGGGAUUAGGCAAGGCUAAUGAAAGCUUUUGUUAAAAAUGUGUGGGUGGUCGUUAAAAGUCACGGGCACUCCAGUUCCUUGAUUAGAUUGAUUCUCGUCGUUGUUCUGAGUGCAAGUUGCCUUAGCACUUUCGUGAGUGAAUGAGAUUUUUCCUUUGUUGCUUUGGCAAGAGGUCGCUUUGGUGUGAUGUCAACUUGUGAAAUAGUCAAGGGUCUUUGGCUCUUUGCUACCUUUACAUCGCAUGCAAAGAUUUGACAAGUGAGCAAUUAGAAUUUCUCUACCUUUACGAUAGAGAAAAGCGAAAACAGUUCCCGUCCGGUCACACAACUGGCUUCAAGAGUUCCUCGCUGGUUGCAAAAAUUAAUUUCUUUUUAAUCUUUGUAAUUUGUUACAUAAAUAAAAAACAAUUUUUGAAAUAAAAAUGAUAAAUAUAGUUGAACCUCAAUGAAUUGAUUACCAGGAUUAAAUAAUAGUUUUUAUUGGUCUCAAAUUGGGUCAACAUAUUAAAUUAAUAAUUUGAUAAAUUUAUUAAUAAUAAAAAUAAAUAUUUUAUAUUUACUAAAAUAUUAAGACUGAUCUACUAUAUAAAUUAAUAAUUUAUUAACUUGAAACUAAGGUACUGUUCAUUUUUUAACUUAAUGAAUUAAUUGAUUAAUUUUAAUUAAACCAUUGAAUCUUUUCAUUUUUUUCAACCUAAUGAAAUUUUAAUGUAAAUUGUGCAAAUUCUUGUAGUAUUAAGGGAAAAAGAUAUCUACACCCAAAGGUUUAGAGAAAAAGUCAAGUAAAUCCUUAAGUUUUCAAUAAGGAAUAUCAAAACUCCCUUUAAUUGUAAUAUCUUUUGUAAAUAGUAAUUAAAAAUUUUACUUCAAAAUUUUUUAAUAAACACAAAUAUAAUUUAAACAGUUUAAUUUGUCAAGUAGACUAAUAAUAUUAGGAUAUUUUUAAUAUAUAAUAUAAUUUUUAAAGUGUAAAUUAGUGUAUUUAUUUUAAUAAUAUAUGUUAUUUAUUAUAAAAUUUUAAUUAAAUGUUUCGGUUAAAUUGAUUUUAUAGUUAAUAAAAUAUAUCUCAUGUAUUCAUAAUAUCUAAAUUAUUUUAUAUAAUAUUCAAAAUAAUGUAAAUUUUUAAAAAAUUUGUUAUAAAAUUUAGUUUAAUAUAAUAUAAGAUUGUAAAGUAUUAAAAUAUUUUUUAAAUAUUAAAAUUACCUUAAAAUGUUUAUAUUAUUAUAUUUAUUUUAAUAUUAUAUUUCUAUUUAAUAUAAAACAUUAGAGUUAAUUUUUUUUGAAUUAAUAGAACCAAAAGUUAUUAUAGUCAAAAGAGAAUUUUAAUAUCUUUUAUUAAGAACUUGAAAUUUAUAUGAUUAUUUUUCUAAAUUUUGAAGGUAUAAAUAUCAUUUCUCAUAUUAUUAAUGUCGCUUUAAAAUAGAGUACCCAAUAUUUCUAGUUCACCAAUUAUUGAAAAACAUUUUGACUCAUUACAGCCUGUUAUUAGUUUUGGUCAUAUUAUUUUCCAUCACUCGGUUAUUGAUUUUCAAAUCUACCGAUUAGUAACUAUUCUUAGGCCAUAAAUAAUAUUGAGGUACUAUAACUUUUAAGUUAUAGUUAUUAUAAAAAAAGUAUAAUAAUGAAAUAAUAAUUUAUAAUUUAUAAUAAAUAUAAUUUUUAAAUAAUAAUUUUAAUAAAAAUACAAUAAAAUUAUUAAAUUUUUUCAUGUAAGUAUAAAAUUAAAUUAAUUUAAUUUUUAAACUAUAAUAAUUAGUAUAUUUUAUAGAUGUCCAAUCUCAAUUUUAAUCACAGCCUUAAUAAUAUAAGUUAGCCAUGGCCAAAAAAUCAAAUAUCAAUUGUCAAACCUGCUGUGUACGCUAUGUUGCCGUGUACGCUAUGUUUAAGUCUAGCUGUGUGGAAUUUGUUUGUCCAUGUAUUUUAUAGACUUCAUUGAUCCAAUUCCAAUCUUUUUUCCUGUGGAAAACCCUCUUUUUCCGCAAAUCAAUUAAAUCAAUCAUGGAAUUAAAUACUAUACGGGAUAUUGGUGUAAAUAUUUGAAGAUGAAGCCACGUUUGGAAGACAUGUUCGCAUGUUCAAUAAAUGCAAAAACAGCCAGUUCUGUGCAUGGCUUUAAUGCAUGCAUCGAGAGUAGUAACUUCCACGUGAUGGCAAGUUGACGAUUGGCAAUUGGUGCUCCUUUUGUCAAGAUUUGCUUGAGAUAGCGGCUGUUUCACUAGAUUUUUUACCGUAAAGUUUGAUUUCUCAAUCCAUCCUGAUACUAUAAAUAGAGCUUAAUAUAUUCUCGAGAGUAAAUCAUCCCGUUUGCGAGGGAUAAAAGUUUAUUUAGUCCCUAUAUUUUAAGAUUAGUGUCUAUUUAGUUUUUAUAUUUUUAAAAAUAUUUUGAAACAUCUCUACUGUUAAAGUAUUGAUACCCCUAUUGUUACUUUUUAUUUUUUAUUUACUUUUACAAUAUUAUCUUUUUAUAAUAAUGUUUUUGUUUAGACAUUAAUUAAAAAAUAAUUAAAUUAUCAAUUUAAUUCUAAAAAAUAAAAAUAAAAAAUUACAUUAAUUUUUAAUUGUCAAAAAUUAAAUUAUCAAAAAAGUCAAAAAUUAUAUACAAACUACCAAGCGUGCAAAUAGUACUUGCAAAAAAAUUAAUAAAUUUUUUAUUUUUAUUUUUUAGGAUUAAAUUGAUAAUUUAAUUAUUUUUUUUAUUAAUAUCCAAAUAAAAAAAUUAUUAUAAAAAGAUAAUAUUGUAAAAGUAAGCCAAAAGAAAUAAAAAAUAACGGCAGAGAUAUUAAUACUUUAACGGUAUGAAUGUUUCGAGGUAUUUUUAAAAAUACAAGAAUUAAAUAAAUACUAAUUAUAAAAUAUAGAGACUAAAUGAACUUUUACCCGUUUGCGAGAGUUGCGAGCAUUUAAAUAUUGAUGGGCAAACAGAUCAGCUGUCAACAACUCAUUCCUAUAAUCCCAUGUGAGUAAUUCACAUUGAGUACUGCACGUGACGCCUGUUUCUCUACUUUUCAUGUUAACAUUAUUUUCAGUAGCAGCCGGUUAUGUAGGCAACAUUUCAAAAUUAAUUAAAAAAUAAAAAUUAGUUCAGCUGACUAAAUUUGAGAGAAUGAAUUUACUGUUGGUUAAAAAUUAUUUUGCAGCAAAAUUUUUGAAUCGUAACUCUUUUACAAUAUAUAGAAUUAUCAUAAUUUAUAAAUUACAUCUUUGCUUUUUUUGUGAUAGUAAUUCAGAUUCUCAAGUUACGAUUUAAACUGAAAAAAUAAAACUAUGAGUAAGAAUUGUUUUAUGAGAAUUAAAAUAAUUGAUAAAUAACUGAGAGGGAUAAUUUUGAAAGAUUUAAAUUCUAAUAUGAUAACAAUUUUAAUUUUUCACCCUCUGGUAAGGAAUCGAAAAUCACAAUUUAUUAGAUUAGCACAUAAAAUAAUUGAGUAUUCAGAAUAAUUUUUGAAGUACAAAUAAUUGGACCCUAAUAUUUUUAAUAUAUGAAAAUCUUACUAAUAUGUUGAUGAGAAUUAAAUUAAUAAUUAAGGGAGACAUUAAGACAUUUAGAAUAGUUGAGAUGAGACCGGAUUUUACGUUAUCCGAAAUUGAUCCUAAUUUUGAUCACAAAUGUAUUAAAAAGACGAGUUUCGGUCCAUAAUUAUGUGCCAUUUGAGUAAUUAAAAUGGGAAUGUGAUUGUCGAAUUCCAAACUUUCCCGAACCAUUGCCAUCUUUACCCAAAACACUAAAAAUAUCUAAAGAAAAGUCUGCACCUAUUCCAUUUUUUUUUAUCAAAUAGGAAAGAGCCCUCACGUGGCGUGAACUGGUAUCCUAAAUAAUUUUAAGAGUAUCAGCCCAUGAUUGGGUUUGUGACAAAUAAAUUACAUAUUUGAGGUACAUAGUUAUUGGUGUCCUAGUUUAGGUGGCACCUACCAUUUAUUGCACAUAUAAGGUAUUAAUUGACUUAAUUAAUAUACAAAGUUUAAAAUCUAAUUAAUUAGCGACACAAAUGCCAAGUACAGUAUAUGUAAAUCAUAUUUGUCGAUUAUCACAAAACGAGCUCUUGAAAAUAAGUAAGAAAGCUUAAUUUGUUGAAAUGAACUCAAACUCGUCAAUCGAUUUGUCGUCUAAAGGUUGGAAAAAUGAGUGAUAUGUCAUUUCAAGCUGAUCAUGGAUCCAGAACCGACGACUUGGUGCUGUUGUUCAAGGUCGUUAAACUCUCACGUGAAUAACAUACGCCUGUCUUAAGUCUAAAACGGCACGCCUUGUCGUCGUUUUAGGAAGGGUUUAAGUUUCACGUGAAAGGCUCUUGAUCAAGCAGUUAAGUUUGUCGGUUUUGGAGGGAAUCAUCUGGAUCUGUAACACCAACAGCAGCUGAUAUAUAUGUUGGUUCUGGUUUCAUCUAGAUCGAUUGAAGAGAGAGUGAUAAGGAAGCAUUAGAGAGAGUGAAACUUUUCUGGGUGUUCUCUGUAUUGUGUUUGUCACCUUUGUAACCAUUGAAGCUUAAUAAAAUUACUCCCUGAGUUGUUUUCUCCAGUGCACGUAGGCACUGUUAAAGGUGCUGAACCACUUAAGUCUUUGUGUGUUCUUGAUUCUUUGUGUUGAUUUUUCUUUGAUCUGGUGAUUGUUACGACUUGCUUAGACUUGGUUCUUAAAUCUUAGAGUCUUAAUUAGAUCUUGGGGUGAGAUAAAUCUGGUGUAAAGAGGGUUUGUUUCACAACAAUUGGUAUCAGAGCUUUAAUUCUGAUUCCAAGGUUCAAGAAUGGCUUCAAAGGUGGAUCUUGAGAAGUUUACAGGGCAAAAUGACUUUAAUAUGUGGAAGAUCAAGAUGGAGGCUUUGUUGAUCACUCAGGGUCUGGGAGAUGCCAUAGAGCUAGUCUCUAAACUUGAAGGAAAUGAAGCUUCAUCAUCCAAGACUCCAGAACAAGCAGUAGAGAUAGACAAGAAUGCUAGAAGCACAAUUAUUAUGAGUAUGGGUGACUCUGUAAUCAGAAAAGUGGCAAAAGAAAAGAUUGUUGCUGGUUUAUGGGCCAAGUUGGAGAAUUUGUAUUUGACAAAGUCUUUAGCUAAUAGGCUUUACAUCAAGAAGAAGAUGUUCUCACUAAAGAUGAUUGAAGGAGCAUUACUUGAUGAGCAUAUAGAUGAGUUCAAUAAGGUUUGUGAUGAAUUGGAAACCAUUGAUGAAAACUGAGUGAUGAGAGCAAGGCUCUGCUGUUAAUUAGUUCUUUACCAGAGUCAUACGAGCACUUUGUGGAUGCCUUGUUAUAUGGGAGACAAACACUCUCUCUGGAAGAGGUUAAAUCUACUCUUGGCACCAAGAAGUUGAAAGACAAGCAAGAUAAUCCAGAAAGUGAAUCAAGUGAGGGGUUGAUGGUUAGAGGCAGAUCUGAAAAAAAGGGAAAACAAGGGAAAUAAACAAGGCAGAUCAAAGUCCAAAUAGAAGCAUUUGAAGUGUUUUCAUUGCCAUAAAGAAUGGCAUUUAAAAAGAGAUUGCCCUGAAAGAAAGAACAAAAAUAAAGAAACCAAGGAAAAGACAAGAAAUGCAGCCAUAACCACAAAAGUUCCAAGCUUUGAAACAACUGGAGUGCUCAUUGCCUCAAAUGAAAAAUUUCAAGGUCACUGGGUUCUUGACUCAGGUUGUACCUUCCAUGUGUCCAAAUAGAAGCUAUAUUACUACAUAUCAGUUGUGUGAUGGGGUAUGAUUUUAAUGGGUAAUAACUAAAUGUGUAAAGUGGUUGGUAUUGGGAUUGUUAGCCUUAAAAAGUUUGAUGGUGUGGUGAAGGAAUUAACACAUGUUAGGUUUGUUCCUGACUUGAAAAGAAACUUGAUCUCAAUUGGCAUGCUAGAUCCAAUAGGUUGUGUCAUUAGGGCUAAAAAAUAAGUGUUGAGGAUAAUUAAAGGCUCAAUGGUGAUUAUGAAAUGUAUAAAAGAAAAUAGCUUGUAUGUGUUGGAUGGACAUACUGCUGUUGGAGAGGCAAGUGUAACUGAUAGUGGUGGGAACAAAUUAGUGUUGUGGCAUUUUAGGCUGGGGCAUAUGAGUGAGAGAGGCUUAAAAGAACUACAAUGGAACAUUGAGGAUAGAUAAUGGCUUGAAGGUGAAAACAUUGAGGACAGAUAAUGGCUUGGAGUACUGUAAUAAGUUGUUUGAAGGAGUACUGUGAGAAGAAAGGGAUUUAGAGGCACAAAACUAUCACCUAUACUCCUCAACCAAAUGGCCUUGCUAAGAGGAUGAACAGAACCUUGGUGGAGAAAGUAAGGUGCAUGUUGAUCUACUCUAAACUUCCAAAAACUCUAUGGGUAGAAACUUUAAACAUUGUAUGCUAUCUAGUCAAUAGGAGCCCAUCAACUGCCAUAAGAUGUAAAAAACCAAUGGAACUGUGGUUAGGAAGAAUAGCUGACUAUUCAAAACUCAAAAUCUUUGGCUGCAUAGCAUAUGCUCAUGUAAAGUAAGGUAAGCUGGAACCAAGAGCAUUAAAGUGUAGGUUUCUAGGGUAUCCAGAAGGUGUCAAAGGCUAUAGAUUGUUGUGUGUUGAUUCCAAGCCACCUCAGUGUCUAAUAAAUAGAGAUGUAACUUUCCAUGAAGAUGAGAUCUUGAAUCAAUCAAGGAGUCUUGUCAACGGCUCUGAAUUAGGUGAUGAGUCUAAUAAAGUGAAGUUUCAAGUGGAGCCUCAUACCUUGAAAAAGCUUGAUCUAGAAAUUAAGAGUGCUAAAAAAGAACUUGAAGCUGGUGUUGAGCAUGAAUCAGUAGAAAGUGAAGAGGACACCUAUCAAUUGGUAAGAGACAGAAAAAGAAAGAUUAUUAGACCACCUAAGAGAUAUGCAAUGGCUGAUUUAAUUGCAUAUGAUUUGACUGUUACUCAAAAGUUGAAUGUUGAUGAACUAGGACUUAUCAAGAAGCUAUCACAAGCAAAAGCAAGAUGGAAUGGAGGAAGGCAAUGGAUGAGGAGAUGGCAUCUCUAAUGAAGAAUAAAACUUGGGAAAUGAUUAUAAAACCAUAAAAGAGGAAGAUAGUAAGCUAUAAAUAAAUCUUCAAGAUAAAAAAAAAAGGGAUAUCUGGUGCUGAGCCUAGAAUAUGUAAAGCUAAACUGGUGGCAAGGGGUUUCACACAAAAGGAAGGUAUUGACUUCACUGAAGUUUUAUCCCCAGUGGUGAGACAUGCUUCCAUCAAAAUUAUUCUUGCACUUGUUGUUGUUCAGGACAUGUAUCUUGAGCAAAUGGAUGUCAAAACAACUUUUUUGCAUGGUAAGUUACAAGAAUAGAUUAUAAUGCAGCAGCCAAAGCGUAUGUGGUUUUUGGUAAAGAAGAUCAUGUUUGUUAUUUAAGAAGUCUCUAUAUGGUUUGAAGCAAUCACCUAGACAAUGGUAUUUGAGGUUUGACAACUUCAUGAUAACACAUGCCUUUAAUAAAUGCAGUUAUAAUUGUUGUGUGUAUUUCAAGAAGAUAAGUGGAGGAAGGAUGAUAUAUCUCUUAGUGCAUGCAGAUGAUAUGCUGAUUGCAUGUCAUGACAAGAAAGAAAAUGAUCAUCUGAAGAAACUCUUAAGCAGGGAAUUUGAAAUGAAGGAACUUGGGGAACCUAAGAGGAUUUUAGGGAUGGAUAUUAUCAGGGAUAGGAGCAAGAAGGUUUUGUUUUUAACUCAACAGAGCUACAUUAAAAGGGUUCUAGUGAGGUUUGGAAUAAAUGAUGCGAAGCAAGUGCAGACACCAUUGGCAAACCAUUUCAAGUUGUCUGCUGCACAAUGCCCCCAAACUGAUGCAGAACAAUAGAAAAUGGCUUGUAUACCCUACUCAAGUGUUGUGGGUAGCCUCAUGUACGCCAUGGUACUCACCAGGCCUAAUAUCUCACAUGCUGUGAGUAUGGUAAGUAGGUUUAUGGCAAAUCUAGGCUAGGAACAUUGGAAAGUUGUUCAGUGGAUUAUGAGAUACCUCAAAGGGACUUUGGAGGUUACUUUGAUUUAUGGUGGAAAGGAUAGCAAUGGACACACAUUGAUUGGUUAUGUAGAUGUUGACUUUGCUGGUGACCUUGAUAAAAAGAAGUCACAAACAGGGUAUAUGUUUACUCUGGGGGGAUGCACAGUUAGCUGGAAAGCAACAUUACAGAACAUAGUGGCUUUGUCCACUACAGAGGCAGAGUAUACUGCAGCAGCUGAAGCCUUUAAAGAAGCCAUUUUGCUGAAAGGCAUGAUAACUGAGCUAGGAGCUGAGCAAGGGACUAUAACAGUAUACAGUGAUAGCAAGAGUGCCAUACAUCUUAGUAAAAAUCAAACUCAUCACGAGAAGACAAAACAUAUAGAUGUUAAGUUACACUUUGUGAGACUUGAAGUGUCAAGGGGGGCUGUUAAGUUGCUGAAAAUUCAUACUGAAGAAAAUCUAGCUGACAUGUUAACCAAGGUUGUUCCCACUACCAAGUUCAUCCUUUGCAUGUAUUUAGCAGGAAUCUGCAGGUUUUAAGAAGCUGCAGAUGAGGAGAAAACAAACAAAGAAGAGGGAGCUAUGAGUGUUGGGUUCAAGGUGGAGAUUGUUAAAAUAAACUCCAAUGAACUCAAACUCGUCAAUUGAUUUGUCGUUUAAAGGUUGGAAAAACGAGUGACAUGUCAUUUCAAGCUUAUCAUGGAUCCAGAACCGACAACUUGGUGCUAUCGUCCAAGGUCAUUAAACUCUCACGUGAGUAACAGAUGCAUGUCUUAAGUCUAAACGGCACGCCUUGUCGUCGUUUUCGGAAGGGCUUAAGUUUCACGUGAAAGGCUCUUGAUCAAGCAGUUAAGUUUGUUGGUUUUGGAGGGAAUCAUCUGGAUCUGUAAUGCCAGCAGCAGCUGAUAUAUAUGCUGGUUCUGGUUUCAUCUAGAUCGAUUGAAGAGAGAGUGAUAAGGAAGCAUUAGAGAGAGUGAAACUUUUCUGAGUGUUCCAUGUAUUGUGUUUGUCACCUCUGUAACCAUUGAAGCUUAAUAAAAUUACUCCAUGAGUUGUGUUCUCCAAUGGAUGUAGGCAUUGUUAAAAGUGCUGAACCACUUAAGUCUUUGUGUUCUUGAUUCUUUGUGUUGCUUUUUCUUUGAUCUGGCGAUUGUUACGACUUGCUUAGAGUUGGUUCUUAAAUCUUAGAGUCUUAAUUAGAUCUUGGGGUGAAAUAAAUCUAGUGUAAAGAGGGUUUGUUUCACAACAUAAUUAAUAACUUAAAAUUAAAGGAAUUAGAUUGAGAAUAGUCUUUUUUUUAGGAUGGAGGCUCCUAAAUCUUCAAGAAUCAUUAUGUGCUUAUUAAAAUUUCAAAAUCAUUUGGAUUAUGACAUAGCAAAAAUUUGAUAGUACACAUGUUGGAAUACACCAAUUCAUAGAUGCAUUUGAUUAUUGUUUUCAUAAAUUUUAACUAGGAAGGAUGACAUGAUAAAAUUUGAUUUUAUUGUAUGGUUGAUUUCAUAUUUCAUGUGCUCAUUUCUUAAUAUAAUCAAAUUUGAUCUAGCAUAUUUUGCAACUGUAUAAAUAUCAAUUAUGAUCAAUCAAAAUGAUUUCAACACCUUUCAACCAGACAUAUUUAUAAUACAAUAUUGUCAAACUUACACCAGAAAUUUAGUUUAUUACAUAUUAUUAUCCAAUGAGCACACAAAAAUGAAUUUGUACAAAUUUAGUUUUGGAAUGCUGUAGCUCUUAAAAUAAUUGUUGUUAGUUGUGCUAUAGAAAUAAUUUACUGUGAAAAGAAUCAGUUAAUUGUUGGGUAAAUUUUAUUUUCAGAAAUACUGUGAGUUUUGAAAACAGUUACGGAAAUUUGGUAAAUUUUACUGUUAAAUUGCUGAAAGAAAACAAAUGAUUAAAAUGUAUAUAAUGUAGAAUAAAAUUUACUUAUACAUAUAAAAAUAUGUACAUAUAAUAUUUUUAAUUAUAUAUUAUAAUAAUUUUUACUAAAAAUAAAAUUUAUAAUAUAUUGAUUUUUUUUUAUAUUUUUACCUUAAAAUAAUUGUUAAUUAAAUUUGUAAUAUAGUGAAACAAGUUUAAUAAUAAUUCGACCAACAAAUUGAUAUUAAUAAAUUUAUAUUGAUGAAUUACAAUAAAAAUUUAUUAAAAUAUUAUUUUUUUCAAUUUCAAUAAGGAUAAUUUUGGAUUUACAUAAUAAUUUUGAAGAUAUUUAUAAAAUUAUAUUAAAAGAUAAAAUUAAUUCUCAAAAUCAGAAUCUAAAAAAUACUCCAUCCCUACUUUUCAAAAUCAACUAUAGAAGAAGUUGAUUUUGACAAAAAUAAUUUAAAUUUUUUUACUAAAUACUAAAAUUAACUUUUAAUUUUUUAAAAUUAAUUUUAAACCACAAAUUCAGACGACCCUUAAACCAAUUUUGCAAAAGCAGCCGUUACAUGUAUCACCAACUUUUUAACAGUCAGCUGCUUUUGUGACCGUUAUGCGACGGCUAGACUGCUGUCACUUAUGUUACUAUCACGUGACGGUUAAGAGCCAAUUGGCAUACUAUUUUUUUAAAGUUUUAAAUUUGUUUCUAAAUAGAAAACUAUUCGCUGGUGUCAAUAUUUUGAAAACCAAAGUCCCAAAUUCUCUCUUGUGCGUGCCGGGCCAGCAUCCUAAACCUUACUGGUUGCCGGAGAAUGGCGUAAAACGGCGGUGAUCUUCUUCUUCAUCUUAUUCUCUCUCAUCGUUUCAGGUAAGCUUGUGAUAAUGAGUUUCUUGUCUUUCUUAGCUUGUAAUUAUAGAUUUUGAUUUUUUAAUUCGUAUUGUAGCCGUUAAUGUAAAUUUUUGUCCCGCUGGCAAAUUUUUUUGUUCCUACAAGUUGAAGCCCUUCUGUUCUUGUUCCAUUGGUGACUUUGCUCACUCAAAUUAAUUUCGUUCGGCGGAAUUUACAAAGUUCAAAUGGAUUCAUUUGGAUUACUAUUGAAUUUAGCUUUCAUUUCUACAUUCAUUCUAAUGUUUUACAAUUAUGUAUUUAGAUUUACUUUGAUUUUAUGUUUAAAGCUUCUACAUUGAAUAGCUGAGCUUGGGUCUUAGUUUCAUUUUCUAAUUAACUUGUUUUGGUUUAUCUUAUAUGCUCACCAAGGGCUUGUUAUAUUGUCAGAUAAGUUAUAUAACAUUGCUGAUUCUAUAUUAAUAACGUCAUGUUUUAUUUUCAGAAAUUAUAAUAUAAAAGUUUUUACAAUGGCAAGCAUCUACAAACUGAAUUGAUUUGUAGAAUAAGAGCUUCGAGUAGUGUUAUGAUCUUGAAUAAAUGAAAGUUCAUAUUGUGUAAGAGCAUGUAGAUGUAAAGCAUCAUUACCAUUUCUGCAAAGUGCUUUCAUUCUGUUCAGAUGCUUCUCUUGAACUUUGAAAUGUGCCUCGUUGAAGUCCUAGCUAUAACUACUAGCUUUGAUUAAUUAAGUUCCUAUACUAGCUGAAACAGAUUUAUUUAAUUAAUUAAUUGUGUAUGUACUAAUUAUAUUGAAAGUAUUUGAAAACUUUUUUAUCAUGAAUGACUUCUAAAUGACUUAAAAACCUAAAGGAUAUGUGAAAUAAUGCUCAUUUCACUUGAACGAGCCUAUUAAUACUUGUAUGUCUAUGAUUGUUAAUAUUGGCUUAAGCGUUUCAGUUAAAUGGUUUACAUAACAAGGAAAAUAAUUUAAUGGAAAACUUUCGAGUUCUAACAGAAAUAUAAUUGACUAUGCAGAUAUAGUUAUUUUAUGGUAAUACAAAUCAUGUUGCCUUAAUCUCAAUGUCCUAUGACCUAUUUUAUUUUAUAGAGUCAUUCAUUUUUGCCAUGGCUUUUUGUGUUUAUAAGUAUGGAAAUAGUGGGAUUUGGUGUAUCUUAGCAUCUUUGGAAAAUUCUCUUUAAAUGUGGCAAACAAAAAUAUACAUAUAAUCAAGUUUGUUAAUCAACUAUCAUAACUGGCUAGCUAGUUCUUGCCUGCCUUGCUGCCAUUACCCAGGCCAUUACAUUGCAUAGCAUAAGGAAUAGUGAUUAGGUGAUUAUUAGUGACUCGUUGAGCUUAUUAUUGACCAAACAAACAUAUUCCCCUUUACCCACAACUUAGUUUGAUUAGUUAUUAGACCAUAAAGAGCGUUAAUCUGUUCAUUGGCUUUGUUAUUUUUAUUAGGUUUUUCUGUCAACAAAACUGUUGAUUUCUUAUAAAAAUAUUCAUUGAUUUUUAAACACCUAAUCAUUGGCUAUAAUGAAGCUAAUUGAAACUGAGGCUUUGGAUCAAUUUCUUCUAGCAAGAUACAAAUGAGCAGAACCUAUAUCCUCUAAGUAAAUUUUUCUAAUAUCCUUGAUUUGGUAGUAUCUGGCGGCCUGAAAUCCUCUAGAUUUUUUUAACACUGUCAAUGUUCUUUUUACUCUUAAAAGGGAAAAAAAAGGUUAUAUCUUUCAUACCCUAAUAGUAAGUUGGCCUUGACUUAACAUGCCUUCCUGAGGAUUUCCAAGAUUCACAAGCAGCCCCCCCCCAAAAAAAAAAAACAAAUAUGAUUUUGCAAGAUUCACAACCAGGCUAUAUUUAAUUUAUUGAUUGUGUGCACGUACUAGUUAUAUGUUGAAAGAAUAGGAAAAAGUAUUUUAACAUGAAUGACUUAAAACUUAUUGCUCAGUAAACAAAAUCUGCAUCAGUGCUAGAAAAUGUAUUUAUUGUUUGUAUUUUUUAUGGAUUUGCUUAAGAAAUGAUACGCGAAAUAAUGCUACAUUGUAUUAGGAAUAAAUUGAAGAGAUUUAUGUGUUAUUUAAAUUUCAGAUUGAAUUUUAAACUUUCAAUACAUGCAUUGAAAGCUUAGAUUGUUUAAGAAAUUAUUAAUAGACACAUGUUUUAUUAGUGUCAUCUAUGGAUGAUAGUGAGGAUCAUAUGUCUAUUAAUAAUUCUUGAAUUGUCUAGGCUUGAACUGUUUGGGAAUGCAUAGUUUUCUAUGGUAGCUAGUAGCUGAAGUUUUUUUCCCACGUAAAAAUGGGUUUUUCGCUGGCUGCUUCUCAUCUUCUGUGGGUGCAUACUAGAUAACACAUAAACACUCAUAUAUCUAUGUCGUGUGCUUGGAGAACUAUAGGGAGAUGCUGCCGAAAUUUCUAUAAACGUAGAAAUCCCAUUGGACCACUUACCUUUUGUAAAUAUGAAGGGAGUGUUGGACAUAUUGAUGGGAGUGAAGGAGCUGAGUUGGAUGGAUGUAAUCGGUUAUGGUUUUGCUGAGUUAACUUGGCUUUGAGCUUGUAAUUUUGUUUAUAAAUGGAGUACUAUCUCCAAUGUUGGUUUAUAAAUAUGUUUCAGCUGGCUGACCUAAUUUUUUGUUUCUAGGUAACAGGCUUUAUAUCUGUAAUUGAUAGCCAACUGAAGUUCUCAACUGUGGGUGAGAAUAUUUCUUUACAGAAGGUAUUGGAAACUGUUUUUUACGUUAAUUAUUGUUGUAUAUAUACUUUAAUUUUCACAUCUUUUUCUCUGAUUCUUGUCGCUUUGCUUGCUUUCAUAUGUAUAACUAAAAUGAUUUAUCUAACUAAUUUUUGUAGUGCAUUAAACGGAGAUGGUAAUGGAGAAGAGUUGGGUUGGUUUGGCAAAUUGAUAUCCAAGUUAUAUACUGAUGGGGUUGAAAAAUUUAUAGAUUUUGCAUUUGAGAAUGUUGUUGGUGAGGCAAGAAUUUAUUAUCCUUGUAAGAACUGUCGAAUCUUUCGUUUUAAGGGAAGUUGCAAGAGACCAUAUCAUUAUAAAUGGUUUUUGGUUAAAGUAUUAAAACUGGAUAUUGCAUGGUGAGCCAUCUUCAUCUUUGGAAUCUAACCAAGAAACAGGUUAGUCAUGACUCGGGUGCUGAUGAUGAUAUGGUUGGAAUGAUACAUGAUACAUCACGUAAUCAAAUAUUCAAUUCACACACAGCAUUGUUAUGGACUAUCAGUGACUUUCUAGCACAUGCCAACUUGUCUGAGUGGAGUAUUAAAGGUAAAUAAGCAUUCUUGUUUGCCAACAAAACACUAGAUCUAAUUGGUUGAUACAUAGUAGAAAAUUUUGUCACGUCGGUAACGUCGAUUUUUACCGACGAAUUAUAGGUUUCGAAAAUAUAGUGCCUUUUGAUAAAUCUAGAGAGUGGGGACAAGCACCUUCUCGGAUGUCUGGAGCUGAAGUGAAAAAGCAGUUGAAUAAUAUCCUUACUGAGUUUAAGAUUGAAGACUUGAAAAGUGGAGAAUGAAAAAAAUGAGAGAAAUGACAAGAUUACUUGGAAGAAGAAAAUCAUAUUUUAUGAACUACCGUGUUGGGAGUUCAAUUUGAUUCAUCAUAAAAUGUGAGACAUGAGGGAGAGACAAAAGCUCAGGCUUGUCUGCAACCAUGUGGGCCCUCAUAAGCAAUUCGUGUACACAACUUGGUUCACCAAGCCCAACAACUUGAAGCAGGCAAAAUCCGGGAACGAUCCUUCUCCUUCGCAACCCUAGCUGCCUUAACCUUGUAUUUCUGAUAUUUAGUUAAAGAGUAAGAAGAUUGCUCCUCUGUCAAUUACCUUCGAGAGAGACUUUCUUUUUCAUUCACCGAUGCUUGCUUGUGAAAGCAAGGGUUUUAGUUACGCUUUCAACGCUGUCAAUGUAGUGAAGUUAAGCAUUCGUAGAAUAGUGAAGUUAAGCAUUCGUAGAAUAGUGAAGUAAAGCAUUCGUAGAAUAAUGAAGAUGGAAGCCCCACAGCAUGAAAACUUUUAAACAGUAACACAGCUCUUAUUCCAGAGGCUGCACGCGAGUGACCUGAAUCUUCUUCAGAACUUUCAAAUUUUAUCAAGCGAAGCUUUCAAAAUUUCUCAACAAAUUGAUUAUUUGGUGUGGUUGCCACAUUUUGAGUAACCGCUAUUUGUUCUCAAGUACAAAAUCCUUGCCUUCCUAAGUUAGGAAAUAUAAAUGUGAAGCAAACCAAAUGAAAUAAAUGGGUAAACAGAACAAGCAGGGCAAAAAUUAAAAAUGAUGGCAAUUAACAAAUUAAUAGCAAUGUUACAUUUGACUCUUUAGCCCUUUGUUCCUUCUCUUAGCAUUCUUCAAAGGUUUUGAAAAUAGGACGUGAAGCAAACAAAAUAAAAUAAAUUUAGACAACACAUGCCCUGUAUUCAGCAUCAUAUAUAUCUCGCAUAUCUAAUAUAAUAAAUUUCACAUCUAAAAUACUAGAAUUUCAAACAGAAUAUCUAAUAAUAGUAAAAAAAUGACGACAACAACAAAAAUAGAAAAUUACAAGACUGCUGAUAAAAUUUCAUUUGCAUGCAUGUCUGACAAAAUUUCCGUGGUUUAAUGUGCUUUCAUGAACGCAAGUCCUAACGUUUCUGUGAUCACAAAAUAAAACUGAAGAUAAAACAGAACAACUACCAAACCUUUCAAGCUUGACGAAGCCAUGAGAAUUGAUAGCUCAGGCACUGAUACCAAGUUAAAGUUUCUAAUCUGUUUGGUAAGUAAGAAAAUGUGAGAAAAUGAAAGAAAGAACAGAGAUCAUCUAAGAGCUGGAUUUGAUAAGUAAAUAUGAAUCAUCCAUUCAUUAGUUGAUUGCAAAUGUAUUUAUACGAGGUUCCUGAACAUUUCAGAUUCUAUAUGCUCGAGCUAAGCACCUGAGAGUUGAGCAGUGUGCACUAACAAACUGCUAACAAAAUAACUAACUUAUGCCAGCUCAGCUAACACGUCAGUAACUCUUAACUAUCUUGCUUAACAAACUGAAACAAUAACUAACCAUUUUAACUAUCUUAACAAUCCCAAUAAUUUUUCCAUUUGUGUAUUUUUUUGAAUCAUAAUCAAAUGCGUAAAUGUUGCAACUAUUUUUUUUAGAUAUUUUCACUUUGGGCUGUCAGCCCGAGGAAGUACGGGGGUCUGAGUUAUUCAACUGAAAAUGUCGGCCAAGUUCUUGUGUUAGUUUUAGUAUAUUGUGUAAAAAUGAUACACUAACUUGAAUUUAUAUGCUUUUAUGACUAUUUGAUAAUCAAAUGGGUAAAUGACACGAAGAACUUUGAGUUUAAAAAUCUGGCCCUGAUGCCUGGUAGCCCUCCAACCUAUGAAGCACUAGAUGUUUUAAUGAGAAAACGACAAGACCAUUUAUCAAAUUUCUUGUGGAUAUAACUACAUACACAAAGACGAGACCAACCUCCUCAAAUGAGAAUUAGAGUGAUUCAAAUCUCAAAAUACAAUAGAAAUUCAUGACAUAUAUAUAAUAAAAGACCUCUCAUUGAGUCAUAUAUAUUGAGAAUAAAUUUUUUUUAAUACAUACAAAGAGCUUAGCUACAAUGAAAUGUCUUUGGACUUGCAAUGAUCAAACAAAGGAAACAGACAGGUUGCAACUCACACUAUCACAAAUGUAGCGACACGAUGCAGUGAAUCACAAGAAGAUCACGAAGAUGGAAACGGGAACCCCUCAGAAUGUAAACUUUGAAUAGAGGAAAAAAGAAAAACGACCUUAUUUCAAAUUGCGCACAGAAGAAGAGUGACUUAAAUCGUCAUCAGUAUCCAGACAUUCUGCAAUCAUAGAGUAGAGAAAUUUUAACAGGAACAGUGGAGAAAAUAUUAUGUAUAUGCUAGACCAAAUUAGUCCCUUUUUUGGUUUGUGAAAACUUGAUUUUUUAUGAAAUAUUUUCAAACAAUAUUUCCACAAUACACUUGUUGAUAGCCAACAUUUGAUGGUUUAAGGAUUUUUUAUGGGAACAAUGCACUGAUUACGUUUUUUUUUUUUAAUUUUUUUAAUGCGAUGAAUGAUAUUCAGCUGUUCUUUAAUUAUGUGUUCAUAGGGAAGAACAUUUUAUAAGUACUUUCCUUGCCUUCUAACUUUCCAAGGAAAUAUAGGUGUGAAGAAAAGCAAACCCAAUGAACAAACAGAACACAAACUAAAAUAAAAGAACAGCAAUGAUGAGAAUAAAUAAUUGGCAAAGAAAGAAUGGAAAAAGUAUGCACGUUUUCAAGGAAUUAUAAAAUACGAAGGCUUUUAAUGAAAUUUUAUCAUAAAAACGUACGCAAGGAGUUAUAAAAAUUUUAGAAGACGAAGGGAGCUCCCAAAAAAAAAAAAAAAGAAGAAAAAGACUCAAAUUAAACUAGACUAAAAAGACAUUCAAUUAUGCAAAAUCUGUCCAUAAAAGUCUGAAAGGAUCAUUAAAAUUGCAUUGCAAAUUUAACAGUAAACAGAGGGACCCAUUCUAAAUAAUUCAGAUGAAAUUGCGAAACAAGCCAUGGGAUUAAAUAAAUGAAAUAAAAAUUAAUUACCAGUUGAGACUUUCUUCUAAAAAUUCGCAACUCCAAGUCAUAAGAAGCCUAUGAAAUUAGUCGUACUGCGUAGAGUAUAUCGACGACCCCGCCAACAGCUGAAAAUAAAAUUCUUAUUCAUCAAUUUAAACUUUUACUUUAUAACAAACAUUUUAUUUAAAAAGAAAAAGCAAAUUUUGUAAAAAUUUAUCAUGGGAGAUAGAGAGUAAUAUGUAUAUCCGUACCUUCUCAGCAUGUAAUUGUUGUAUGGUUGUGUUUAGAUCAUUAUUAGCCCAACGCCGUUGAUUCAAUGUCUCUCCAUACUGGACGUUUACUCUCGGAGGCGUGAUUGAUUCUCCUGUAGUGAAAAUCUUCAUCUUGGGACAACCAGUCACUCCCAGAUAUUCCAAAGAUGGGAAUCUGAAGGUGUAAUUGGCAUAGCAGAAACUUGUGAGGCUAUCUAAAUCACGCAGAGCCAACGUCUUCAAUUUGCGGAAAACAAUCUCUUCUUUUUCAACUCCAUCUUUGUCAUUUGUUACCACCUCUGUCAUUGCUCUGCAUCCAUAUACUUGCACUUUGACGAGUUGCACUAGAGUUUUUGCUGUGGAAAAUGUUACCAUGUGUAACAAUUUCUUGCAACCGAAAGCUACAAGUUUUGUUAGGUUCCGAAAAGAUACCGAUGAUGAUGGCAAUAGAAUUAACAGACGUUGACAAUGAUAUACUCCUAGAAUUUCAAGAUACUGAAAAAUGGGGUCAAGUUUGGAGUCUUGUUUCCACAGCUGCUUCAGAUGAUAGUGCCGGUGCAGCUCUAAUGUUUUUAUCAUUGCCAACUUCCCCACAUGUUUCUCUAAGCUUCCUUCCUCCGAAAAUACCUCUUUGUUGAAUGCAAAAAAAGACAGUAUGAGUUUUUCAAGAUUGUGAAAUCUCUCAAGUACGUUCCAGAUUGGAAAACAAGCUGAGUUAUCUGAACCAAUCUCUAGUUCUCUAAGACUGCCAAAAAGGUGUUGUGGGAAAUCGGCCCGCAAAAUCAUCUCCACAUCUUUUCCACUUAGUGAUAGUUCCUUCAAGUUGGGUACGAUCUGAUCAUCAUCAAUCAUAAUAACUAAUGAGGUCAAUUGAUGUUCUUUCAAAUGAUUUUGAGUAAUCCAAUCACAAGCAGUGACUUUAUAGUAUUUAUUUUAUAUUAAUUUUACCCCUAAAAAAAAUGAAUUAGUGAUAAAAUUCAUUAUAUGAUUUUUUUUAUAUGUUAGUUUUAGAGGUAAUAAAGAAAUUAGGGAAAAAAACGAAAUUAUUUUAUUGCAUGAUAGUAAAUUACUAAUUUAUUUUGUAAGUUUUUCUGUAUGGAAAGACUAAGGAUUCUUUUAUAAAUGCUAUACCUAAAAAAGAUUAUUGUAUAACAAAAGUUUUCAAUUUAUUGAGCAUUAAUUUAUCGAUACUUUGUCAUAUUUUUCAAAGUUAAAAAUAAGCUAUAGAUAAAAAAUCUAGAAAAUGGCUUCAUACCUUUUCCAAUGGCAAUAGGGGCUGUUGUGCAGGAAUACCAAGUUGAAAAUCUGCAGCGAAUAUCUUUAAUUUGUCACAACCAUGCACUAAAAGAAUUUCUAGUGCGGGCCAUUCCGAAGUAUGCAUUCCAGGGUACAAACAUCUAAGUUUUGGUAGAUCUUGGAGUUUCAGAGUGGUGAGCUGUGGAAAGACAAAAUAAGGGAUCACUUGAUCUGCUCUGUUUUCAGAAAUGAUCUCCUGUAAAUCCUCACAGAAGCGUAUAUCUAGGUGUUGGAGCUGCUUAAGGCUUUCGAUCAUAGACGCUGAAAAUAUGUAUUUUAAUUUAUGACAACGCUGCACAGUCAAUCGUGUUAAAUUUUGAAAGCGAGGAAACAUGACCGGAAGAUGAUUGUAGUGCCAAAUCUUGUCGACAUUAAUUUCAGAUAUCUCCAAAGCCUCCAAGUUAGGCAACGCAACCUAAAAAAAAGAAGAAUUUCUCGUUAGAUCCAAUAUCCAUAUGGGAAGCACUUGUUGAAAUUUUCUUCUUUGAUUACAAAUUAAUGCAAAGUCAGAAUCAAUUUCCAACUGACAGCUGAGUAUGCAUUCUAAUUCAUACUACUUGUUAAGAGCUCAAUUAGUGAGCGCGUGAGAUUCUUUUUAUCCUUUUUUCCAUUUUCUUUCAAUUCUUUAAAUGAUUUAAUUAUUUUCCACGUAUGACAUCAAAACAAAACGCAUGAUAGAAUAAAGUCUGUUAUAUAUACAUAUAUAAAGAAAAUGUUAGCCUACGCACCUUCUCGUUGAAAAGCAGAGUUGAAAUGUCCAAAGUGAUUUCGCUGGUGCAAUACAUAGUCGUCGAUUCCUCUUGUGACGCUUGCCUGUUCGGUGAUGCUGAAGGAGUCUUCACCUCACGGCAAAAACUUGUAACCUCUGGAAGAUUCCCCAGACUCAAAGAUCUUAAUUGAGCAAACUCUAUCUUCUCAAUUGCAUUAUCAACUUCUUCCCCAAUUGCAAAAAUCUCUUUCAUCUUGCUGCAAUUAACAACUGCAAUUCUCUCAAGUCUUGGAAGGCAUUUUGUAGUAGAGAGCCAAAAGAUGUUACUCAACUUAUCACAAUUAUAUGCUUCUAUGUUUUUGAGUUGGUUGAAAGACUCUACUUUGAGCCGAUCAAUACAUAUCCUCUCCAUGUUGAUCAAAUUGUGAAGGAUAACUGACUCCAAAAGAGGAAAGGCAUCACAAGCGACCAUCUCCCUUGAAUCGACGAUACAAAAGAAGUCAGGAUUAUUUUGAACCCAGAGAAUCUUCAAUUGUGAAAAGCCCUCCGUGUCCAAAUUGAAAAGAACAUUCUCGAUGCCUUGCAGCUUGUCCAACCAUAAGCAUUCAACGUUAUUGAUGCCCUGCAAUUUCAUGGAGCAAAUGUCCAUAAAAUCAAGCUUGAGCUUCACUGCUCUUGAAAUCUUACGAUCUCUGUCGAUCAAAAAGUGCUGCCGACUUUUAAACCAAUUUUGUCCAGCAAUCAUGGGAUGUGUGAAUAACCCAUUUCCAAUAUGUAUUUUGAACCUUUCGAGCUUUCUGGCCAAAAAGCCUUCUGGUAACAUACUCUCAUUUUUAACAUCAAUUUCUAGAGUGGUUAGCCGAGGUAAAUGCAUCAAUUCAUCAAGGCUAGCAUUACUUCUUUUGCUGUUGGCUCUUUCAACCUCCCAUUCAAUGGAGCAAUUACACAUAUACAAUUCUUCUAAUCGGAUUAGGCUUGAUAUGACAUUUGGAACAAUAACUUUUAGAUGGAAACAGUCUGUCAAAUCUAACAGCCUUAGCUUUGUCAGUUGACCUAGUGCUUUAGGCAACUCUACAAUAUCAGACCGCACGAAGCUGAGGAUUUCUAGAUUUUCCAACUUUCCAAUAAUGGCUAUGUCUAUGCCUCCGAAAAUGCUUUGAUCAAGACAAAGUGUCUGAAGAUUUACUAGAAGACCAAUUGAAGAUGGCAAUGACAAUAACCGCAUUCCAUUAAAAUCCAAAACCCGAAGCUUUUUCGUCCUUUUGAAGAAGUUCUCAGGAAUAUUAGGCACAGCAAAAGAGUUCUUGGGAGACAUGAGUAGAAGUUCAAGUUGUAGAGAUUCGGACCCAUCAGGAAUGUCAUUAAUAAUACUAUCUUUUAAAGAAAUUGCAAGAUAUUUUUUUAAUUCAUCUGCAUUUGGCCAUUUCCAAUCAUCCUCAUUUCUCACCACAAAUCCAAUUUUGUCACGACAUGCAAUUGAAAUGGCAACAUCGCGAACAACGUCGUGCAUAGAAAAGUAUUUACUGCCACCAUCCUCAAGCAACAAACAAGAGUCUCUUAGUUGAUGGACCCAUGCAUCUAAUUUGUUAUGUGCAUCUUCUAGCUUAUGGACACUUUUAAAUACACCCAAGCCCAUGCUAUAUUUGAACAAGUCCAUAAUUGGUGCUGGCGUAAUAAGACUACACAGUAAAAAAGUUUUCUUGAGUUGCUCACCUCUUAAGUACUUGUAACUCAGCUCAAUUGUUGAGUAUGCCUCUGCUGGUACUCCUUCGUCGAAGCUUGCCUCUGAAGGCGUUUGGAGUUCUUGCAAGGCAUUCUUCCACACAGGCAGCUCUUUUUUUCUCAGUGCCUUUGCUACUGUGGUUAGGGCAAUAGGCAAACCUCCGCAUGCCUUGGCUACACUUGUUGCUGUAGAUUCUAAUUCACGAUUUUCCACAUAAUCACCUGCCAUUAUCUUGAACAAUCUCCAGGCUUCUUGUUCAUUUAAAAUGCCAAUCGAGAAGUUUUUUUCAGAUUCCAUCCUUAACAGCACAUCGAGAUCUCUUGUUGUGAAUAAUAAUUUGCAUCCUCUGUGCUCAACUCCAAAAGGAAUUCCAAUAGUCCCCAAAUCAAGAGGUUUCCAGAUGUUAUCCAGAAUCACAAGGAUCUUCUUCUCAUUCUUCAAUCUUUCAUAUAGUCUACUAGCUCUUCUAGACUCAGCUUCCUCGGACAACUGUAGGCCUAACGUUUCCGCAAUUUCCUCUUGGAUCUUUUUUAUGUCUGGACUUUGGGUAACCUCCGAAAAAGCCACCAUAUCGUAAAGCUUGUCUUCAAUGGCUCGCCUUGCAAACUCCUUCACCAGUGUCGUCUUUCCAAUGCCGCCCAUGCCGUAGACCCCAAUGAUGCUGACAUCAACAUCGAUCAAUGCAUUUUGAAUGGCCUUCAAAGUAGAAAGUCUUGAUUCGAAGGCCUCGCAGCCUUUGUGAGACUUGAGCCAUAUAUCCUCCGGAAUGGUACGGUAGGAAAUUCUAUCAUCAAAUUUCCCAGCUUCUUCUUUGAGUUCAACAAUGGCCUUCACCUUUGUUUCUGCUUCCUUGCUAAGCUGAUAGCCGGACUUCAAAUUAGGACACAAGCCCAUGAGACAUCGUUUAUUUGUUGUCACCUCAUCGUCAAUGAAUUUGGCUGACUGCUCAAUGGUGUUGUUCGCACGAACCAGCCACUUCUCAACCUUCUCUUCAAUCUUUUCCCCUUUUCUUUCAGCCUCAGAAACCCUGUGCUGAAUGCUUCUCCUUUCAUCCUUGAGCUUGUCUAUUUCUGCCUUGAGAUUCUCAACGUUGGCUUUAUAGUUACGCAAAUAACCAAAUCGGCGUUCUGUAGGAGGAGCCAAGCAUUUCACAAAUUCUAAAACAACAGUAACAAUGCUUUCCACCAUCCUGGAUCCCUUUUUUUUUUUUUUUUUUCAAAGUUCUGACAAGAAAAUAAACAACGAGCGAAACAUAGAGAGAGUGAAAAAAAAAAAAAAAAAAGCGAAACAACGAAGAUGGACAGUUUAUCCUGUUGUGGAAGCGGAGAAAUGAAAGAAAGAGUAAAAGCUGUUAUGGAUCUGGUGAGAAGAUGGAAACAAGGAAAAGGUUUCUAGUUCGAGAACUGAUUGAAUUAAUAUAAGGAAUGAUUUAGAUAAUAGAGGCGUAGGGAACCAAUCAGAAUAACUGAAGUAUUGACCAGAAGAAAGACGGAAAAAAUAUUGACUGGUAAUAGAGAUGGAAAAAAUGAAGAUAUCUUGACACGGUAGAAGUACAAAGGGUAGAUAUGGAACCAAACAGAGACAACAGCAGACCACAACAAGAUUGGGAAUGGACAGAAACUAAUUAACAAAGACUGGAGAUUACAACAAAACAGAUGCCAAGAGAAAACUUGAUCCAGUGAAAUUCAAGAGAGCUGACAACAAAAACUGAUACUACUUGAUUGGGAAUUGAAGGCAAAGAGUAGGAGCUGAUGAAUACGGGGAUCAAGAGGGAAAAACUGCUUGCUCGUAAAACUACUUUCAAGCGAAUCUGAUAAAAUUAUUUCAGUACUCGUGGGCGACUCCUUUUUAAACUGCAGAAGGAGAAAAAAGAAAUGUUCUGAAUUUCAAUGUAUUAAUUUUUAUCCUAAUUUAUGUUGAGACUCGUAAUCUCGUCUCAAUGAUUAAUUAGUAGAUAAUCUUUUUAACAAGUAUGUGAUGAAUAGAUAUAUUUCUUGACUAUUAGUAGGUUAGAUAUAUUUUAGCAUAGGAAUGAAAGUACAAGUUGUGUCAUAUUAGAAUACAAAUUUGACCUAAAAAUAUUGUUCUAUGACCUUUUAAUUAUUUGUCAGCUAAUAAUUAAGUCAUAUAAAAAAAAUAAUAAUCUGAAUUAGUCUUUAAGUAUUAUAAAUAUUUCUUGAUUUUUAAUUAUAAUAUCAUUAUUUAAAAAUAAUUGCUUGACUUACAUAGUAAGUCAAUAAAAUAUCUAACAAUAGUGGUCAUAAAACAUGUGAUCCUCAAUCAAUGAAAUAUCUAACAAUAUCAUCACCUAAAGUUUGAGAUAUGUUAUCCUUAUUCCACUGCGUCAAUUACACUCCAGUCAAAUGCUGCCAUCAUUAUUGAACAGUCGACAUCCACCAGUUCUAAUUGCCAAAACUUAGAACUAAACAGUAGCUCGGUCAGAAAAUCAAACGCCAGUACCGGUCAAAUGACCGAUAAAAAUAUAAAGAAAUAAAAAUUUUAAAGUUUUACUUUAUUGCUUUUUUAAUCUUAUUACUAUUUCGGGUAAUUUUUACUUUCCUCCCCUCAGCUUUGGACUUUUUGCACUUAGAUGGUCAAGAUACAUUUAUUAGUAAAGACCUCCCUACCGUCAGUUAAUUUGUAGUUGACUGUUAGUUGAAUUCAAAAAGACUGAAAUACCCCCAAUUGGAUUUUCAAGACUGAACAUGCUAUACAUUUGGCGCGAAAACUAUAACAACCAUAAUAUUACCAUUAUACCCCUUCAAAUUGGGUUAUUUACAAUUGCAUUCAACAAAUAAAAUGAUAAUUCUAUUUGGGUAAUUAUCACUGUUGCAAUUUGACCGUUGGAUCCGAAUGGUCACAUUGCCACAGAUUUGCCUAUUUAAAGGCUUAAAUACAGAGCUUUGUUCACAAGCAUCUCUACCUCUUCUUAACACUUUGCAAACUCAACUACAUUUCUCUCAAUCUUUCAAUCUCAACAACAUGGAUUCAGAGGGCUCAAGUGCAGUAACUAACAAGAAGAAUAGAUAUAAUAAAGGCAGUAUGAAAUGGAGGAGUCAAGUUAAUGGAAAUCUGAUCAAGUUUAGGAACUUGAAAUGUGAUUGCAGAGUACGUGCUGCUGUUCGAAUUUCAGAGACUGAAGAUAAUCCAAACAAGCUAUUCUACAACUGUCCUUAUGAUGCCUGUGACUUUUUCCAGUGGUGUUGUCCAGAACCAAGUGAUUUCGACAAUGGUGCAUUCUUUGAAGGUCAUAGAAGUUUUACAGUAGCACAACAACAAGUGCAGGUAGAACUUGAAGAAAUACUAAGUGCCCUGAAUGAAGUGAAGAUUAUACUGAAAAAAACUUAUCAAACUCAAAAUGUUUGUGACCAAGACUUAAGUGAUGUGCAUAAACUCACUUCAAAGAAAACCGAACAAGGUGGGGUGAUAUGUGGGCUGCUGAAGGCUGUGCUCUGUUUGAAUGCCUUUUUUUUUUACUGAGUGUUCUUGUGGUUAUUUUCCUGAAGUGAUUAACCUAAAUUACUAGCAUGAAUUUUGUAAUAAGUUGUACUCUAACUACUGGAAUGAGUAAUGAUAAGAUGAAAAUUUAAUGAACUUGUAAUGCUCUAUUUUUAGAAUGCUUAUCUUUGCUAACUAAGUGUAUAUAAUGUGAAGUAUCCUGUUUGAUUUGAGCAUAUGGCCUAGUCUUCAAUACUGCAUUUCCUAUGUAAUAACUUAACAUAAGCAUUCUGUACAUAUAGCUAAAAAUUAAAGGGAUUACAAUACUUUAGUUAUAAUAAUAUCUAUUAACAGUAGCAAAAUUAACUUGUGAGUUAAACUUUAACAGCAACAAGCAAACCAAUCCAGAACGAGUGAGAAGAGAAUCUAUUAAUUGCAUUCCAGCAUUAAAAUUCUUAAGCAGUAUCAUACAUAGUUACAUUCAAGCAGCUGUCACAAAGCAUGAAGCAGUUGAAUAUAAAUAGCUUCUGGUAAACUCAUGUAUAAUUUCCAGGUAUUAACCAAGCAAGCUUAUCAUAUUACUUGUCUUUGGCAUCACAAUAAUAUCAUGUACAAAAAACAAACUAACAAAAGGCUCAAACCUAUAGUCAGUCUGAGUAAAAGAUGAUACACCAGCUCCAUUCUUCUGCCCAUGACAAGAUGUUGUAUCAUCUGAUCCCUUCAAAAAAUUAGUUAGUGGGAAUAGUCUUGAUCUGCUUCUCAUGCUGGAUGCUAUCACUUUAAUGGUUUCAUUCUUGAGUAACAUGUCCUGGCAUGAAUAAAACAAACACUUACAUAUGAAAAUUAAAAAAAAUAGAUGUUGAUUACUAAAAUUAUUUAAAGAAUCGUGAAUAAAACUCACCAUUGUCAUGGACAGUAGGCUGAGAUAGUGCACUGCAAGCAACCCUUUGAGUUAUAGGCUGAUUAGAAUUAGAAGUGCCUUCACCAUUCACAACCUAUGCCACACCCAUUACAUCAUAAGCAAUUAAAUUAAUUAAAUUUAACUACUAAAUGAAAGAGAGAUGAUAAUUAACCUGUUUGCUAGAUACUUUAGUUCUUUUGCAGGUUCUCUUGUUAUGACCCCAAUGCUCACACUUAGAACAUUUGACACUUGAACUCCUCUUGAAUGUAGCUGGUUCAUCAGCUUCUUUCCUCCUCUUGAUCUGUGGCCGGCCAACAGACUUGAUAAUUAUAGGUGGCUGCAAAUUAUCAUGUAGAACCAGUGGCCACAUCUUCUCAUCAGGUAAAGGAAAGUAUUGAUACUUGUAGGUGUUGAUAAAAGCUGGACAUUUCAGAUAAUUAUGGAUAUAAUCUUCAAUGUUGAGCCUUUUUGCAUCAAUGGAACAAACACUAUGCUUACAAGGUAAGCCGGAUAUCUGCCAUUCCCUACAAUUACAAGUUUUUUUACCUAAAUCUACUACGAAUACUUUACAGAGAUCUUCCAUCACUUCGAAGGUGUUUUCAUGACCAAAUAUUACUGUUAAACCUCUCGCUGCAGCUCUUGCUUCCACAAUCUUUCUCCUAACAAGAGGUGGUAGAUGUCCAUUCCAUUUCUUUGCAUCCUCAUUCCUUUUAUGAAUAAGUUUCAUGAUCUUUCUCCUUAUCUCUUCGAGCAUCCUAACAAUAGGCAUGCCUCUAAAACUGUUAAUCCAGUUAUUGAACGAUUCAGUCAUGUUAUUGGUCACAUGAUUGCACUUGGUGUGGUUAGGAAAAGUGUGUUUAGCCCAAUAUACAGUUGGAAUGUUCAUGAGCCACCGGUGAGCUGCAUCGCUGAUUUUCUUCAAUUCCUCAAUGCUUUCACUGAAUUCUGAGUAGUUUGGACUUCUACAUGCCUUCCAAAAGACCUUUUUCAACAAAGUGCCAGGAAACUUUUGCUUGAAAUUGGCAUAAAUAUGCCUACAACAGUAUCUUUUGAUUGCAUUAGGAAACACUCUAUCAAUUGCAUUGAUCACUCCUUUUUGUCGAUCACUCAUGAAACAUAGGCCUUCUCCACCAUUACAACCAAUCUGGUCAUAUAGCUUUUCCAUGAAAAACUCCCAAGAGUAAGUGUUUUCACUCUCUACUACACAUAAGGCUAGUGGAUAUAUACCAUAAUUAGCAUCAAUCCCAACUGCAGUCAAUAAAACUCCUUUAUAUGGCCCUUUUAGAUGGCAGCCAUCAACCCCUACAAACUGCCUACAGCCUUCAAAAAAACCUCUCCUACUUGCAUCAAGCAUCAUGAAAAAUCUUUUAAAUACUGGGUGAGCUGUAUCUCCAUUCAAUUCCCUCUCAAUAGCUACUGUGGAUCCAGGGUUAUACUUUAUCAAAGCUUGUUGGUAUCUACUCAGUUUGCUGUAACUUUUCUUGUGAUCUUGGCCAAGUAAUUCAAGUGCUUUUUGUUUUGCUCUGUAUAACCUAUGCACACUGCACUCAAUGCCAUACUUUUUCAAAAGCUCAGCUGCUAUUAACUUGACACUGACUUCGGGAGUUGACUUGAAGAUAUGAAGAUAAGUGGCUGCAAUCCAGGUUGAAGUAGCUUCUCCGUUAUCAUCAUCAAUCCCACCACAUGUAUGAACAUCACAUAGGGUCUUAAUUUGAAAUGAGUUGCUGUUCCAGUUUGGACUAGCAUGAAUUCUCCAUGUACAUCCUGACUUAGCACAUCUAGCUGUCACUCUGGCUUUUUCAUUUUUAAGUCUAUACAAUCUGAAGCCAUUUCUGAUGGCAUAUACCCUCAACACCUUCCUAAACUCAUAAACAUCUACAAACAACUGACCAGGCCGUAGAACAAGGUUAUCUCCAUCUUGUGUGAACUCAAAUCCACCUGAAUUGGUGUCAUAUCUCACACAAGCAGCAAUUUCCUCAUCAGACGAAUCAAAUUCAUCACCAGUCUCAUCACCUGACUGAUAAUCAUCAAGAACAUAGUCACUUUCUUCACCAUCUGAUCUUGCAUUCUCUUCAUCACUUUCUUCACCAUCUGAUUUAGAAGUAUAAAUUGUGUCAGUUGAACCUUUGCCAUUUUUCCCAGAAUUCUCAGAGCUAAAGUGUACUGUCAUAUCAUCUUCGAGUAAAUAACCACUCCGAAUACUGAAUUGCGUCAUAUUAUUCUCAUUGUUAAUUUCUUCAACAUCAUCUAGUUCAUUCCAAUUAAUUUCAGGAUCGACAUUGAGGUUGACAGAAAACUGAUUUUCAGGAGUUAUCUCAGUCACCUUGCCAUCAACUACUGCUUCAACAUCAUAAUGCACAACACUGUAAUGCAAUAAAACAACAUAAAUAAAUGCUAUUAAUGUUAAAGAAAAAGCUAAAAUUUAGUAAAUAGAAAAUGCAAAGUGUAGUUGACUGGUAGUAGCACACAAAUGCAGCAUAUCAUCUAUUUCAAGCUUAUUAAAACCCACUUUAAAAAUUACAUCAUGAAUAUUACCAUAUGCUUGCAAAUGCAUAAUCAACCGUAACAUAAGCUAAAACCAUAUGCUUGCAAAAUACCCAAAAUGGUGUUGGAAAAUUUAUUCUCGAUUUUAUGUUUCACAGUUCCAUAAACAUUAUCAAAGAUGUGUCAAUGAACAAAUAAUGAAGCAUAAACUUGACAUUUACAAACAACUCACCAUAAUAUCAAUACGCUCUAAAUGGAGCAAAAAAAAAAAAAGCUUGAUUCAAAACUAACCUAUAAUUAAUUUCAACAUACCGAUUCAAAUCUUUCGAGCAUCGGUGAAAUUCAGAGCGGGACAUGAUGCAGAUUUAGUGUUUCUUCUUCACUUCACCCAAAUAAUAGAUACUGCUUUGCUAGAAAUUAAAAAAAAAAUUUCCUUCUCAACAGAGCUUUCGUCGUCUGAGCUUCAUGAAACUCAGCUUCAUGAAAGAGAAACGUGCAGUUUCAGAGAAAAGAGAAAAAGUUUUAAGCUUUGAUUCUUUUACAGUUUUUUAUUUAUAUCAAUUAUCACAAGGCACGAUUUUUUUCACAAUGAUUUGACAAUUCACUGGGCUCAUGUCAACUAAAAUGUGUAAAAGUUAGCUUGUCAAAUUAAAUUACUAAAUUGCCCAUAACUAACCAUAUGAGAUUUACCGUUUGCAUUCCGUAAGGGGGUUUUUACUAAUAAAUGAAUCUUGGCCAUCUAAGUGCAAAAGACCCAAAGCUCAAGGGAGGAAAGUAAAAAUUACCCUUACUAUUUCUCGUUGCACUUAUAAAGAAACCAAAGCUUUAAGAGAAAUCGGCCAAAUCAUGAAGAUUGAAGAGUAAAUCUAUGGUUUUAUAUUUAUAUUUUUAUUUUUAGAUAAUAGAUAUUAUUUUGAUGAAUUUUUAAUAUUAGAAUAAUGUUAGGAAUUUCGAUAGUAGAAUUCUAACUUGAGACCCAAUUGUUAUGUGUCAUUUUUUUAUUAGAUAAUAAAUUUCAUAAUUAGUAAAAUUAAUAUUUCAAUCAUCUAAUAAAUGACUAUCAUAUCAGUUGAGACUUAAUUAUUGGGAUCCUUAACAUUGCUCUUAGUAUUAAAUUGGACAUCUUAGCUAAAUCAGAUUAAAAAUCAAAUUAGAUUUUUGGCUUUUAUCCAACAUUUGUUUUUUGGUCUCUUUGUAGUGAACGAAAUAAAAAUACAACAGGUUCAACGACUGGGCAAUUGAUAGUCAAGUAGAAGCAAAUCAAGGCUAAAUGGGAAAGAAAAAUGAUAUGUGUACAAAACAAGGAGAAAAUCCGUGUAACUGAAGAGAAUCAAAGUGCUUUUGAGAUUAGAAAUUGAAGCAAGAAAAGGGUCGCUUGAUCCAUUGAAAAUGCUAAGAGCCAAUGGCAAAAGAGAACAAUGUUAAAUAAGAAAACAGCUAGCGCUAGCAGCGACCACAAUAGACAGAAAAGUUGAGAUGGAUUUACAAUAUUUCUGCCUUUCUUCAUGCUUUAACAAAUAUUGCUCUAUAAAAAAAAAUAUUGAGCGUUUUUAUUAUUGGAGUCACAAAAGACCUACACAAUAUAGCAAGUGCUAGGAAUAAAUAAGAAUAUAUAACUCUCUCUCUAAUUCUCACUCUAGCUUUUAAUUGUCAUUCAAAACCCAAAAUUCAUCCUUAAAGUGUAAGCAAAUCAAAGAUGACAGCGUCUGGUUGUCAUACGUGCCUUUUAGUUUUCGGAUGACAUGGCGUACACUUCUUCUGUAAACCGAACAUGACAUGUCGUACUCUUUGUUUUGAGAUCAUAUUUCAAACUCUUCAUGCUAUGAAUGUAAGAUAAACUACAAUCAUCAAAAUAUUUAGUGUUUAUUUGGUAAUGUAACGUCAUAGUUGUUGUGAAUUGAAAUUAUUUCUGUGAGAUAAAAGGAUUUGGGUCAUUGUUUGUUAUUCUCUGGCAAUAUUGUCUGGCCGUGACUAUUUGUUAAAUAUUAAAAAAAUAAAAUUAUAUUUAUUAAGUAUAAAAAAUAAAUAAACAAACAAAAAUAAAAGGAAAAGUUUAUACAUUACAUAAAAUAAUAAGAACAUUAUCAAUAUUUCACACUCUAUAAUUGAGUGAUGUGUUGUCCAACUGCCAUACAUUGGUCUCAAAUGGAGACUUAAAUAUUAAAGUCCAAAGUUAUUGUGAUGAUGACUUAUAAUCGCCAAACUUGACAUACNNNNNNNNNNNNNNNNNNNNNNNNNNNNNNNNNNNNNNNNNNNNNNNNNNNNNNNNNNNNNNNNNNNNNNNNNNNNNNNNNNNNNNNNNNNNNNNNNNNNNNNNNNNNNNNNNNNNNNNNNNNNNNNNNNNNNNNNNNNNNNNNNNNNNNCUGGAAGUUGCCAUUUGCCAAUGCUACUAACAUUUUUAAACUUAGAAAACCUUCAAUCAAUCAUUUAGUGGUAGGCUCUGGUAGCUUGCUUUGAUUAUGACAUAUGAUUAUUUGAUAAUAAAGUUAGAGGAUGUAUUAAUAUAAAAUUUGUUUAUUGGUGUUGAAGUUAAUUAUCUCAUUAAUAAUAGUAUAAAAAGUUAAUCACUAAGAAACACAUAGCAAUAUUCUGGGAUAUAAUUUUAUAUCAUAACUUUGUAAGUGUAUAAUUACUCAUUAAAUUAACAAAAUUAUUUUAAAAUAUUUAGUUAAAAAAAUAAAUUAUAUUCUUUUUAUUUCAAAUAAUCUAUAAGUUAACACAAAACAUAAUCAAGAUGAGAAUUAAAAUAAUGCUACUGUAUGAGAGGAUUUUUAUUUUUUCCCGAAGUUUCACUAGGAAAUUAUUGAUAUAUAGCUUUAUUCGGAUCAUCUCAGAUCAAACGACAAAUAAUUGAAAGACUAAACUAAAUAGACCAGCCAACAACUUUGUACAGCAGAGUUCAAAAAUUAAGGUCAUGGUAUUGAGGUGUUCUAUCUUCAAAAGUACGGUAUAGUGAUAAAAUAAAAACUAUUAGUCUUUGGUAAGAUAUGACUUUUAAAUAAUAAUUUUCACAAAAAUACAAAGAAUAUUUAUAAAGUACUUCUAUAGUGAGGAGACCCUCGCUUUGUUAAAGUGAAAAUAUCAAUAAUAUACAAGAAACAUAUAUUUUAACACAUUAAGAAUUGUAUCUUUUUAAUCUAUUGGUGUAUUGAAAUAUGUGUUAUUUAGUUUGUUAGUGAUAUCAUCACUUUGUUAAAAUAAGGAUGUCAGAACCAUUAUAUAUAAGAAAGCAAAUAUAUUUUGUACGGUAUAAUAGUGUAAUAACAUCACCCGAGUAUAUCAUAUAGAGUAAUAGUUUUUGGAACUUUAAUAAAGUUCAAGAUUAUAGAAUGAAUGAUUUAUAUAUAUUUUAAAUUUUUUAUCAUAAAGUGGAGGACAAAAGUAACAUAUUUUUCAAAUUAUAAUAAGUAUUUAUCAAAUAAUUUAACAUCGUAAUUUCUCCUAACUAGUGUAGUAAAUACGACCUAGGAGGUACAUUCAAAGCAUUUCAUAAGUUAAUUGUUAAUAAUAAAUGAUACAUGCAGCUCCAAUCAUCAUUGUACGGUGAGUAAUUUCCAGUUAUAAAUAGAUAUUACUCCCUUCCCAGCAAUUUUUGAUGGCUUAAUUUAGUGGGAUCAAAAUCAACAUUGAAUGUCAAAAUAUUAAUGGCCAUGAUGCUUAUUCCAAUGUGAGUAGAUCACAGUGGGUACUGCACAUGAUGCUUGUUUCUCCUUUUGCAUCUAUUUUUGUUGUUAACAUUAAUUUCAAUACCAGCUCGUUAUGUAUGCAACAUUUCAAAAUUAAUCCAAAAGAACAAAAAUUAGUUCAGCUGACUAAAUUUGAAAGCAUGUAUUUGCUGUCGAUUAAAAAUCGUUUUGUAGGGAAAAUUUUUGGAUUGCAAUUCUCAUACAAUACGUAAAAUUAUCAUAAUCUAUAAAUUGUAUUUUUGAUUUUCUGUGGUAGUAAGUUAGACUCCUUAGUGACGAUUUAAAUUGAAAAAAUAAAAUCAUAAAUAAGAAUUAUUUGACAAGAAUUAAAAUAAUUGAUAAAUAUUUGAGAGGAGCAAUUUUGGAAGAUUCGAUUUCUAAUCGGAGGGGAAUUUGAAUUUUACAGCCUUCGGUGAGGAAUCCAAAAUGCACAAUUUGAUGAAAAUUAAAUUUCAAUAGAAAUUGAAUUCCCUUUAUUAGUGAAAACCAAACAACAGAAAAGUGAAAGGAAUUUGAAUUCAUUUCCUUCCUCUCUUCUCCCUCCAACUAAAUACCAUCGAAAUCCAAAGGUAUGGGAUUGGGAUUCCAUACUGAUCAGAAUGGGAUUUGUUCAUAUUAUUAGGACCAAUUUUAAAAGCAGUCGGAGUUUCGGAGUUUAAGAUUGAAAUUAAUCCCAAUUGUUGAUUUGGGACUCGAUAAGAAUUUAUCUUGGAACUCCAAUUCUCCCAAUUAUUUUAGUUGACAAUAUGUUUAACAUUAUUUUUUAAACAUUAUUAAUUGCAUAUUAUUUAAUUAUCAGUAUAUAAUAUUCUUUAAUUUUCUAAUUUUAUAGGAUUAGACACAAAAUUGAUUAUGCCUUUUGAAAUUUAAGUGUUAUGUCAAUUGAAUAGAAAACUUGGAGUAAAACUUUUGGAUGCUUUUGUUGAUUAUCAAUUUAUGCAUGAAUUUUUGUACGUUUAUUUUGGUUUCUUAUUAUUACUUUUAAACAUUUUUAUUGGUUUGAUUUAGGGUUAGUUUGGUAAUCCUGUAUCUUUAAAAUUAAUUACAGUUAGCUAUGCUGUAGAAAUUGAUAAAUCGUGAAAAGAAUCAACCGAACAUUUAGGUGGCGUUUGUUUUUUUGUCUGAAAUCUGAAUAGACCUGAAUUAGUCUGAAUUCUGAAUAGGUCUGAAUGUCUGAAUCUGAAUAAUAUGUUUGUUUUUUCGUCUGAAUCUCGGAAAAUAAGUAUUAAGUUGUUUUUUUUUUCAACUUAAAAAGCUGAAAAUAUGUACUUUUACAUUUGUAUCCUUAUUAAAUUUGAAUGUCAAAUAAAUAAUAUAUUAAAUACCAUAAUAUUUUAACAUUUAUAAGUAAAACUAUAUUCAAGUGAAUACAUAAUUAUUUUGGAAUUUUAAUAUAUAAAAUACCAUAAAUUUCAAAUUUUAUUGUAUAUAAUAUAAGAAAGAAAAAAUAGGGAUAUUUUUAUGUGAGGUAAAUAUCUAUGGGUGAGUUUUGGGAUAGACAUGAAAAAUAAAUUAUAAAACAGGGAUAUUUUUUACAUUAGCAAGCAAUUGACUUAAUUCAUAUUUCUCCAUUAAGUAAAAAGCCAAAAAAAUUAGCUUAUUUUAUUAAGUCAAAAUUAUCUAAAAAGUCUCAUUAAGUUAUAAAAACAAACACGUCUAAUUAACUUAAUUAAUUAAGUUAAGUCACUUUAAGUCAUUAAGUUAAAAAACAAACACCACCUUAGUAAAUUUUAUUUUAAAAAGUACAUUUAGUUUUAAAAUCAGUCGUAUGUGUUUCAUAAAUCUUAUUGUUAAAUCAGUGCAAGAAUGUAAAUGACUGAAUCAGACAUAAUGCUAAAUAAAAUUUAUUUAGACAUUUACAAACACGUAUAUAAAAUAUUUUUAUUACGUACAUAUAAUUAUUGAUAACUAAAAUAAAUAUUUUAUAUUAUUAAAUUUUAUUCUCUAUUUUGUUAUGUCCAUAUAAUUGGUAAUAAUAAUAAUUUCUUUAAAGUUUUGUAGGGAAAAUUUUUAGAUUGCAAUUCUCAUACAAUACAUGGAAUUAUCAUAAUCUAUAAAUUGUAUUUUUGCUUUUCUGUGGUAGUAAGUCAGGCUCCUUAGUGACAAUUUAAAUUGAAAAAAUAAAAUCAUAAAUAAGAAUUAUUUGAUAAGAAUUAAAAUAAUUGAUAAAUAUUUGAGAGGAGCAAUUUUGGAAGAUUCGAUUUCUAAUAGGAGGGGAAUUUGAAUUUUACAGCCUUCGGUGGGGAAUCCAAAAUGCACAAUUUGAUGAAAAUUAAAUUUAAAUAGAAAUUAAAUUCCCAUAUAUUAGUGAAAACCAAACAACAGAAAAGUGAAAGGAGUUUGAAUUUCAGGGUCCAACUACAAUACCUGCGGGGUUUGGUACCCUAUUUUUUGUCUUUUUCAAACCUACCGUUGGAUUUAAUGUAAGAAUUGCGUAAUGGCUGAGAUGUGAUUAUUGGGUUAUUAACAUCAAAGACCCUUAUUGUUCAUGCAAAAUAAACAAAAUCAAAAGUUUUGAAAUUUGACAUAUAAGUCCAUAAUAUUCUCUCUUUUUUUUUUAACUCCAUUGAAAUAGGUUUCCAAUUAAAUGACUUAUUCUUACAUUUAUUAAUAUCUAUUUAAAUUAAUUAAUUAAUUAAUUAAUUAAUUAACUACUUUGUUAUAUAGUUAAACAAUGCAUGUAUAUUAUUUACUAACCAUAAUUAGUGAUAAGUAUAAAUAUGAUCUUUUUUUUUUAAUUUAACAUAAUGGCAACCAAUUAUCUCUCACCUAUGUGAACAAGGUUCAAAACCCAUAAUUUUGUUUUUCAACACAAGAGAUUUUAUUAUCUCAAGUAGAUGAAAUAUACAAAAUACAAAAAUAAACUUAAUUUCAUAUUCUAUGUAGUUAAUUUUUUUUGUAACAUAAUAUUUAUUAAACAUACUAUCAACUAUUUAAUUAUAUAGUAAAAAUAUGUUAAUUUACUAAUAAUAAUAAAAUGUUAGUUUAUUAACUUGUAAAAUCUUUUUGUUAACAAUGAGUUUUUGUCCUUAAAUAAAUAAAAAUAAUUUAAUUGCACGCUUAAAUAAAUUGGUAUUUGUUACUCCACCCCAACUAUUUAAAUAGUCAUUAACUUAUCGGAGAGAAGGGUAAAAAAAUUCUAAACAAUUACUCUAUUUGAAAAUAAUUUAAAUAUUUCUUUAAAAAAAACUAAAAAUAAGUAUUUUCUAUUCUUUCUUCUUUCUUGCUAACAUCACAGAUGGAUAACAAUAGAGAUGGCAAUUCAACACAUAUCUAUCAAUUAAAAUAGAAGUCAAUUAAUAUAAUUAAGUGAAUAAUUAAUUGUGUCAUGAAUGAAUUAUCAUAUUAGGAGUUUUAAAACCAAACCCAAUAGAAUUAUUAAUCAAGUUAACAGCUAGAAAGAGCAAACAAAUCCAUUCAAGUUGGAUGUCUAAGUAUCUGAUCUGAAUAGAUUGGAUAGUAUCCAUAUAAAAUACUCUGAAUUUGAUUUAUUCAAUAUCCAUCCAUGAACUUGAAUAUUAGUAAUAUUUAAGUGUAUGAGACUAAAAUUAAGUAUUAUAUUUAAUAUUUAAGUUUNNNNNNNNNNNNNNNNNNNNNNNNNNNNNNNNNNNNNNNNNNNNNNNNNNNNNNNNNNNNNNNNNNNNNNNNNNNNNNNNNNNNNNNNNNNNNNNNNNNNNNNNNNNNNNNNNNNNNNNNNNNNNNNNNNNNNNNNNNNNNNNNNNNNNNNNNNNNNNNNNNNNNNNNNNNNNNNNNNNNNNNNNNNNNNNNNNNNNNNNNNNNNNNNNNNNNNNNNNNNNNNNNNNNNNNNNNNNNNNNNNNNNNNNNNNNNNNNNNNNNNNNNNNNNNNNNNNNNNNNNNNNNNNNNNNNNNNNNNNNNNNNNNNNNNNNNNNNNNNNNNNNNNNNNNNNNNNNNNNNNNNNNNNNNNNNNNNNNNNNNNNNNNNNNNNNNNNNNNNNNNNNNNNNNNNNNNNNNNNNNNNNNNNNNNNNNNNNNNNNNNNNNNNNNNNNNNNNNNNNNNNNNNNNNNNNNNNNNNNNNNNNNNNNNNNNNNNNNNNNNNNNNNNNNNNNNNNNNNNNNNNNNNNNNNNNNNNNNNNNNNNNNNNNNNNNNNNNNNNNNNNNNNNNNNNNNNNNNNNNNNNNNNNNNNNNNNNNNNNNNNNNNNNNNNNNNNNNNNNNNNNNNNNNNNNNNNNNNNNNNNNNNNNNNNNNNNNNNNNNNNNNNNNNNNNNNNNNNNNNNNNNNNNNNNNNNNNNNNNNNNNNNNNNNNNNNNNNNNNNNNNNNNNNNNNNNNNNNNNNNNNNNNNNNNNNNNNNNNNNNNNNNNNNNNNNNNNNNNNNNNNNNNNNNNNNNNNNNNNNNNNNNNNNNNNNNNNNNNNNNNNNNNNNNNNNNNNNNNNNNNNNNNNNNNNNNNNNNNNNNNNNNNNNNNNNNNNNNNNNNNNNNNNNNNNNNNNNNNNNNNNNNNNNNNNNNNNNNNNNNNNNNNNNNNNNNNNNNNNNNNNNNNNNNNNNNNNNNNNNNNNNNNNNNNNNNNNNNNNNNNNNNNNNNNNNNNNNNNNNNNNNNNNNNNNNNNNNNNNNNNNNNNNNNNNNNNNNNNNNNNNNNNNNNNNNNNNNNNNNNNNNNNNNNNNNNNNNNNNNNNNNNNNNNNNNNNNNNNNNNNNNNNNNNNNNNNNNNNNNNNNNNNNNNNNNNNNNNNNNNNNNNNNNNNNNNNNNNNNNNNNNNNNNNNNNNNNNNNNNNNNNNNNNNNNNNNNNNNNNNNNNNNNNNNNNNNNNNNNNNNNNNNNNNNNNNNNNNNNNNNNNNNNNNNNNNNNNNNNNNNNNNNNNNNNNNNNNNNNNNNNNNNNNNNNNNNNNNNNNNNNNNNNNNNNNNNNNNNNNNNNNNNNNNNNNNNNNNNNNNNNNNNNNNNNNNNNNNNNNNNNNNNNNNNNNNNNNNNNNNNNNNNNNNNNNNNNNNNNNNNNNNNNNNNNNNNNNNNNNNNNNNNNNNNNNNNNNNNNNNNNNNNNNNNNNNNNNNNNNNNNNNNNNNNNNNNNNNNNNNNNNNNNNNNNNNNNNNNNNNNNNNNNNNNNNNNNNNNNNNNNNNNNNNNNNNNNNNNNNNNNNNNNNNNNNNNNNNNNNNNNNNNNNNNNNNNNNNNNNNNNNNNNNNNNNNNNNNNNNNNNNNNNNNNNNNNNNNNNNNNNNNNNNNNNNNNNNNNNNNNNNNNNNNNNNNNNNNNNNNNNNNNNNNNNNNNNNNNNNNNNNNNNNNNNNNNNNNNNNNNNNNNNNNNNNNNNNNNNNNNNNNNNNNNNNNNNNNNNNNNNNNNNNNNNNNNNNNNNNNNNNNNNNNNNNNNNNNNNNNNNNNNNNNNNNNNNNNNNNNNNNNNNNNNNNNNNNNNNNNNNNNNNNNNNNNNNNNNNNNNNNNNNNNNNNNNNNNNNNNNNNNNNNNNNNNNNNNNNNNNNNNNNNNNNNNNNNNNNNNNNNNNNNNNNNNNNNNNNNNNNNNNNNNNNNNNNNNNNNNNNNNNNNNNNNNNNNNNNNNNNNNNNNNNNNNNNNNNNNNNNNNNNNNNNNNNNNNNNNNNNNNNNNNNNNNNNNNNNNNNNNNNNNNNNNNNNNNNNNNNNNNNNNNNNNNNNNNNNNNNNNNNNNNNNNNNNNNNNNNNNNNNNNNNNNNNNNNNNNNNNNNNNNNNNNNNNNNNNNNNNNNNNNNNNNNNNNNNNNNNNNNNNNNNNNNNNNNNNNNNNNNNNNNNNNNNNNNNNNNNNNNNNNNNNNNNNNNNNNNNNNNNNNNNNNNNNNNNNNNNNNNNNNNNNNNNNNNNNNNNNNNNNNNNNNNNNNNNNNNNNNNNNNNNNNNNNNNNNNNNNNNNNNNNNNNNNNNNNNNNNNNNNNNNNNNNNNNNNNNNNNNNNNNNNNNNNNNNNNNNNNNNNNNNNNNNNNNNNNNNNNNNNNNNNNNNNNNNNNNNNNNNNNNNNNNNNNNNNNNNNNNNNNNNNNNNNNNNNNNNNNNNNNNNNNNNNNNNNNNNNNNNNNNNNNNNNNNNNNNNNNNNNNNNNNNNNNNNNNNNNNNNNNNNNNNNNNNNNNNNNNNNNNNNNNNNNNNNNNNNNNNNNNNNNNNNNNNNNNNNNNNNNNNNNNNNNNNNNNNNNNNNNNNNNNNNNNNNNNNNNNNNNNNNNNNNNNNNNNNNNNNNNNNNNNNNNNNNNNNNNNNNNNNNNNNNNNNNNNNNNNNNNNNNNNNNNNNNNNNNNNNNNNNNNNNNNNNNNNNNNNNNNNNNNNNNNNNNNNNNNNNNNNNNNNNNNNNNNNNNNNNNNNNNNNNNNNNNNNNNNNNNNNNNNNNNNNNNNNNNNNNNNNNNNNNNNNNNNNNNNNNNNNNNNNNNNNNNNNNNNNNNNNNNNNNNNNNNNNNNNNNNNNNNNNNNNNNNNNNNNNNNNNNNNNNNNNNNNNNNNNNNNNNNNNNNNNNNNNNNNNNNNNNNNNNNNNNNNNNNNNNNNNNNNNNNNNNNNNNNNNNNNNNNNNNNNNNNNNNNNNNNNNNNNNNNNNNNNNNNNNNNNNNNNNNNNNNNNNNNNNNNNNNNNNNNNNNNNNNNNNNNNNNNNNNNNNNNNNNNNNNNNNNNNNNNNNNNNNNNNNNNNNNNNNNNNNNNNNNNNNNNNNNNNNNNNNNNNNNNNNNNNNNNNNNNNNNNNNNNNNNNNNNNNNNNNNNNNNNNNNNNNNNNNNNNNNNNNNNNNNNNNNNNNNNNNNNNNNNNNNNNNNNNNNNNNNNNNNNNNNNNNNNNNNNNNNNNNNNNNNNNNNNNNNNNNNNNNNNNNNNNNNNNNNNNNNNNNNNNNNNNNNNNNNNNNNNNNNNNNNNNNNNNNNNNNNNNNNNNNNNNNNNNNNNNNNNNNNNNNNNNNNNNNNNNNNNNNNNNNNNNNNNNNNNNNNNNNNNNNNNNNNNNNNNNNNNNNNNNNNNNNNNNNNNNNNNNNNNNNNNNNNNNNNNNNNNNNNNNNNNNNNNNNNNNNNNNNNNNNNNNNNNNNNNNNNNNNNNNNNNNNNNNNNNNNNNNNNNNNNNNNNNNNNNNNNNNNNNNNNNNNNNNNNNNNNNNNNNNNNNNNNNNNNNNNNNNNNNNNNNNNNNNNNNNNNNNNNNNNNNNNNNNNNNNNNNNNNNNNNNNNNNNNNNNNNNNNNNNNNNNNNNNNNNNNNNNNNNNNNNNNNNNNNNNNNNNNNNNNNNNNNNNNNNNNNNNNNNNNNNNNNNNNNNNNNNNNNNNNNNNNNNNNNNNNNNNNNNNNNNNNNNNNNNNNNNNNNNNNNNNNNNNNNNNNNNNNNNNNNNNNNNNNNNNNNNNNNNNNNNNNNNNNNNNNNNNNNNNNNNNNNNNNNNNNNNNNNNNNNNNNNNNNNNNNNNNNNNNNNNNNNNNNNNNNNNNNNNNNNNNNNNNNNNNNNNNNNNNNNNNNNNNNNNNNNNNNNNNNNNNNNNNNNNNNNNNNNNNNNNNNNNNNNNNNNNNNNNNNNNNNNNNNNNNNNNNNNNNNNNNNNNNNNNNNNNNNNNNNNNNNNNNNNNNNNNNNNNNNNNNNNNNNNNNNNNNNNNNNNNNNNNNNNNNNNNNNNNNNNNNNNNNNNNNNNNNNNNNNNNNNNNNNNNNNNNNNNNNNNNNNNNNNNNNNNNNNNNNNNNNNNNNNNNNNNNNNNNNNNNNNNNNNNNNNNNNNNNNNNNNNNNNNNNNNNNNNNNNNNNNNNNNNNNNNNNNNNNNNNNNNNNNNNNNNNNNNNNNNNNNNNNNNNNNNNNNNNNNNNNNNNNNNNNNNNNNNNNNNNNNNNNNNNNNNNNNNNNNNNNNNNNNNNNNNNNNNNNNNNNNNNNNNNNNNNNNNNNNNNNNNNNNNNNNNNNNNNNNNNNNNNNNNNNNNNNNNNNNNNNNNNNNNNNNNNNNNNNNNNNNNNNNNNNNNNNNNNNNNNNNNNNNNNNNNNNNNNNNNNNNNNNNNNNNNNNNNNNNNNNNNNNNNNNNNNNNNNNNNNNNNNNNNNNNNNNNNNNNNNNNNNNNNNNNNNNNNNNNNNNNNNNNNNNNNNNNNNNNNNNNNNNNNNNNNNNNNNNNNNNNNNNNNNNNNNNNNNNNNNNNNNNNNNNNNNNNNNNNNNNNNNNNNNNNNNNNNNNNNNNNNNNNNNNNNNNNNNNNNNNNNNNNNNNNNNNNNNNNNNNNNNNNNNNNNNNNNNNNNNNNNNNNNNNNNNNNNNNNNNNNNNNNNNNNNNNNNNNNNNNNNNNNNNNNNNNNNNNNNNNNNNNNNNNNNNNNNNNNNNNNNNNNNNNNNNNNNNNNNNNNNNNNNNNNNNNNNNNNNNNNNNNNNNNNNNNNNNNNNNNNNNNNNNNNNNNNNNNNNNNNNNNNNNNNNNNNNNNNNNNNNNNNNNNNNNNNNNNNNNNNNNNNNNNNNNNNNNNNNNNNNNNNNNNNNNNNNNNNNNNNNNNNNNNNNNNNNNNNNNNNNNNNNNNNNNNNNNNNNNNNNNNNNNNNNNNNNNNNNNNNNNNNNNNNNNNNNNNNNNNNNNNNNNNNNNNNNNNNNNNNNNNNNNNNNNNNNNNNNNNNNNNNNNNNNNNNNNNNNNNNNNNNNNNNNNNNNNNNNNNNNNNNNNNNNNNNNNNNNNNNNNNNNNNNNNNNNNNNNNNNNNNNNNNNNNNNNNNNNNNNNNNNNNNNNNNNNNNNNNNNNNNNNNNNNNNNNNNNNNNNNNNNNNNNNNNNNNNNNNNNNNNNNNNNNNNNNNNNNNNNNNNNNNNNNNNNNNNNNNNNNNNNNNNNNNNNNNNNNNNNNNNNNNNNNNNNNNNNNNNNNNNNNNNNNNNNNNNNNNNNNNNNNNNNNNNNNNNNNNNNNNNNNNNNNNNNNNNNNNNNNNNNNNNNNNNNNNNNNNNNNNNNNNNNNNNNNNNNNNNNNNNNNNNNNNNNNNNNNNNNNNNNNNNNNNNNNNNNNNNNNNNNNNNNNNNNNNNNNNNNNNNNNNNNNNNNNNNNNNNNNNNNNNNNNNNNNNNNNNNNNNNNNNNNNNNNNNNNNNNNNNNNNNNNNNNNNNNNNNNNNNNNNNNNNNNNNNNNNNNNNNNNNNNNNNNNNNNNNNNNNNNNNNNNNNNNNNNNNNNNNNNNNNNNNNNNNNNNNNNNNNNNNNNNNNNNNNNNNNNNNNNNNNNNNNNNNNNNNNNNNNNNNNNNNNNNNNNNNNNNNNNNNNNNNNNNNNNNNNNNNNNNNNNNNNNNNNNNNNNNNNNNNNNNNNNNNNNNNNNNNNNNNNNNNNNNNNNNNNNNNNNNNNNNNNNNNNNNNNNNNNNNNNNNNNNNNNNNNNNNNNNNNNNNNNNNNNNNNNNNNNNNNNNNNNNNNNNNNNNNNNNNNNNNNNNNNNNNNNNNNNNNNNNNNNNNNNNNNNNNNNNNNNNNNNNNNNNNNNNNNNNNNNNNNNNNNNNNNNNNNNNNNNNNNNNNNNNNNNNNNNNNNNNNNNNNNNNNNNNNNNNNNNNNNNNNNNNNNNNNNNNNNNNNNNNNNNNNNNNNNNNNNNNNNNNNNNNNNNNNNNNNNNNNNNNNNNNNNNNNNNNNNNNNNNNNNNNNNNNNNNNNNNNNNNNNNNNNNNNNNNNNNNNNNNNNNNNNNNNNNNNNNNNNNNNNNNNNNNNNNNNNNNNNNNNNNNNNNNNNNNNNNNNNNNNNNNNNNNNNNNNNNNNNNNNNNNNNNNNNNNNNNNNNNNNNNNNNNNNNNNNNNNNNNNNNNNNNNNNNNNNNNNNNNNNNNNNNNNNNNNNNNNNNNNNNNNNNNNNNNNNNNNNNNNNNNNNNNNNNNNNNNNNNNNNNNNNNNNNNNNNNNNNNNNNNNNNNNNNNNNNNNNNNNNNNNNNNNNNNNNNNNNNNNNNNNNNNNNNNNNNNNNNNNNNNNNNNNNNNNNNNNNNNNNNNNNNNNNNNNNNNNNNNNNNNNNNNNNNNNNNNNNNNNNNNNNNNNNNNNNNNNNNNNNNNNNNNNNNNNNNNNNNNNNNNNNNNNNNNNNNNNNNNNNNNNNNNNNNNNNNNNNNNNNNNNNNNNNNNNNNNNNNNNNNNNNNNNNNNNNNNNNNNNNNNNNNNNNNNNNNNNNNNNNNNNNNNNNNNNNNNNNNNNNNNNNNNNNNNNNNNNNNNNNNNNNNNNNNNNNNNNNNNNNNNNNNNNNNNNNNNNNNNNNNNNNNNNNNNNNNNNNNNNNNNNNNNNNNNNNNNNNNNNNNNNNNNNNNNNNNNNNNNNNNNNNNNNNNNNNNNNNNNNNNNNNNNNNNNNNNNNNNNNNNNNNNNNNNNNNNNNNNNNNNNNNNNNNNNNNNNNNNNNNNNNNNNNNNNNNNNNNNNNNNNNNNNNNNNNNNNNNNNNNNNNNNNNNNNNNNNNNNNNNNNNNNNNNNNNNNNNNNNNNNNNNNNNNNNNNNNNNNNNNNNNNNNNNNNNNNNNNNNNNNNNNNNNNNNNNNNNNNNNNNNNNNNNNNNNNNNNNNNNNNNNNNNNNNNNNNNNNNNNNNNNNNNNNNNNNNNNNNNNNNNNNNNNNNNNNNNNNNNNNNNNNNNNNNNNNNNNNNNNNNNNNNNNNNNNNNNNNNNNNNNNNNNNNNNNNNNNNNNNNNNNNNNNNNNNNNNNNNNNNNNNNNNNNNNNNNNNNNNNNNNNNNNNNNNNNNNNNNNNNNNNNNNNNNNNNNNNNNNNNNNNNNNNNNNNNNNNNNNNNNNNNNNNNNNNNNNNNNNNNNNNNNNNNNNNNNNNNNNNNNNNNNNNNNNNNNNNNNNNNNNNNNNNNNNNNNNNNNNNNNNNNNNNNNNNNNNNNNNNNNNNNNNNNNNNNNNNNNNNNNNNNNNNNNNNNNNNNNNNNNNNNNNNNNNNNNNNNNNNNNNNNNNNNNNNNNNNNNNNNNNNNNNNNNNNNNNNNNNNNNNNNNNNNNNNNNNNNNNNNNNNNNNNNNNNNNNNNNNNNNNNNNNNNNNNNNNNNNNNNNNNNNNNNNNNNNNNNNNNNNNNNNNNNNNNNNNNNNNNNNNNNNNNNNNNNNNNNNNNNNNNNNNNNNNNNNNNNNNNNNNNNNNNNNNNNNNNNNNNNNNNNNNNNNNNNNNNNNNNNNNNNNNNNNNNNNNNNNNNNNNNNNNNNNNNNNNNNNNNNNNNNNNNNNNNNNNNNNNNNNNNNNNNNNNNNNNNNNNNNNNNNNNNNNNNNNNNNNNNNNNNNNNNNNNNNNNNNNNNNNNNNNNNNNNNNNNNNNNNNNNNNNNNNNNNNNNNNNNNNNNNNNNNNNNNNNNNNNNNNNNNNNNNNNNNNNNNNNNNNNNNNNNNNNNNNNNNNNNNNNNNNNNNNNNNNNNNNNNNNNNNNNNNNNNNNNNNNNNNNNNNNNNNNNNNNNNNNNNNNNNNNNNNNNNNNNNNNNNNNNNNNNNNNNNNNNNNNNNNNNNNNNNNNNNNNNNNNNNNNNNNNNNNNNNNNNNNNNNNNNNNNNNNNNNNNNNNNNNNNNNNNNNNNNNNNNNNNNNNNNNNNNNNNNNNNNNNNNNNNNNNNNNNNNNNNNNNNNNNNNNNNNNNNNNNNNNNNNNNNNNNNNNNNNNNNNNNNNNNNNNNNNNNNNNNNNNNNNNNNNNNNNNCUAGUUCUUGCCUGCCUUGCUGCCAUUACCCAGGCCAUUACAUUGCAUAGCAUAAGGAAUAGUGAUUAGGUGCUUAUUAGUGAUUCGUUGAGCUUAUUAUUGACAAACCAACAUAUUCGCCUUUACCCACAACUUAGUUUGAUUAGUUAUUGUUGUGUAAUAGACCAAGUUCGUAACCCAACUGAAGCAAUUAAUCAGAUUUACAAAACAAGCAAGAACCCAGAAAACGAACCAGGGGAUACAGUCAAGUAACCAAGAACAAGAAAGAAAACUUAAUCAAGAGAUACAAAACAGAGGUUAACGUGGUUCAGUACCAUGAGUACUUACAUCCACGAUCAGGAACAGUAGAGCUAAAGCUUUAUUAGGAGAUAUCAAGAUUACAAUGGAAUCCACUCAGAGCAAGAAACUAAACUCACACAGAGAAUCUUUCUCAACUCACAAACUAUCUCACUUGACUAACUGAUCAGCUCUCUCUCUCACUGAAGCUAUAAAGCUAGCAGUUUACAGCUGGUUAUAACGACUAACUAAAACCACCUGGGGACCCACCCAUGCUGACUCAGCUUUCCAGCUCAGCUAAUAUAUAUAACCGAAUGUAACUAACUUGAUUCCACAAAUCUCCACCUUAGUUAACUCGGUUAUGGCUUUACUCAUCACUGCUCCAUCACCAGUUAACUUGUCUCACAAGUUAAUAACCCCAAUCAAGUCCAAGGAGUUCCUGAACUUAACUGUUGGCAAAGGUUUUGUUAGCAUGUCUGCUGGAUUUACUUCAGUAGGAAUUUUAAUGACAUUGAUUACACCAUUUCGAAUUUCUUCCCUGAUAAAGUGCAUCCUCACAUCCACAUGUUUUGUUCUUUCAUGGUACUUGGGGUUUUUGCUCAACUGUAUAGCACUUGAGCUAUCACAAUUGACAGUGACUGAUUCUUGUUCCAAACCCAGUUUUGUAACUAACCCCUUCAACCAUAAUGCUUCUUUCACAGCCUCUGUUAAAGCAAUAUACUCUACCUCUGUUGUUGAGAGAGCAAUUACUGAUUGUAAUGUUGACUUCCAGCUCACAGCUCCACCACAGAGAGUAAACACAAGACCAGUGACUGACCUUCUCCUAUCUAAAUCUCCUGCAAAGUCAGAAUCAACAGAUCCCACAACUUGGCUAGAUGCAUUACUAACUUGUCCAANNNNNNNNNNNNNNNNNNNNNNNNNNNNNNNNNNNNNNNNNNNNNNNNNNNNNNNNNNNNNNNNNNNNNNNNNNNNNNNNNNNNNNNNNNNNNNNNNNNNNNNNNNNNNNNNNNNNNNNNNNNNNNNNNNNNNNNNNNNNNNNNNNNNNNNNNNNNNNNNNNNNNNNNNNNNNNNNNNNNNNNNNNNNNNNNNNNNNNNNNNNNNNNNNNNNNNNNNNNNNNNNNNNNNNNNNNNNNNNNNNNNNNNNNNNNNNNNNNNNNNNNNNNNNNNNNNNNNNNNNNNNNNNNNNNNNNNNNNNNNNNNNNNNNNNNNNNNNNNNNNNNNNNNNNNNNNNNNNNNNNNNNNNNNNNNNNNNNNNNNNNNNNNNNNNNNNNNNNNNNNNNNNNNNNNNNNNNNNNNNNNNNNNNNNNNNNNNNNNNNNNNNNNNNNNNNNNNNNNNNNNNNNNNNNNNNNNNNNNNNNNNNNNNNNNNNNNNNNNNNNNNNNNNNNNNNNNNNNNNNNNNNNNNNNNNNNNNNNNNNNNNNNNNNNNNNNNNNNNNNNNNNNNNNNNNNNNNNNNNNNNNNNNNNNNNNNNNNNNNNNNNNNNNNNNNNNNNNNNNNNNNNACUGCUUCAAUCCAUACAAGCUUUUCUUGAGUAAGCAAACCAUGUCUUCAGUUCCUUCUCAAUAAAGCCUUCUGGCUGAGCCAUCAGGAUUUCUUCUUCUAAGUUUCCAUGUAAAAAAGCAGUCUUCACAUCCAUCUGGUCCAAUUCUAAAUCAAAGUAGGCUGUGAUGGCUAAUAGAACCCUUAUAGAGGAAUGUUUCACAACAGGUGAGAAGACUUCAUUGAAGUCUAUCCCUUCCUUUUGUGUGAACCCCUUUGCCACAAGCCUGGCUUUAUACCUCACUGAUUUACUUCCAGCAACUCCCUCCUUGAGUUUAAAGAUCCAUUUGCAGCCCACCAAUCUUCUUCCAGCAGGCCUCUGAACUAGCACCCAAGUGUUAUUGUCUUUCAGUGAUGCCAUUUCUUCUUUCAUAGCACUAAGCCAUUUUAGCUUAUCUCUGCUAUUCAUAGCCUGCUUGUAGCUUUUAGGUUCUUCUCCAGUCAUCUCAUUAGCAACCAUUAGUGCAUAGGAUAUUAAGUCAGCAAUCCCAUAUCUUUUGGGCAGUUUAACUACCCUCCUUUCUCUAUCCCUCGCAAGCUGAUAGUUAUCAAGUUCUGAUGUUGUAGUACUUUCUUGAUGGUGCUCAGUCAUCUCUUUACUUACUUCCAAAUUGUCUCUGGACUCCACCUUCAACUUAGAUCUCUUUUGAGGUUCAGAUAUUUCAACUUCUGUUCCAACCUUCUGCUGCAACAUAGCUUCCUCAUUAAACACUACAUCUCUACUAAUCAAGGUUCUGGAUGGCUUGCCAUCAAUGCACCAGAUUUUGUACCCCUUUAUGCCUUCAGGAUACCCAAUGAAGUAUCCUUUCACAGCCCUUGGUUCUAGCUUGCCCUGACUUAUAUGAGCAUAAGCUGGGCAGCCAAACACCCUGAGAUUACCAAGAUUUGGUGGCUUCCCUGACCAUGCUUCUUGUGGUGUUUUGAAAUCUAAAGCUGAUGAAGGGCUCCUAUUUAUUAGAUAUGCAGCUGUAUUAACUGCCUCAGCCCAAAAAUGCUUUGACAGAUUUGCAUUAAACAACAUGCAUCUGACCUUUUCAAUUAAGGUUCUAUUCAUCCUUUCAGCCAAGCCAUUUUGCUGGGGAGUGUGUCUCACUGUCCUAUGUCUUGCAAUGCCCUUUGAUUUACAAAAAUUUUCAAAGUCACUGCUGCAGAAUUCCAGGCCAUUAUCAGUCCUCAGCCUUUUAAGCUUCUUUUCUGUUUGGGUUUCCAUAAGUGCAGUCCACUCUUUAAACCUUUCAAAUGCUUCACUCUUAUGCUUCAGCACAUAGACCCACACUCUUCUAGAGUAAUCAUCUAUGAAUGUGAUGAAGUACCUAGCUCCACCAUGAGAGGGAACUUGGGAUGGUCCCCAAAGGUCUGAGUGAACAUAGUCUAAGGUCUGUUUUGUUUCCUGUCUACCAGAGUUGAACUUUUGCCUUGUGGCUUUACCGAACACACAUUUUUCACAAAAUUGUAGUGAGGUGAUUUGAUCAUUUCCUAGCAGCCCUUGCUUACUUAAUUCUCUCAACCCCCUUUCACUCAUGUGUGCUAGCCUCAUGUGCCAAAGUUUGGUUUUAUCACUGCUUACACUAGCUGUGAUUGCUGGCAUAGUUGUUGAGCCAGCAAGUACAUAUAAACCAUUCCUCCUUAUGCCUUUCAUUAUAAUCAGGCCUUUAUCUUCAAUUUGAAGAUUUCCAUUUUCUGCUUUUAUACUACAGCCCCUCUGAUCCAUAACUCCUAAAGAUAUUAGAUUUCUUUUUAAUUCUGGAACAUAUCUGACCUGAUUUGGAUCCCUUUCAAUGCCAUCAAACAUCCUAAUGCUAAUGGUGCCAAUUCCAGCUACCUUACAGGCAAGAUUGUUCCCAAGCAAGACUUUUCCACCAUCAAUGCUUUCAAAAGUCUUAAAGAAAUCUACAUUUGGACACAUAUGGAAGGAGCAACCUGAGUCAAGAAUCCACUCACCUGAAGAUUGCUUUUCUGCAGCAAUGAGGACAUCUGCAUCAUCUGACAUCCCUUCAUCUUCAGAGGCUACAGCAGCUUUUCCAUUAGAUUCCUUUUGUAAUUUCUCAAGCUUCUUCUUCUCAAAACAAUCCUUGAUGUAAUGACCUUCCUUUUGACAAAAGUAACAUUUUCUCUUCUUUUUCUUCUUGUCUGGUUUAUCUUUCUGGUUGCUGUUCUUCUUGUCUUUGUAGAAUUUCUUAUCUGGUUUUGCUUUUGCAACUAAGCUUUCUGCAGGGUUUUGAUCCUUCCCAUCUAUUCUUCUCUUCAAGUCCUUUGAUUCCAGGGCAUUCUUUACAUCCUUUAAUGUAAGUGUUUGUCUUCCAUAAAGCAAUGUAUCAACAAAAUGUUCGUAAGAGUCUGGGAGUGAGCUUAAUAGGAUUAGGGCCCUAUCUUCAUCUUCAAGAACUAUAUUCACAUUUUCAAGGUCUAGGAUCAGCUUAUUAAAUUCAUCCACAUGAUCCUUCAAGGCUGUUCCAUCCUUCAUUGAAAAUGUGUAUAGCUUUCUUUUCAUAUACAGUCUCUUGGCUAGGGAUUUCUUUAAAAAUAAUUCUUCCAGUUUCUCCCAUAGACCAGAAGCAGUCUUUUCUUUAGACACCUCUCUUAGCACUUCAUCCGAGAGAUGUAGGAUGAUAGUGCUAUGAGCUUUGUUGUUGAUAGUCUUCAUGUCUCUGCCAGAGCUGGAUGAUCAUUCUUCCUUCCCUUUCUUGGCCUUUGAAUCUUCAUCUUCUUCAAGAGCAGCAUCCAAUCCUUGUUGAAUCAAGAUUGCCCUCAUUUUGAGACUCCACAAAUAGAAGUCAUUGUCCCCAUUAAACUUCUCCAGAUCGAAUCUUGUAGAUGCCAUUGGAGGAUUUCAAAGAGCUUGAUAGAUGACCAAGCUCUGAUACCAGUUUGUUGUGUAAUAGACCAAGUUCGUAACCCAACUGAAGCAAUUAAUCAGAUUUACAAAACAAGCAAGAACCCAGAAAACGAACCAGGGGAUACAGUCAAGUAACCAAGAACAAGAAAGAAAACUUAAACAAGAGAUACAAACAGAGGUUAACGUGGUUCAGUACCAUGAGUACUUACAUCCACGAUCAGGAACAGUAGAGCUAAAGCUUUAUUAGGAGAUAUCAAGAUUACAAUGGAAUCCACUCAGAGCAAGAAACUAAACUCACACAGAGAAUCUUUCUCAACUCACAAACUAUCUCACUUGACUAACUGAUCAGCUCUCUCUCUCACUGAAGCUAUAAAGCUAGCAGUUUACAGCUGGUUAUAACGACUAACUAAAACCACCUGGGGACCCACCCAUGCUGACUUAGCUUUCCAGCUCAGCUAAUAUAUAUAACCGAAUGUAACUAACUUGAUUCCACAGUUAUUAGACCAUAAAGAGCGUUAAUCUGUUCAUUGGCUUUGUUAUUUUUAUUUGGUUUUUCUUCCAACAAUACUGUUGAUUUCUUAUAAAAAUACUCAUUGGUUUUUAGUUAUUAGACCAUAAAGAGCAUUAGUCUGUUCAUUGGCUUUGUUAUUUUUAUUUGGUUUUUCUUCCGACAAUACGGUUGAUUUCUUAUAAAAAUAUUCAUUGGUUUUUAAACACCUAAUCAUUGGCUAUAAUGAAGCUAAUUGAAACUGAGGCUUAUCAAUUUCUUCCUGCAAGAUACAAUUGAGCAUAAACUAUAUCCUCAGUAAAUUUUUCUAAUAUCCUUGAUUUGUUAGGAUAUGGGCCUGAAAUCCUCUAGAUUUUUUUAACACUGUCAAUGUUCUUUUUACUCUGAAAAGGGAAAAAAAAGGUUAUAUCUUUCAUACCCUAAUAGUAAGUUGGCCUUGACUUAACAUGCCUUCCCGAGAUUUGCAAGAUUCACAAGCAGCUCACACCCCCCCCCAACCAAAAAAAAAAAAAGAAAAAUAAAUAGGAAGAUUUUUGCGAGAUUCACAACCAGGUUAUAUUUAAUUUAUUAAUUGUGUGCACGUACUAGUUAUAUGUUGAAAGAAUAGGAAAAAGUAUUUUAACAUGAAUGACUUAAAACUUAUUGCUUAGUAAACAUAAUCUGCAUCAGUGCUAGAAAAUGUAUUUAUUGUUUGUAUUUUUUAUGGAUUUGCUUAAGAAAUGAUGCGCGUAACAAUGCUACAUUGUAUUAGGAACAAAUUGAAGAGAUUUAUGAUAUUUCUGUGUUAUUCAAAUUUCAGAUUGAAUUUUAAACUUUCAAUACAUGUGUUGUAAUUAAGAAUGAGAAACCUUAAUUCUUUUACCCAAGAAAUCACCACACACUGAUCUUGUUAAGGAAAGAAUGAAGGAUCGAUAUAGAAAUCAGAUUAAGAAUAAGGGUAUUUUAAUCAGAGACAGGAAUUAAGAAAGAAUCAAGCAAAACGAAAUGCAAAGGGGAUUAUAGAGGUUUGGCUUUGCAGCCUACAUCCUCUUGAGAAACAGAAGCCAUAGCUUUUCUUUAUGCUUUAACAGAUUACAAGUAUUAGAGUAAUUGCUACAAGGAACGAUUCCUCCCAAGUAUAGCCCUCAAGGCUAUAUAUACAACUCGGAAGAGAUCCAGAUAUGUGAGCUGUACAACAGCUCUCAUUCUGGGUUUGUUUCAACAGACCCAGCAAACUCCCGCCAAUCCUAACUGUAUGUAACAGCUCUUCAAAUUGAAACGGCAUCAGCAGCUGCCGUUUAACUUAAGCUUGAUCGUGCAAGUCACGUGCGUUACUUAAGCCUUUCGUAUGAUAGUUGCUGGUUGUCAUACGGCAGUGUUAUCUGUAUGUUUGCUUUGUCGUUUCUCAUUCAAUUCUGGAAACGACAAAGUCGUCUCCUUCAGAAGGUUCUGAUUCAGGUUCACAUUUAACAACAUGCAUUGAAAGCUUAGAUCGUUUAAGAAAUUAUUAAUAGACACAUGUUUUAUUAGUGUCAUCUUUGGAUGAUAGUGAGGAUCAUAUGCCUAUUAAUAAUUCUUGAAUUGUCUAGGCUUGAACUGUUUGGGAAUGCAUAGUUUUCUAUGGUAGCUAGUAGCUGAAGUUUUUUUCCCACGUAAAAAUGAGUUUUUCGCAAUCUGCUUCUCAUCUUCUUUGGGUGCAUACUAGAUAACACAUAAACACUCAUAUAUCUAUGUCGUUGCUUGGAGAACUAAAGGGAGAUGCUGCCGAAAUUUCUAUAAACGUAGAAGAAAACUUUAAAGUACUUGAGAUUGAAGAAACUUAUGCAUUCUUGAGAGGGAUAUACGGGACCACUUACCUUUUGUAAAUAUGAAGGGAGUGUUGGACAUAUUGAUGGGAGUGGAGGAGCUGAGUUGGAUGGACGUAAUCGGUUAUAGUUUUGCUGAGUUAACUUGGUUUUGAGCUUGUAAUUUUGUUUAUAAAUGGAGUACUAUCUCCAAUGUUGGUUUAUAAAUAUGUUUCAGCUGGCUGACCUUUUUUUUUGUUUCUAGGUAACAUGCUUUGUAUCUGUAAUUGAUAACCAACUGAAGUUCUCAGCUGUGGGUGAGGAUAUUUCUUUACAGAAGGUAUUGGAAACUGUUUUUUACAUUAAUUAUUGUUGUAUAUAUACUUUAAUUUUCACGUCUUUUUCUCUGAUUCUUGUCGCUUUACUUGCUUUCAUAUAUAUAAAUUCUAAUGAAAUUAACCAUAAAAUUGUAUAAUGAUUUUUUAAUUAUAUUGCAAAACUGUGCACACACGAAAAUAUCUUGGUCAGUAGUAGAAAUGAAAAACUAAAAUGAUUUAUCUAACUAAUUUUUGUAGUGCAUUAAAAGGAGAUGGUAAUGGAGAAGAGUUGGGUUGGUUUGGCAAAUAGAUAUCUAAGUUAUAGAUUUUGCAUUUGAGAAUGUUGUUGGUGAUGCAAGAAUUUAUUAUCCUUGUAAGAAGUGUCGAAUAUUUCGUUUUAAGGGAAGUAGCAAGAGACCAUAUCAUUAUAAAUGGUUUUUGGUUAAAGUAUUAAAACUGGAUAUUGCAUGAUGAGCCAUCUUCAUCUUUGGAAUCUAACCAAGAAACAGGUUAGUCAUGACUCGGGUGCUGAUGAUGAUAUGGUUGGAAUGAUACAUGAUACAUCACGUAAUCAAAUAUUCAAUUCACACACAGCAUUGUUAUGGACUAUCAGUGACUUUCUAGCACAUGCCAACUUGUCUGAGUGGAGUAUUAAAGGUAAAUAAGCAUUUCUUGUUUGCCAACAAAACACUAGAUCUAAUUGGUUGAUACAUAGUAGAAAAUUUUGUCACGUCGGUAACGUCGAUUUUUACUGACGAAUCAUAGGUUUCGAAAAUAUAGUGCCUUUUGAUAAAUCUAGAGAGUGGGGACAAGCACCUUCUCGGAUGUCUGGAGCUGAAGUGAAAAAGCAGUUGAAUAAUAUACUUACUGAGUUUAAGAUUGAAGACUUGAAAAGUGGAGAAUGAAUAAAAUGAGAGAAAUGAUAAGAUUACUUGGACGAAGAAAAGCAUAUUUUAUGAACUACCGUGUUGGGAGUUCAAUUUGAUUCAUCAUAAAAUGUGAGACAUGAGGGAGAGACAAAAGCUCAGGCUUGUCUGCAACCAUGUGGGCCCUCAUAAGCAAUUCGUGUACACAACUUGGUUCACCAAGCCCAACAACUUGAAGCAGGCAAAAUCCGGGAACGAUCCUUCUCCUUCGCAACCCUAGCUGCCUUAACCUUGUAUUUCUGAUAUUUAGUUAAAGAGUAAGAAGAUUGCUCCUCUGUCAAUUACCUUCGAGAGAGACUUUCUUUUUCAUUCACCGAUGCUUGCUUGUGAAAGCAAGGGUUUUAGUUACACUUUCAACGCUGUCAAUGUAGUGAAGUAAAGCAUUAGUAGAAUAAUGAAGUUGGAGCCCCACACAUGAAAACUUAAAGNNNNNNNNNNNNNNNNNNNNNNNNNNNNNNNNNNNNNNNNNNNNNNNNNNNNNNNNNNNNNNNNNNNNNNNNNNNNNNNNNNNNNNNNNNNNNNNNNNNNNNNNNNNNNNNNNNNNNNNNNNNNNNNNNNNNNNNNNNNNNNNNNNNNNNNNNNNNNNNNNNNNNNNNNNNNNNNNNNNNNNNNNNNNNNNNNNNNNNNNNNNNNNNNNNNNNNNNNNNNNNNNNNNNNNNNNNNNNNNNNNNNNNNNNNNNNNNNNNNNNNNNNNNNNNNNNNNNNNNNNNNNNNNNNNNNNNNNNNNNNNNNNNNNNNNNNNNNNNNNNNNNNNNNNNNNNNNNNNNNNNNNNNNNNNNNNNNNNNNNNNNNNNNNNNNNNNNNNNNNNNNNNNNNNNNNNNNNNNNNNNNNNNNNNNNNNNNNNNNNNNNNNNNNNNNNNNNNNNNNNNNNNNNNNNNNNNNNNNNNNNNNNNNNNNNNNNNNNNNNNNNNNNNNNNNNNNNNNNNNNNNNNNNNNNNNNNNNNNNNNNNNNNNNNNNNNNNNNNNNNNNNNNAAUAGAAAAUUACAAGACUGCUGAUAAAAUUUUAUUUGCAUGCAUGUCUGUCAAAAUUUCCGUGAUUUAAUGUGCUUUCAUGCACGCAAGUUCUAACGUUUCUGUGAUCACAAAAUAAAACUGAAGAUAAAACAGAACAACUACCAAACCUUUCAAGCUUGACGAAGCCAUGAGAAUUGAUAGCUCAGGCUCUGAUACCAAGUUAAAGUUUCUAAUCUAUUUGAUAAGUAAGAAAAUGAGAGAAAAUGAAAGAAAGAACAGAGAUCAUCUAAGAGCUGGAUUUGAUGAAUAAAUCUGAAUCAUCCAUUCUUUAGCUGAUUACAAAUGUAUUUAUACAAGUUUUCUAAGCACCUGAGAGUUGAAUAACUUAUGCCAGCUCAGCUAACACGUCAGUAACUCUACCUAUCUUGCUUAACAAACUGAAACAAUAACUAACAAUUUUAACUAUCUUAACAAUCCCAAUAAUUUCUCCGUUUGUGUAUUUUUUUGAAUCAUAAUCAAAUGGGUAAAUGUUGCAACUAUUUUUUUAGACAUUUUCACUUUGGGAUGUCAGCCCGAGGAAGUUCGGGGGUCUGAGUUAUUCAACUGAAAAUGUCGGCCAAGUUCUCGCCAUCUCAGGUUCAAAACUGAUAAUCUUGCUCGUUGCUCCCCAUUUAUACUUAUUACGAAACUGAAAAAGUUACUCGUUCCUCUUAACUUGUUUUCUCAUGCAUCAACCCCACAAAACUGCUUAUUGCAGGGGGAAAAAUUUUGAACACAUCAUGUGGAAUUUGGACNNNNNNNNNNNNNNNNNNNNNNNNNNNNNNNNNNNNNNNNNNNNNNNNNNNNNNNNNNNNNNNNNNNNNNNNNNNNNNNNNNNNNNNNNNNNNNNNNNNNACCUCUUUUGACAAGUUACACUUACAUAGCAAUGCUAUCUGGGUUCAGCCUUACCUUUUUGAUAAACUGUGCUUCUGUGAUGAAGAAUGUUUUAGCUGUAAGUGGAUAUCCUAAUCAUUGAUCCAUAUACUUAGGUUAUAUUAUCCAUCAGCAAGUAUGUAUAAAAUUAUUUUAUGUCUUUUUUUAUUAGAAAUGUUGUAAUUCUAUUUUACUCUUCCUGAAUUAUAACAUCAGGUGUCUAUAAUAACUAGAUUAUUCCUUCUGCAAAACAGAGCAGUGGUAAAUAUUUUUUUUCUUUUGUUUGUUUAGUACAUUUACAUGCUUUCAGCUUUUUCAAAUUUUGUAUGUGUCAAAGUUUAAAUUUAAUUUGUUGGUUUAUGCCACAACAAAAGGAACAGCAUCAAAGAGGAGCUGCUAAUGGACUUGCUAUGACUGUAGUGUCGCUUACCAAAACUGCCGGUCCAGCUGUAGGAGGUGCUCUGUGAGUGUCCUGUUGAUUUUGUAAAACUACAUGUAAAUGAUGUUAUAAUUUUUUUUUCAUUAAUUGGGGUUCUGGCAGAUUUUCUUGAUCACAAAAGCGUCAAGAUGCUGGUUUCCUCCCAGGAUGAUGAUCUACUAAUGAAAUUUCUCGCGAGUUUGUGUACUAUUUCGUGCUAAUUCUUCAUUAGCUGCUUAAACAAAAGUGCAGGUAACCAGAUGGUUUUUUUUCAUUCUGAAUUUGGUUGAGGCACUUGGAGUAAUAUUGACAUCCAAACCGUUUCUAACUCAGCGUGCCCCAUGAGUAGCGAAAAGAUCAUCUGUUGAAAUAUUUAAAUAUAUAUCAAGCAAAUUAAAGCUUUCAAAAUCUAUCAACAAUUUGAUUAUUUGAUGUGGUUGCCACUUGCCAUAUUUUGUGUUACUGUUCAAAAGGCUUAAAUAUGAAAAUGGUGGUUGGCGCUCACAGCAACCGAUUGCUGGUAACAUUAGUUGUUCAAUACUUAUCUCUGUCGACAUUUAUACUUGUUCAUUGUCAGAACUACGACAAUUUAUCUUCACAAUGAUGCAAGCUAGAAAGAAUUUUUCAUGUUAAGUAAAACAUUGAAGCCAUAAAGAGUCUUAAUUGAGUACUAAGUUUUCUACCAUGCUUUCAACGGUAACACAUUUGGAGCUCUUAUUCCAGGGGCUUCACAGUAGAGAGACCUGAUUUCGAUCUUCUUCAGAACUUGGGGAUUCCGUAAUAACAGAGGACAACAGUUAUAUAAGAAUAUUAUUUUGUACAAUUUUCGUAUAACCUGACCAAUGCAAGUAUAAUUUUAUGAUCUUAACUCAGAUCAAAAGACCUUCAAUGAUGUAAAAUUUGCACAUAAAGUUGAGAACCAAACAUUAGAACUUAUGAUGAAACGGAAACAAAAACGUUGAGAUUAAAAGAUAGAGAAACACAAGCUUUUUAAAAGGGAUAAAUGCUCAUUUAAUUUCUAUAUUUUGAUUUAAGAGUGCAUUUAAUUCUUAUAUUUUAAAAAGUUCCUCAACCUUAAGACACCCCCUACUAUAAAAUAUAUUUCAUUCCUACCCUUAUUUUUUUUCUUUUUACAAUAAUACUCUUGGAAUAAUAUUUUUGGGAAUAUUAAUUAAAAUAAAAAAUGGUAAUUCAUCCAGCUAGCCUUAAACAAAAUAAAUAUUAAUAAAAAUUUUUAUGUUAUUAUUUUAGUUUUAGGACUAAUUUCGUAAAUUAAUUUUUUUAUGCAUUUAUUAGUAAGAUUGCUUUAAGAAUAUUAAACAUUACUUUAAGUUGGUUGAUAUUAAUUAAUUUAUAAAUAAUUAUUAGCAAGAUUGUUGUAAAAGUACAAAAAUAUUUUCAUAUUGAUAUUUAUUGAUUAAUUUGUCAAUUAAUUUUUUUAUAAAUAAAUUAAUUAAUUUAAGAAUAUUAUUGCCAGGAUAUCAUUGUAAAAGUAAAUAAAUUUUAAGGAAAAAAAUGUAAUGUAUUUAAUAUCAAAGUAUAUUGAGAUAUUUUUCAAAAUAUAAAGACUAAACGUGCAUUGAAGUUAAAAUACAGGUACCAGACGAGCAUUUUCUCUUUUAGAAAGUUUUAUAUUUUAUAAAUGAAAGUUUGAAUAACAAAAUUAGGGUUUUGGACUCCUUUUAAACUAAACCUAAAAUAUUACUACAUAAUAAUAUUCUCCUAACUGAAAUAAGAUAAAUGCUACUUAAAUUCUAUAUCUAAAAAAAAAGAUAAAAAUCCAGAAAACAAUAGGAAAAUGGAUAUUAAACUUGUAAAAUAAUAUGAAAUAUAUAUAAUUUUCAACCGAACCACGAGGCUAAUGCGGCGCUAUAGUAUUAGAUUAGAUUCCCCUCAUCCCAAACUUCAAAAGGUAUAUUAUACACCGUAAAUAGAUACUUAUAGCUCAAGUUGUUACCCUAGAGAGAUAAUCUACUCAUCCUAUGCAACCAUCCGCUGCAUCAAAUUCGUUCCAAAAUUAAGAAUAAACCAGCUGAUGCAUUCCAAACAAUUUAGAUGAACCGAUAAAAUAAACCUAGAGAUCAAAUAAAAUCAAAUGAGAAUGAUAAUUACCUCGGACUGAAGCUCAUACAAAUUCAUUAUUUGACACCUCCAGCAAUUGUUGAAAUAAUUGUUAAUUAAAUAUAAAAUAAGACAGGUACAUAUUAAUGACACACCACUGUGAAUCGAUAGCUAAGGACGGAGUAAAAUUUAAUUGUAAAUUAGGACAGUAGAGCAAGCAUCCAUAAACAUAACAUGAACGUAAUACAUCAAUUGAAAUAUCAUACGAUAAAUUAGUCAGAGAAAGAAAUAAGUAAAUAAAUCAGCAAAGGAAACAUGCAUGAACAAAUAAAAAAAAAAACAAAGACAAAAGUAGGAAGAGUUGUCUGUGAGAAUCUUCUUCUAUGGUCAUUGAAGUCCCAAACUCAAUGGAAAUUCAAUGGAACCUUAAAAACGAACAGUGAAGGAAAAUGAAGAAAUCUGCAGGAAAUAAGGCGAGUGAGAGUGAAGAAUUAAUUACCACCGAGUAAAUGCGAAUGAAGAAUGGAGACAGAUCGAGAAGUGAGAUUCAGAGAUUGUAUUGAAAUUGAGAGUUGUGAUCCAGAAGCGAUUCUUCUUCUCCGUAAUUCCCUUUUUCUUUUAAUGUUGUUGUUAUUAUUAUUAUAUAUAUAUUUUCAAUUUCAUGAUAUCUUUUUUGUUUUAAACGGUAUUGGCAUAUUACAUUUAUUUAUGUUAAUUUUACAAUACCUCCCUUCAGAUUGCACAAAUUACAUAAAAAAAAAAAAAGUGCUUUAUGUAUAAAACUUUCAAACAAAUUGGGCCAAAAUCUAACUUUACCAAGUUUAGAGUAAUUUUGGGCUCGACAUUCCGUUUCCGACAAACGAAUUUUCUUUAUCACCAAGGUAUGAUACUUUUCAUAUUUAUCCAACGGCUCGUCAAUGACAAUACCUUUGUAAAAAGUACUUAUUUUGAAUAGUAUAUUGUGGAAAUGUCUGGUCGGUAAUACAACUAUUUCUUAUAGUGUAAAAAUGAUACACUAAGCGUUCACAUUUUGAUGAGUAAAUUAAGGAUUUCAAGAUGAAGUGCAUAAUUAGAUUAAUGCUAAGAAACUGAAGUUUGAUCGAUUGAAAACGAAAAUAAUAAUGAAGGUAAUUAAGAAAAUGAACAAUAUAUGCGGAAGCGGUCCUUAUUAGUACUUCUAGAUUUUCUCUUGGGCUUUCCUUAUUAUUGUUAAAAAAUGACCCGAAGAACUUUGAGUUUAAAAAUCUGGCCCUGAUGCCUGGUAGCCCUUCAACAUAUGAAGCACCAAAUGUUUUGAUGAGAAAAUGACAAGACCAUUUAUCAAAUUUCUUGUGGAUAUAAAUACAUACACAUAGACGAGGCCAACCUCCUCAAAUGAGAAUCAGAGUGAUUACAAGACCUUGCAAUGAGACAAUGAUACACCAUCAAAUGUCAAAAUACAAUAGAAAUUCACGACAUAUAUAUAAUAAAAGACCUCUCAUUGAGUCAUAUAUAUUGAGAAUAAAAAUGUUAUAAUACAUACACAUAGCUUAGUUAGAAUAAAAUGUCUUUGAACUUGCGAUGAUCAAACAAAGGAAACAGACAGGUUGUAACUCACAUUAUCACAAGAAGAUCACGAAGAUGGAAAUGGGAACCCCUCAGAAUGGAAACUUUGAAUAGAGGAAAAAAGAAAAACGACCUUAUUCACAGAAGAAGAGUGACUUAAAUCUUCAUCAGUAUCCAGACAUUUUGCAAUCAUAGAGUAGAGAAAUUUUAACAGGAACAGCAGAGAAAAUAUUAUGAAUAUGCUAUAGACCAAUAUACUUGUUCAUAGCUAACGUUUGAUGGUUUAAGGAUUUGUUCUAGGAAUAAUGGGCUGAUUACUUUCUUUUUAUUUUAAAUUUUUUUUAAUCCAAUGAAUGAUAUUCAGCUGUUAAUUAUGUGUUCAUAGGGAAGAAUAUUUUCUAAGUACUUUCCUUGCCUUCUAACUUUCCGAAAAGCAAACCCAAUGAACAAAUAGAGCACAAACUAAAAUAAAAGAACAGCAAUGAUGACAAUAAAUAAUUGGCAAAGAAAAAAAGGAAAAAGUAUGCACGUUUUCAAGGAAUUAUAAAAUAUGAAGGCUUUUAAUGAAACUUUAUCAUAAAAAGUAUGCAAGGAAUUAUAAAAUUUUAGAAAACAAGGGGAGCUCUCAAAAAAAAUGAAAAACUCAAAUUAAACUAGACUAAAAGACAUUCAAUUUUGCAAAAUCUGUCCAUAAAUGUCUGAAAGGAUCAUUAAAAUUGCAUUGCAAAUUUAACAGUAAACCGAGGGACCCAUUCUAAAUAAUUCAGAUGAAAUUGUGAAACAAGACAUGGGAUUAAAUAAAUGAAAUAAAAAUUAAUUACCAGUUGAGACUUUCUUCUAAAAAUUCGCAACUCCAAGUCAUAAGAAGCCUAUGAAAUUAGUCGUACUGCGUAGAGUAUGACGACGACACCGCCAACAGCUGAAAGUAAAAUUCUUAUUCAUCAAUUUAAACUUACUUUAUAACAAAUAUCUUAUCUAUAUUGUAUUUAAGAAAGCAAAUUUUGUAAAAAUUUAUCAUGGGAGAUAGAGAGUAAUAUGUAUAUACGUACCUUCUCAGCAUGUAAUUGUUGUAUGGUUGUGUUUAGAUCAUUAUUAGCCCAGCGCCGUUGAUCCGCUGUCUCUCCAUAGCAGACGUUUACUCUUAGAGGCGUGAUUGAUUCUCCUGUAGUGAAAAUCUUCAUCUUGGGACAACCAAUCACAUCCAGAUAUUCCAAAGAUGGGAAUUUGAAGGUGUAAUUGGCAGAACAGAAACUUGUGAGGCUAUCUAAAUCAAACAGUCCCAACGUCUUCAAUUUGCUAAAAACAAUCUCUUCUUUUUCAACUCCAUCUUUGUCAUUUAUUACCACCUCUGUCAUUGCUCUGCAUCCAUAUAUUUCUAUUGCUAUGAGUCGCACCAGAGUUUUUGCUGUGGAGGAUGUUACCAAGUGUAUCAAUUCCUUGCAACCGAAAGCUACAAGUUUUGUUAGGUUCCCAAAAGAUACCGAUGAUGAUGGCAAUAGAAUUAACAGACUUUGACAAUGAUAUACUUUUAGAAUUUCAAGAUACUGAAAAAUGGGGCCAAGUUUGGAGUCUUGCUUGCACAGCUGCUCCAGAUGAUAGUGCCAGCGCAGCUGUAAUUCUUUUAUCAUUGCCAACUUCCCCACAUGUUUCUCUAAGCAUCCUUCCAUCGAAAAUACCUCUUCGUGGGAUGAAAAAAACAACAGUGUGAGUAUUUCGAGAUUGUGAAAUCUCUCCAGUACGUUCCAGAUUGUAAAACCAGCUGAGUCAUCUGCAGCAAUCUCUAGUUCUCUAAGACUGCCAAAAAGGUGUUGUGGGAAAUCGGCCUGCAAAAUCAUCUUCACAUCUUUUCCACUUAGUGAUAGUUCCUUCAAGUUGGGUACGAUCUGAUCAUCAUCAAUCAUAAUAACUAAUGAGGUCAAUUGAUGAUCUACGGUCACACGCAGUGACUUUAUAGUAUUUGUUUUAUAUUAUAUUUUUAAAAAAAAUUGAAUUAUUGAUAAAAUUUAUUUUAUAUGUUAAUUUUAGAGGUAAAAAAGAAAUUAGGGAAAAAAGGUUGAUUUAUACUGGCUUGAAAUUAUUUUAUUGCACAAUAAUAAAUUACUAAUUUAUUUUGUAAGUUCUUCUAUAUGGAAAGACUAAGGAUUCUUUUAUAAAUGCUAUACCUUAAAAAGUUCAUAUAAUUAUUAAUCUACCACAUUGAUCUCUUAAUCUAGACUAGCAAAGAUUAUUGUAUAAUAAAAGUUUUCAAUUUAUUGAGUGUUAAUUUAUCGAUGCUUUGUCAUUUUUUUCGAAGUUAAAAAUACGCUAUUGAUAAAAAAUCUAGAAAAUGGCUUCGUACCUUUUCCAACGGCAAUAGGGGCUGUUGUGCAGGAAUACCAAGUUGAUCAUUCUCAUUAUUCUGCGAUAAAUCUGCAUCGAAUAUCUUUAAUUUGUCACAACGACCCACUAAAAGAAUUUCUAGUGCGGGCCAUUCCGAAGUAUGCAUUCCAGGGUACAAACAUCUAAGUUUUGGUAGACAUUCGAGUCUUAGAGUGGUGAGCUGUGGAAAGACAAAAUAAGGGAUAACUUCAUCUGCUCUGUUUUCAGAAAUGAUCUCCUCUAAAUCCUCACAGAAGCGUAUAUCUAGGUGUCGGAGCUGCUUAAGGCUUCCGAUCAUAGACGCUGAAAAUAUGUAUUUUAAUUUGUGACAACCCCACACAAUCAAUCGUGUUAAACUUUGAAAGUGAGGAAGCACGGCCGCUGGAAUUUGAUUGUAGUGCCAAAUCUUGUCGACAUUAAUUGCAGAUAUCUCCAAAGCCUCCAAGUUAGGCAACGCAACCUAAAAAAAGAAGAAUUUCUCGUUAGAUCCAAUAUCCAUAUGGGAAGCACUUGUUGAAAUUUUCUUCUUUGAUUACAAAUUAAUGCAAGUCUGAAUCAAUUUCCAACUGACAGCUGAGUAUGCAUUCUAAUUCAUACUACUUGUUAAGAGCUCAAUUAGUGAGCGCGUGAGAUUCUUUUUAUCCUUUUUUCCAUUUUCUUUCAAUUCUUUAAAUGAUUUAAUUAUUUUCCACGUAUGACAUCAAAACAGAACGCAUGAUAGAAUAAAGAAAAUGUUAGCCUACGCACCUUCUCGUUGAAAAGCAGAGUUGAAGUAUCCAAAGUGAUUUCGCUGGAGCUAUACGUAGUCGUCGAUUCCUCCUGCGACGCUGGUCUGUUUGGUGAUGCUGAAGGAGUCUUCACGUCACGGCAAAAACUUGUAAACUCUGGAAGAUUCCCCAGACUCAAAGAUCUUAAUUGAGCAAACUCUAUCUUCUCAAUUGCAUUAUCAACUUCAUCCCCAAUUGAAAAAAUUUCUUUCAUCUUGCUGCAAUUAAUAACUGCAAUUCUCUCAAGUCUUGGAAGGCAUUUUGUUGUAGAGAGCCAAAAGAUAUUACUCAAUUUAUCACAAUUAUAUGCUUGUAUGAUUUUGAGUUCGUUGAAGGACUCUACUUUGAGCCGAUCAAUACAUAUCCUCUCCAUGUUGAUCAAAUUGUGAAGGCCAAGUGACUCCAAAAGAGGAAAGGCAUCACAAGCGACCAUCGCCCUUGAAUCGACGAUACAAAAGAUGUCAGGAUUAUUUUGAACCCAGAGAAGCUUCAAUUGUGAAAAGCCCUCUGUGUCCAAAUUGAAAAGAACAUUCUCGAUGCCUUGCAGCUUGUCCAACCAUAAGCAUUCUACGUUAUUGAUGCCCUGCAAUUUCAUGGAGCAAAUGUCCAUAAAAGCAAGCUUGAGCUUCAAUGCUCUUAAACUCUUGCGAUCACUUUUGCGAGAAAAGCGCCGCAGACUUUGGAACCAAUUUUGUUCAGCAAUCAUGGGAUGUGUGAAUAACCCAUUUCCAAUAGAUAUUUUGAACCUUUCGAGCUUUCUGGCCAAAAAACCUUCUGGUAACAUACUGUCAUUUUUAACAUCAAUUUCUAGAGUGGUUAGCCGAGGUAAAUGCAUCAAUUCAUCAAGGCUAGCAUUACUUCUUUUGCUGUUGGCUCUUUCAACCUCCCAUUCAAUGGAGCAAUUACCCAUAUACAGCUCUUCUAAUCGGAUUAAGCUUGAUAUGACAUUUGGGGCAAUAACUUUCAGACGGAAACAAUUGGUUAAAUCUAACAAUCUCAACUUAUUCAAUUGACCUAGUUCUUCUGGCAACUGCGUUAUAUCAGACUUCAAAAAGCUAAGGACUUCUAGAUUCUUCAACUUCCCAAUGAUUGCUAUGUCGCCCAACGCACUUUUAUCCAGACAUAGUGUGUGAAGAUUUACUAGAAGAUCAAUUGAAGAUGGAAAAGAAGAAAACUGCAUUCGAGUAAAAUCUAGAAUUCUAAGCUUUUUCAUCCCUACAAAAAAGUUCUCAGGAAUAUUGAUUUCAAGAGAAAAAUCUUUGAGAGAGAUAUAUAAAAAUUCAAGGUUUGGGCAUUCUAAUCCUUCAGGAAAUUCACGAUUACUAUUUUUUAUUAAAGAGAUAGCUUUGCAAUUUCGAAGUGCAUCCUUAUCUGGCCAGUCCCACACAUCCUCAUUCCUCACCGAAAACACAUGUUGCUGGCGGCAUGCAAUUGAUAUCGCGACAUCGCGAACAACAUCAUGCAUUGACAAUUGUUCAUUGCUCUCACCCUCAAGCAACAAACAAGAGUCUCUAAGUUCAUGGACCAAUGCAUAUAAUUUGUCUCGUGCAUCUUCCAUCUUAUUGACUCCUUUAAAUAUACCCAAACCCAUGGAGUACUUAAACAAGUCGAAAGUAAAAAUACGGUUACCCAUUAGACUGCAGAGCUGAAAAAUUUCCUUGCGUUCACCUUUUAAUUGGUUGAAACUCAGCUCAAUACUUGCAUAAGUCUCUGCAGAUACUCCUUCGAAGUUUACCAUUGAAGGCGUUCGGAGUUCUCGCAAGGAAUUCUUCCAUUCAUGCAGACUCUUGCCUCUCAGUGCCUUUGCUACUGUAGUCAAGGCAAUGGGCAAACCUCCACAUGCCCUGGCGACGUCUAUUGCUGUAGAUUUCAACUCACGAUUUUCAACAUCAUCACCGGCCAUCAUCUUAAACAAUCUCCAGGCUUCUUCUUCAUUUAAAUUGUUUAUCAAAAAGUUGUCUUUAGAACCCAUUUUUAAGAGGACACUACGAUCUCUUGCUGUCAGCAGUAGUUUGCAUCCUUUAUGAUCUUCUGCAAAAGGAAUUCCAACAGUCUCCAAAUUAAGGUGUUUCCAGAUGUUAUCUAAAACCACAAGGAUCUUCUUCUCAUUUCUCAAUCGCUCAAAUAGUCUACUUGCUCUUCCAGAUUCAACUUCCUCGCGCAACUCCAGGCCCAACUUCUCGGCAAUUUCCUGUUGAAUCUUUUUUAUGUCUGGAGUUUGCGAAACCUCUGAAAAGACCACCAUAUCAAAGAGCUUGGCUUCCAUAGCUUGCCUGGAGACCUCCUUCACCAGUGUCGUCUUUCCAAUGCCGCCCAUGCCGUACACCCCAAUGAUGCUAACAUCGAUCAAUGCUUUUUUUAUAGCCUCCAAAGUAGAACGUCUUGAUUCGAAGGCCUCGUAGCCUAUGUGAGACUUGAGCCAAAUCUCCUCCGGAAUGGUACGGUGGGAAACAAUAUCAAACUUCUUUACUUCUUCUCCAAGUUCAACAAGGGCCUUCAUUUCUGUCUCUGCUUUCUUGCUAAGCUGAUAGCGGGUCUUCAAAUUAGGACACAAGCCCUUGAGACAACGCUUAUUCGUUGACUCCUCAUUUUCAAUGAAUUUGGCUGCCCUGUCAAUGAUGUCGUUCGCACUAACCAGCCACUUUUCAACCUUCUCUUCAAUCUUUUCUCCUUUUCUUUCAGCCUCAGAAACUCUGUGCUGAAUGCUCCUACUUUCAUCCUUGAGUUCAUCAAAUUUUGCCCUGAGAUUCUCAAAGUUGGUUUUAUAGUUACGUAAAUAACCAAGUUGGCGUUCUGCUAGAGGAGCCAAGCAUUUCACAACUUCCAAAACAACAGUAAUAAUGGUUUCCACCAUCUUUGAUCCUUCUAUUUUUUUUUUUUUUUUGAGUUCUGAAAAGCAAAUAAACAAGAGCCAACCACAGAAGAGAAAAAAGAAGAAACAACAAAGAUGGACAGUUUAUCUGGUUGUGGAAGCGGAGAAAUGAAAGAAAGCGUAACAACUGAUUGAAUAAAUAUAAGGAGGGAUUUAGAUAAUAAAGGAGAAAGGAACCAAUCAAAAUAACUUAAGUAUAGACCAAAAGAAAGAUGAAAAAUAUAUUAUAGACCACAACCGAAUGAACAAAAGAAGAUGUCUUGACACAGCAGAAGUGCAGAGAGUAGAUAUGGAACAAAACAGAGACAACAGCAGGACACAACUAAAUUGGGAGCGGAGAGAAACUAAUCAACAAGGACUGAGAGAUUACAACAAAACAGAUGCCAAGAGAAAAGGGUUUCCUGAUCCUGUGAAGCUCAAGAGAGUUAACGGCAAUAGGGAGCAAACAUUAAUAACAAAACAACAGUGACUACAACGAACGAACGCAUAUGUUUUUCUUGAUUGAGAAUAAGUUCAAAGAAUGACUUUUUAAUGAGGUGCUGAAGCUGAAGAAUAACGAUUUGCUAAAAUUUUAAGAAUGCUAUAUAUUCUGUAAAUUCAACAAGUGAAGAAUAAAGAAUAAUGGUUUGUCAUCUUCACGAUGAAGAUCAUGGGCGAGAUUAAAAGCAAAAGUGAAGAAUAAAGAAUAAUGGUUUGUCAUCUUCAUGAUGAAGAUCAUGGGCGAGAUUAAAAGCAAAAGUGACCUAUUUGAAAAGCCAAAGUUCAAGUUCCUUUGCUAAGCUUAGAAGUGAAGCAAAGAAUAAAUAAAUAAAUGAGUAAUGAUCAAGGGAUCGGAAUGAAGUGUUAGAGUACAAUUUAUGCACUAGUUUUGCAUUAUUUACUUCUUUUAAUAUCGAUGUUUUGCACUUAAUAAUAGUGAUUUACUUGUGUUUUAUUUUGGUAGGUGCAAUUUUAUUGAUUGGUGCUAAAAUUGAGCUACAAGAUGAUGUUUGAGGAUGAUUGUUUUCUUGAAGAAAUUAUGAGCUUCAGAAGAACUUUGUUGAUAAGGUGUGGGCGCAUGCUGUCAACUACGGACCUGCAGUUUUUAGUUUAACGUGUUUUGUAUUUUUAGUUAUUUUUGUAAUUACGCAUUUAAUAUUUAGAUAAUAUUUUAGAAAUUAGUAUUUUAUUUUAAAAAGAACUCUAGAGGAGAAGAGAGAGAAGAGAAUUUAAGGGAGGAAUCUAUUGUCAAAGACGGGAGAUUUUUGAAGAGAAAGAAACCCUAGAUCUAAAUUUUUCUCUCCUGUCUAUGAAGAACUAAAUCUAUUAUUCUGGUUGAAGGUUAAUGAACUUUGAUUCAUCACUGCUGUGAGAUCUUUCUUAUACUUUAAUUAUUUUAUUACUUUUUGGGUAUUUGUUUAUUCUCUGAAUUAUUGUCAUGAUUAUGUUUGUUAAUUAGAUAAUUGGCUACUAUUUAAUUAUCAACUUAAUCUAUUGUCAAUUAAAAGAUUUAUCGUAUGAAGAUUUUAAUGUUUGUGACAAAUAGCAUAGCAGUGCAUUGUGUUAUGAGAAUAAACAAUCUAAUUUAAAUGAAUCAUCGUAUGCGUUUGUUGAUUAGGAUUUGGGUCUCUCUGAUUUUUCAGACUGUCAAUUGAUUAAAUCCUAUGAUCGUAUCUAGGGUUGUCUAUUGAUUAGGAAAAUAACCAACAAUCGUACCUUAAAACUAAUGUGGAUCGAGCAAUUGAACAGUUGCAAACUCAAUGGAAAUACAAUGGAACCUUAAAAACGAACAGUGAAGGAAAAUGAAGAAAUCUGCAGGAAAUAAGGCGAGUGAGAGUGAAGAAUUAAUUACCACCGAGUAAAUGCGAAUGAAGAAUGGAGACAGAUCGAGAAGUGAGAUUCAGAGAUUGUAUUCAAAUUGAGAGUUGAGAUCAAGAAGCGAUUAUUCUUCUCCGUAAUUUCCUUUUUCUUUUAAUGUUGUUAUUAUUAUUAUUAUUUAUUUUUUUUCAAUUUCAUGAUAUCUUUUUUGUUUUAAACGGUAUUGGCAUAUUACAUUUAUUUAUGUUAAUUUUACAAUACCUCCCUUCAGAUUGCACAAAUUACAUAAAAAAAAAAAGUGCUUUAUGUAUAAAACUUUCAAACAAAUUGGGCCAAAAUCUAACUUUACCAAGUUUAAAGUAAUUUUGGGCUCGACAUUCCAUUUCCGACAAACGAAUUUUCUUUAUCACCGAGGUAUGAUACUUUUCAUAUUUAUCCAACGGCUCAUCAAUGACAAUACCUUUGUAAAAAGUACUUAUUUUCAAUAGUAUAUUGUGGAAAUGUCUGGUCGGUAAUACAACUAUUUCUUAUAGUGCAAAAAUGAUACACUAAUCGUUCACAUUUUGAUGGGUAAUUUAAGGAUUUCAAGAUGAAGUACAUAAUUAGAUUAAUGCUAAGAAACUGAAGUUUGAUCGAUUGAAAACGAAAAUAAUAAUGAAGGUAAUUAAGAAAAUGAACAAUAUAUGCAGAAGCGGUCCUUAUUAGGACUUCUAGAUUUUCUCUUGGGCUUUCCUUAUUAUUGUUAAAAAAUGACAGGAAGAACUUUGAGUUUAAAAAUCUGGCCCUGAUGCCUGGUAGCCCUCCAACAUAUGAAGCACUAGAUGUUUUGAUGAGAAAAUGACAAGACCAUUUAUCAAAUUUCUUGUGGAUAUAAAUACAUACACAUAGACGAGACCAACCUCCUCAAAUGAGAAUCAGAGUGAUUACAAGACCUUGCAAUGAGACAAUGAUACACCAUCAAAUGUCACAAUACAAUAGAAAUUCACGACAUAAAUAUAAUAAAAGACCUCUCAUUGAGUCAUAUAUAUAUUGAGAAUAAAAAUGUUAUAAUACAUACAAAGAGCUUAGCUAGAAUAAAAUGUCUUUGAACUUGCAAUGAUCAAACAAAGGAAACAGACAGGUUGUAACUCACACUAUCACAAGAAGAUCACGAAGAUGGAAAUGGGAACUGCUCAGAAUGGAAACUUUGAAUAGAAGAAAAAAGAAAAACGACCUUAUUCAUAGAAGAAGAGUGACUUAAAUCUUCAUCAGUAUCCAGAUAUUCUGCGAUCAUUGAGUAGAGAAAUUUUAACAGGAACAGCAGAGAAAAUAUUAUGAAUAUGCUAUAGACCAAUAUACUUGUUCAUAGCUAACGUUUGAUGGUUUAAGGAUUUGUUCUAGGAAUAAUGGGCUGAUUACUUUUUUUUUAUUUUAAUUUUUUUUAAUCCAAUGAAUGAUAUUCAGCUGUUAAUUAUGUGUUCAUAGGGAAGAACAUUUUCUAAGUACUUUCCUUGCCUUCUAACUUUCCGAAAAGCAAACCCAAUGAACAAACAGAGCACAAACUAAAAUAAAAGAACAGCAAUGAUGACAAUAAAUAAUUGGCAAGAAAAAAAAGGAAAAAGUAUGCAAGUUUUCAAGGAAUUAUAAAAUAUGAAGGCUUUUAAUGAAAUUUUAUCCUAAAAAGUAUGCAAGGAAUUAUAAAAUUUUAGAAAACAUGGGGAGCUCUAAAAAAAAAAGAAAAACUCAAAUUAAACUAGACUAAAAGACAUUCAAUUUUGCAAAAUCUGUCCAUAAAAGUCUGAAAGGAUCAUUAAAAUUGCAUUGCAAAUUUAACAGUAAACCGAGGGACCCAUUCUAAAUAAUUCAGAUGAAAUUGCGAAACAAGCCAUGGGAUUAAAUAAAUGAAAUAAAAAUUAAUUACCAGUUGAGACUUUCUUCUAAAAAUUCGCAACUCCAGGUCAUAAGAAGCCUAUGAAAUUAGUCGUACUACUGCGUAGAGUAUGACGACGACACCGCCAACAGCUUAAAAUAAAAUUCUUAUUCAUCAAAUAUCUUAUCUAUAUUGUAUUUAAGAAAGCAAAUUUUGUAAAAAUUUAUCAUGGGAGAUAGAGAGUAAUAUGUAUAUACGUACCUUCUCAGCAUGUAAUUGUUGUAUGGUUGUGUUUAGAUCAUUAUUAGCCCAGCGCCGUUGAUCCGCUGUCUCUCCAUAGCAGACGUUUACUCGGCGUGAUUGAUUCUCCUGUAGUGAAAAUCUUCAUCUUGGGACAACCAAUCACACAUAACUCUUGCAAAGAUGGGAAUUUGAUGGUGUAAUUGGUAGAGCAGAAACUUGUGAGGCUAUCUAAAUCACGCAGUUCCAACGUCUUCAAUUUACUGGUGAAGUAGGUCCAUAGCUAAAAUAAAAUUGGAAGAAAAUGAAGAGCAAGCACACAGAGGACACUAAAAAUUACGUGGUUCGACUUUUAACAUACGUCUAUGGGUAAAGACAAAAGGAUAAAACUUUAGUGGUGAAAUGAGGAUUACUAGUAUUAUAAUAUUUUGUUUCACUUCCCAGAACCCCAAUCCACUCAAUCUCUUAAAACACUAAUCACUCAAGAGCAUUAAAACUCUUAGUCUCUCACACUAGAAUUGAAGAAGAAAAGAAUGAAAUGCAGGGGUGAACCCCUCAUUUAUAGUUAAAAUUUUGGGCACUAUUUAUAUAUAUAUAUAUAUAUAUAUAUAUAUAUAUAUAUUAAAUUCAAAGUUUGAACUUGACAUUCAAACUUUGAAUAUCAAAAGGUAUUGGUCGCUCUUCUAGAAAAGCGACAUUGACUUUGAUAUUCUCCCACUUAGAAAUUUGAUUGAGAAUCAAUCAAUCUCCACACCAUCCUUUCUACUUCGCCGCUGUCAUGUUGUUUAUGUCUCUACUAGGCCGUAAAAUGAUCUACUCCAAACAAAUUUAUCAGCAUUGAUAGGCUUGGGCAAAACAUUUGUUAAGUUCUCCUUGGUAUCCACUCUUAUAUCUUUCACUACUUCACGAAGAAGUGAUAUUGUACUCCUAUAUUCUUUGUCCUAAAAUAAAAGGUUGGAUUCCUUGCAUUCUAACUAUCACAAGCCAUAAAAAAUUUUAUGCCCAAGCUCCUUCAGUAACCUUUGUAUCCAAAUAGCUCAUCCAAGCUUGUGUAGCUGCUAUGUAAUCUGCUUCUGUUGUUGAUAAAGCCACAAUGGUCUGCAAUUUUGAAAUCCAACUAACAAUUUCUCAUUCUGGUGCAAAUACUUAGCCAGUAGUGGAUUUCUUUUUAUUAAGAUUUUCUGCAAAAUCUGAAUGCACAUAGCCCUUGACAGUAUCCUUCGUAACAUAAUGCAACAUCUGAUGUUCCUAUGAUAUAUCUCAGAAUCCUCUUAAUAGUCUUCCAAUGUUCUUUGCAAGGAUUCGCUAUGUAUCGACUAACCUCUCCCACUACUUGUACAAAUCAUAGCGAACCUUAAAUUUUCCACUGCUGAUGCAUACAGUACUCAAGACAUCUCUUCUUCUCUACUUCAUUACUAGAUGAAUACUUAAGAAUAACUUGAAAUUAAUGGGAGGCGGGGUAGAAAGCCAAAUCUUUUUGCUAUUACUAUCUCGGUGAAUUUGCAUCCCUAAAAUCUUGUUUGCUGGUUCUAAGUCUUUUAUUUCAAACUCCCUAGUUAACUGUGCUUUAGUUCUUGGACUCGAUCUUUGUUGGGGCCUGCUACUAAUAUGUCAUCAACAUACCACAGUAGAAUGAUGAAAUUAUUAUUAUCAAACUUGUUGUAAUAUGUACAACAGUCUGAACUGAUUCUAUUGUAUCCAAGGUUUAUGAUGAAUGGAUCAAAUCUCUUAUAUCAACAUCUCGGUGCAUGUUUGAGAUCGUAUAGAGAUUUGUUUAACUUGCAAACCAAGUGUCCCUUUUUAGUAAAACCUUCUAGUUAGAGCAUAGAAAUCUUUUCUUCAAGUUCUCCAUAAAGAAAUGAAAUUUUCACAUCUAACUGCUCCAAAUAUAGGUCAAAUGUAGCACACAUCGACAAGACCACUCUGACUGUCCUGAGUCAAAUCACUGGAGAAAAUAUCUCAUUGAAGUUAAUACAUUCUUUCUAAGGAUAUUCUUCCAUCACCAAUCUUUCAUGAUACCGCUCCACUAGGUUAUUACCAUCACGUUUGAUCUUAUGGACCCAUUUCCAACCAAUGGGUCUUUUUUUUUUCAUAUAGUAGUAGUACGAGUUCCUAUGUCAUAUUCUUGUGUAGAGCCUUAAUUUCUUCCUGCAUUGCUAUCAUUCACAAAGUAACAUCUGAGCUGUUUAAGGUUUCAUGAAAAGUUGAUGGCUUUCCAUUCUCUAUUAAAAGACAGUAUGCAAAAUUGAUAUCUGUGACAUAAUCCAAAUGCCACACUGACAAUUAUCUAUCACGAGUUGACCAACAAACUUUUGGGGCCUCAGACUCGAUUGGUUCUUGUUCUCAUACUUUGGUGCUGUUUCAAAAAAAUCUAAAUCUUCAUUUUCCAAAUUAUUUUCAACAUAUAUUAGCACAAUCUCUGAAUUUUUAUAGUGCUAUCAUCCAUAUCUCUCUUUUGCAUUUGAUCUUCUACAAAGAUAAUAUCUCUACUGAUAACGAUCUUAUGGGCAUUGAGGUCCCACAGAUAAUACCCUUUCACUCCAUCAAUAUAUCCUAAGAAGAUACAUCUCUUGGAUUUUGGAUCCAUCUUUAAUCUCACUUGGGUAUUGUAUAUCACGUAAAAGGACAUCAAAAUGCCUAAGAUGAGAGUAAUCAACUGGCUUUCCUGUCUAUUUUUUCCAUUGGAAUUUUCAACCCGGUUGCAUUGAAUGAUGACCCACUUACCACAUAAUAAGUAGUUUUUGCUACUUCCACCUAGAAUGAGUUGGUAGACCAGCAUUUCUCAACAUAACUCUUUUUUUUUUUAUAAGAGUCAUGCCCUUUCACUCUACUACUCUAUUUUAUUGAGGAGUGUAUGCCACCGUGAACUAUCUCUAGAUACUUUCUUGCUUACAUAUGCAAGAAACAUGCUAUUUGUAUACUCUCCACCAUUGUCUGUCCUCAGGCACUUGAUCCCUUGCCCUGAUUUAAGUUCAAUCUACGCUUUGAAUUCUUUGAACAAUGGAAAUACAUUUGACCUUUUCUUGAUUGGAUACACCAAAUAUCUCCUAGAAUAAUCAUUAAUAAAAGUCACCAAGUACUUUGCACCUCCCAUAGAUAUAUCAAUUGAUUCCCAAACAUUAGAAUGAAUCAAGUCUAAAAUACAUUUACUUUUGAAAGUGGAUCUGCUAAACUUUCAUCUAUGUUGCUUCCUUGUUUUGACAUGUGGCCAAGUUUAAGAUGCCACAUCAUCACUGAAUUUUCUCUAUUUGAUGUGACUGACACAAAAGCUUUCUGUAGUGUUUCCCUUUAAGCAUGAAUAAAUUAUCACCGAUCUUUUCCACCUUCAUUAAUGCAAGUGCGCCUUUGACUAUCUUUAUGAUCCCAUUUUCUACAUGAGUUUUGCGCGCAAGACUAUCUAUUUGUCCUAAAGACAAGAGAUAUUUUUCAAGUCUUUGACAUGUCUUACCUUCUCAAUUGUGCGAACCAUACCAUUAAACAUAUUUAUUUUGACAGUACCAAUAUCAGUAAUCUCAAAGGCAUAAUCAUCACCUAUGUAUACAAAUUCUCUUGAAAUAGGUUCAUAUUUGUGAAAUCAUUCUCUUGGAGAGAUCAUGUGCCAGGCAACUAUUAAGUCUAUAAGCCAGAUGUCAUAUAGUGGUUUUCUAUCUUCUGAAGCAGUUGUUGCCUUACUGUAAAGAAUUUUGCCAUCAUACGAGGUACUUACUACAUACCCUUGAGCAUUUGAUGACUCAGAAUCUUUACCAUCUCUUCUCUUCUAGUUGUUCCAAAACUCUUCCUUGACAUGCCCUUUCUUGCAACAGUUGUUGCAUUUGACAUUCUUUUUACUUCUAGAUUUUGAUCUACCGUGACUGUGGCUCUCACUAGGGCCACGUUCCAUGGAUCUUCCUUUCAUCACCAAUAGCGCUUCUACUUGUUGCGAACUCUUUUGUCUAUCUUUUUUAUUUUUUGCUACUCUCCUCAUUUAAUACGGAGGCUGCCAUAUUGUCAAAGACUAACUUGUUUGCUCGAUUGUUAUUAGUUAUAUUAAUGACGAAUUGAUCAUACGAAUCUGGUAAACCUUGAAGUAAAAGCUCUAUAUGUUUAUUUUCCUCUAUUUUAUGACCCAACGUUGUAAGUUAUGAAAAUAAAGUCUUUAAAGUGUUGAUAUGGUCGAUCACUGAUGUAGAUUCCUCCAUUCGAAGAGUAUAAAGCCUCAUCUUUAAGAAGAUUUUAUUUUGUAGUGAUUUGACCUCGUAUAGUCUUGUGAGAGUAAACCAUAUUUCCUUUACUCUCUUUUACUCUACCAUAUUGAAAAAUACCCUAUCUGAAAGUGGUAAGUGUAGAUAUGCAAUGGCAUUAUUGUCUAUCUCAUUCCACUUGCCAUCAUUAGUUAUCUUUGUGAGCCUCUCUUCAAUUGCUGCCAAGCAAUUACUUUUCCUCAAUACAACCUUCAUCUUCAUUUUUCAUGACGAAAAAUUAUUUCUGUUGAACUUCUCAAUUUUGUAUUUUUCCGCCAUCACUUUUCACCACGAGCUACCUUGCUAAGAUCGAUCAAACUUUACUAGCGAAAUGAGGAUUAUAAGUAUUUUAGUAUUUUGUUUCACUUCUCAAAACCUUAAUACACCCAAUCUCUCUAAACAUUCUUAAUCCCUCAUUAUAGAACUAAAGAAGAAAAGAAUGGAAUGAAUGAAAUGAGGGGGUGAACCCCUCUAUUUACAGCUAAAAAUUUGGGCACUUUUUAUAUCUAUUAUUACAAUUAUUUAUUUCAAAAUUUAACGUUUGAAACUUGAUAAUCAAACUUUGAAUAUCAAAAGAUAACGGUUCCAAUCUUGACUCUUAGGCUGAUAUUUAGAGCCUUACACAAAGAAAAAUCNNNNNNNNNNNNNNNNNNNNNNNNNNNNNNNNNNNNNNNNNNNNNNNNNNNNNNNNNNNNNNNNNNNNNNNNNNNNNNNNNNNNNNNNNNNNNNNNNNNNGUAAAAUAUAAAAUCAUAUUACACAAAAAAUAUCAAAUUACUAAAGUGAUUAAAAUCAUUCCCAUCAAAUUAAGUCAAUGUCAUCAAAUUAGAAGAUAAUCUUUGAACUAAUUAAGCAAAAGUAAAUCUUCAAAGUUGAACUCAUCCAUAAAUGUCAUAUAGUAUAAACCAUCAAUUAAAUUAUCUUUGUCAAUUUUAAAAUGUUUAUAUUUACUUUAUAUUGGCUGUUAUUUAUAUUAUUUUUAUAAAUGUAUUGUGAUAUUUUUUAUUUACAUCACACUAUUAUAAUUGAAAUUUUAAAUGUAUUUACUAUAAAUUUGAAAUAAAUUAAUUAAAAAUAGAACUAAAGAUAGAAAUAGAAAAAUGUGGAGCCAAAUAAAAUAUUAGGGCAAACACUAAGUUAUAUUUCAUGUAACUUACACCCACACAUAUUAAUUUAUCACAGUCUUGUCUCCACAUAGAAAAAUUAGAUCUAAGAUUAUCAAACUCCCGAAUGAGGAAGAUCCCUCGGGGCCAUCGUCCCUGUGGAAAUUUCUGCAUCCCUGCAGUCUACAACGCCUAAUAAUGAAUUGAACGGUUGAAAUCCCUCUAAAUUUUUGAUAAUUUCUAAUCGCCCCUCCAUAUUUGAUUGAACAUCAAAACUAUUGAGUCCAAAUUUAUAACUUUGAUUUAUCUUCCAUUCCAUAGUUUUCAAGUUCUCUCUCUCUCUCUUUUAAUCCUUUUUACUGCAACCACCAUCAAAGCCUAGUAGUUAAUAUGUAUGCUGCUUUGCUUUCAAAAUCGGACACUACUGGUAUUUAUGGUUUUUAUUCUUUAUUUGACACAAAAUUUGGCGAUAUCUCCGCGGAAAAACACUACUGGUGUAUUCAAUUUUAUCCGGUAAUGAUUAAAUUGAUUAUUACAUGAACCGUAACUUCGCCAAGCCCAAAAUACAUAUUAAGUUAUAAAGCGUGGCACUCAUUAUUUUUCGCAAAAAGUUUCGCCCAAAAUACAUAUAUUUUUUUAAUUUUUUCUGUGAAAAAAACUACUGUUAUAUUCAAUUUUAUCAUUAAAGUUGUUAGUUACAUGAACCUUAAAUUAACACAAACCGUAACUUAGCCAAGCCCAUAAUACAUUAUUUCAUAUUUGUAUGAAAUUUAAAGUUUUUCCACUUUAUAUUUUUCCGCUAAAGUUUCUAAAUUGUAUUNNNNNNNNNNNNNNNNNNNNNNNNNNNNNNNNNNNNNNNNNNNNNNNNNNNNNNNNNNNNNNNNNNNNNNNNNNNNNNNNNNNNNNNNNNNNNNNNNNNNNNNNNNNNNNNNNNNNNNNNNNNNNNNNNNNNNNNNNNNNNNNNNNNNNNNNNNNNNNNNNNNNNNNNNNNNNNNNNNNNNNNNNNNNNNNNNNNNNNNNNNNNNNNNNNNNNNNNNNNNNNNNNNNNNNNNNNNNNNNNNNNNNNNNNNNNNNNNNNNNNNNNNNNNNNNNNNNNNNNNNNNNNNNNNNNNNNNNNNNNNNNNNNNNNNNNNNNNNNNNNNNNNNNNNNNNNNNNNNNNNNNNNNNNNNNNNNNNNNNNNNNNNNNNNNNNNNNNNNNNNNNNNNNNNNNNNNNNNNNNNNNNNNNNNNNNNNNNNNNNNNNNNNNNNNNNNNNNNNNNNNNNNNNNNNNNNNNNNNNNNNNNNNNNNNNNNNNNNNNNNNNNNNNNNNNNNNNNNNNNNNNNNNNNNNNNNNNNNNNNNNNNNNNNNNNNNNNNNNNNNNNNNNNNNNNNNNNNNNNNNNNNNNNNNNNNNNNNNNNNNNNNNNNNNNNNNNNNNNNNNNNNNNNNNNNNNNNNNNNNNNNNNNNNNNNNNNNNNNNNNNNNNNNNNNNNNNNNNNNNNNNNNNNNNNNNNNNNNNNNNNNNNNNNNNNNNNNNNNNNNNNNNNNNNNNNNNNNNNNNNNNNNNNNNNNNNNNNNNNNNNNNNNNNNNNNNNNNNNNNNNNNNNNNNNNNNNNNNNNNNNNNNNNNNNNNNNNNNNNNNNNNNNNNNNNNNNNNNNNNNNNNNNNNNNNNNNNNNNNNNNNNNNNNNNNNNNNNNNNNNNNNNNNNNNNNNNNNNNNGAUACUUCUGAUAUAUUUUAAAAUUUUUAAUGCACCAAAGUUCAUUUUUAGCUUUUAAGGUUUUUAUGUGUGAGCCUCUCAGCACGUUCCCCAACCUCCUCACGUGAAAAUAUUUCUAUGCACGGUUACAAGCUUUUCCAGAUUGUGAGUAUUCCGAAGCAAUCCAACUUGAAAAACAGCUGGUUCGUAGAAAAUGACAGUUUACGAAGCUGGCCCUGCUGCCAUACAUAUGAUGAUGAAGACCAUUUUGCUUUAUGUCAAUUCCUCCAAGUUGAAAUCUUUCUCGGUCUGGGACACUUCCAACACAUAAAGUACUACUAGGCUAGAUGAUUUUAAAAAAUGUCAAGGUCCUUUAUCAAAUUUCAUUUGCAUUCAAGACCAAUCCCCUUUGAUGAAAAUCAAUAAUUAAAGGCUUUCCAAUGAGAAAUUAUUACGUCUUCAAAUCUCAAAAAAUCGCCAGAAUAUUAAUUCGCUACAUAUAAUCAAGAUAUCUCAUUGAGACGCAUUAAUAAAAAAUGUCAAAAUGCAUAGAAAGAGCAGACACACGGAUGAUGAAUUUACUCAUCUUGAUUAGUAUUUGAACUUGAGAGACAGAAUGAAGUACAUGUCAAGAAUAUCAUAGAGAUGGAAACCGGAAGUCCUCCGCACAUAAACUUUGAAGAAACUGGAAAACGACUUUAUUCCAGAUAAUGCACACCAGAGUGACCAAAAUUCUCUUCAGUAACUAUAGAGAAAAUAUUAUUUUGCAUGCAUUUCACGUAACUGGAUCAAACUACUCCCCUGUUGGUUUAUCAGACCACAUUUUUAUGGUGCAAUAUAAACCAUCUUUUCAAAACACUUUUACAAUGUGAGAAAUAUAGGCAUUAAGUUUCAUAAACUAAAAACUCCAAUUGUCCAAAAAAAAAAAAAGGUGAGAAACUCAGUAGAAUUUACAACUUCUCAGACUCACGAAAAGGUGAGAAACAAAUGAUUUUUAUAUAGUUGUUCAUAGCUAACUUUUGAUGGUUUAAUGAUCUGUAGAUUUUGUUUUAUGCUAUUCAAGGAAAGAUAUUCGAUUGUUCCUAAGAGUUCAUAGGCAGGGGCAUAUAUGCAUGAUUUGAUAUAAUUCUCGCAAUUUCUAAGUACUUGCUCUUUCCAUACCUUCUAAGUUUUGAAAGAAAGGUUGAAAUAAACAGAUAAACAGGACAAACAGAAGAAGACUGAAUUAACAGAUCAACAAAGAUGGCAACUAACAAAUGGAAAAGUUCUCUUGUAAUCAAACUAUAGCAAACAGAUGACACCAUUACCAUAUAUCUUAAUGAGUAGAUUGAUUCUAAACAUAUAUGUUAGGAUACAUUUGGUUGUUUAAUAGUUUGAAAUAAGGAGGAUGAGAUGGUUUCCACAUAAAAGUGCUGGCCCUUUCAAUGACAUUUUCAAGGAAUUAUAAAAUUCAAAAUUAAAAAAAAAAACACAUUAUAAAGCCACGACGUCAAAAAAAUAAAUAAAUAAAUAAGUGAAGACCAAACUAAGUCACUAAGACCUUUAAUGAUAUAAAAUCAGCAUAUAAAUCUCAGAACAAAACAUUAAAACUCAUUCUAAAAGUAAAAAUAAACUAGUGGUGUAUUCCAAACAAUUUAGAUGAAGCGAUAAAACAAGCCAAGAAAUCAAAUAAAAUGAAAUGAAAUUGAAUUACCUGGGACUUUGUUUUUCAAAUUCACAACUCGCUUGUAAUUAAAGUAAAACGCCAAUGCCAUUAGGACAUAUACAUCAUUGAAUAAGAUGAGGACCCCUCCAACAGCUGAAAGUAAAAUUUUCAUUCAUUAGUUUCAAUUAAAAGUAAAGCACGCAGAGAUUUGCAGGGAAGCAAGAGAUUUAAUAAAUUUAACAACAGCAAUUUAAUUUGACAGGACUUCCAUACAGUAAUGAAGUUAAAAACUAACGAUUAACGAAAUUUUGUAAUUGAAUGAAUAAGAUUCUCUGAUUUUGGAUAAUUGAAUGAAUAGGAUUCUCUAACUCUUGUGAAAAUAUCAAUUUUAAAUAGGGUAGAGUUUCAAGAAUUAAGCACAUAUGUAUCCCAUCUGCCAGUACGUGAUCAUAAACUUACUUUAUAACAAAUAUCUGAUCUAUUUGGUGCAUUUUAUUUAAAAGAGAAAUUUUAUAAAAUUUUUCCACUGGUGAUAGUGAGUUAUUCGUACCUUCUCAGCAUGUAAAUGCUGUAUGAUUGUGUUAAGAUCAUUAUUAGCCCAAGGCUGUUGAUCGUCUCUCUCUCCAUAGUAGAAGUUUACUCUGAGAGGCGCGUUUAAUUCUCCUUUAGUGAAAAUCUUCAUCUUGGGACAACCAAUUAUAGAUAAAUCUUCCAAAGAUGGGAAUUUGAAGGUGUAAUUGGCAGAGCAGAAACUUGUGAGACUAUCCAAAUCAUACAGAUACAAAAUCUUCAAUUUGGUGAAAACAAUCUCUUCUUCAAAAUUUGCUGCUCCAUCUUCGUCAUUUAUCACCACCUCUCUCAUUGCUCUGCAUCCAUAUACCAACAUUGAUAAGAGUCGCUGUAGAGUUUGGAGUGACAGAUUCGAUAAUGAUCAACUCCAAAUACUGGCCAAGAUCGCAAAUCAAACAACCAAGAUGCAAAAAGAAUCAAUCCAGAACAAAUCACAGAGAAACUUAAGAACCGAAAAGAAUUAAAGAAUUAGCAGCAAAGACAAAAGAAUUAACAGAUUUUGACAAUAAUGUACAUUUAGAAUUUCAAGGCAUUGAACAAAGGAGUCCAAUUUGGAGUCUUGUUUCCACAAUUGCUUCAGAUGAUUAAAUUUGUGCAGAUCUAAAUGUUUUAUCAUUGUAAACUUCCUCACAUGUUUCUUCAAGUAUCCUCCAUUCGAAAAUACCUCUUCGCAUGAACAACGACGCCGUAUGAGAGUUUCCAGAUUAUGAAAUCUCUCAAGUAAAUCAAGUGGAAAACAAGUUGAGUCAUCAUCCACUGUUUGUAGUAGUUUAAGACUGCCAAAAAGGUGUUGUGGGAAAUCGCUCUGCAAAGUCAUCCUCGAGUCUUUUCCACUUAAUGCCAGUUGGGUAAGCUCUGAUCAUCAUCAAUCACGUAAUAACUUAUUAAGUCAAUUCAUAUUCUCUCAAAUAACUUUUAAUAAUCCAAUCAUACACAGUGACUUUAAUAUAAAUCAUAAUAAUUUACAAAAAAGAAGAAAAAAUCGAAUUAGAGGUAAAAGUUAUUCUACGAUUUUAUUUUUUAUAUAUAUCUUGCAUGCUAUUCCCAAAAGCAAUCCCAAACGACCCUUAAAGCAAUUUUACAAAAGCGGCCCGUACAUGUAUUGCCAACUUUGUUAGGAAUGGCAAUGGGAAGGGGAGGGGAAGAGACCGACCUCCCCGUACCCAUUCUCGAUAUUCUGUAUAUAUCCCUGGCCUCUUCCCAUUCACAAAAUUGCUUUAGGGAAUCCCCCUCCCCUCCCUAAAUAAUAAUAGGGGAUCCUUAAAGGUCCUCGAUUCUCGAAUAACUGAUACGUUUUUAGUUUUAAAUUUUAAUUUAAUCAUAUUAAAAUAAAAAAUAAAAAUAAAAAUAAAGUUUGACGAUAUAUCUUACAUUAACAUUAAUCUAUUACAAAAGUCACAUUACAAAGUAUAAAUCACCAUAAUAAUUAUCUUCGGCAAUCUUCAAAAUCAUAUAAUAAAAAAAAAGAAAUUACUUUUAUAUCAACAAUGAGAUAAAUGAAAUGAAUAUAGAUACUUAAUCAAUAUUUCUAAUAAAAGUAUUUACCUCUUGUGUCUCCUACUCUUCUUGUUCUUCCUCAAGGAAUGUGACAAAUUGAGAGAUAGCCUCAGAUUUCAAAUUUAAAACAACAAAAAUAAUAUAAGUAAUGUAAAUUCUAAGUGAAAAUAUUAAUAAUUAUAUAAUAUAAUUACAAUGUAAAAUAAACUCAUACUGCCAUUGUAAGCUUGUAGUCAACUUUGACAACAUAUUAAAGCCUCCAAUGUGCUUGAAUAAAGCGUGUUACGGUACUCUACCACUGGUGCUAAAAGCUAAUUCAGAAGCAACAUUUGUAAUUAGAAUUGCCAAAAUAUCUCUAGCAAUUCAUGCCAGUAUAGGAUAUCUAUAGACAUUUAUUUUACACCAACUCAAAAUAUUAAAAUCUUUCAUCCUAAGCAUAACUUUCUCAUCCAAAUAUUAAUGUAGUCAAUUAGGCCUAAAUUUUAAUAAUAUAAUUAUUUUAUUUUUUUUUAUUUAUACUAAUAUUUAAUAUUUUAUUAUUUAUUUACAAAUAAUUUUAAAAAAUAAAAUUAAAUCAAAAAAUUAGAAGAGAAUAGGGAUUCUGCCGAUCCCCGUUCUUUCUCUGAAUAAGAAAUUAGGUAAAAAAACUAUCUCCGUCUCCUUUUCAAAUAAAAAAUUAAGUAAAAAAUUAUGUACCCACCUGAAUUGGGAAAAUCUCGAGGGUCAUGUCCCCGCGGCAAUAUCUGCCAUUCCUAAACUUGUAACAGCCAGUUGCUUUUGUGACCGUUUAUGUGACGGCUAGACUGCUCUCACUUAUGUUACUAACCACGUGACGGUAGAGAGUGACGGUAGAGAGUGACGGUAGAGUUAUAAAUUUGUUUCUAAAUAGAAAACUAUUUGCUGGAGUCAAUAUUUUGAAGACCAAAGUCCCAAAUUCUCUCUCGUGCCUGGCCAGCAUCCUAAACCUUACUGGUAGCCGGAGAAUGGCGUAAAACGGCAGCGAUCUUCUUCUUCAUCUUAUUCUCUCUCUUCGUUUCAGGUAAGCUUGUGAUUAUGAGUUUCCUCUCUUUCUUAGCUUGUAAUUAUAGGUUUUGAUUUCUUUAAUUCGUAUUGUAACCAUUAAUGUCAAUUUUUGUCCCGCCGGCAAUAUUUCUUGUUCCUAGAAGUUGAAGCCCUUCUGUUCUUGUUCCAUUGGUGACUUUGCUCACUCAAAUUAAUUUUGUUCUGCGGAAUUUACAAAGUUCAAAUGGAUUCAUUUGGAUUACUAUUGAAUUUAGCUUUAAUUCCAACAUCCAUUCUAAUGUUUUGGCAUUAGAUUUAGUUUAAUUUUAUGUUUAAAGCUUCUACAAUGAAUAGCGGAGCUUGGGUUUUAGUUUCAUUUUCUAAUUAACUUGUUUUAGUUUAUCUUAUAUGCUCGCCAAGUGCUUGUUAUAUUGUCUGAUAAGUUAUAUAACAUUGCUGAUUCUAUAUUAGUAAUGUCAUGUUCCAUUUACGGAAAUUAUAACACAAAAGUUUUUACAAUGGCUUGCAUCUACAAACUGAAUUGACUUGUAGAGUAAGAGCUUGGAUUAGUGUUAUGUUCUUGAAUAAAUGAAAGUUCAUAUUGUGUAAGAGCAUGUAGAUGUAAAGCAUCACUACCAUUUCUACAAACUGCUUUCAUUCUGUUCAGAUGCUCCUCUUGAACUUUGAAAGGUGCCUCAUUCAAGUCCUAGCUAUAACUAAUAGCUCUGAUUGCUUAAGUUCCUGUGCUAGCUGAAACAGAUUUAUUUAAUUAAUUAAUUGUGUAUGUACUAAUUAUAUUGAAAGUAUAUGAAGAAAUUGUUUAACAUGAAUGACUUCUAAAUGACUUAAAAGCCUAAAGGAUAUGUCAAAUAAUGCUCAUUUCACUUGAACGAGCCUAAUACUUUUAUGUCUAUGAUUGUCAAUCUUGCUUAAGUGUUUCAGUUAAGUGGUUUACCUAACAGGGAAAAAAAUUUAAUGGAAAACUUUAGAGUUCUAACAGAAAUAUAGUUGACUGCAGAUAUAGUUAUUUUACAGUACAUAAAUCAUAUUGUCCUAUUCUCAAUGUCCUGCGACCUAUUUUAUUUUAUAUGGUCAUUCAUUUUUGCGAUGGUUUUUUGUGCUUAUGAGUAUGGAAAUAGUGGGAUUUGGUGUGGCAAACAAAAAUAUACAUAUAAUCAAGUUUCUUAAUCAUGUAUAUUGGUUUUGGGUAUGAAUGUUUUCCUAUUCUAGUUCUAGGCAAAGUUUCUUCAUUUUGGUCUUCAGAUUUCCAGUAGGUUAAGUUAAGCAACUAUCAUAACUAGCUAGCUAGUUAUUGCCUGCCUUGUCGCCAUUACCGACGCCAUUGCAUUGCAUGGCAUAAGGAAUAGUAACUAGGUGAUUAUUGGUGAUUCCUUGAGUUUAUUAUUGGCCAAACAAACAUAUUCUCCUUUACCCACAACUUAGUUUGAUUAGUUAUUAGAUAAUAAAGAGCCUUAAUCUAUGCAUUGCUUUAUUAUUUUUAUUUGGUUUUUCUUUCAACAAUAUUGUUGAUUUCUUAUAAAAAAUAUUCAUUGGUUUUUAAACACCUAAUCAUUGGCUAUAAUGAAGCUAAUUAAAACUGAGGCUUUGGAUCAAUUUCUGUUAACAACACACAAAUGAGCAUAACCACCCCCUCCCCCCCCCCCCCCCACCACCACCACCAAAAAAAAAAAAACAAAUAGUAAGACUUUGCAAGAUUCACAACCAGGUUACAUUUAAUUUAUUAAUUGUGUGUACGUACUAGUUAUUUGUUGAUAGAAUAGGAAGAAGUAUUUUAAUAUGAAUGACUUAAAACUUAUUGCUCAGUAAACAUAAUGUGCAUCAGUGCUAGAAAAUGUAUUUGUUGUUUGUAAUUUUUUAUGGUUUUGCUUAAGAAAUGAAAUGUGAAAAAAUGCUACAUUUUAUUAGGAAUAAAUUGAAGAGAUUUAUGAUUUUUAUGUGUUAUUCAAGUUUCAGAUUCAAUUUUAAACUUUUGAUACAUGCAUUGAAAGCUUAAACUCCUUUAAGAAAUUAUUAAUAGACACAUGUUUUAUUAGUGUCAUCUUUUGGAUGAUAGUGAGGAUCUUAUGUCUAUUAAUAAUUCUUGAAUUAUCUAGGCUUGGACAGUUUGGUAAUGCAUAGAUUUCUAUGGUAGCUAGUGCCUGAAAUUUUUUUCCCACGUAAAAAUGGGUUUUUCAGCAGCUGCUCCUCAUGUUCUCUGGGUGCAUACUAGACAAAUGGGUGUCAUGUGUUGUUUUGGCAUAACACAUAAACAUUCAUAUAUCUAUGUCGUGUACUUGAAGAACUAUAGGGAGAUGCUUCCGAAGUUUCUAUAAACGUAGAGGAAAACUUUAGAUACUUAAGAUUGAAGAAACUUAUGCAUUCUUGAGUGGGAUAUAUAGGACCACUUACCUUUUGUAAAUAUGAAGGGAAUGUUGGAUAUAUUGAUGGGAGUGGAGGAGCUGAGUGGGAUGAAUGUAAUCGGUUAUGAUUUUGCUGAGUCGACUUGGUUUUGAGUCUUGUAAUUUUGUUUAUAAAUGGAGUACUAUCUCCAAUGUUGGUUUAUAAAUAUGUUUCAGCUGGCUGACCUAAUUUUUUGUUUCUAGGUAACAGGCUUUAUAUAUCUGUAAUUGAUAGCCAAGUGAAGUUCUCAGCAGUGGGUGAGGAUAUUUCUUUACAGAAGGUAUUGCAAACUGUUUUUUAGAUUAAUUAUUAUUGUAUCUACUUUAAUUUUCACAUCUUUUUCUCUAAUUCUUGUGGCUUUGCUUGCUUCCAUAUAUAUAAAACCAUAAAAUUGUAUAAUAAUUUUUUUUAUUAUAUUGCGAAACUGCGCACACAUGAAAAUAUCUUGUUUAGUAGUAGAAAUGAAGAAUUAAAGUGAUUUAUUUAACUAAUUUUUCUAGUGCAUUAAAAGGACAUAGUCAUGGACCAGAGUUGGGUUGGUUUGCCAAAUAGAUAUCCAAUUCAUAUAAAAUUUAUAGAUUUUGCAUUUGAGAAUGUUGUUGGUGAUAAAAGAAUUUAUUGUCCUUCUAAGAAGUGUCGUAAUAUCGAUAUUUCCUUAUAAGGAAAGUGGCAAGAGACCAUAUCAUUAUAAAUGGCUAUUGGUUAAAGUAUUAAAACUGGAUAUUGGAGGGUGAGCCAUCUUCAUCUUUGAAAUCUAACUAAGAAACAGGUUAGUCAUGACUCGGGUAGUGAUGCUAGUAUGGUUGGAAUGAUGCAUAAUGCAUCACAUAAUCAAAUGUUCAAGUCACACGCAGCAUUGUUAUGGACUAUCUCCGACUUUCUAGCAUAUGCCAACUUGUUUGGGUGGAGUAUUAAAGGUAAAUAAGCAUUUCUUGUUUGCCAACAAAACACUAGAUCUAAUUGGUUGAUACAUAGUAGAAAAUUGUCACGUGGGUCACCGUCGAUUUUUACCAACAAAUCAUAGGUUCCGAAAAUAUAGUGCCAUCUGAUAAAACUAGAGAGUGGGGACAAGCACCUUCUCGGUUGUCUGGAGCCGAGGUGAAAAAAUGUACUUACUGAGUAUAAGAUUGAAGACUUGAAAAGAGGAGAAAAGAGGAGAAUGAAUAAAAUGAAAGAAAUGAUAAGAUUACUUGGAAGAAGAAAAGCAUUUUUUAUGAACUAACGUAUUGGGAGUUCAAUUUGAUUCAUCAUAAUCUUGAUGUCAUGCGCCGUUUUGAUUUUUGUUAUGAACUCAGAUCAAAAGUUUAAUGUGAUCAAAAUUUCUUAAAAAUCGUGAAAACGACUCUUACACUGUCAACGCUGUCAAUGUAGUGAUACAAUGAAGAUGAAGUAAAGCAUUAGUAGAAUAAUGAAGUUGACCAGUAACACAGUAAAGCAAAUUUUAUUCCAGAGCAUGAAAACUUUUAAACAGUAACACAGCUCUUAUUCACACGAGUGACCUGAAUCUUCUUCAGAACUUUCAAAAUCCUUGCCUUCCUAAGUUAGGAAAGAUAGACGUGGAGCAAACCAAGUGAAAUAAAUGAGUAAACAGAACAAGCAGGGCAAAAAUUAAAAAUGAUGGCAAUUAACAAAUUAAUAGCAAUGUUACAUUUGACUCUUUAGCCCUUUGCUCCUUCUCUUAGCAUUCUUCAAAGCUUUUGAAAAUUGGAUGUGAAGCAAACAAAAUAAAAUAAAUUUAGACAACACAUACCCUGUAUUCAGCAUCAUAUAUAUGUCGAAUAUCUAAUAUGAUAAGAGUAUACGCAAGUCCAAGUGAGAAGCAAAACCCAACAACAAAUAUGACGAAUAUGCAUGGGCACAUGCAAGCAACCAUGCAAGCCAAUAACGAAAAUGUAUGGGCACAUGCAAGUAACAUGCAAGCCAUGCAUGAGGUGGGCAUCACGUUCCUUCAAGGACUCUUCACAAAAUCAACGGAAAGCUUACUACGUCAAGUCGUAUUGAUGAAGAAUUCAGAUUUAAUCAUGAUUCCUUUAAGAUUAUUAUUUACUUCGAAAUUAUAGCUAAGUGGUUUAAUUGAUUUUAACUACUUUAUUUCAUUAAUUUUGUUCUAUAAAUAGACUCGAAUAAUUCAAUAAAAAGAUAUCAGACUUUUAUCUAAUUCAAUUAGCAAUUGCGGUAGUUCUCACCCUAAGAAGAACAAAUUAUUUACUUGUUGUUUCCGCUAAUUCUGACUGGGACCUAUCAUAAUAUAAUAAAUUUCACAUCCAAAAUACUAGAAUUUCAAACAGUACUAGUAGUAAAAAAAUGACGACAACAACAAAAAUAGAAAAUUACAAGACUGCUGAUAAAAUUUCAUUUGCGUGCAUGUCUGACAAAAUUUCCGUGGUUUAAUGUGCGUUCAUGCAAGCAAGUCCUAACGUUUCUGUGAUCACAAAAUGAAACUGAAGAUAAAACAGAACAACUACCAAACCUUUCAGGCUCUGAUACCAAGUUAAAGUUUCUAAUCUGUUUGAUAAGUAAGAAAAUGAGAGAAAAUGAAAGAAAGAACAGAGAUCAUCUAAGAGCUGGAUUUGAUGAAUAAAUCUGAAUCAUCCAUUCUUUAGCUGAUUACAAAUGUAUUUAUACAAGGUUUCUAAGCACCUGAGAGUUGAAUAACUUAUGCCAGCUNNNNNNNNNNNNNNNNNNNNNNNNNNNNNNNNNNNNNNNNNNNNNNNNNNNNNNNNNNNNNNNNNNNNNNNNNAAAAAAAAGAAUAUAUAAGUUUGUGUAUUUUUUUGAAUCAUAAUCAAAUGGGUAAAUGUUGCAACUAUUUUUUUAGACAUUUUCACUUUGGGAUGUCAGCCCGAGGAAGUUCGGGGGUCUGAGUUAUUCAACUGAAAAUGUCGGCCAAGUUCUUGUGUUAGUUUUAGUAUAUUGUGUAAAAAUGAUACACUAACUUGAAUUUAUAUGCUUUUAUGACUAUUUGAUAAUCAAAUGGGUAAAUGACACGAAGAACUUUGAGUUUAAAGAUCUGGCCCUGAUGCCUAGUAGCCCUCCAACCCAUGAAGCACUAGAUGUUUUAAUGAGAAAACGACAAGACCAUUUAUCAAAUUUCUUGUGGAUAUAAAUACAUACACAUAGACGAGACCAACCUCCUCAAAUGAGAAUCAGAGUGAUUACAAGACCUUGCAAUGAGACAAUAAUACACCAUCAAAUCUCAAAAUACAAUAGAAAUUCAUGACAUAUAUAUAAUAAAAGACCUCUCAUUGAGUCAUAUAUAUUGAGAAUAAAAUUUUUUUAAUACAUACAAAGAGCUUAUCUAGAAUGAAAUGUAAACUUUUUUAAUACAUACAAUGAUCAAACAAAGGAAACAGACAGGUUGCAACUCACACUAUCACAGAUGUAGCGACACGAUGCAGUGAAUCACAAGAAGAUCACGAAGAUGGAAACGGGAACCCCUCAGAAUGUAAACUUUGAAUAGAGGAAAAAAGAAAAACGACCUUAUUUCAAAUUGCGCACAGAAGAAGAGUGACUUAAAUCGUCAUCAGUAUCCAAACAUUCUGCAAUCAUAGAGUAGAGAAAUUUUAACAGGAACAGUGGAGAAAAUAUUAUGAAUAUGCUAGACCAAAUUAGUCCCUUUUUGGUUUGUGAAAACUUGAUUUUUUAUGAAAUAUUUUCAAACAAUAUUUCCACAAUAUACUUGUUCAUAGCUAACAUUUGAUGGUUUAAGCAUUUGUUAUAGGAACAAUGCACUGAUUACGUUUUUUUUUAAAAAUUUUUUUAGUCCGAUGAAUGAUAUUCAGCUGUUCUUUAAUUAUGUGUUCAUAGGGAAGAACAUUUUCUAAGUACUUUCCUUGCCUUCUAACUUUCCAAGGAAAUAUAGGUGUGAAGAAAAGCAAACCCAAUGAACAAACAGAACACAAACUAAAAUAAAAGAACAGCAAUGAUGAGAAUAAAUAAUUGGCAAAGAAAGAAUGGAAAAAGUAUGCAUGUUUUCAACGAAUUAUAAAAUACGAAGGCUUUUAAUGAAAUUUUAUCAUAAAAACGUAUGCAAGGAGUUAUAAAAUUUUAGAAGACGAGGGGAGCUCCCAAAAAAAAAAAAAAGAAGAAGAAAAAGACUCAAAUUAAACUAGACUAAAAAGACAUUCAAUUAUGCAAAAUCUGUCCAUAAAAGUCUGAAGGGAUCAUUAAAAUUGCAUUGCAAAUCUAUAUCUAUCUAUCUAUAUAUCUAUAUAUCUAUAUAAAGCUAGGACUUGAGGAGGUGAUGUGGCAUCACCAUUUUGCUUCUUUGUAUAUUCUCUAUUAUCUAAUAAAUAGAGAAUUUUUUUUAGAUUUAGCUUUUCAUCUUCUCAUAAUUAAUUUGAUUGUAUUUAACUCAUUUAAUAAAUAGUAACUUUAUUAAUAUAUAUCAUUCCUCAUCUUUUUAUAUUUUCUAUUAUCUAAAAUAUCUAAAAUAUUGGUGAAUAUUCUUUGUACUUUUUUUCUCUUUCUAUUUAAAUUCAACAAUAUGUAAUCAUUAAUAAUAAUUAAUUAUAAGUCCAAUUUUAAUGUCAACAAUGCCAUUAGAGCCCAAUUUUAAUGUCAUGAUCCCAUAUUUAAUUAUUCAAUAUUUUGUUUAGUGCCUUUUGGCUUCUUCAAACUCUAUAAACAUUAAAUAUUUAAGAUUUGUGGCAUCAUUAUUUCUUCCUCUUUCUAUUUAAAUCCAACAAUAUGUAACCAUUAAUAACAAUUAAUUAUAAGUCUUUUGAAAUAUUCAUUUAUUUUAUUAUGCUAGCAAUUAAACUUUAGUUGCUUAAAAUACAUCAAUUAAUUAACAUAGGAAGAGGGGUUCUUUCAUCUUCCCUCAAUAAUGCAGCUAGGGCCUAAGUUUAAUUUUCAUGUCUCUUCCUCUUUCUAUUGAAAUCCAACAAUAUAUAAUCAUGAAUAAUAAUUAAUAAUAAAUCUUUUGAAACAUUCAUUUAUUUUAUUAUGCUAGCAAUUAAACUUUAGUAGCUUAAAAUACAUCAAUUAAUUAACAUAUGAAGAGAGGCUCUUUCAUCUUCCUUCAACAAUGUCAUAAGGGCCUAAUUUUAAUGCCAUAAUCUCAUAUUUAAUUAUGCAACCUUUUAUUUAGUGUCUUUUGGCUUCUUCAAAUUUUAUUAUACUAGCAAUUAAACUUUAGCGGCUUAAAAUACAUUAAUUAAUUAACAUAGGAAGAGAGGUUCUUUCAUCUUCCCUCAACAAUGCCACUAAGGCAUAAUUCUUCUUAUUCUAAAUUUAAGUUGCUUGUCAUCAUCAGCAACACAAGUCGAUUAUGAUGCAACUACCAUUAUAAUUAAUGGAGAACGACGAGUUAUCUUCUCUGGUGCAAUUCAUUAUAUUUUCGCAGUAGUCCACAAGUACUGUAUGCAAAUAAUUAAUUUACAAUUUCUCAAAUCACUUGCACUUUCACAUUUUCUUCUUCUUUUAACCAAAAAAAAAAAAGCUACUUUGUUGCAAAAAUAUUAUCUUAAUUUUUUUUCCUAACAAGCCAAACAUGAUCCCACAUUCAAAACGGUGCGCUUUCAUGUUUAGGAAAAAUUAUGGGCAAUAUUUUUGGAUCCAACAGCAUUAUUAUUCUUAAAAUAUGUAAAAUUUGAUAUGAUUUAUUUCUAUAUGCGUUAUAUUUGUGCAGAUGUGGCCAGAUCUUAUACAGAAGGCAAAGGAUGGAGGGCUCGAUGCAAUUGAAACUUAUAUUUUGUGGAAUGCUCAUGAGCCUCAACGUCGUCAGGUGCCAAUUAUUAUUAUUAUUAUUUUUUUUAUUAUUAUUAUUAUUAUUAUGUGCGAUCGUUAUUAUUAUUGAAAUAAACAUACAAAAUUAACUUGUUUAAUCUUCCUUUUGAGAAGAGAUCAGAAGGUUAUCUUAAGAAAUUUGAAUUUCAUCAAAUUUUUUAUUUUUAAUUUGAUAUUUUUAAAGCCGCGCGAAGCGCGGUUCUAUUUCCUAAUUUAACAGUAAACCGAGGGACCUAUUCUAAAUAAUUAAGAUGAAAUUGCGAAACAAGCCAUGGGAUUAAAUAAAUUAAAUAAAAAUUAAUUACCAGCUGAGACUUUCUUCUAAAAAUUCGCAACUCCAAGUCAUAAGAAGCCUAUGAAAUUAGUCGUACUGCGUAGAGUAUAUCGACGACCCCGCCAACAGCUGAAAAUAAAAUUCUUAUUCAUCAAUUUAAACUUUUACUUUAUAACAAACAUUUUAUCUAUAUUUUAUUUAAAAAGAAAAAGCAAAUUUUGUAAAAAUUUAUCAUGGGAGAUAGAGAGUAAUAUGUAUAUCCGUACCUUCUCAGCAUGUAAUUGUUGUAUGGUUGUGUUUAGAUCAUUAUUAGCCCAACGCCGUUGAUUCGAUGUCUCUCCAUACUGGACGUCUACUCUCGGAGGCGUGAUUGAUUCUCCUGUAGUGAAAAUCUUCAUCUUGGGACAACCAAUCACUUCCAGAUAUUCCAAAGAUGGGAAUCUGAAGGUGUAAUUGGCAGAGCAGAAACUUGUGAGACUUUCUAAAUCACACAGAAUCAACGCCUUCAAUUUGCUGAAAACAAUCUCUUCUUUUUCAACUCCUUCUUUGUCAUUUAUUACCACCUCUGUCAUUGCUCUGCAUCCUUGUAUACGCACCGUGACGAGUUGCACUAGAGUUUUUGCUGUGCAGGAUGUUACCAAGUGUAUCAAUCCCUUGCAACCGAAAGCUACAAGUUUUGUUAGGUUCCCAAAAGAUACCGAUGAUGAUGGCAAUAGAAUUAACAGACUUUGACAAUGAUAUACUCUUAGAAUUUCAAGAUACUGAAAAAUGGGGCCAAGUUUGGAGUCUUGUUUGCACAGCUGCUUCAGAUGAUAGUGCCGGUACAGCUCUAAUUCUUUUAUCAUUGCCAACUUCCCCACAUGUUUCUCUAAGCAUCCUUCCAUCGAAAAUAGCUCUUCGUGGGAUGAAAAAUCACACAGUGUGAGUAUUUCGAGAUUGUGAAAUCUCUCCAGUACGUUCCAGAUUGGAAAACAAGCUGAGUCAUCUGCAGCAAUCUCUAGUUCUCUAAGACUGCCAAAAAGGUGUUGUGGGAAAUCGGCCUGCAAAAUCAUCUCCACGUCUUUUCCACUUAGUGAUAGUUCCGUCAAGUUGGGUAAGAUCUGAUCAUCGUCAAUCAUAAUAACUGAUAAGGUCAAUUGAUGAUCUCUCAAAUGAUUUUGAGUAAUCCAAUGACACGCAGUGACUUUAUAGUAUUUGUUUUAUAUUAUAUUUUUUUUAAAAAAAAUUGAAUUAUUGAUAAAAUUUAUUAAAUGAUUUUUUAUAUGUUAAUUUUAGAGGUAAAAAAGAAAUUAGGGAAAAAAGGUUGAUUUAUACUGACUCGAAAUUAUUUUAUUGCACAAUAAUAAAUUACUAAUUUAUUUUGUAAGUUCUUCUAUAUGGAAAGACUCAAGAUUCUUUUACAAAUGCUAUACCAAAAAAAGUUCAUAUAAUUAUUAAUCUACCACAUUGAUCUCUUAAUCUAGACUAGCAAAGAUUAUUGUAUAAUAAAAGUUUUCAAUUUAUUGAGUAUUAAUUUAUCGAUGCUUUGUCAUAUUUUUCGAAGUUAAAAAUAAGCUAUUGAUAAAAAAUCUAGAACUUGGCUUCAUACCUUUUCCAAUGGCAAUGGGGGCCGUUGUGCAGGAAUGCCAAGUUGAUCAUUCUCAUUAUUCUGCGAUAAAUCUGCAGCGAAUAUCUUUAAUUUGUCACAACGAUACACUACAAGAAUUUCUAGUGCGGGCCAUUCCGAAGUAUGCUUUCCAGGGUACAAACAUCUAAGUUUUGGUAGACCUUCGAGUCUCAGAGUGGUGAGCUGUGGAAAGACAAAAUGAGGGAUCACUUCAUCUGUUCUGUUUUCAGAAAUGAUCUCCUGUAAAUUCUUACAGUAGUGUAUACGUAGGUGUUGGAGCUGCUUAAGGCUUCCGAUCAUAGACGCUGAAAAUAUGUAUUUUAAUUUGUGACAACGCCACACAAUCAAUCGUGUUAAACUUUGAAAGUGAGGAAACACGGCCGCCGGAAGAUGAUUGUAGUGCCAAAUCUUGUCGACAUUAAUUGCAGAUAUCUCCAAAGCCUCCAAGUUAGGCAACGCAACCUAAAAAAAUAAGAAUUUCUCGUUAGAUCCAAUAUCCAUAUGGGAAGCACUUGUUGAAAUUUUCUUCUUUGAUUACAAAUUAAUACAAGUCUGAAUCAAUUUCCAACUGACAGCUGAGUACGCAUUCUAAUUCAUACUACUUGUUAAGAGCUCAAUUAGUGAGCGCGUGAGAUUCUUUUUAUCCUUUUUUUUUUCAUUUUCUUUCAAUUCUUUAAAUGAUUUAAUUAUUUUCCACGUAUGACAUCAAAACAGAACGCAUGAUAGAAUAAAGAAAAUGUUAGCCUACUGUCACGGGAUGAGUGUUUUGCGCAGCUAACCCGUGCGGCACUUAGACAACUUUGCCGAAUGUUGCUAAGUAAGCCUAGAGAUUCUCGAACAAGAGAAGAGAGCAAUUGAGCCAAAGAAACUUGUAUUGCACAAAGAGAGAUUAUAAUGCUUGUUGGAUACAAAUGCCUAAUGCCAUCCCAUAUUUAUAGGGGAGGCUUUGCCUAAGUUUGCCUAACUUUGCCAAACUUGGUCAAACUCUAGAGUAUUAUACAAUUUCCUAGCUAUUUACAUGUGCUGGAAUUGUAUAAAGUAUUCUAGAAUAUUUACAUGUUCACAUGUGCUAGAGUUGCCUAGAACCUUCCGGAAUUGGGCCAAGCUAGCACUCUUGGCCUUGUGUUGGCUCUCUAGCCCGAAAUUGUGGGCAAUUGGGCUAGCAAAUUGGGCGGUCCGCAACAUCCUCCCCCACCUAAGCUCGUGGCGUCCUCGUCGCGGUCUCGUGCUUGAAGUGCUGGAUGUGCUCAGCGAAUUGCCACAAAUCAUCUUCACGUUCCCAAGUGGCUUCGCUCUCGGGGAGGUUUUUCCACUUCACCAAGUACUCGCUAUGUGCUGGCACGCCCCUCCUCAAAACCGUUCGGUCCGCAAUGAUGUAGUCCACAUCUUUGUCGAACGCGGUGACAACGGCAGUUGGCGCGCGCCUCGAUUCUCCGCGACUUGGUUCUCCCAUGUCUUCGUGAUAUGGCUUGAGAAGGCUCACAUGGAAGACCGGAUGGAUCUUGAGUCUUGGCGGAAGUUGGAGUUGAUACGAGACGUUGCCCACACGUCGAACAACUCGGAAGGGUCCCUCGUAGCGCCUCACUAACCCCUUGUGAACUUUCCGCAAAGUCUUGAAUUGUUGGGGUAGGAGCUUGAUCAUGACUUGAUCACCUUCCUUGUACUCAACAUGUCGUCUCCUUGUCUCCGCCCAUUUCUUCAUCUUCCUCGCGGCUUUGUCGAGGUAGGCUCGUGUGAUGUCCGCUUCCUCAUGCCAUUCGCGGGCGAGCUUGUGUACCGCGGGGCUUUUCCCUCCGUAAGUCGAGGCUAUGGCAUUGGGGGUCAUGGGCUGGAAUCCCAUGAUGAUCUCGAACGGACUCUUGCCCGUAGCCUCGCUUCGCUGCAAGUUAUAAGAAAAUUGGGCGAUGUCGAGUAGCUUCGCCCAAUCCCGCUGGUGAGCGCUCACAUAAUGCCUCAGGUACAUCUCGAGGAGGCCAUUAAUGCGCUCGGUCUGCCCAUCCGUUUGUGGGUGGAAGCUUGUCGAGAACUUGAGAUCGGUCCCCAACAUUUUGAAGAGUUCCGUCCAAAAGCGUCCAGUGAACCGAGGGUCUCGGUCGCUCACAAUGCUCUUCGGUACUCCCCAAAGCUUCACAAUGUGCUUGACAAAUAGGCGGGCUGCCUCGUCCGCUUUGCAAUCGACUGGUGCAGCAAUGAAUGUGGCGUACUUGCUGUAUCGGUCGACAAUGACCAUGAUACUUCCGCAACCUUCGGACUUGGGCAGCGAUGUGAUGAAGUCCAUGGAGACACUUUCCCAUGGCCUUGUUGCUAGUGGUAGCGGCUCCAACAAUCCCGCUGGAAGUUGAUGAUCCACUUUGUCUUGUUGGCACACAAGACAAGUUCGCACAUAUGCCUCAAUGUCGUCCCUCAUGUGCGGCCAAAAAUACGAGGCUUGAACUAGUGCGGUGGUGCGCUCGAUUCCUGGGUGACCAGCCCACUUAGAGUCGUGGCACUCCUUGAUUACUUCCUUCCGCAAGUUUCCCCACCUUGGCACGAACAGCCGAUCUCCUUUGGUGAGGAGGAUGCCUUCCUCUUGCCAAAACCGCCUUGUCUUUCCCUCGAGCACCUUCUCCAGCAAAUCCUUUGCUAGCGGAUCUUGUUGGAGGCCUUCCUUGAUGCGUGAGACAAGGUCGGACUUCGGUUGGCUCAUGCUAAGUGUUGCCAAUUCCGCCUUGCGGCUUAGAGCGUCCGCAACAACAUUGGCUUUCCCCGGUUUGUACUCUAGCCGAUAGUCGAAUUCCGCAAGGAAAUCUUGCCACCGUGCUUGCUUCGGACUCAACUUCUUUUGAGUUUGAAAGUAGCUUGUCGCCACGUUGUCCGUCAUGAUCGUGAAGUGUGAGCCAAGCAAGUAAUGUCGCCACACUCUUAGACAAUGGAUGAUGGCUGUCAUCUCCUUUUCUUGCACCGUGUAGCGGCGUUCCGUGUCAUUUAGCUUUCGACUCUCGAACGCUAUUGGGUGGCCUUCUUGCAUAAGGACUCCACCUAUGGUGAAAUCCGAGGCAUCCGUUUGAACUUCGAAGGGCUUGGUGUGGUCCGGAAGAGCGAGGACUGGUUCCUCCGAAAUUGCCUUCUUCAACUCCUCGAAUGCACGUUGGCACUCUUCGGACCAAUGCCACGUUCUGUUUUUCUUGAGCAUAUCCGUCAAGGGUGCCGCCUUGGCUGAAUAGCCCUUAAUGAAGCGGCGGUAGUAAUUCACCAGCCCAAGGAAUGAGCGAAGCUCGGGUACUUUCGAGGGAGGCUCCCAAUCGAGGAUGGCCUUUACUUUGUCAUUCUCCAUCAUGAUCUUCCCGCCCGCAAUCUUGUGGCCAAGGAACUCCACCUCUUGUUGGGCAAACGAGCACUUCUCUAGUUUGAGGAAGAGCUCAUUGUCUCGAAGUACUUGGAGGACUUGUUGCAAGUGUUGGGCAUGAUCCUCGAGUGUGGUGCUAUACACCACAAUGUCGUCCAAGUACACGACCACGAAGCGGUCGAGGAAUGGUUGGAGUACCUUGUUCAUGAGUGUGCAAAAUGUGGCGGGUGCAUUAGUAAGGCCAAAAGGCAUCACAAGGAAUUCGAAAGACCCGUACCUUGUUGUGCACGCUGUCUUCGGUUCGUCUCCCUUGGCGAUGCGCACUUGGUAGUACCCGGAGCGCAAGUCAAGUUUGGUGAAGUACCGCGCUUUGCCAAGCUGGUCGAACAAGUCCGCAAUCAAUGGAAUCGGAUACUUGUUCUUGAUGGUGAUCUUGUUGAGCGCUCUAUAGUUGAUGCACAUCCGCAGCGAUCCAUCAUUUUUCUUUUGGAAGAGGACCGGUGCACCGAAUGGGGCCUUUGAGGGGCGAAUGUAGCCGGCAUCCAGCAAGUCUUUGAGUUGUCUCCGCAACUCCUCUAAUUCGGGUGGCGCCAUGCGGUAGGGUGCCAAGGCUGGUGGCUUCGCGCCUUGUUCCAGCUCAAUCGCAUGAUCUACCUCUCGCGGAGGUGGGAGCUUCUUCGGAAGUUCUGGAGGCAUCACAUCCUUGUAAUCUUCGAGGACGGCUUGAAUUUGUGGAGGGACUUGGCUUGGCGACGUUCCGCUAUUUCCUUCCUCAUUUAGUUCCCGAAUGGAGACCAAGAAGCUUGGGUCCUUCUUGAAAGCCCUUUUGAAUUGCAUGGCGGAGAGUGUCUUCUCCUCGGACUUGCCUCGCUCCGUGGGUACCAUGCAUGCUUUACUCCCGUCGAGGAUGCUUAGGGAGUUUGUAGCGGGCAGUGGGAAGGCAUGGACUUGGUCGAAGAAUUCCAUGCCGAGGACCAUCUUGAAGUCGUCCAUGGGCAUGAUGGAGAAGUCAAGCUUUCCGCUCCACGUACCAAGUGUGAUGUGCACGCCUUGUGCGAUUCCCGCAAUUGGCUUGGCGGGUGAGUUCACAGCCUUCAUUGUGCCUCCUUCCUUGGUGGCCUUGAGGCCUAAGCGCUUGGCCUCGUCUACGGACACGAAAUUGUGUGUUGCUCCCGUGUCUAGCAGCGCGCGAACGGACUGACCGUUUACCUUUGCGCUUACAUACAUGAGCCCUUUCUUGACGAGUGCGGGCUGUUGGCGAUUGAGGGCGCCGAGGCGUUGGAGAGAACCCAUGCUGAGUUGGGGUUCCUCCGUGGACAUUGUGGGGUUGCUCUUGAGUUGGGCAGCAAGAGCAUUAAGCGACCUCUUCUCCGGACAGUCGCGUACCCAAUGAGGACCAUUGCAUAUGAAGCAUGGGCUUCGCGGCUUUGGCGCCUCCUUCUUGCCCUCCGAUUUUCCUUUCCAACUCUUGUUGCUAGGCGGCUUUUUCUGCCCCCAAUCUUUGCGGUUGUUGCCCUUGUCCUUGCGACUCUCUCCCCCACCUUUGCCUUGGUUGGCCUUUUUGUCCUUGGAUUGGGUAGAGUAUUCGGUGAGCGACUCCGCAACGGCAAUGGCGUCGUCAAGUGUUUGAAUACCACGCCUAUCAAGCUCGGUCUUGGCCCAAUCCUUGAGGCCAUCUUGGAAGUAGAAGAGUGAAUCCUUGUCGGACAUGUCGCUUAUCUCCAACAUGAGGGUAGUGAACUCGUUGAUGUAGUCCCGAAUGCUACCCGAUUGCUUGAGGCGACAUAAGCGCACUCGCGCUUCCUUCUCCGCAUUGCUUGGGGCGAACUGCUUUCGGAGUUCUUGCUUGAAGUCGGCCCAAGUGUUGAUGGCGCAAAUGCCCUUGCCCAUCUCGCCAUGCUUGCGACGCCACCAUAGUUGUGCAGCGCCUUUAAGAUAGGUGGGUGCAGUGCCCACUUUCGAUGCCUCAUCUCGGACACCCAUGGCAUCGAAGUAUUGAUCCAGCCCAAAGAGGAAAUUGUCCACGAUGGUGGCAUUGCGUGUGCCAUCGUAGGUGUCGGGCUUUGGCACGUCAAUGCGGCGCGCAUCACUCGAGUUUGCGGAAGCUGGACUUGUGGAGAGUGUGCGCUUGUGCCAUGCCCAAUCCGAGCGGACUUCAUCCACUUCCGCACGGACAGCACGUAGUUCGUCCUGAACAAAACUACGAAGUUUGAGCAACUCAUCAUGGAAAGAACGAAACUCACCUCGGAGAAUGUUCGCUUGCUCAUGGAUGAGAGCUUUUGUGGCCACCGUGAACUUGGCGUAUUCUCCCUCGAGACCAUCCACUCUUUCCUCUAAUCCCACGAGGCUAUCUUGAGCGGCGGACAAUGCUAUUUCGAGAGUGCCUACACGAGGCUCCAACGCAUCCAUGGAUAGGGCCUUGGACUUGCCGCGAGUCUUGCCUUGGGCGCGUUCUCCCUCUCGGCCACGGCUUGGUUCCGGUGGAACAUCCACACCAACAACACCCUCUUGUGCUACGUUCGAAGGGUUGGCCAUUGCUUCGUGAGCUAAUUUGCGUGCGUGCAAACCUUAGCUCUGAUACCACUUGUCACGGGAUGAGUGUUUUGCGCAGCUAACCCGUGCGGCACUUAGACAACUUUGCCGAAUGUUGCUAAGUAAGCCUAGAGAUUCUCGAACAAGAGAAGAGAGCAAUUGAGCCAAAGAAACUUGUAUUGCACAAAGAGAGAUUACAAUGCUUGUUGGAUACAAAUGCCUAAUGCCAUCCCAUAUUUAUAGGGGAGGCUUUGCCUAACUUUGCCUAACUUUGCCUAACUUUGCCAAACUUGGUCAAACUCUAGAGUAUUAUACAAUUUCCUAGCUAUUUACAUGUGCUGGAAUUGUAUAAAGUAUUCUAGAAUAUUUACAUGUUCACAUGUGCUAGAGUUGCCUAGAACCUUCCGGAAUUGGGCCAAGCUAGCACUCUUGGCCUUGUGUUGGCUCUCUAGCCCGAAAUUGUGGGCAAUUGGGCUAGCGAAUUGGGCGGUCCGCAACACUACGCACCUUCUCGUUGAAAAGCAGAGUUGAAAUAUCCAAAGUGAUUUCGCUGGAGCUAUACAUAGUCGUCGAUUCCUCUUGCGACGCUGGUCUGUUUGGUGAUGCUGAAGGAGUCUUUACUUCCCGGCAAAAACUUGUAACCUCUGGAAGAUUCCCCAGACUCAAAGAUCUUAAUUGAGCAAACUCUAUCUUCUCAAUUGCAUUAUCAACUUCUUCCCCAAUUGCAAAAAUCUCUUUCAUCUUGCUGCAAUUAACAACUGCAAUUCUCUCAAGUCUUGGAAGGCAUUUUUUAGUAGAGAGCCAAAAGAUAUUACUCAACUUAUCACAAUUAUAUACUUCUAUAUUUUUGAGUUCGUUGAAGGACUCUACUUUGAGCCGAUCAAUACAUAUCCUCUCCAUGUUGAUCAAAUUGUGAAGGCCAAGUGACUCCAAAAGAGGAAAGGCAUCACAAGCGACCAUCGCCCUUGAAUCGACGAUGCAAAAGAAGUCAGGAUUAUUUUGAACCCAGAGAACCUUCAAUUGUGAAAAGCCCUCCGUGUCCAAAUUGAAAAGAACGUUCUUGAUACCUCGCAGCUUGUCCAACAAUAAGUAUUCAACGCUAUUGACGCCCUGCAAUUUCAUGGAGCAAAUGUCCGUAAAAGCAAGCUUGAGCUUCAAUGCUCUUAAACUCUUGCAAUCACUGUCGAUAUAAAAGUGUCGCCGACUUUUAAACCAAGCUUGUCUGACUCUCAUGGGAUGCGUGAAUGACUCAUUUCCAAUAUGUAUUUUGAACCUUUCAAGCUUUCUGGCCAAAAAACGUUCUGGUAACAUACUGUCAUUUUUAACGUCAAUUUCUAGAGUGGUUAGCCGAGGUAAAUGCAUCAACUCAUCAAGGCUAGCAUUACUUCUUUUGCUGUUGGCUCUUUCAACCUCCCAUUCAAUGGAGCAAUUACCCAUAUACAAUUCUUCUAAUCGGGUUAAGCUUGAUAUGACAUUUGGGGCAAUAACUUUCAGACGGAAACAGUCUGUGAAAUCUAACAGCCUUAGGUUAGUCAGUUGACCCAGUGCUUUAGGCAACUCUACAAUAUCAGAUUGCAAAAAGCUGAGGAUUUCUAGAUUUUCCAACUUUCCAAUAAUGGCUAUGUCUAUGCCUCCCAAAAUGCUUUGAUUAAGACAGAGUGUCUGAAGAUUUACUAGAAGACCAAUUGAAGAUGGCAAUGACAAUAACCGCAUUCUAGUCAAAUCCAAAACCCGAAGCUUUUUCGUCCUUUUGAAGAAGUUCUUAGGAAUAUUAGGCACAGAAAAAGAGUUCUUGGGAGACAUGACUAGAAGUUGAAGUUGUAGAGAUUCGGACCCUUCAGGAAUGUCAUUAACAAUACUAUCUUUAAAAGAAAUUGCAAGAUAUUUUUUUAGUGCAUCUGCAUCUGGCCAGUUCCACACAUCCUCAUUUCUCACCACAAAUCCAAUUUUGUCACGACAUGCAAUUGAAAUGGCAACAUCGCGAACAACAUCGUGCAUAGAAAUGUAUUUACUGCCACCAUCCUCAAGCAACAAACAAGAGUCUCUUAGUUUAUGGACACUUUUAAAUACACCCAAGCCCAUGCUGUAUUUGAACAAAUCCAUAAUUGGUGCUGGCGUAAUAAGACUACACAGUAAAAACGUUUUCUUGAGUUGCUCACCUCUUAAGUACUUGUAACUCAGCUCAAUUGUUGAGUAUGCCUCUGCUGGUACUCCUCCGUCGAAGCUUGCCUCUGAAGGCGUUUGGAGUUCUUGCAACGCAUUCUUCCACACAGGCAGCUCUUUGUUUCUCAGUGCCUUUGCUACUGUGGUUAAGGGCAAUAGGCAAACCUCCACAUGCCUUGGCUACCCUUGUUGCUAUAGGUUUUAACUCACGGUUUUCAACAUAAUCACCAGCCAUUAUCUUGAACAAUCUCCAGGCUUCUUGUUCAUUUAAAAUGCCAAUCGAGAAGUUUUUUUCAGAUUCUGUCCUUAACAGCACAUCAAGAUCUCUUGUUGUGAAUAAUAAUUUGCAUCCUCUGUGCUCAACUCCAAAAGGAAUUCCAAUAGUCCCCAAAUCAAGAGGUUUCCAGAUGUUAUCCAGAAUCACAAGGAUCUUUUUCUCAUUUUUCAAUCGCUCACAUAGCCUACUUGCUCUUCUAGAUUCAACUUCCUCGUGCAACUCCAGGCCCAACUUCUCGGCAAUUUCCUGUUGAAUCUUUUUUAUGUCUGGAGUUUGCGAAACCUCUGAAAAGACCACCGUAUCAAAGAGCUUGUCUGCCAUAGCUUGCCUGGCGACCUCCUGCACCAGUGUCGUCUUUCCAAUGCCGCCCAUGCCGUAGACCCCAAUGAUGCUGACAUCAACAACGAUCAAUGCAUUUUGUAUGGCUUUCAAAGUAGAAAGUCUUGAUUCGAAGGCCUCGUAGCCUUUGUGAGACUUGAGCCAUAUAUCCUCCGGAACGGUACGGUAGGAAAUUCUAUCAUCAAAUCUCCCAGCUUCUUCUCGGAGUUUAAAAAGGGCCUCCUUCUCUGUUUCUGCUUUCUUUCCAUGAUGAUAGCGAGCAAACCAAUCAGGAAACAGCCCCAUGAGACAUCGGCCAUCAUUUGCUUUCUCUUCGUCUUGAAUGAAUUUGGCUGCCUGCUCAAUGCUCUCGUUCGCAUUAACCAGCCAUUUCUCAACAUUCUCUUCAAUCUUUUCACCUUUUCUUUCAGCCUCAGAAACUCUGCGCUGAAUGCUUUCUCUUUCAACCUUGAGCCUAUGGAGUUCUGCCUUGAGAUUCUCAAAGUUGGCACCGGAGUUAUACCAGUAACUAAAUUCGCGUUGUGCGUGAGGGGACAAGCAGUUUACAACUCCUGGAACAAUGCUUUUCAAAAUGUCCAUCUUUUUUUUUUUUUUAGGGAAGUGAACGAAAUAGAAAUAGAACAGGGUCAACGGCUGUGCAAUUGAUAAUCAAGUAGAAGCAAAACAAGGCAAAAUUGAAAAAAGAAAUUAUAUUUGUACAAACAAGGAGAAAAUCAUUUCCUUCUGCGGUUUAAAAAGGAGUCACCCACGAGUAUUGAAAUAAUUUUAUCAGAUUCGCUUGAAAGUAGUUUUACAAGCUUGAAAUAUUCUGAAUUUCAAUAUAUUAAUUUUUAUGCUAAUUUAUGUUGAGAUUCGUAAUCUCGUCUCAAUGAUUAAUUAGUAGAUAAUCUUUCUAACAAAUAUGUGUUGAAUAGAUAUAUUUCUUGACUAUUAGAAGGUUAGAUAUAUUUUAGCAUAGGAAUGAAAGUACCAAGUUGUGUCAUAUUAGAAUAAAAAUUUGAGCUGAAAAUAUUGUUAUAUGACCUUUUAAUUAUUUGUCAGCAAAUAAUUAAUUCAUAUAAAAAAAUUAAUAAUCUGAAUUAGUCUUUAAGUAUUAUAAAUAUUUUUUUAUUUUUAAUUAUAAUAUCAUUAUUUAAAAAUAAUUGCUUGACUUAUAUUAGUAACAUUACGAUUGUCAUAAAACAUGUGAUCCUCAUCCAAUAUCCAUUAUUUGUGAUCCUUAAUCAAUAAAAUAUCUAACACUCCAGUCCAAUGCUGCCGUCAUUAUCGAACGGUCGAUAUCCAACACUCGCACGAAGAUUCCAAGAAGUUGCGUGGCUGCCGACUUUUAGAUGCAAAGCCUCAUUGUGUCGAUGUUACACAAAAGAGAGCAGUCCGGGUAAUUGCCAAAACUUAGAACUAAACAGUAGCUUAGUCAGAAAAUCAAAUGCCAGUACCGUUAAAAUGACCGAUAAAAAUAUAAAGAAACCAAAGCUUUAAAAGAAAUCAGCCAAAUCACGAAGAUUGAAGAGUAAAUCUAUGGUUUUAGAUUUUUAUUUUAUUUUUUUAGAUAAUAGAUAUUAUUUUGAUGAAUUUUUAAUAUUAGAAUAAUGUUAGGAAUUUCGAUAGUAGAAUUCUAACUUGAGAUCCAAUUGUUAUGUAUCAUUUUUUUAUUGGAUAAUGAAUUUCAUAACUAGUAAAAUUAAUAUUUUGAUCAUCUAAUAAAUGACUAUCAUAUCAGUUGAGACUCAAUUAUUGGGAUCCUUAACAUUGCUCUUAGUAUUAAAUUGGACAUCUUAGCUAAAUCAAAUUAAAAAUCAAAUUAGAUUUUAGGCUUUUAUCCAACAUCUCUUUUUUUUUUUUUUGGGUCUAUUUGAAGUGAACGAAAUAAAAAUACAACAGGUUCAACAACUGGGCAAUUGAUGGUCAAGUAGAAGCAAAUCAAGGCUAAAUGGGAAAGAGAAAUGAUAUUUGUGCAAAACAAGGAGAAAAUCAGUGUAACUGAAGAGAAUCAAAGUGCUUUUGAGAUCAAAAAUUGAGGCAAGAAAAGGGUCGCUUGAUCGAAUGAAAAUGCUAAGAGCUGAUGGCAAAAGAGAAUAAAGUUAAAUAAGAAAACAGCUAGCGCUAGCAGCGACCACAAUAAACAGAAAAUUUGAGAUGGAUUUACAAUAUUUCUGCCUUUCUUUAUGCUUUAAAAAAUAUUGCUCUAUCAAAAAAAAUAUUGAACAUUUUUAUUAUUGGAGUCACAAAUGACCUACACAAUAUAGCAAGUGACUAGGAAUAAAUAAGAAUAUAUAACUCUCUCUAAUUCUCACUCUGGCUUUUAAUUGUCACUCAAAACCCAGAAUUCAUCCUUAAAGUGUAGGCAAAUCAGGGAUGACAGCGUCUGGUUGUCAUACGUGCCUUUUAGUUUUCGGAUGACAUGGCGUACACGUCUUUUGUAAACCGAACAUGACAUGUCGUACUCUUUGUUUUGAGAUCAUAUUUCAAACUCUUCAUGCUAUGAAUGAAAGAUAAACUACAAUCAUCAAAAUAUUUAGUGUUUGUUUGGUAAUGUAAUGUCAUAGUUGUGAAUUGAAAUGAUUUGGGUCAUCGUUCGUUAUUUUCUGGCAAUAUUGUCUGGUCGUGACUAUUUGUUAAAUAUUAAAAAAAUAAAUUUAUAUUUAUUAAGUAUAAAAAAAAUAAACAAACAAAAAUAAAAGGAAAUGUUUAUACAUUACAUAAAAUAAUAAGAACAAUAUCAAUAUUUCACACUCUAUAAUUUAGUGAUGUGUUAUCCAACUGCCAUACAUUGGUCCCAAACGGAGACUUAAAUAUUAAAGUCCAAAGUUAUUGUGAUGAUGACUUAUAAUUGCCAAACUUGACAUACGGGUAAUCAUGCAUUAUAAGGUGCUGAUUUCUUCAGAUCCGAACCUUAUUUUUCAUUUACAAAUAAAUAAAUGAUGUGACUUCACGGUUGGCGGGGUCCUUUGUGUCAUUUGGGCAUUUCACUAAAUGAUUGAUUGUAGCAGGAAGAUUCCUGGAAGUUACCAUUUGCCAAUUCUACUAACAUUUUCAAACUUGGAAAACCCUUCAAUCAAUCUUUUAGUGGUAGGCUCUGGUAGCUUGGUUUGAUUAUGACGUAUGAUUAUUUGAUAAUAAAGUUAGAGGAUGUAUUAAUAUAAAAUUUGUUUAUUGGUGUUGAAGUUAAUUAUCUCAUUAAUAAUAGUAUAAAAAGUUAAUUACUAAGAAACACAUAGCAGUAGUUAAUUGGUGUCAUAUUAUUGGUAUUCUGGGAUAUAAUUUUAUAUCAUAACUUCGUAAGUGUAUACUUACUCAUCAAACUAAUAAAAUUAUUUAAAAAUUUCAGUUGGAAAAAAUAAAUUAUAUUAUUUUCAUUUUAAAUAAUCUAUAAGUUAACUCAAAACAUAAUCAAGCUGAGAAUUAAAAUAAUGCUACUGUAUGAGAGGAUUUUUAUUUUUUCCAGAAGUUUCACUAGGAAAUUAUUGAUACAUAGCUUUAUUCGGAUCAUCUCAGUUCAAACGACAAAUAAUUGAAAGACUAAGCUAAAUAGACCAGCCAACAACAUUGCACAAGAGAGUUCAAAAAUUAAGGUCAUGGUAUUAAGGUGUUCUAUCUUGAAAAGUAUAGCGUAGUAAUAAAAUAAAAACUAAUAGUCUUUGGUAAGAUAUGACAUUUAAAUAAUAAUUUUCACAAAAAUACAAAAAAUAUUUAUAAAGUACUUCUAUAGUGAGGACACCCUCACUUUGUUAAAAGACAUAUAUUUUAACUCAUUAAAAAUUUUAUUUUUUUUAUUUAUUGGUGUAUUGAAAUAUGUGUUAUUUAGUUUGUUAGUGAUAUCAUUACUUUGUUAAAAUGAGAAUGUCGUUACUAGAGAAUCAUUAUAUAUACAUAUAUAAAGUGCUUCUGUCCAAGACCUAGACUUUAUUAAAAUUUAAGAAAGCAAAUAUAUUUUAUAUGGUAUAAUAGUGUAAUAACAUCGCACAAUUAUAUCAUAUAGAGUAAUAGUUUUUCAAACUUUAAUAAAAUUCAAGAUUAUAGAAUGAAUGAUUUUUAUAUAUUAUAAAAUUUUUUAUCAUAAAUGGAGGACAAAAUUAACAUAUUUUCAAAUUAUAAUAAGUAUUUAUCAAAUAAUUUAACAUUGCAAUUUCUCCUAACUAGUAUAGUAAAUAAUACGACCUAGGAGAUACAUUCAUUUCAUAAGUUAGUUGUUAAUAAUAAAUGAUAUAUGCAGCUCCAAUCAUCAUUGUACGGUGAGUAAUUUCCAGUUAUAAAUAGAUAUUACUCCCUUCCCAGAAAUUUUUGAUGACUUAAUUUUGUGGGAUCAAAAUCAACAUUGAAUUUUUGACCAGCUGCCAACAACUUGUGAGCAGUUCACAGUGGGUACUGCACAUGAUGCCUGUUUCUCCUUUUGCAUCUAUUUUUGUUGUUAACAUUAAUUUCAAUAGCAGCUCGUUAAUCCCAUUUGUUGAUUUGGGACUAGAUAAGAAUUUAUCUUGGAACUCCAAUUCUCCAAUUAUUUUAGUUGACAAUAUAUUUAACAUUAUUAAUUGCAUAUUAUUUAAUUAUCAGUAUAUAAUAUUCUUUAAUUUUCUAAUUUUAUAGGAUUAGACACAAAAUUGAUUAUGCCUUUUGAAAUUUAAGGGUUAUGUCAAUUGAAUAGAAAACUUGGAGGUAAACUUGUGGAUGUUUUUGUUGAUUAUCAAUUUAUGCAUGAAUUUUUGUUUAUAAUUAUUAUUUUUAAACAUUUUUAUUGGUUUGAUUUAGGGUCAAUUUGGUAAUCCUGUAGCUUUUAAAAUAAUUACAAUUAGCUAUGCUGUAGAAAUUGAUCAAUCGUCAAGAGAAUUAGCUGAACAUUUAGUAAAAUUUAUUUUUAAAAGUACUUUUAGUUUUAAAAGCGUUGUAUGAAUAAAACUGUUACACUAAAAAUUAAAUGUAUUGCCCACUUGGGUAAAUAAAGCUACAUAUUACAACUGUUACACUAAAAAUUAAAUGUAUCUUAAACCCAAACUUCUUCUUCUUCUUUUUUUGACUAACAAAAUUAAAAACAAUAGUGAACACAUUCUUUAAUAAACAAUAAGUAAUAAAUAAAAUCGUGUUAAAUUUCUUAAAAACUUUCUUUCACGGUUUGCUAAAUAUUUUUAUUAGUAUUUUAAAUAAAUAAAAAUAGUUGAUUUAAUUUUUUUAAAUAAACUUAUUAGGUUCAUGUAAAGAUGUUUUUGUUAUUUUAAAAAGUGUAGAAAGUACUCCUAAAAAAAAGCGUAGAAAGUAAAACUUAAUUUUUUAAAUUUAUUAGCUGAGUGCAUAAAUAAUUGAGUGUUCAUAAUGAUUUUUAAAGUAUAGAUAGUCGGACCCUAAUAUUUUUAAUAUAUGGAAAUUUUGCUAAUAUGUUAAUGAGAAUUAAAAAGAUAAUUAAGGGAGGCAAUCGAGACAUUCAGGAUAGUUAGGAUGGGACAUGAUUGUGAGCGGUUAGAUAUUGGUCCUAAUUUUGAUCACAAAUAUAUAAACAGGACGAGUUUAUCUCUACUUACAUUCCAUUUGAUAAUUAAGAUGAGAGUGGAAUUGUCAAAUCCCAAAUCAUCCCGGACCACUGCCACCAAGGGUACUCUCACUAAUAAUAUCUAAAGAAAAAUCUACAUCUAUUUCAUACUUUUUUUUAAUGGAAAGAGCCCUCAUGGGGCUUGAAAUGGUAUCCUAAAUAAUAUUGAGAAUAUCAGGUCAUGAUUGGGUUUGUGACAAACAAAUACUACAUAGUUGGGAUACGUAGUUAUAAUGUCCCAAUUUAUGUAGUAUCUAUCAUUUAGCGCACAUAUAAAAUAUUAAUCAGCUUAAUUAAUUUAUAAAAUUUAAAUCUAAUUAAUAAGUGAUACAUAAAUGCCAAGUGCAAUACUGUAUAUGCAAAUCAUGUUUGUGGAUCAUUACAAAAUUGGCUCUUGAAAACAAGCAAGAAAGCUUAAUUAAGAACUUAAAACAAAAAGAAUUAGAUUGAGAACAGUCAAGCCUUAUUUUUUCAAGGAUGGAGCUUAUAAAUCUUCAAGUACCAACAUACGCUUGGCCCAAUUGUUGUUAUUAAAAUUUCAAUAUACAUAUAUAAGUAUGAUAUAGCAAAAAUUUGAUGGUACAUAUGUCGGAAUAUACUAGUUCAUGGGUGCAUUUGAUUAUUGUUUCCAUAAAUUUGAACCAGGAAGGACGACACGAUAAAAUUUGAUUUUAUGGUAUGGUUGAUUUCAUAGCUCAUGCACUCAUUUCUUAAGAUAAUCAAAUUUUCUCUGGCAUCUUUUUCAACUGUCGAAAUAUCAAUUAUGAUCAAUCAAAACGAUUUCAAAACCUUUCAUCGAGACAUAUUUCUAAUACAAUAUUGUGAAAAUUACACUAAAAAUUUAAUUUAUUAUAUAUUAUUAUCCAACGAGCACACAAAAAUGAUUUCGUACAAAUCUAAAAUACUAAGCAAUUUUCAAAUAGAAUUUACCAUGUACUACAAGAAAAUAGGGUAUAUGUGACCCCUACUGUGAAUGCAAAAGCAGCCAUUACGCAUAUCACUAACUUCUAACUUUGUAACCCCGAGUUGCUUUUGUUACCCUUUAUGUGACGGCCACACUGCUGUCACAUAUGUUACGAACCGCGUGACGGUGAAGAGCCGUUCGGUAUACUAAUAUUUUAGAAUUUUAAAUUUAUUUCCAGUUAGAAAACUAUUCGCUGGACUCCGUGUUGCUGGCCACCAUCGUAAACAUAACUGGUUGCCAGCGAACGGCGUAAAACGCCGGCCAUCUUCUUCUUCAACGUAUUCUCCCUUCAUCUUUUGAGGUAAGCUUGUGAUUAUGAGUUUCUUCUCUUACUUAGCUUGUAAUUAUAGAUUUUGAUUUUUUUUAAUUCGUAUUGUAGCCGUUAUUGUCAAUUUUUGUCCCGCCAGCAAUAUUUUUUUAUUCCUACAAGUUGAAGCCCCUGUGUUCUUGUUCCAUUGGUGAGUUUGCUCACUCAAAUUAAUUUUGUUCUGCGGAAUUUACAAAGUUCAAAUGGAUUCAUUUGAAUUACUAUUGAAUUUAGCUUUAAUUUCAACAUCCAUUCUAAUGUUUUGCAAUUAGAUUUAAUUUAAUUUUAUGUUUAAAGCUUCUACAAUGAAUAGCGGAGCUUGGGUUUUAGUUUCAUUUUCUGGAUAACUUGUUUUAGUUUGUCUUGUAUGCUCACCAAAUGCUUGUUAUAUUGUCUGAUAAGUUAUAUACAUUGCUGAUUCUACAUUAAUAAUGUUACGUUGUAUUUUCAGAAAUUAUAAUACAAAAGUUUUUGCAAUGGCGUGCAUCUACAAACUGAAUUGACUUGUAGAAUAAGAGCUCGGAGUAGUGUUAUGUUCUUGAAUAAUUGAAAGUUCAUAUUGUGUAAGAGCAUGUAGAUGUAAAGCAUCAUUACCAUUUCUACAAAGUGCUUUCAUUCUGUUCAUAUGCUCUUCUUGAACUUUGAAAGGUGCCUCGUUCAAGUCCUAGCUAUAACUACUAGCUUUGAUUAAUUAAGUUCCUAUACUAGCUGAAACAGAUUUAUUUAAUUAAUUAAUUGUGUAUGUACCAAUUAUAUUGAAAGUAUAUGAAUUUUUUUUUAACAUGAAUGACUUCUAAAUGACUUAAAAACCUAAAGGAUGUGUGAAACAAUGCUCAUUUCAUUUGAAUGAGCCCAUUAAUACUUUUAUGUCUAUGAUUUUCAAUAUUGGCUAAAGCAUUUCAGUUAAGUAGUUUACCUAACAGAGAAAAAAAUUUAAUAGAAAACUUCAGAGUUCUAACAGAAAUAUAGUUCACUAUGCAGAUAUAGUUAUUUUACGGUAUACAAAUCAAGUUGUCCUAAUCUCAAUGUCCUAUGACCGAUUUUAUUUUAUAUAGUCAUUAAUUUUUUCCUUGGUUUUUUGUGUUUAUGAGUAUGAAAUAGUGGGAUUUGGUGUACCUUAGCAUCUUUUGAAAAUUCUCUUUCAGUGUGGCCAACAGAAAUAUACAUAUAAUCAAGUUUCUUAAUCGUGUAUAUUAGUUUUGGGUAUGAAUGUUCCUAUUCUAGUUCUAGGCAAAGCUUCUUCGUUUUGGUCUUCAGAUUUCCAGUAGGUUAAGUUAAUCAACUAUCAUAACUGGCUAGCUAGUUAUUGUCUGCCUUGGCGCCAUUACCCAGGCCAUUAUAUUGCAUAGCAUAAGGAAUAGUGAUUAGGUGAUUAUUAGUGAUUUGUUGAGCUUAUUAUCGACCAAACAAACAUAUUCGCCUUUGCCCACAACUUAGUUUGAUUAGUUAUUAGACCAUAAAGAGCCUUGAUCUAUUCAUUGGCUUUAUUAUUUUUAUUUGGUUUUUCUUUCAACAAUAUUGUUGAUUUCUUAUAAAAAUAUUCAUUGGUUUUUAAACACCUAAUCAUUGGCUAUAUGAAGCUAAUUAAAACUGAGGCUUUGGAUCAAUUUCUUCUAACAAGAUACAAAUGAGCAUUAACCUAUCUCCUAUGAGUAAAUUUUUUUAAUAUCCUUGAUUUGUAAGGAUCUGGAGGCCUGAAAUCCUCUAGAUUUUUUUUAACACUGUCAAUGUUCUUUUUAUUCUGAGAAGGAAAUAAAAGGUUUUAUGUUUCAUACCCAAAUAGUAAGCUGGCCUUGUCUUAACAUGGCCUCCCGAGGACUUGCAAGAUUCAUAGUGCCCCCCACCCCAAAAAAUAAAAAUAAAAAACACAAAUAGGAAGAUUUUGCAAGAUUCACCACCAGGUUUUUUUUAAUUUGUUAAUUGUGUGUACGUGCUAGUUAUAUGUUGAAAGAAUAGGAAGAAGUAUUUCAACAUGAAUGACUUAAAACUUAUUGCUCAGUAAACAUAAUCUGCAUGUAUUUAUCGUUUGUAUUUUUUAUGGUUUUGCUAAAGAAAUGAUAUGUGAAAUAAUGCUACAUUGCAUCAGGAAUAAAUUGAAGAGAUUUAUGAUAUUUAUGUGUUAUUCAAAUUUCAGAUUCAAUUUUAAACUUUUGAUACGUGCAUUGAAAGCUUAGACUUGUUUAAGAAAUUAUUAAUAGACACAUGUUUUUAUUAGUGUCAUCUUUGGAUGAUAGUGAGGAUCAUAUGUCUAUUAAUAAUUCUUGAAUUGUCCAGGCUUGGACAGUUUGGGAAUGCAUAGUUCACUCUGGUAGCUAGUAGCUGAAGUUUUUUCCCACGUAAAAAUGGGUUUUUCAGUAGCUGCUCCUCGUGUUCUCUGGGUACGUACUAGGUGAAUGGGUGUCAUGUGUUGUUUUGGCAUAACGCAUAAACACUUAUAUAGCUAUGUCGUGUGCUUGGAGAAUUAUAGGGAGAUGGUGCCGAAAUUUUUAUAAACGUGGAAGAAAACUUUAGGUACUUGAGAUUGAAGAAACUUAUGCAUUCUUGAGUGGGAUAUGUAGGAUUACUUACCUUUUGUAAAUAUGAAGGGAAUGUUGGAUAUAUUGGGGAUAGUGUAGGAGCUGAGUUGGAUGAAUGUAAUUGGUGAUGAUUUUGCUGAGCUGACCUUGGUUUUGAGCUUGUAAUUUUGUUUGUAAAUGGAGUGCUAUCUCCAAUGUUGGUUUAUAAAUAUGUUUCAGGACUUGCUGACCUAAUUUUUUGUUUCUAGGUUACAGGCUUUAUAUAUCUGUAAUUGAUGGCGAAGUGAAGUUCCCAGCACUUGGCGAGGAUGUUUCUUUACAGAAGGUAUUGGAAACUGUUUUUUACAUUAAUUAUUGUUGUAUAUAUACUUUGAUUUUCACAUCUUUUUCUCUGAUUCUUGUGGCUUUGCUUGCUUUCAUAUAUGUAAAUUCUAAUGAAAUUAACCAUAAAAUUGUAAAAUGAUCUUUUUAUUAUAUUGCAAAACUGUGCACACACGAAAAUAUAUUGUUUAGUAGUAGAAAUGAAGAACUAAAAUGAUUUACUUAACUAAUUUUUGUAGCGCAUUAAAAGGAGAUAGUCAUGGACAAGUGUUGGGUUGGUUUGCCAAAUAGAUAUCCAAGUCAUAUACUGAUGGGGAUGAAAAAUUUAUAGAUUUUGCAUUUGAGAAUGUUGUUGGUGGUACAAGAAUUUAAUAUCCUUUUAAGAAGUGUUGUAAUCUAUAUUUCGUUAUAAGGAAAGUGGCUGAUGAUGAUAUGGUUGGAAUGAUACAAUGCAUCACGUAAUCAAAUGUUCAAGUUACACGCAGCAUUGUUAUGGACUAUCAGUGACUUUCUAGCAUUGCCAACUUGUCUGGGUGGAGUAUUAAAGGUAAAUAAGCAUGUCUUGUUUGCCAACAAAACACUAGAUCUAAUUGGUUGAUACAUAGUAGAAAAUUUUGUCACGUGGGUCACCGUCGAUUUUUACCAACAAAUCAUAGGUUUCCAAAAUAUAGUGUCUUUUGAUAAAACUAGAGAGUAGGGACCAGCACAUUCUCGGUUGUCUGGAUCUGAAGUGAAAAAGCAGUUUAAUAUACUUACUGAGUAUAAGAUUGAAGACUUGAAAAGAGGAGAACGAAUAAAAUGAGAGAAAUGAUAAGAUUACUUGGAAGAAGAACAGCCUUUUUUACGAACUACCGUAUUCACCAUGAUCUUGGUAUCAUGCACUGUUUUGAUUUUUGUUAUGAACUCAGAUCAAAAGUUUAAUGUGAUCAAAAUUUUUUAAAAAUAGUGAAAACGACUCCUAAUAAUAUGGAAGAUGGCUAUAAAAGAUAAAAGGAAAGGCUUAAAAAGAAAAGCCAUGCCUGUCAAAAAAAAAAAAUAAUCAACAAAAAUCAAAACGGUGCGUUUGAGAGUGUAUAAAAUACAUUUAGAGUGGGAGUUGUGUUGUUGCUUGAAGGCAGAAAGAUAUUUGUCGACGAAGCCAAAACCAAAGAUGAAGCCCAUAAAGCUCAAAACUCCACCGGAGCAAAUUCAGACAAUUACGAGGGUUAUGUUUGACAUAGUCAGGGAAGACGGUCCUCUCACCGUUGCCGAAACUUGGGAACGCGUCAAGGUGUGUGUAUCUGUUAAAUUGAAUUUCAACCGUUUGAUCUGUAAUUAUAAUUAAUCCAAUCGAUCUGACAGUGAUCACUGACCAUAAUACUAGUAGCUGGAGCGAGUGGGUUGACGGGCAAAAGCCACAUGAAGAUUGUGUUGAGAUGGAUGAGGGAGAGACAAAAGCUCAGGCUCGUCUGCAAUCACGUGGACCCUCAUAAGCAAAUCCUGUACACAACUUGGUUCGCCAAACCCAACAACUUGAAGCAGCCAAAAUCAGGGAAUGAUCCUUCUCCGUCACAACCCUAGCUGCCUUAACCUUGUAGUGAGGCGGUGAAGAUGAAGUAAAGCAUAAGUAGGACAAUGAAGAUGGAAGCCCCUCAGCAUGUAAACUUUUCAACAGUGACACGGCUCUUAUUCCAGAGGCUGCACAGAAGAGCGACCUGAAUCCUCUUCAAGACUUUCAAAUUUUUAUCAAGUAAAGCUUUCAAAAUUUCUCAACAAAUUGAUUAUUUGGUGUGGCUGCUACAUUUUGUGCAACUGCUAAGUUAGGGAAGACAGAUGUGAAGCAAACAGGGAAACAGAACAAACAGGGCAAAAAUUAAAAUAACAGAACAGCAAUGAUGGCAAUCAACAAACUAAUAGCAAUAUUGCAUUUGAUUCUUUAGGCCAAUUGUUCAUUCUCUCAGCAUUCUUCAAUAGUUUUUGAAAACUAGAUGUGAAGCAAAAAAAAAAAAAAAAAACAAAUUUAGACAACAGGAGCCCUGUAUUCAGCAUCAUAUAUAUACCUUGAAUACCUAAUAUAAUAAAUUUCACAUGUAAAAUACUAGAGAUUUCAAACAGUACCAGCAAUAGAAUAAUGACAACGACAACAAUAACAGAAAAUUACAAGAUUGCUGAUAAAAUUUCAUUUGCAUGGAUGUAUGACAAAAAUUCUGUGAUUUAAUGUGCGUUCAUGCAUGCAAGUCCUAACGUUCCUGUGAUCACAAAAUGAAACUGAAGAUAAAUCAGAACAACUACCAAAUUUGACUGAAAAUUCAAAAGAAUUUAUAUUCAAAAUGUCAAAAUAAACUGGAAAUUUAUUGCAUAUAUUACAAGAAGCAGUACACACCAAUGGUAAAUUGAUACAUCGUUUUUGAACUUAAGAUAGUCAAAGGAAAGAAACACAACGGAGGGUUAAUGAAACACUUUCAAAGCUGCAUUAGUGAAUAACCUCAGCAUGUAAACUUAACUUCAAAGGACGGAGCACAAGUUUCACAGAAAAACAGCCCUUAUUUCUGAUGCUGCGAACACAGAGGAGUGACCUCAAUCUUCUUCAUCACUUGGGAAUUCUGCAAUUAUAGAGCACGACAUUGAGCAUGAACUAGAAAAAAUAUUUAUUUUCUACAAUUUUCAUAUAACCUAACUAACCAAGAUUAAUUUUGUGGUAAUGUAUUGGGUCAUUAAUUCAUAUGUUUUUACUGUCAUCACUUUAGAAAAAACUAAUUUCUCAUUGUGAAAUGGCUCGUGAAAAGUAUUCUCAUUUAAAAACUAAAUUUGAAGCGUGGGAAAAAAAAAGUCUGAAGGCUUUCCACAUGAAAGUGUUGUCACUUUGAAUGAUAUUUUCUAGGGAUUUCAUUCUAAAAAUAAAAUACGUGGGACCUUAUUCUUCAGAUUGACAGCUCGCCAAGUACUAAAGGCGUAUGAGAUCAGUACUGCGAUGAGUACCGAGACGACCCCUCCAACAGCUGAAAAUAAAAUUAGCAUUCAUCAAUUUAAAUUUAAAUUCAUAUUAUGAAAUAAAAACUAAUGUUAAUGAGUUUCCGAGGAAUUUCAUAAGAUUCUCAUAUAAAAACGUGAUAAAAAACUCACUCAUCAAUAACAAAUAUUCUAACCUUUUCUUGAUGUAAUUGUUGUAUGAUUGUGUUAAGGUCAUUAUUAGACCAACGCAGUUUGUCAUCACUCGUUCCGUACCGAACGUUUAGUCUCAGAGGCGUGCUUAAUUCUCCUUUGGUGAAAAUCUUCAUCUUGGGACAACCAAUCACCCACAAAUCUUCCAAAGAUGGGAGUUUGAAGGCGUAAUUGCCAGAGGAGAAGCUUGUGAGACUGUCUAAAUCAAACAGGGACAACGCACUCAAUUUGCUGAAAACAAUCUCUUCUUUUAAAUUUGGUGUUUCAUCUUCGUCACUUAUUACGACCUCUGUCAUUGCUGGGCAUCCAAAUACCCUCAAUGAUACGAGUCGCUCUAGACUUUUUGCUGUGGAGGAUGUUACUAAGUUCAUCAAUUUCUUGCAAGCAAAAGCUUCCAGGCGUGUGAGAUUCCAAAAAGAUACCGAUGAUGAUGGCAAUAGACUUAACAGAUUUUGGCAGUGAAAUGCUCUUAGAAUUUGAAGAUGUUGAAAAAUGAAGUCCAGCUGUUUGUAAUCGUGUUUCCACAGUUGCUGCAGAUGAUUAAGUCUGGUCAGGUGUAACCUUUUUAUCAGUGCCAGCUUCCUCGCACGUGCCUCCAAAUAUCCUUCAUUUGAAAACACCACUUCGUACGAACAAUCCGACAGGAAGAGAAGUUCCAGAUUGUGAAACCUCUCAAGUAAAAAAAGUGGAAAGCAAGCUAAGUCAUCAUCCCCAACCCGUAGUAGUUUAAGACUGCCAAAGAGGUGUUGUGGGAAAUCGUCUUGCAAAAUCAUCGUGAUGUCUUUUCCACUUAAUGCCAGUCCCUUCAAGUUGGGUAAGAUCUGAUCAUCAUCAAGCACAAAUUAUUAUCUUAGCACAUUGAUCCCUGAUUCCAGACUGGCAAAAUUCAUUCUGUAAUCAAAUUUUCAAUGAUCUAACUAAUUGGUCUGUGAGUAAGAAACAACAAACACAACUGAUAAAAAAUCUAAAAGUUGGUUUCAUACCUUCUUGAACGAUAAUAGGGGCUGUUGUGCCGGAACACCAAAUUGAUCAUUCUCGUCAUUCUGGGAUAAGGUUAUUUUAUCACAAUUACACGCCACCAAAUUUUUUAGUGCUGGCCAUUCCGAAGUAUGCAUUCCAGGGUAUAAACAUCUAAGUUCUGGUAGACCGUCGAGUUUCAGAGUGGUCACCCGUGGAAAGACGAAAUAAGCGGUCACUUGAUCUGUUCUGUCUUCCGAAAUGAUUUCUUGUAAACUCUUACAUAACCGUAUCUCCAGGUGUUGGAGUUGCUCAAGGCUUUGGAUCGUAGAAGCUGAAAAUAUGUAUUUUAAUUUGUCACAGCCCCACACUAUCAAUCGUGUCAAACUUUGAAAGCAAGGAACCAUGCCCGGAAGUUGAUUGUAAUGCCAAAUCUCGUCGACAUUAAUAGCAUUCAGCUCCAAAGCCUCCAAAUUUGGCAACACUACCUAAAGAUAAUUUUGUCUUUAGAUCCAAUAUCCAUAUAAUAAGUGCUUAUUGAGAGCUUAAUUAGUGAGUGUAUGAGAUUUUUUUUUUCAUUUUCUUUUUAUAAAUGAUUUAAUUUUUUUUGCACAUAUAGCAUCAAAUGCAAGUGCAUGAUAGAAUAAAAAAAAUGCAAUAUCCAUAUGAAAAACACUUGUGUGGGCCAAUUUGGUAUUACAGUUGCUGAUUAAAUAAAUUGCUUCUGCUGUACGGAUGUAAUAAGUAGUUGAUUAAAAAAGCAGCUAGGUGUUUGGUGAGUUAUAUUGUUGCAGUUGAUAUGAGUUUAAAAAGCAGCGUAUAUGCGUUUGGUAAAUUUUAUUAUAAACUUGUUAUUUUAUCGUAUAAUGACCAAAAUAGACAUAAGUUUAAUUACCUUUUAUUUUUUUGAAGUAUGUUUAAUAAUGUUUAGAUGUGUCAUUUUCUUUUUAAAACACGUAAAUUAUAUUAAGUGAAAAAACUUAAUAAUUUCUUACAUAAAAUAUGAUAAAAAUUUAUACUAGUAGAUAAUACAAAUAAAAUAAAAAAGUAAUACGUAUUACUUUCAAAUUAAACUUGUUGCAAUAAACACCAUGACCAUAUAAAAAAUAUAAAUAGAUUGAAUGUUAAAAGCUAUGGUUAUGAAAUUGAUUUUUAAAGUUAUGAUUAAUUUUCAUGUAUAGUUAAAAAAUUAUAUAAUUACAUGCAAGUCUUUUUAAAUUUUAUUAUAGAAAAUACAAGUAUAAAUUGUAUAAUAUAAAAAAAAUAUGAACUUAUUAGAUCAAAACUUUGAUAUUAGAGAGAAUAUAUAGUAGUUGUGGUGGUAAUAUGAUAUCUGAUGACUUAUAUAUUAGAGUGUAUGGAAAUUUAUGACAUAAUUAUCUUUGUUAAAAUAUUAAUAAGGUUAUGAUAGGAAGUUUAAAACGAUGUGGUAGCUUAUUUAAUAAGCUGCUCAUGAAAAGCAACCCUAUCUGCUUUUAAAAGUUACUGUCAAAAUAGAGAAAAUUAUAAAAUAAACAGUUUUUACAAAAUUUACCAAACACUAUUUUUGUCACAGAUUAUGAAAUAGACAGUUUAUUGAGUUUUAACCUCAAUCCCAAAUGAGGCCACAAUAGCCACAUGAGAAGCACUUAUUGAGAGCUUAAUUUGUGAUUGCAUGAGAUUUUUUUAUUUAUUUGCUUUUUCUAAAUGAUUUAAUUUUUUUGCACAUAUGGCAUCAAAUGCGAGUGCAUGAUAGAAUAAAGGAAAAGAAGAAGAAGAAUGCAUUAGCCUACGCACCUUCUCGUUAAAAAGCAGAGUUGAAGUAUCCGAACUGAUCUCGUUGGAACUAGCUGUCAAUUCCUCUUGUGACUCUUGUCUGUUUGGUGAUGUGGAAGGAGUCUUCACUUCACGGCAAAACCUUGUAACCUUUGGAAGCUUUCCCAGAGUCAAAGAUCUUAAUUGACCAAACUCUAUCUUUUCAUCAACAUCAACAUCAGCUUCUCCUCCAGUUGCAAAAAUCUCUUCCAUGCUGCUGCAAUUGAUAACUGCAAUCCUCUCAAGUCUUGGAAGGCAUUUUGUACUACUCGAGAGCCAGAAGAUAUUACUUAACUCAUAACAAUUUUCCACUUUUAUGGUUUUGAGUUCAUUGAAGGACUCUAUUUUGAGGCGAUCAAUACAUAUCCUCUCCAUAUUGAUCAAAUUGUGAAGAGUAAGGGACUCUAAAAGGGGAAAGGCGACACAAGAUUCUCUCUCUAUUGAAUCGACGAUACACAGGAAGUCUGGAUUAUUUUGAACAUGGAGAUGCUUCAAUUGUGGAAAGCCCUCAGUGUCCAAUUCUAAAACAACAUUCUUGAUGCCUUGCAACCUAUCCAAACAUAAGUAUUCAACGUUAUUGAUACCCUGCAACUUCUUGGAGAAAAUGGCCAUAGAAUCAAGCUUGAGCUUCAAUGUUCUUAAGCUCUCAUGAUUACUGAUCAUAAAGUGCGGCCGACUUUGAAACCAGUCCUUCCCAAUAACAUUGAUAGAGUCGAAUGAUCCAUCUCCUAUUGAUAUAUCAAACCUUUCCAGCUUUUUGGAAAAAAAGCCAUCUGAUAAAAUGCUACCAUUUUUAACAUCUAUUUCUAAGGUUGUCAGUCGCCGCAAAUGCAUCAAUUCAUCGAGGCUGGCAUUACUUCUUUCACUAUUGGCUUUUUUCACUUCCCAUUCAAUAGAGCAGUUAGCCAUAUACAGUUCUUCCAAUCGAGUGAAGCUUGAUAAGAUAUUAGGCACAAUAAAUUUUAGUUGCAAGCAACCUGUUAAAUCUAACAGCCUUAACUUAGUCAGUUGACCUAGUUCGUCAGGCAACCGUACAAUAUCAGAACUUAUAAAGCUAAGGAUUUCUAGAUUCUUCAACUUUCCAAUUAUGGCUAUGUCUCCCAACAUGCUUGUUUCUAGACACAGUGUUUGAAGAUUUGCUAGAAGACCAAUUGAAGAUGGCAAUGAAAAUAGUCGCAUUCCUGUCAAAUCUACAACUCGAAGCUUUUUCAUUCCUUUAAAAAAGUUGUCAGGAAUAUUGACCUCGACAAAAGAGUCUUUGGGAUGAAUAAGUAAAAAUUCAAGUUGCGGACAUUCCAAUUCCUCAGAAACUUCAUGAAUGCUACUAUAUAGUAAAGAGAUUGCAUAGCAUUUUUUAAGUGCAUCCUCAUCUGGCCACUCCCACACAACCUCACUUCUCACCGAGAAAACAUGUUGUUCUCGACAUGCAAUUGAUAUGGCAACAUCGCAGACAACAUCAUGCAUAGAAAAUUGUUCAAUACUAUCACCCUCAAGCAACAAACAACAGUCUCUAAGUUCAUGAAGCAAUGCAUAUAAUUUGUUUCGUGCAUCUACCAUCCUGUUGACUCCUUGAAAUAUGCCCAAACCCAUAGAGUAUCUAAACAAGUCUCUGAACCAAAAACUGUUACCUAUUAGACUACAGAGCAGAAAAAUUUUCUUGAGUUGCUCACCUUUUAGAUACUUGAAACUCAGCUCAAUACUUGAAUAAGUCUCUGCAGGCACACCUUCGAAGUUUACCAUUGAAGGCGUUUGGAGUUCUCGCAAGGCAUUCUUCCAUUCAUGCAGACUCUUGUUUCUCAGUGCCCUUGCUACUGUAGUCAAGGCAAUGGGCAAACCUCCACAUGCCUGGGCAACAUUAAUUGCUAUAGACUUGAACUUACAAUUGUCAACAUCAUCACCAAUCAUUAUCUUAAACAAUCUCCAAGCUUCUUCUUCAUUUAGAUUGCCAAUCAAAAAGUUAUCUUUGGAGCCCAUACUUAAUAGUACAUUAUUAUCUCUUGCUGUGAGCAAUAGUCUACAUCCUUUAUGAUCAUUUCCAAAAGGAAUUCCAAUCGUCUCCAAAUCAAGAUGUUUCCAGAUAUUAUCUAGAAUCACAAGAAUCUUAUUCUCAUUCUUCAAUCGCUCAUACAGCCUGCUAGCUCUUCUAUAUUCAGCUUCAUUGGACAACUCCAGACCUAACUUCUCUGCAAUUUCCCCUUGAAUCUUUUUUAUGUCUGGAGUUUGUGAAACCUCUGAAAAAACCACACGAUCAAACAACUUCUUUUCCCUGGCUUGCCUAGCAAACUCCUUCACCAGUGUCGUCUUUCCAAUGCCGCCCAUGCCGUACACUCCAAUAAUGCUGACAUUCACAUCAGUCAAUGCAUUUUGUAUAGACUUCAAAGUAGAAACUCUUGAUUCGAAGGCCUCGUAACCUUUGUUAGACUUAAGCCAUAUUUCCUCCGGAAUGGUACGGUGGGAAACGAUUUCAAACUUCUUAACUUCUUCUCCAAGUUCAACAAGGGCCUUCACCUCUGUCUCUGCUUUCUUGCUAAGCUGAUAGCGGGUCUUCAAAUUAGGACACAAGCCCUUGAGACAGCGCUUAUUUGUUGACUCCUCAUCUUCAAUGAAUUUGGCUGCCCGGUCAAUGAUGCCAUUCGCACUAACCAGCCACUUCUCAACCUUCUCUUCAAUCUCUUCCCCUUUUUCUUUCGCCUCUGAAACUCUGCGCUGAAUGCUUGUACGUUCAACCUUCAACUUCUCCAUUUCCGCCUUGAGAUUCUCAAGGUUGGCAUCGUAGUUCCGCUUACGCAAAUAAACAAGUUGGCGUUCUGUUGGAGGAGCCAAGCAUUUUACAAGUUCCAAAACAAGAGUAACAAUGAUUUCCAGCAUCUUGAAUCCUGACAACAAUGUAGAAGUGAAGAAGGCCAAAGGAAAGUAAAAACAGAGAGACAGCGAUACGACAAGCAGUUGUGGAGCUAAAAAUAAAUAACGAACAGGCAGAAGCAAAGUGUUUUUCGAAUAAGAAGAAGGAAGCAAGAAAAGGGUUUCUAUUUAGAUUAAGAAUAAAUGUAAAGAGCUAAAAAAGCUGAUGGGUACAGAAUAAGAAAUGAUUAAGAGAAUGGGGGAGCCAAUAAGACUGUGGAGUGAGCAAACGUAAAUAAAAUUUUCUUAACCUUUUGUCAUACGUGUAUAUAAAAUAAUAUAAUUAAUUUUAUAUUUUUAUGCAAUAACUAUUAAUUAUAUUUUUUCAAAAUUAGUUAAAAGAAUAAUUAAGUACUGAAUCCAAAUCCUAUCCUAAAUGGUUAGAUAAAAAUAAAGGAAUGAAAAGAGUAAUGGUAGAUUAAAGAGAAAGUGAUUGAUUAAUUUAUGAGGCCAAUUAACGAAACGACAGAUCUGGUUUCCAUGUUUGUAAUUUAAGUGUAUGAGUACGAGAUGAACCGACUCUUUGUCGAGUCAGGCAAAUAGAAAGAGAAAUUACUAAAACAAGAACCAGCAACUUUUACUCACACAUGAGCUAAUAAUGUAUUGAGAUUGUGCAGAAUAAUAUAAAACCUUAAAACUAGUAUAAUAAAUUUGUCAUGAAGUUUUAGCCUUCUUCUUCAACCAAUUACAACACUAUCUUGAGCUCUUUGUUUCUUUUUUUAAAUUAUUCAAAAGAUCUCUGUCAUUAGUUUUUCAAUGAUAAAAAUUAUGUUUUUGUCUCAUAAAAUAUAAAAAAAAAAAAAAAUCAAACAUAUAUUAUAGGUUCGUUUGAUAUUAUUUUUAAAGGCUUAAAAGUCAUUUUGAAAAGUUAAAUGCUAAUUUUGAUAUUUGGUAAAAUUUUUAGAAAUCACCUUUGGUAAAAUCACUUAUCCUACAACAAAUUUCGGAAAGCAAAAAAGGAAUACUUAAUACAAUCUAUAUACAACCUUAUAUAUAUUAUAAAAAUCUAAAAUUAUCCUUAUUAUUUAGGAAAUAAAAUUAUUAACUUUAAAGAUAUUUUAACAAUUACAUUGAGAUAUCAAAAUAAAAAUAAAAUUAAUAAUAUAAAAUAUUUAUUUCUGUGAUCAAUUAUUAUAUGUACAAGAUAAAUUUUUUUUUAUAUACAUGUUAAUAAAUGUAUAAAUAAAUUUUAUCUAACAUUAUGUUCAAUUCGGUCAUUUACAUUAAUAGCACUUUAGAAGUAAAUUUUCCUAAAUGUUUAACUGAUUAUCUUCACAGUGAUUAUUUCCACAACAUAACUACCAAAAAUUAUUAUAAAAGAUACAACAUUACCAAAAAAAUAUUGAGGUACAUUUUAAUUAGGUAAUUGACUUAAUUAUAAAUCAAUUUAUUAUUUCCAUAUGUGUUAUCUAAACCAGCUCAUUAAUGAGAUCACUCUUUUUCUUAAAUAAAAAUAUUCCUGCCAAACAAUUGUUAACAAAAUUUCAAAUAUAAAUUACAAACAACAAAAUUUUCUAAAGUCAUAACAAUUAUUUAUGUUCUAAAUACAUGUAACUAAACCACAUUGAAAGUUGUCAAAACAGGAGGAUCUAUUGUUAGUAAAAUUAUUUUUCAAGCAGAUGCAGUGACAGAUCGGAUUUGGUUUCAUGUUUCACCCUCAAUAACUUAAUUUUCAUAUAUAACAAAUCAUCCAUAUUAUUAACAAUAUCAUCACCAACCAUAAUCUACCUAAACAUAAACUAAGCAUAACACAUACAUAUAACUAUAUACAUACCGAACCAGGAAAACAAUGAAAGCUACACGUAUCCGGCUCUACAAUUCCUUGUUGAUACCCUUGUGCUUCUGAAAUAAUCAACCAAUUAUAAAAAUUAGCAUAGGCGCAACUUUACCCCUUUUUUGGAAAACUUAACGAUAAAUAAAGUAUACAAAUCUCUAAAUUAACUUCGUCCCCAUGAAAUUCAGCAUAAAUAGAAAUAGAAUUAUAGAAACCUUACUACCUUUUAUGAGAAAUCCAACUUAUAUAUUUGAGACCUCUCUCUCUAAACACGCGCUUCCUCUCUCUGUACACUUUCCACCUUUGAAUUUUCCUUCACUAAGUCUACCUAAAUGAAUUUAGCAUUCUCCCAGUUUCUUUAGCAUUUUUUCUCCGUGAAAAUAGGUGAAAAAGAGAAAGUGGUUUGAUUAUUUUAAUGUAUGACAGAUCUGGUUUCCAUCUCUGUAAUUUAAGUUUGUCAAAACGAGAUAAUCAACUCUUUGUCGAGUCCGUCAAAUAUAAAAGACAAAUUACUAAGCCAAAAAAAAUAUUUUCCAAUUAAAUAAUCAUCAAGUCUUUUUCAAUUAAAUUAGGGAGUGCAGAACAACUGUCGAGAGAUAAUCAUUGUUUAUGGAGCCAUAUUAUAUUUUCGAUUAAAAUAGGUGCGCGUGAACAAUUGGCAGAAUUCGUAUAAAUUGUUGUCAGGUCUAUUAUAAUUAACAAGCGGAAUGGCCAAUGGAUGAAGAACCACUGUAAUUUCGUUUAUGAAUUCAAAAUGCUAAAGAAACUGGACAUCAACGCUAAAUGUCAGCCUGCGGCCCUUGCCUCAGUGUCUUUCAGGCGUUACUCUGGGUAGUUGAUAUACUGACCGUCCCUUUAUCAAUUAAUAAUCGAAAUAGGUUAAAAUAUGAAUGGAUUGGAAUAGUAUGACUUGGAAAUGGGAUGACAAUCAGAUUAAUUUAUUCAUUUAAACUGAGAAAUCAGAAUUAAAAUAAACUAUAUUAUUAUUGAUAUAUUUACUUUAUCUUAAAAUUACGAUGAGUUGUUACAAGUUAUUAAUAUGCCUUUAUUUUUAUUAUAAUAAUUAUUAUUUAUUAUAACAUUUGUCAUAAAAUAAUAAUAAUAAUUGUAACAAUUUAUAUUGAAAAAAUUUUAUUGUUAAUACUAAAUAGGCAAUUAUCCAUCGACCAUGUGAUCUUUCGAACUUUUUCAAAAAUAGACAAACACUUUUUUCUUUGCAGAAAUCCACCUGAAAUUUACAAAGCGUUUCAAUUGUUUACCGUCAUCUUAACUCUAUUAGAAUUUUGUUGAUGGCAUAAGGAUGAAAUUGUCAUUUUCACCUAAACAUCCAAAAGGGAUAUCUUUCAAGCAUGACUAAGAUAAAAAAGUAUAAAAAAUUAUCCUUCGGCUAUAUGAUCUUUUAACCUUUAUAAAAAUAUUAAAAAAAAUAUAUGAACAUUUUUUUUUUAACAAUCCAUCUGAUAUUUGUGAAGUGCAUUAGUGCUCCACUACUAUCAUAACCCUUUAAAAAUAUCACUUAAACACGAGAACCUAUUGCCUAAAAUUAUUUUUGAAGCAAAUGUAACGACAUAUCUGAUUUUGAUCUUCGUGACUUUUAAGUGUACAAGAACAAGAUGAAUGACCCUUUGUCGAGUUGAAGAAUUAAGAUGAAUAAAUUACAAAUCCAGAACAAAUUUACAGGUGACAUUUUAGAAUUAAGCAAACUAUAAUUGAUCAUCCAGUGAUAGGCUUAUUUUCAAUUAAAUUAGAGUAAAGAUAUACAUUCCAAAUUUUUUUAUCUCAAAUUUAAUCCUAGAUGAUAUGUCAUUAAUUGAGUACUUGGUAAUUCUUUCAAGAUCUAAGUGAAUUAAUUAUAUUAUCUCUCCAAUCAAUUGAUAAAUAUCAUAUUAUUUUGGAUAAUUUUUUUAUCUCAAAUCCUAGAAAAGAAAACAAAACAAAGGGAGCAAAAAUAUUUUUAGAAACGUAAAAUAACAAAAAAAAACUUUUUCUUGUUUUUCUUAUUUUCCACUGUUAAGCUUCAAAAUGAACAACUUUAUUUUACAAUCUCUCAAAUAAUAAUAAUAACAACAAUGUCAUCAUCAUCAAUAAUAACAAUUUAUUAACUUUGUAGGAUGGAGCUCUCUCAAAUCUUCAAGACACAAAAUGUGCUUGACCCCAUUGUUGUCAUUAUAAUUUCAAAAUCAUAUGUAUUAUAUAAUAUUAGGGAAUAUGGCAUAGCAAAAUUGAUGGCACAUAUGUUGCAAUAUACUUGUUCAUGUGGCGACACAUUGAAGUAAAGCACAAGCAAAACAACGAAAAAUGUAACGGGAGAGCUCUCAUUUUGUAGAUUUUCAAUAGAAGUAAUGCAUAUUUCACAAGGGCAAUGGCCUUAUUUCGCAUGCUGCACCUGUGGAAUGAUUUUGAAUCUUCUAUUGAACUCAGGCAUUCUGUAAUCAUAGAGUACAACAUUUCAACAACAAUUUUAUAUAGGUCGUUCCUAUAUAUAUUUUCUAGGUAUACAUACAUAAAUAUUAUUUUAGGUACAUUUCUCGCAAUAAAGCCUGCCCAAUCUAGCGUUUUUGUUUUUUCCAUUGGUUAAUUAUCACAAAACUCCACAGAGAUUUAGCAUGUUUUUAGUUUGAUAGAUUGUAUUCGCGUAUUCUCAAAUACCUUUUUAGACGUUAGUUUACCACUUCAUAUAAAUUAAGUUGGUGAGGAUAAAAUCAUAAAAGUACACAUUAAUGAUAAAAAAAUUCAAGUAAACUUGAAAUUUUCAAGGGGCAGUUUUUCGGGACCUCCCCUUAGGUUUGGUGUAUUAAAAGUGUCAUAGAAAGUAUUCACAUAAUUAUAAGAACCUCCCCUAGCGUUAGUACACAGUUAACUUGACUGUUAGUGGACUGAUAAAAAGUCAAAAAUGCCCUUAACUACAAAAAUGAGUCCAACAAUUUGGAGCUAAAUAGUAAACACCACACUAGAGCACUAAAAAGUCUACAAUAACCAUGGAAAACAAAUCAUUGACAUUUACAUAAUGUAAAAAAAAAAAAAAAAAUUAUGAAAAUCAACAAAACUGUCAACGUAUUGAAUAUUUACAACAGCAGUGGCUAUAAAUACAGUCGUCGUCAAAUUAAAAUAUCAUCAUUAGUAAACUACUUCAAUAAGACAAUAAACCAUGAUUCACUCUUCAAAGCAUUCAAAAUACACAACCCGCACAAUAGAAUCACAUACGCACACCUGCUAAUGAAAUAUAAGAACAAACAGGAAAUUGAACUGACAUGGCUAAGAUACUCCUUCCCCAUAGCUAUUAGAAAGAUAAUGAGCGAUUUAUGAAUCAUGAUGCUUGCUUUACUUUCUGGCAGUGUUAGCUUCAAAUUCAAUGAUAGUAAAUGAACAAUGGUUCAUUCAUUAUGAAAGUAAUUGUAAAGUUAGGAAUUUAUAAUAUUCAGAUGUUGGAAUUAGAAAAAUAUUCCUUAGUCGUUUCAAUUGAAGCCAAGGAAGAAAGGAAACGAGUCUUCUUUUUUCAGGCCACAAGCCAUAUGAAGAAGGCAGACCAGAGCAUAAGAACGAAUGCUACUGCCACAGUAAAAGCUUAGAUCAAUGGUUAAUGGUACCUGCCAUGUCAAUUUCAUGACAAACAAAAAUCAAUUAUCAUCCCCAGACCACAACACCACCAAACCAACCUUUUGAAUCUAAAAUAACAAGUUAAUAAAUCAAAGAUUUCAAUUCAUUUAAGUUUGAAAUCAACUAAAAUAGAAAAAAAAAAAACCCAAUUUCUUUUAUGUUCAAUAUAACUGAUUUGGCAUCUUCUUCAACACAUUUUUAUCAUUCUUCAUCAUCACAACAAUAAAAAGAAAAAAAAAACAUUGAGUCCAACAUGCAAGUUUUUUUUUUUUUUUUGGGAAACUAACCUUUUUUAGGUUCCAAUUCUAGUAAUCUUAGACGGUAGCCGCCGACGAAAUUCGCUUGGCGACACCCUUUUGCCACCAUUGCAGCUUGUCAUGUUCAUACGCAGCUUAAAAUUACUUGAAGGCAGCUGGGAUUUUAUAGUUACAAAAGUUUCUUCAGAGCUUUUCAAGCUUGAAAAUGGUUGUUCCAUUUAAUGAGAGAGAAAAUGGAGUUUUCAUUCAUCUUAGAUAAAUUGAAGAUAAUUUGCAUUGUGGGCAAUAAAUUGAUUAUCAGUGCCUAAAUUUGGGUCAUCGAUGCAACUUUGGAUUUUUUUUUCUUUUGAUUUUUAUUUAUGAAACCACUAAUUUACCCUCAUAUACUAAUAAUAUACGAAAUGGUAUACUAACGUCAAAGAGUUCCCUAUAAUUACAUGAAUACUUUCCAUGAGACUGUUAAUACACGAAACCUUAGGGGAGGUCCCUAGAAGUUACCCAAUUUUUAAGUUGUGUUUUGAAAUUGGUCUCAACUUUGUAAAUGUCCAUUGGGUAAAGAACAUAAGAUUUACCCAGCACACAUUAACGCCCACAAAAAAAGAAAAGGAAAAAUGGUCAUCUCUUUCCUCCAUUCGACUUGAACCCAUGAAACGCAACAUCCCUUUCAUCUUCUCUCUAAUGCUUUGAUUAAAAAACUUGCUUACGAAAGGGAGACCAUGACACUGAAUCCCAAGAUGGCAAUACUAGAGACGACUGAUUCACGCCAGCGAUGUGGAAGAAUACCGACCAGUGACUUUCGUCGUCGACCUACAAACAAUCCCAGUGUUUUCGAGCCGCGAAUGAGGUAUGAAUAAGAUUAUUUCCGUGCAUGUCAGUUUUGUAAGGAGAUUUGAUUAAAAAAAAAAGAAUAAUGGUUCUCAAAAUUUUUUUGAGAGUAUUUCUGUUGCUUAAAUUUUUUUCCAUCGAUUAAUGUUAGUUGUAGGUGAAUGAUUGUUGCAAAUGCAUGUUCGCUUGUGAUUGAUUGAAAAUGACUUGUUGUUUGUUAUGUUGCCGUGUGACUGAUUGAAAAUGGCUCUGAAAUUUUUUUAUUUGUUUAAGGUACUGAUUUUGAUUAUUGAACAGGGAUUCAUGCUAGUUUUUAUCAAAUUAAAGAUGAGAUUAUUUUUUAAGAGAUCUACCAAACCUUCUUUACUAUGGAUUUGGCUUCUGACAUACCUGGUUGGCUGGAGAUAAUUUUUUAUAUAGUCAUUGCUGCUCGUAUUAAUCAGGAAUAUUGAUUAGCAAUGUACUGGAUUGGAGAUUGGUAUAAUUUUGGAAAAUUAGUCGUAGAUGCAACCUGAUUAUGGUCUUAAAUAGUGUGAUAUAAUCAAGCUUGUUAGCCAAUGUCCAAAAUUGCAGUGUCUUUAGAUAAGUCCCGUCUUACUUGUUUGAGUUAUAAAUGAAAAUUGUAGUGUCUUUGGAUAAUCACGCUGAAUGUUCAAGUUAUUGAAGAGAAGGGACUCCCAGAUUCAAGGCCGGAGCUCCUUGUUGAGAAGCUUUACAUAUAUAGGAUUGUCGCUGGGCGGAGGACCGAUAUGCCCAGUUUUGUUUGGAAUAGGGAUGAAGAUUUUGCAUUGAGGCUUUCUUGAUAGAUCAUUCUGCAAAUCAAGCUCCAUGCAUCUAUAUUCAGUCUCUUGGAUAUGUAUAAAGCAGGUGCAUGCUCUAUAUGUUACUCAUUGUAUCACGAUUAUUAUGGCAAACUCUUUACCACCUUUUUGAUUACCAAAAAACCCAUUGGUAUUCAAAUCUUCCCAAAUUGUGUCAUUUGGACCAAAGUUAUUGGUUCAACUCUUCCUAAUAAGGAUAUCUUGUUAGGAUUUGACAUCCUUCACCAAAUCAAACACCUCCAAAUCAUUCCCACUGGAAUCCGAGUCAAGUCCAUGUUCAAACCAUUCACAGACAUUCUGAAACUCUACAAUUUGUCUGAAACUCCCCAGUCUUACCAGGAUAUUUCAACCAAACUUUUGAGUUUCUGUCCAGAGUCCCAUUCUGAGUUCACCCAUCCAAAUCCUUUGUGGAAAAAUAAGUCUUUCUUCAUUAAGUUACCCUUCAAACUCAAUGAAGAGGCAUACCGUUCAUUGAAACUUGUUUUCUAAAUUCUUGUUUACAUGAUCAAAAUGGUAUCAUUUAAGCCUUUUUUCUUUUUUGCUCCAUAGACUUCAGACGCAGAGAGAGUUUCUCAUUCAUGGCUUCCACUUCAUCUUCGACUCCUUCCACUCCUGUUACUCUUUCUUCUACUCUUUCCUUGCCGAAAUCUUGCACUUCUCAUACUGCCAACAAAAUUGAACACCUUGUAGAAUACUCAUACAUCCCUGAAUCCGCCCAGAUCAGUGAAUCUUCAUACCCUCUCAUUAGCCCUUACCACCUAUACAAACGCCCCAGUUCUUUUACCCGCAGUAUUCGUACUCUCAUAUCCACCCGAAGACCUCACCCUAAAGAAUACAUCCAGUCUUCUCGCCUGGAUCAGUGUUCACUCCAAGCAACCUCUGCUGAGCAAUAUGUCACUCUUGAAAUACCCUCAGAGUUGAUUUCCAACUGGAAACGAGAAGGUUACACUCAUCUCCACCUUGGAGGCAUCAGAUUAAUCCUUACCCUUCAUGGGAGAAAAGGAUUACCGGUUACAGCUCGCCUUGCUAUGCUUGAUACCCGGUUUAAACAGUACCCAGAUGCUGUUAUUGGCACUGUCCUUACAACCCUUCAUGCAGGAAGUGUUUUACUCACUUUCUAUCCCAACUUCAACCUUUCUCUCCAAGAUCCCAACUUGCCCACAACCUUGAAGGUCCAAAUCCAAAUUCAAGGUGCUGAACAAAUUUCUUCCGCCAAAAUUGCUACCUUACACCACCAACUGGUCUAUAGGCUUCAAAAUCAUGCCUUAGAUCUACCCACACCAGAACACCACUCUGACACCCUCAUGGUGUUAGCAGAAUCUGACCAGAUCCCGACAAUCAUCCAGAUCCCACGACAAAUUCCCCGUCAUGAGCUCAUCAAGCUUAUGCCUCUUGAAUGGAUCUCCAACUAUGAACAGUUCCACAAUAAUACAGCUCCCAUUCAGACACCCGAAAGUAUGUUUGAAAGACGACAAGAUGGAACAGUCAGAAUGACUUUUAAACCACCUCCCAGUGCUCCACAAGAGCCUCAUCGGCUCUCCUUUACUUAUUCCUCAAUGAUCACAGCUGUUCAGACAGCCCAAGAAGAUCUGCCCAUUACAGGGUUUAAUUAUGAAGGUUACCCUGUUUAUCCAGCCAAACACAAUGGCCAUUUCCUAUGGGAUGCCCCUGGUUCCGGCAUGUGUGACCCAAAUUGUCCCUGCUAGGAUGAUUGGGAAGAAGACGAUGAUUAUGCAACCACAAGGAAAAAGAAGCCCAAAAAGAAAAAAACCUUCUGUCCCAUGUCACCACUGUGACCCCAAACCACCAUCAGACCCUCCACCUCCACCAGCUCCAUUACCCAUCUACCGAAAAGAACUCAGAUGGAUUGCCAAACAUUGCAAAUCUGAGAUUCCAUCACCACUUCCAAACCCAACGCCUAUCGUCCAACCACUGGCUUGUAUGAUGUUUUCCUCUACCUCUUCCGAUUACUCUUCUUCAUUUCCUUCUUUGGAACCCCACACAGAUCCCCAACGACAUGUUGUGUCCAAACCCUUUAUCCCUUCACCUAUUACUUCCACUGACCAUCUAGAGCCCCCUAAACCUUUUGAGUCAGUCCUCAACUGGCAAACUCAAAAUGCCAGGGCCCAAAAUGAUACAUUGUUGCAUCUCAAUUCAAAAGUUGAGAACAUCAGUUUGCGAACUGAACAGAUUGAGACAAAAGUUGACUCUAUCACUGCACAGAUGCAGCAGAUCUACCAAAACCUCCAGUCCAGAAUUUCUCAACUUGACUCUGAGUUACGAGCCAUGCUUGCCCAUCGUUACUCAGGCCCCGAAUUUGAGCAAAAAGAAAAGGAAAUCAGACGCUUAAAAGCUGAACUUGCUCAGAUUGAAUCUGAAAAACAGAGACCUACUCUUUUCACCACUUCACCUCUUAUCCCUUCCAUCGGUCCAACUUAUCAUCCUUUUGCCUCUAUGCUUUCUCCUAUUAAACAGUAUGACCCUUCCAAGUUAUUUGGUAUGACUCAUACUCUUUUCAGAGACAAUCCUUUGCCACCACCACCUAAAUCUAAACCCAAACCUAGACCGCAGCCUCGCCCUGCCUCUCUUCAUCCUUCCUCUCUGACCAUCCCUGGCCAACCAUCUCCUAGUUCUACAUCGGCAUCACCACUAGCUCCAUUAUCAGUCCCUACCCAAUCCAAGGAUAAAUAACCUAUGCACCAAUUUACUGCUCACACAGUCACCUAUUCAUCUACUACAGUUGAUCAAACUUCUGAUUCAAAUCCAGCUGUUUCAGAUAGCCCUACCGAAACUGAUACAGAAUCUUCAGUAUCCACCAGUGACUCUGAAAAGUCCUAUGCUGAUAUCACCAAAAUCCUGAUGGCUCAACCUGAUCAACCUACCCAAGGCCAAACCUCUCAUACAGAACCAUAUGUUGAUAUUCCCUCCGAAGUUGAAGAAGAAAUGCCUGAAUCUUCUGUCACAAACCAACCUCCUCCAACCCAGACCAAUCCAUCGAGCCAAAAAUCGUCAAAUGGCCCAUGGUUCACAUUUGAUGAUCUUCCAUCUCAUAAAUGGCGUGACCGACUCAAUGAAAUGUCUGCCCGGAUUGACCUCCAGAUGCUAAGACCAGGAGCAACAACUCAAUCAGUCCUUAGAGAAUUUGCUACUCGUUUCACGGGUGCUCUAAGAGAUUGGUUUGAUUCGUUAGGCCAAUACCGCCAACUACAGUUUGUCGAUCUCCCAGAAGUCUCAAGUGCUCUUGCUGUGCUUCAUGAUCAAUUCCUUGGCGACCCUUCUGCAGUCUUUGAAGCUGCCAGACGAGACUAUCUCAACAUGAAAUGCUGUUCCCUCAAUGCUAAGGAUCUUGACUUCCAUUAUAAGCGAAUGUCCCUGCUGUUCUAUAAGCUUAAUGGAUUCAAUGAGCCGACAUUAAAGCAUGUCUUUCUGGCUUCCCUCCCCGAAGAACUCCAACCCAACAUCCAGAGACAACUCACAGCAUCCAAUCUUUCCCUAGACAACAUCUCUCUUGGCAAAAUCUUUCAGCUUGCCAAAACUUGUCUUGACAAACUUUGUGAGCAAAAACAGUUUUUCAAAGAACUGUUGAAAGACAAAGAACCUUUCUGAAGUGCUUGCAAAAAGCCUUAUUUGCAGAUCAAAUGCCACAAGAAAAAGGAUUGCGAUUGCAGUUCAAAGAAAAAAAGGCAUUUUCGGAAAUUCAAAACUCCAGAAUUUUCCUCCAAGCCUCGCAGAUCCCGAAAGCCCUACCGGUUCUUCAGAAAGAAAUCUUCCUCCUCUAGAGAAUCCAAACGAAAGCAAUCAAGCAGAUGUUUCAUCUGCAAGAGAAAAGGCCAUUAUGCCAAAGAUUGCCCCAACAAAAGAGAAAAAUCCAUCCUGUUAGUUGAGCAUCUUCAAGCAACUACCGACUACUCUCCUGCCAAAGAUGAACUGGAAUUCUAUUUCUCUGAACAAGAUGAGCCCAAUGAUGAAACAAUGUUCGCACUACAGAAUUCCUCUAAUUCAGACAGUGACCAGUCUCAAGUGAUUUUCCACCAACAGUUACUCUCCCUUGAUACUACAAUUCCUAUCCCAUCCAUCAAACUCCAGAUCUUGCCCUCAAAAUUCCAAAGGCCCAUUCCAGCAAUUGGUCUUAUAGAUACUGGCGCCCAACGCAGCAUGUUAAACCCCCAUAUUCUUCCAUCAGAAUAUUGGACCCAGUCUGAAGAACACUUCAAAGCUGUCAAUGGCAAACUCUUUACCACCUAUUUGAUUACCAAAAAACCCAUUGGUAUUCAAAUCUUCCCAAAUUGUGUCAUUUGGACCAAAGUUAUUGGUUCAACUCUUCCUAAUAAGGAUGUCUUGUUAGGAUUUGACAUCCUUCACCAAAUCAAACACCUCCAAAUCGUUCCCACUGGAAUCCGAGUCAAGUCCAUGUUCAAACCAUUCACAGACAUUCUGAAACUCUACAAUUUGUCUGAAACUCCCCAGUCUUACCAAGAUAUUUCAACCAAACUUUUGAGUUUCUGUCCAGAGUCCCAUUCUGAGUUCACCCAUCCAAAUCCUUUGUGGAAAAAUAAGUCUUUCUUCAUUAAGUUACCCUUCAAACUCAAUGAAGACAUCAACCCGACCAAAGCUACUCAUCCAGGAAUGAGUCCUUCUGACUUACUCCUAGCCCAACAAGAAUGUUCACAAUUGUUAGCCCAAGGUUUAAUUGAGCCCACAAGUUCUCAAUGGGCUUGCCAAGCCUUUUAUGUUGAAAAGCAUUCAGAAAUUGUCCGAGGAAAGAAACGCCUAGUCAUUGACUACCAGCCAUUAAACAUGUUUUUACAAGAUGACAAAUUCCCACUACCUCGUCGACAAAGCAUGUUCACUUUUCUCAAAAAUGCCCAGAUCUUUUCAAAAUUUGAUUUAAAAUCAGGUUUUUGGCAACUAGGCAUUGAACCCUCUGAACGCUACAAAACCGCUUUUUGUAUUCCCAAUGCCCAUUUUCAAUGGACCGUCCUACCCUUUGGUCUCAAAACUGCCCCAUCCAUUUUCCAAAAAUCCAUGGUCCAAAUCUUCCAACCCCUUUUGCAUCAUGCAUUGAUUUAUAUUGAUAAUAUCUUGCUUUUUUCAGGCUCACAUGAUGAACAUCGCCAGCUGUUAACUCAAUUCUAUGAUAUUCUCCAAAGUCAUGGAAUCAUGUUAUCCGCCAAGAAAAGCACCAUUGCUACAGAUAAUGUUGAAUUCCUUGGUACGAUCAUAAAAGAUGGACACUAUCAACCAGGAAAGCACAUUGCCCAAGAAUUGCUUCACUUUCCAGAUCAGCAACUUUCCAAAAGGCAAAUUCAACAGUUUCUCGGCAUUAUCAAUUACAUCCGUGAUUUCAUCCCCCACGUGGAUCAUUACACUCACCAUCUCUCGGCUUUAUUGAAAAAGAAGCCCCCAGAAUGGAAUGCUGACCACACCUUUGCUGUCACUACCCUAAAGCAGAUUGCGCAAAAUCCGCCUCCUUUAAAGUUGAUUACAGAUGGCAAGCGCAUCUUACAGACAGACGCAAGUGAUGAAUCAUGGGGUGCCAUACUCCUUGAAGAAAUCAACGGAAAAGAAAACUUUAUCGCUUACGCUAGUGGACAUUUUUCUGACACACAGAAGCACUACCAUAGCGUGUUCAAAGAAAUCUUAGCGGUCAAGAAUGGCAUCAAAAAGUUUGAGUAUCAUUUGAUUGGACACCAUUUUCUCAUCCGAAUGGACAGCUCAGCCUUCCCCAAUAUCUUUCAUUUCAAAGGUAAAACUGUUCUCGAAAAAAUGUUACUCAGAUUAAAAGAUUGGUUUUCCAAAUAUGACUUUUCAGUCAAGCAUAUAAAGGGAUCCCAGAACCUCAUCCCUGAUAUGCUCUCCAGACUCUCCAAACCAGAACACCCUCUCAAACCAAAGUCCACAUGUAUCAUCAUCAAAGAAUAAAAACCAGACUACACUGAUUUCCUGUUCCAGGAUUCCCAAGACCCAUGGGAUGCAUUUCUCCCUCUGAGCCAACACCUUCACCAGUUUCCCCAACCAACAAUGGAUGAACCUGGCCCCUCUGAACCAGGACCUUCAACUCAAUCCUCCAAACGACCAGCUCAACCAUCCAAAGUUGACAAAGCUACCCAAACUUCCCCUCAGUAUACUCCAAAGUGUACUCCCAGAGACUAUAAUUGCCCUUAUCCACCUUGCCGUGGUCCCCACUGUAAGCAUCCAAAGCUCUCCAAGACCUUUUUCCCAAAAAGCAACCCUGACAACCCAUAUGAGACAGAAAGCUCAUCCGAAGACGAGUACAUGAACCUCCGCUCUCCAUAAAGUUGUUUGUCUUGUUGCUUUCCAUAAAGUAGUUUGUCUUGUUGUCAUAAUGAUGUUUCGCUUUAUGCUUGCAUAAUUAUUAAAGUUUGCUUUUACUUUAAGCUUUUGCUUUUGCUUUUGACAAAGUCAUGCUUUAAUUAUUAAAGCACUUUUGUCUUUUGUAAUAAUUAAAGUUGUGCCAUUAUGUAAAAGAUAGGGGUCCUGUCCUAUCUUAUCUUUUGUUUUUGCUUUUGUAAAAGAUAGGGGUCCUGUCCUAUCUUCUCAAGAAUCCUCCUCUAUAUAAAGGAUUCUCCCCUUGCUUGUAAGAUAUAAGAAAAAUUUCCAAGAAAAAAACUCGUGUGUUUUCUUCCAUGAAUUUCUAAACUCUCCUUUCUCUCUCUGCAAAUGAAGUUCUAAGAAAGAAAAGGAAUAAAGGAUUAAAUUUGUUCAUUUUGAAAACCUAAGGAAGUAUGCUCUGCACUUGCCUUCUAGUAAGGAUCCUGUGCAUCAGAAAACUUUUGAUCAUUUCUUAUCUGGUUUGGUACCCUGUUUUAGACUAAAGGAAAGUCUGUUUUGGGUUGUAUAACCUGAGAAAAAAUGUUUUAAAGGUUUUUGAUUACAGAGGUAUAUCGGCUGGAAACCCGAGCUUGCGGACUACUGGUCCAAAGUACAGUUUUAACUGUUGUAGUUCUGGUAUAACAACGCCACGUAUACAGAGGCUUGAGAGUUUGAUCGCCAUUCAUUUGACACUUGGCUGAGCUAUAGCAUACCAACUAGUGAUUAAUAAAGAGAAGGUAUGAAGGUCCUGUUGCUGGUGGUAUUAUCAAUCAGAAUUGUUAUUUUACUUAGUCAUAGUUACCAUGUAUACUAUUCGUAGACUUUUUGCAUGUUUAUGCAUUCGCAUCAUCUUUUUGUUAAGCUAGAGAUGGUUGAUUUGUGUACUCAUUUGUAUCACUUGUAACCCUUGAGGAAUAAAUUUAAAAUUCGGUUGCAUCUCCUGUACUAAAUACUAAUUAACUCAUGUAUGGGAAAUGGUUCAUUAUCUUAUUUCUUUGAUGCGUAUAGUGUUACACUGUCUAAAGUUGAAAAGUAUUUCUAUCACUUGUGUAAAAAACAAACAACUUUUUUUUUCACUCUUCUUAUAUUGAAUAAAAGAGGGACACCAAGAUCUUCACCAAGAUUGAACAAAAUUUGAUGCAGAAAACAUAGCAAUUAGGCUAGUGCAAAACAACUUCCUUUUGGUUCUCUGAUAUUUGACUUAAAUCUUUUGUUUGUUUCAUUCAUCAAAGUCAUUUUGGAAAGUAGCAGGGGUGAUUUGAUAUUUUCAUUGUAUUCACAUCCCUUGGCACCAAAACAAGCGUGUUGGUACUAACCAACAAUUUUUUAUUUUUAGUAUACAAAUUAUUUUUUUAAGACAAAUAUGCUGGUACUAACCAAUAAUAUUUUCUUUUCAGUAUACAAAUUAUUCUUUUUUUUAAAUUAGGGGUAUCAAGGAAAGAUAUACUAGCACCAGAGGAAAGAUAUACUAGCACCAGGGGAGGUAUUUAAAAAUACACAAAUAUAAUCUAUCAAACUGAGAAUACGCCAAACCGGCAGGUUUCUGAUAAAUCCUUUUUUUCUUUUUCCUCCAUUCACGAUAGGUUCAAUUUAGACACUGUUGACCAAACAGAAGGUUUGGGUUGGUAAACGCACUAGCGUAAUAGUGUUAAUGCCAACAACCCAAGGGGCUUCGUGGUCCUCUGGGCCGAAAUAGCGUAAUUAUUAAUUCUCCUCCAGUGAAAAACUUCAUCUUGGGACAAAUAAUUACAAUUUGACAUUAUUGCUGUGGAACUCUGGAGGUGUAACAACCGGAAAAAUAAAAAUCUUAAGACUUUUUAAAUAAAAAAGAUAUAACACCUUUAAUUUGCUAAAAGUAAUGGUAUCAUUUCUUGUAUGGAUAAUGGAUGAUUAGAUUUUGUUUUUUUGUUAUCCGACGAAGGAUAUUCAGUUGUUCUUUAUGUGUUCAUAGGCAAGAGCAUGAGCAUAUGCAUCAUUUGAUAUAUACUUCUUGCAUUUUCUAAUUACGGACUCUCUUUCCUUGCCUUCUUAGUUUUGAAAGAAAGAUGUGAAGCAAAGCAAACCCAGUGAAAUCUACAGAGAAACAGAACCAUCAGAGGAAAAACUAAAUAACAGAACCACAAUUGAACCAAACAAAAUCAAAUAAACCGAGGCAACGGAUGCCCUGAAUCAGGCAUCCCUUUUUGUCGAAAGAAAAUAUGUUUGCAUGGGUGGGAACCUAAUAAUUACUCAAGAGUUGGAGUUGGAAAGAUUUGGUAUUCAUAUCUUCACAAUUCAUAAGCUUUAAUGCAGAAUCGACGGCUUUAUAUUAAUUUAUUCGACCAAAAACGAUAAAGUAGGAAAACCACAAUAAUCCACCAACUUUUGCUACUUUUAGGAAUAAUUUUUAGUCAACUUUCAAAAAGUGACAUGACGAUCUUUGAGUUGACAAAUCUUGGCCUGCUGCUUAGUACCCUUUCAACAUAUUAAGUACUAGUCUACUAGAUGUUUUACUGAGAAAAUGACGAGAUCAUUUAUCAAAUUUCUUGCGCAUAUAUACAUAUAUAUACAAGAAAUAAGAAUCAGAGUGAUUGUAAGACCUUGCAAUGAGGCAAUAAUACAUCAUCAAAUCUAAAAAUACACAAGAAAUUCGUGACGUAUAUAUAACAAUAGACCUCUCAUUGAGUCAUACAUAUUGAGAAUAAAAUGUCAAAAUGUAUACAAAGAGCUUAUACAGAAAAUGAAUUUACACACAUUUAAAAUAAACUGUCUUUGAACUUCCGAUGGUCAAACAAAGGAAACAGACAGGAAAUGACACACACUAUCAUAUAUGUAGCGACACGAUGAAGUAAAUCACAUGAAGAUGGAAAGGGGAACCCCUCACAGCAUAAAAUUUGAAUAGAGGGGGAAAAAGGCUUCAUUUCGAAUGUUGCACGGAAGAAGAGUGAUUUGAAUCUCCAUCAAUAUUCAGACAUUCUGCAAACACAGUGCUGAGAAUUUUAACAAGAAUAACAGACAAAAUAUUGUGCUCUCUAUACUUUCACAAAACAAGACCAAAUUAGUUCCCUUUUUGGUUUGUGAAAACUUGAUAUUUUUUAAAAUUCUAUCCAAUGCUUUCAAACAAUAUUUCCACAAUAUAGUUGUUCAUAGCUAACCUUUGAUUGUUUAAGGAUUUGUUGUAGGCAUAAUGGGCUAAUUAGAUUUUUUUUUUUAUCCAAUGAAUGCUAUUCAGCUGUUCUUAAUUAUGUGUUCAUAGGCAAGACCAUUUUCUUAAGUACUUUCGUUGCCUUCCAAGUUUCCAAAGAACAAACAGAGCACAAACAAAUAUAACGGAACAGCAAUGAUGACAAUAAAUAAUUGGCAAAGAAAGAAAGAAAAAAGUUUGCAUGAUUUCAAGGAAUUGUAAAAUCUGAAGACUUUCAACAGGAAUUAUAAAAUCUGAAGACUUUCAACAUGCAAGUGUUGCCCCUUUUGAUGAAAUUUCAUCAUAAAAUGCUUGCAAAGAAUUAUAAAAUUUUAGAGAACAAGCGAACUCUCAAACAAAAUACUCAAAUUAAAUUAAAUUAGACCAAAAGACACUCAAUGACGCAAAAUCUGCCAUUCUAAAUAAUUGAGAUGAAAUUGUGAAACAACCCACAAGAUCACAUAAAUAAAAUAAGAAUUAAUUACCAGCUUUGACUUUCUUCUCCAAAUUCGCGACUCCAAGACAUAAGAAGCCAAUGAAAUUAGUCGUAACCCAUAAAGUACGACGACGACCCCGCCAAUAGCUGAAAAUAAAAUACUUAUUCAUCAAUUUAAACUAACUUUAUAACAAAUAUCUUAUCGAUAUUUUAUUUAAAAAAAGCAAAUUUGUAAAAUUUUUCCAUGGGAGAUAGAGGGUAAUAUGUAUAUCCGUACCUUUUCAGCAUGUAAUUGUUGUAUGGUCGUGUUAAGAUCAUUAUUUGCCCAACGCCGUUGAUCCUCUGACUCUCCAUACGAGACGCUUACUCUCGGAGGUGUGUUUGAUUCUCCUGAAGUGAAAGUCUUCAUCUUGGGACAACCAAUCACUUCCAGAUAUUCCAGAGAUGGGAAUUUGAAGGUGUAAUUGGCAGAGCAGAAACUUGUGAGACUGUCUAAAUCACACAGAAUCAACGCCUUCAAUUUGCUGAAAACAAUCUCUUCUAUGUCAACUCCUUCUUUGUCAUUUAUUACCACCUCUGUCAUUGCUCUGCAUCCAUAUACUUGCACUGUUACGAGUCGCACCAGAGUUUUUGCUGUGGAGGAUGUUACUAAGUGUAUCAAUUCCUUGCAACCGACAGCUACCAGUUUUGUUAGGUUCCGAAAAGAUACCGAUGAUGAUGGCAAUAGACUUAACAGAUUUUGACAAUGAUAUACUUUUAGAAUUUCAAGAUAUUGAAAAAUGGAGUCAAGUUUGGAGUCUUGUUUACAUAGCUGCUUCAGAUGAUUAAGGUGGCCCAGCUCUAUACAUUUUAUCAUUGCCAACUUCCUCAAACGUUUCUCUAAGCAUCCUUCCGUUGAAAAUACCUCUUCGUAUGAACAAUGAUACAGUAAGAGUAAUUCGAGAUUGUGAAAUCUCUCAAGUACAUUCCUGAUUGGAAAACAAGCCGAGUCAUCAUAAGUUAUGUCUAGUUUUUUAAGAUUACCAAAAAGGUGUGGGAAAUCGGCGUCCAAAAUCAUCUUCACAUCUUUUCCGCUUAACGCCAGUGACUCCAAGUUGGGUAAGAUCUGAUCAUCGUCAAUCACGUAGUAACUAAUCAGUCAGUUGAUGUUCUCUCCAAUAAUUUUGAGUAAUCCAAUCAUAUGCAGCGACCUUAUAGUACUUGUUGUAGAUUAUAUAUAUUUUACCCAAAAAAAAACAAAAAGAAAGGAAAAAUUGAAUUAGUGAUAAAAUUCAUUCUAGGAUUUUUGUAUGUUAAUUUUAGAGAUAAGAGAGAAAUUAGAAAAAAAAAAAGGAUGAUUUAUACUGGCAUAAAUAUAUUUUAUUGCACAAUAAUAAAUUAUUAAUUUAUAUUGUAAGUGAUUAUAUAUGAGAAAACUGAGGAUUCUUUUAUAAUGCUAUACCUAAAAUAAUUCAUCUAAUUAUUAAUUUAGUACAUUGAUCCCUUAGUCAAGACUAGCAAAAAUAUUAAUUUUGUAAUAAAAGUUUUCAAUUUAUUGAGUAUUAAUUUAUUGAUGUUUUGUUAUAUUUUACAAAGUCAAAAGUCGCUAAUGAUCUAAUUGAUAAGAAAUCUAGAAAGCGGCUUCAUACCUUUUUGAACAAGAAUAGGGGCCGUUGUGCAGGAAUACCAAGUUGAUCAUCCUCAUUAUUCUGUGAUGAAUCUGCAGCGAAUGUCUUCAAUUUGUCACAACCAGACACCACUAAAAUUUUUAGUGCAGGCCAUUCCGAAGUAUGCAUUCCAUGGUAUAAACAUUUAAGUUCUGGUAGCUCUUGGAGUAUAAGAGUGGUCACCCGUUGAAAGACAAAACGAGGGGUCACAUGAUCUACUCUGUCUUCCGAAAUGAUCUCUUGCAAACCCCUACAAUUCACUAUCUCUACUUCUUGGAGAUGCUCAAAGCUUUGAAUCAUAGAAACUAAAAAUAUGUAUUUCAAUUUGUUACAGUGGCACACAAUCAAUCGUGUUAAACUUUGAAAGCGAGGAAGCAUGACCGGACGAUGAUUGUAAUGCCAAAUCUUGUCGACAUUAAUUUCAGAUAUCUCCAAAGCCUCCAAAUUAGGCAACCCUACCUAAAAAAAUAUUAAUUUCUUGUUAGAUCCAACAUCCAUAUGAGAAGGACUUAUUGAAAUUUUCUUCUUUGAUUACAGAUUAAUAAUUCAAGUCAAAAUCAAUUUCCAACUGACAGCUGAGUAUGCAUUCUAAUUCGUAUUACUUGUUAAGAGCUCAAUUAGUGAGUGCGUAAGAUUCUUUUUAUCCUUUUUUUUUCACUUUCUUUCAAUUCUUUAAAUGAUUUAAUUAUUUUCCGCGUAUGACUUCAAAAGAGAAUGCACAAUAGCAUAAAGAAAGUGUUAGCCUACGCACCUUGCCGUUGAAAAGCAGUGUUUCCAAAUUGAUUUCGUUGGAGCAAGAACUUGUCAAUUCCUCUUGCAGCCCUUGUCUGUUUGGUGAUGCUGAAGGAGUCUUCAAAUUACGGAAAAAAGUUGUAACCUCUGGAAGAUUUCCCAAACUCAAAGAUCUUAAUUGAGCCAACUCUAUCUUCUCAGUAGCAUUAUUGUUGUCAACAUCAGCAUCUCCCUCAGUAGCAAAAAUCUCUUUCAUCUUGCUGCAAUUAAUAACUGCAAUUCUCUCAAGUCUUGGAAGGCAUUUUGCAGUGGAGAGCCAGAAGAUAUUACUCAACUCAUUACAAUUUUCUACUUUUAUUGUUUUGAGUUUAUUGAAAGACUACUUUGAGUCGAUCAAUGCAUAUCCUCUCCAUGUUGAUCAAAUUGUGAAGAGUCAGUGACUCCAAAAGAGGAAAGGCAUCACAAGCGACCAUCUCCAUUGAGUCGACAAUACAAAAGAAGUCAGGAUUAUUUUGAACCCAGAGAAACUUCAAUUGUGGAAAGCCCUUUGUGUCCAAAUCGAAAAGAACAUUUUUGACACCUUGUAGCUUGUCCAACCAUAAGUAUUCAACGUUAUUGAUGGCCUGCAAUUUCAUGGAGCAAAUGUCCGUAAAAUCAAGCUUGAGCUUCAAUUCUCUUAAACACUCAUGAUUAUCGUUGAUCAAAAAGUUCGACCGACUGCGAAACCAAUCUUUUGCAACAGGCAAGGAAGCCAUGAAUGACUCAUUUCCAAUAGAUAUUUUGAACCUUUCGAGCUUUCUGGCCAAAAAGCCUUCCGGUAAAAUACUGUCAUUUUUAACAUCAAUUUCUAGAGUGGUUAGCCAAGGUAAAAGCAUCAAUUCAUCAAGGCUUGCAUUACUUCUUUCACUGUUGGCUCUUUCAACCUCCCAUUCAACGGAGCAAUUACCCAUAUACAAUUCUUCUAAUCGGAUUAAGCUCGAUAUGACAUCUGGGGCAAUAACUUUUAGACGGAAACAGUCUCUUAAAUCUAACAGCCUUAGCUUAGUCAGUUGCCCUAGUGCUUUUGGUAACUCUACAAUAUCAGACCACACAAAGCUAAGGAUUUCUAGAUUUUCCAACUUUCCAAUAAUGGCUAUGUCCAUGUCUCCCAAAAUGCUUUGAUCAAGACAAAGCGUCCGAAGAUUUACUAGAUGAUCAAUUGAAGAUGGCAAUGGCAAUAACUGCAUUCUAGUCAAAUCCAAAACCCGAAGCUUUUUUGUCCUUUCGAAGAAGUUCUCAGGAACAUUGGGCGCGACAAAAGAGUUCUUGGGAGACAUGAGUAAAAAUUCAAGUUGUGGAGAUUCCAACACUUCGGGAAUGUCAUUAAUAAUACUAUCUUUUAAAAAAAUUGCAGGAUAUUUUUUUAAUGCAUCUGCAUCUGGCCAUUUCCACACAUCCUCAUUUCUAACCGCAAAUGCAAUUUUGUCACCACAUGCAAUUGAAAUGGCAACAUCGCGAACAACAUCAUGCAUGGAAAAUAAUUUACUGCUACCAUCCUCAAGCAACAAACAAGAGUCUCUUAGUUGAUUGACCCAUGCAUCUAAUUUGUUAUGUGCAUCUUCUAGCUUAUGGACACUUUCAAAUGCACCCAAGCCCACGCUAUAUUUGAACAAGUCCAUAAUUGAAGUUGGUGUAAUUAGACUACACAGUAAAAAAGUUUUCUUGAGUUGCUCACCUCUUAAGUACUUGUAACUCAGCUCAAUUGUUGAGUAUGCCUCUACUGGUACUCCUCCGUCGAAGCUUGCCUCUGAAGGCGUUUGGAGUUCUUGCAAGGCGUUCUUCCACACAGGCAGCUCUUUGUUUCUCAGUGCCCUUGCUACUGUGGUUAGGGCAAUAGGCAAACCUCCACAUGCCUUGGCUACACUUGUUGCUGUAGAUUUUAACUCACGAUUUUCAACAUAAUUACCAGCCAUUAUCUUGAACAAUCUCCAAGCUUCUUGCUCAUUUAGAAUGCCAAUCAAGAAGUUAUUUUCUGAUCCCAUACUUAACAAGACAUUACGAUCCCUUGCUGUUAAUAAUAAUUUGCAUCCUCUAUUAUCAUCGCCAAAAGGAAUUCCAACAGUCUCUAAAUCAAGAUAUUUCCAGAUGUUGUCCAGAAUCACAAGGAUCUUCUUGUCAUUCUUCAAUCGUUCAUAAAGUUUACUAGCUCUUCUAGAUUCAGCCUCCUCGGACAACUCCAGACCUAAUUUCUCUGCAAUUUCCCCUUGAAUCUUUUUUAUGUUUGGAGUUUGGGAAACCUCCAAAAAAACCACCAUAUCAUAAAGCUUGUCUUCAAUGGCUCGCCUAGCAAACUCCUUCACCAGUGUCGUCUUUCCAAUGCCGCCCAUGCCGUACACUCCAAUGAUGCUGACAUUAACAUCAGUCAAAGCAUUUUGCAUUGCCUCCAAAGUAGAAAGUCUUGAUUCAAAGGCUUCGUAGCCUUUGUUAGACUUUACCCAUAUCUCCUCUAGAAUAGGACGGUAGGAAACACUAUUAUCAAAUUUCCCAGCUUCUUCUUUGAGUUCAACAAGGCCCUUCACCUCUGUUUCUGCUUUCUUGCUAAGCUGAUAGCGGGUCUUCAAAUUAGGACACAAGCCCAUGAGACAUGGCUUAUUUGUUGUCUCCUCAUCAUCAAUAAAUUUGGCUGCCUGCUCAAUGGUGUUGUUCGCACUAACCAGCCACUUCUCAACCUUCUCUUCAAUAUUUUCCCCUUUUCUUUCAGCCUCAGAAACCCUGUGCUGAAUGCUUCUCCUUUCAUCCUUGAGCUUGUCUAUUUCUGCCUUGAGAUUCUCAACGUUGGCUUUAUAGUUACGCAAAUAACCAAGUCGGCGUUCUGUUGGAGGAGCCAAGCAUUUCACAAAUUCUGAAACAACGGUAACAAUGCUUUCCACCAUCCUGGAUCCCUUUUCUUUUUUUCAAAGUUCUGACAAGAAAAUAAACAACGAGCGAAACACAGAGAGAGUGAAAAAAAGAAAAAGAAAAAAAGCUAAACACAGAGAGAGUGAAAGAAAAACUGUUAUGGAUCUGGUGAGAAGAUGGAAACAAGGAAAAGGUUUCUAGUUCAAAAACUGAUUGAAUUAAUAUAAGGAAUGAUUUAGAUAAUAGAGGCGAAGGGAACCAAUCAAAAUAACUGAAGUAUUGACCAGAAGAAAGACGGAAAAAAUAUUGACUGAGAUGGAAAAAAUGAAGAUAUCUUGACACGGUAGAAGUACAAAGGGUAGAUAUGGAACCAAACAAAGACAACAGCAGGCCACAACAAGAUUGGGAAUGGAGAGAAACUAAUUAACAAAGACUGGAGAUUACAACAAAACAGAUGCCGAGAGAAAACUUGAUCCAGUGAAAUUCAAGAGAGUUGACAGCAAAAGGGAGCAAAGAUUAAUAACAAAACAACAGUGACUACAAUGGACAAAAGCAUAUGCGUUUCUUGAUUGAGAAUGAGUGCAAAGAAUGACCUUUUAAGGAGGUUCUGAAGCUGAAGAAUAUAUGAUUUGCUAAAAUUUCAAGAAUGAUAUAAACUCUGUAACUUUAACAAGUGAAGAAUAAAAGAAUAAUGGUUUGUCAUCCUCACAAUGAAGAUCAUCGACGAGAUUAAAAGCUGAAAGUGACCCAUUUGAAAAGCCAAAGUUCAAGUUCCUUGGCUAAGUUCGUAAGUGAAGCAAAGAAUAAUAAAUAAAUAAAGAUCAAGGGAUGGGAAUAAAGUCAUCUUCAGAAAGUUGCAGAAAGAUUUCUGCCGACAUUGUCAAAAUUAUUAUUUGGUAAACCUGAUGUAUUAUUAGUAUAAAACAGAGUAGGUGAAACACGUACUUACUACUUAGUUCAAGUUCCUUGGCUAAGUUCGUAAGUGAAGCAAAGAAUAAUAAAUAAAUAAAGAUCAAGGGAUGGGAAUAAAGUCAUCUUCAGAAAGUUGCAGAAAGAUUUCUGCCGACAUUGUCAAAAUUAUUAUUUGGUAAACCUGAUGUAUUAUUAGUAUAAAACAGAGUAGGUGAAACACGUACUUACUACUUAGACUGAUUAGCAUCUGAAAUUUUAUGAUCAUUAUGUGUUGCAUUUUACUUUAUACAUUACGUAACACAUUUUAAUUUAGCCAAUUUUGAUAAAAACACAAUUAGUGGUUUUAGACAAUGAAAAAAAUAAUAUAGAAGUAGAAAAUGAGGGCAAAACUACGUUGCAAUGGGGGUUUGGUACCUCUUUCUCUUGUCUUUUUCAGGGUUAAUUACAGUAAAAUCCUGUUAUUUGUUAUAAAUACAAAAAAGUUAAAAACUUUUAAAUUUUCACACAUUAGUCUUAUACCCAAAAAUUUUCAAUUGCAUUAAUGCUUCUGGAAGCCACGAUUUGUUUAGAAUUCAAGCACCUUUAAAUUCAAGCACUUACUCUCUUUAUACACACAAACACCAGUAAAUUAAAAGAAAUUUUUUUUGAGUUGUGUGAUUGAAUUUGAGGCGCAAAACUUUAAUAGAAAAUAAAUGCAAUUGCAUGCUUUCUUUUUUACUUUGUAAAACUCCUAAUUUAAUAACCCAUUUAUGACACAAUUAAUUAUACUAAUUGGCUUAUAUUUUAAUUGAUAGAUAUGUGUUGAAUUGUCAUAUCUAUUGUUGUGCAUGUGCGAUGUUAGGUACAGAGAAUAAAGAAUAGAAAAUACUUAUUUUUUAGUUUAUUUUUACAAAGAAAAUUUUUAAAUUAUUUUCAAAUAGAGUAAUUGUUUAUAAUUUUUUUUACCCUUCUCUUAGUUAAGUUAAUGAAAGAUCUUAACCGUAUGGAUGUGUGCUAAUGACUAUUUAAACUACUGGGGUAGAGUAACAAAUAUCAAUUUAUUUAAUUGUGCAAUUAAAUUUAUUCUUUUUAUUUAAGGACAAAAAAUACAAACUCAUUGUUCAAACAAACAAAAAUUAUUUUACAAAUUCAUAAAUUAACACUUUAUUAUUCGUAGUAAAUUAACAUAUUUUUACUACAUAAUUAAAUAAUUGAUAGUAGGUUAAAUAAAUCUAUGUUACAAAAAAAAUUAACUACAUAGAAUAUCAAAUUAAAUUUAUGUUCGUAUUUUGUACAUUACAUUUACUUGAGAUAGUAAAAUCUCUUGUGUUGGAAUAAAAAAGGUUAUGGGGUUUGAACCUUGGUCACAUGGGUGAGAGGAAAAUUGGUUGUUGUUAUGUUAAAUUAAAAAAAAUCAUAUUUAUAUUUAUCAUUAAUUAUGGUUCAUAAAUAAUAACAUAGUUUAACUAUAUAUUAAAUUUUUUAAUUUGUUAAUUAAUAAGAAAAUUUAUUAAUUUAAAUAGAUAUUAAUAAAUGUAAGAAUAAGUCAUUUAAUUGGAAAAAAAUAUUAUGGAAUUCUAUGUCAUAAUUUUAAAAAUUCUGAUUUUUCUUAUUUUGCAUGAACAAGAAGAGCUUUUAAUGUUAAUAACCUAAAAUCACAUUUAAGCCAUUAUACAACUCCUGCGUUACAUCCAACGGUAAAUUAGAAAAAGACAAAAAAUGGGGCACCAAACCCCAGGGGUAACAUAGCUGGACCUAGAAAAUGAAUGGAACUAUACUCAUCUUCAUUUUGGAAAAUCAAGUCAAAAAAAAAAAAUCCACAUGCUUUUGUUAAAGUUAAAAGCUACAUAAAUAAUAUCACAGAGGCUUCUAUUGAAGUUGAUGUGAAUCACAGCUUUGACGCUUGUAAAUGAAUUUAACAAACAAAACACAAUUAGUGGUUUUAGACAACGGAAAAAAUAAUACAGAAGUAGAAAAUGAAUGGAACUACACCCAUCUUCAUCUUGGAAAAUCAAGUCAAAAAAACAAAAAUCCACAUGCUUCUGUUAAAGUUAAAAGCUACAUAAAUAUAUAAUAUCACAGAAGCUUCUGUUGAAAGUUGAUGUGAAUCACAGCUUUGACGCUUGUAAUACAAGGAGCGCGCAAACUUCAGUUUAGGUGUAUACAUUACUUGUCUUUCAAGCUUGAAAUGAUUAUAGAUAAAAAACAAAAGCAAACAUACAGAUGGGCCAUUCAGUUCACAUAAUUUGACAAAAUUAUUAUUAUUUUGAAAUUUCGGUCAUUCACUCAUUUUCAUUUUCACUUUCACUUUUGAUUCAAUUUAACCAGUUAAUGUUGACAAAAUAAAAUGCUAAUAAAAGGCUAAGGCUACUAUUUUGAUGAACUAAUUAUCUCAGGAAUAGAAGCAUCUAUAAGCAUGCAUGGGUGGCCACAUGAUAAUUACUAUCAAGAGCGAAAGAGUUAAAAAUUUCUUUGUAACGUAAGCUUUUCCAGAUCGUGAAUAUUCUGAAGCAAACCGUAAACAGUCAAUCCAUAAAAAAUGGGAUAAUAAAUUUCAACUUCCCUUCCAAAUAGAAUGACAACCUCAAUUUCUAUACUUCCAUUUUUGUUCAAAAAAUUGUCUUCUUAACAGUAAAUGGAUAAAUUGAUGUUUUCACUAAAUGACAUGAAGAUCGUAAUUCAAGUUUACAAAUCUGGCCGUGCUGCCAUACGAUGGCAAAGUUCUUUUUGCUUAAUAUCAAUUCCUCCAAGUUGGAAUCUUUCUCUGUCGGGGACACUUCAAAGUAAUAAACUAACAAGAUCGUUUAUCAAAUUUCAUUUGCCUACAAGACCAAUUUCACCUCAGAAGAAAAUCAGAAUGAUUACAAGACUUCCCAAUGAGACAGUAUUACAUCUUCAAUUCUUAAAAGACGCUAGAAUAUUAAUUCGCUACAUAUAAUCAAGAUAUUAGUUAAGAACUGAGUUUAUAUUGUUUGGUUGCUCAGAAAGUAUGAGAAACAGAGAGAAAAUGAAGAAUGAAUUGUAACUGUAUUAUUAUAUGUAUUCGUUCAUUACACAUAUAUAUUCUCAGAUCUAAUGAAUUCUAAAAUGUUGUACACAUACACUGUACAUGUUAGCUGAAUCUAGGCCUUUUACAAGAGAUUCUUAACAAAUUUAACUAACUUGCGGAAACAAACUUAACUAGCUCACACGUGUAACAAGCUCAACUAGCUCACUAUAUUAAUAAGCCUCCUCAAACUCAAGGUCUAGGAGACACAUUGAGCUUGAAUCUAAGAUACUUAAAUUGAUCAAGAGCUAUCUACUACUUGAUCACAACUUGGGACAUGAUGAAUUUGGUGAAUAUAUCUACUGCUUGAUCACAACUUGGGACAUGAUGAAUUUGAAGUUCUUUCUAUGCUAUGUGCUUCAAACAAAAUGCAAACCAAGUUCAAUGUUUUCGGUUUUGGAAUGAUAUCUUGGAUUGCUGGCCAAUGCUUCUGCACUCUUGUUAUCACAAUUAAGCACCGGGGUUUGAAGCAAUGGUAUUUGUAAUUCUUUAAGCAAGUAGGUUAUCCAAAGCACUUCAAAGGUAGCCAAAGCCAAGGCUUUCACAAUUUUCAGCAUGUCUUCCUUGUUCUUGUGCCUAUUCUCAUCCUCUAAAAUAGAGGGUGCAACAUCGUCAAAGACCAGGUACUCCAUUAGGAUAUUGUUUGUCAGAUUGAUGAUGAGUUGACCUUACGAGUUAGGUAGACUUUCAAGUAGAAGCUCCACACGUUCAAUUUCUUCUAUUUUGUGACCCAACAAUGUAAAUUGUGAAAAUAAAGUUUUUAGAGUGUUGAUAUGGUCAGUUGACGAUGUGGUUUCCACAAUUCGAAAAGUAUAGAGUCUCCUCUUCAAGAAGAUCUUGUUGUGCAAUGACUUGGCCUCGUACAAUUUUAUGACAGUAUCUCAAAUACCCUUUGCUAUCUUUUUUUCCGCAACACUAGAUAACACCCCAUUUGCAAGUGCCAAGUAUAAAUCAGCAAUUGCAUUGCCAUCCAUCUCAUUCCACUUAUCAUUAAUGAUUCUUGUAGGCCUUUCUCCAAUUGCUUCUAAGCAAUUAUUUUUCCUCAAAAUUGCCCACAUUUUUAUUUUCCACAUCGAGAAAUUACUCCUGUUGAGCUUUUCAAUUUCAAACUUUGCUGUCAUUUUGUUGAUAAGUACCAUACACAAGUUAGUGUACCACCUUAAAUAGUUGCGAGUGAUCGUAUAUGUGAAAAUGCACACCAAGUUCCCAAGAAAGACUGGAGAAGUCACAAUGGUCCCACUUAAAACCCAACCUCCUUAGGUUGUUAUCGCCUUUGUGACAUAACUUUCUUAAACAUGUACAAAACCACACGGUUACUCCACUCACACCAUUAUUCCCUGCUUUGCAACACAAAAUUCUUGGAUCGCACCCAUUGUUUCACGUGAACAGUAAUCGUAUAUGUGAAUAGUACUAUAUACAUGAACAGUGCCGUCUACGUGAACAAUACCCAAACUUCAAAAUAUACAACUAAUGGCUCUGAUACCACUGUUAGAAAAUUAAUAGGUGAAGCAAAUACACAACUAAAGUGAAAUUGAGAAAUAUUAAGACAACGGAAUCAUAUAGGGACACCAGAAUUUACAUGGUACGACUUUUAGUCUAUUUCAAUGGGAGAAGAUAGAAAGAUAAAAUUUUACUAGUGAAAAGAGGAUUACAAAUAUUGUAAUAUUUUACCUCACUACCCAGAACCCCAAUACACCCAAUCUCUCAUAUUACUAUAACAAGAACUUAAAGCUCUGACACUCUCAACUCUCUACUUAUCUCUCUUAAGAGAAGAAAUAAGAUGAAAAAAAAAAAGGAUGCUGAGAUGAGGAGGAGCAUCCUCCUUUUAUAGACAAAAUUGGCUACCGUUCAUGCAAUAUAUUAUAUUAUAUUACAUAUAUAAUUUUUUUUUCAAAUUAUGUGGCACUGAAUUCGGUGUUGCUUUUGUUAAUUAAAUUUGGGGGCUUUUGUGCCCACCAACUUUGACAAAAACUUAUAUAAAGAAAAGCAUAUCAAAUUCCACCUAUCUAAGGCCCCGUACUAUAUGUUAUUAAAGUACUAUAACUUUUAAGGGACAUCUAUUAUAAACAAAAAAAAUUAUAACUAUGAAAUAAAAGUUGAUAAUGUGGAGUAAAUAUAAUUUUUUUAAAUAAUAAUCUUAAACAAAAAUAGUAAAUAUAUGAUAGGUUUUUCAUCAUAUAAGUGCGGGACCAAAUCAACUUAACUUUUAAUUUACAGCAACUAGUGUUUACCAAACACUUUAAUGUUAUAAGUUAAAAAUUAUAGCUAUCCAACCUCAAUACCAAAUAGAUCAUAAGAGGCACAAGACUUUUGGCUAUUUAGGUCGUUACUAAUUAGCUUAUUAGUCUCGAAUAGCUGCAACUUUCAAGGCGGUUAGAUUUCAGAAAGAUGCUGAGGAUGGUACAAGAUUUAUCAAACUGUAUUGACAAGUCAAGAUUGGGAAAAAUGAGUUUCCAUAAAUGCUCCAUUAUCCACCAAAGUUCAUUUAGUUUUUUAUCUAUAUGAGCCUCUCAGCUCCUCAACCUUUCCACACGAAAAUAUUUCUUUCCAAGAAUACAAGCUUUUUCAAAUUGUGAAUAUUCUCCAGCAAACCAACUUGGAAACAAUUGAUCCAUCAAUAUAUAUAUAUAUAUAUAUAUAUAUAUAGCAUGAAGAAUUUUGAUGAUUACAAAGCCGACCCUGCUGCCAUGUAUAUGAUGGUGAAGUACGUUCCCCUUUAUGUCAAUUCCUCCAAGUGGGAAUCUUUCUAUUUUUCUAAUGGAUCAUAUGUGAAGCUCCCUCAUAAAUUAUAAUACCAUACAAGGGGAAGGCAAUUAUAUAAUGUGCUCAUAUAUACACAUUGCGGAAGCAAUACUAGAUACUUUUCUAGCAUACUUUCAUGAAAACUUAAGAAGGGCUUUCACUAAGGAGAAAAUAUCUCAAUUGAGAAAAUAUUGAAUAUUAUUUAAGGAAAGCUUUUGUGUGCUAAUAAACUAUGAAUAAUAAGCCUAUAUAUUCUAGUAACUCACUUAAUCCUAAAUCUUCUCAAAUAAGAGAAAUAAUCUAAAAUCCCAGUUAGAUUAGAAUUAAAAAUAUAACUCAAAUAAACCUAAUAAAGUAAGAUAAACUCUAAUAAUAUUAAGGAAAAUUUACACUCGUCCACUUGUUUGUUUUGCUUUUUUUAAAAAUACACAAACACUUUUUUUUUCAGCAUGCCACCUGAAGUUUGCUUUUUGUUGCAUUCGUCCACUUCCGUCUAAUUUCCGUUAGUGGAUUUAAUGGAAUGUUAACGAAAUGACCUUUUUACCCCUCAAAAUUACAAUUUAACCCAAAAUAAAUAGAAAUUGGAGAUAAAUUGGAUGAAUUUAAUUUUUUUCAAAGGUGGAUGCUAGAAAUUGGAGGAAAAUAGUGUUGGUUGCUUGCUAAAUUUAUUACCNNNNNNNNNNNNNNNNNNNNNNNNNNNNNNNNNNNNNNNNNNNNNNNNNNNNNNNNNNNNNNNNNNNNNNNNNNNNNNNNNNNNNNNNNNNNNNNNNNNNNNNNNNNNNNNNNNNNNNNNNNNNNNNNNNNNNNNNNNNNNNNNNNNNNNNNNNNNNNNNNNNNNNNNNNNNNNNNNNNNNNNNNNNNNNNNNNNNNNNNNNNNNNNNNNNNNNNNNNNNNNNNNNNNNNNNNNNNNNNNNNNNNNNNNNNNNNNNNNNNNNNNNNNNNNNNNNNNNNNNNNNNNNNNNNNNNNNNNNNNNNNNNNNNNNNNNNNNNNNNNNNNNNNNNNNNNNNNNNNNNNNNNNNNNNNNNNNNNNNNNNNNNNNNNNNNNNNNNNNNNNNNNNNNNNNNNNNNNNNNNNNNNNNNNNNNNNNNNNNNNNNNNNNNNNNNNNNNNNNNNNNNNNNNNNNNNNNNNNNNNNNNNNNNNNNNNNNNNNNNNNNNNNNNNNNNNNNNNNNNNNNNNNNNNNNNNNNNNNNNNNNNNNNNNNNNNNNNNNNNNNNNNNNNNNNNNNNNNNNNNNNNNNNNNNNNNNNNNNNNNNNNNNNNNNNNNNNNNNNNNNNNNNNNNNNNNNNNNNNNNNNNNNNNNNNNNNNNNNNNNNNNNNNNNNNNNNNNNNNNNNNNNNNNNNNNNNNNNNNNNNNNNNNNNNNNNNNNNNNNNNNNNNNNNNNNNNNNNNNNNNNNNNNNNNNNNNNNNNNNNNNNNNNNNNNNNNNNNNNNNNNNNNNNNNNNNNNNNNNNNNNNNNNNNNNNNNNNNNNNNNNNNNNNNNNNNNNNNNNNNNNNNNNNNNNNNNNNNNNNNNNNNNNNNNNNNNNNNNNNNNNNNNNNNNNNNNNNNNNNNNNNNNNNNNNNNNNNNNNNNNNNNNNNNNNNNNNNNNNNNNNNNNNNNNNNNNNNNNNNNNNNNNNNNNNNNNNNNNNNNNNNNNNNNNNNNNNNNNNNNNNNNNNNNNNNNNNNNNNNNNNNNNNNNNNNNNNNNNNNNNNNNNNNNNNNNNNNNNNNNNNNNNNNNNNNNNNNNNNNNNNNNNNNNNNNNNNNNNNNNNNNNNNNNNNNNNNNNNNNNNNNNNNNNNNNNNNNNNNNNNNNNNNNNNNNNNNNNNNNNNNNNNNNNNNNNNNNNNNNNNNNNNNNNNNNNNNNNNNNNNNNNNNNNNNNNNNNNNNNNNNNNNNNNNNNNNNNNNNNNNNNNNNNNNNNNNNNNNNNNNNNNNNNNNNNNNNNNNNNNNNNNNNNNNNNNNNNNNNNNNNNNNNNNNNNNNNNNNNNNNNNNNNNNNNNNNNNNNNNNNNNNNNNNNNNNNNNNNNNNNNNNNNNNNNNNNNNNNNNNNNNNNNNNNNNNNNNNNNNNNNNNNNNNNNNNNNNNNNNNNNNNNNNNNNNNNNNNNNNNNNNNNNNNNNNNNNNNNNNNNNNNNNNNNNNNNNNNNNNNNNNNNNNNNNNNNNNNNNNNNNNNNNNNNNNNNNNNNNNNNNNNNNNNNNNNNNNNNNNNNNNNNNNNNNNNNNNNNNNNNNNNNNNNNNNNNNNNNNNNNNNNNNNNNNNNNNNNNNNNNNNNNNNNNNNNNNNNNNNNNNNNNNNNNNNNNNNNNNNNNNNNNNNNNNNNNNNNNNNNNNNNNNNNNNNNNNNNNNNNNNNNNNNNNNNNNNNNNNNNNNNNNNNNNNNNNNNNNNNNNNNNNNNNNNNNNNNNNNNNNNNNNNNNNNNNNNNNNNNNNNNNNNNNNNNNNNNNNNNNNNNNNNNNNNNNNNNNNNNNNNNNNNNNNNNNNNNNNNNNNNNNNNNNNNNNNNNNNNNNNNNNNNNNNNNNNNNNNNNNNNNNNNNNNNNNNNNNNNNNNNNNNNNNNNNNNNNNNNNNNNNNNNNNNNNNNNNNNNNGCGCUUUAACAAACACGAUUUUCCUCCAAUAAAAUAAAUACAAAUUUUUUAAAUUUAGUAACAAACAUUAUUUUCCUCCAAUAUCUAGCAUCCACCUUUGAAAAAAAUUAAAUCCAUCCAAUUUAUCUCCAAUUUCUAUUUAUUUUGGGUUAAAUUGUAAUUUUGAGGGGUAAAAAGGUCAUUCCGUUAAAUUCGCUAACGGAAAUAAGACGGAAGUGGACGAAUGCAACAAAAAGCAAACUUCAGGUGGCGCGCUGAAAAACAAAAGUGUUUGUGUAUUUUUGAAAAAAGCAAAACAAACAGGUGGACGGUUGUAAAUUUCCCUAAUAUUAAAUACUAAAUUGACUUAAAAUAUUGUAAUUUCUAAUAUAUUUUAUCCUAUAAGCUUCGUACAUCAUUCUCCUCCUCUUAAAAAAAAAACUCAUCUUCGAGUUUUGCUAAAAACAAAAGAGUACUAUCUCGUGGAUGAAACUUAAAAUAGAGUAGUAAUGUAUCUCGAAGCUCGAACUCAUAGCCUUUCAUACCAAUCUUCCUUGAAACUCGAAAUGUUUUAUACUUUAUCUUCUUCUUGAUUUUAUUAGUCACCCUAUAAAAUGGUAAAGUCAUGUAUGAACAAAUAACUUCUAAAUCAUAUCAACUUUAUCUUGGUCUUCAAGAAUAACUUUCUUAUCUCCACUAUGAAUAGGCAAAAUCAUAUCAAUUAUCUUUGGGUCUUCUUGAAUAAUUAGUUUGCCUUGAACUUUAAAUUCAAUUAUCUCUAGGUCUUUAAGAACAAUAUGCUUGGCUUCACGAAUAAUUGGUAAAACCAUAUCAACUUUGUCAUCUUAAAAAACAAUUGGUGUCUCUUCACCUUGAGCUUCUUGCGCAAUUUUAACUAUAUCGUUAGAUAUAAAAUUCAAAUCAAGAACUAAUUGUACCUCUUUAUUGAAAACUUCAAGUGCAUUUGAAAUAUCUUCAAAAGAAGCUUUAGUGAUAUUCUUUUCUUCCAAUGAUGAAACUAACAAAGAUUACUCUUCUAUAUUAAUAUCUUUAACUUCAUAAUCUAGGGUAAACUCUUUGUUUUCACUUACUGCAGUGGCUAAAUCUUGAACAAUCAAUAUAUCUUUAGUAACUUUAGAGCCUUCAAGUACAAUAUCUUUUUCCAUUGGGAAGUUUUGAUCUUUAUUGGCAUAAGAAAGUUGUUUUUCGAUAUUAGAAUCAUUCAGUGAAGAGAAGUCCUUGAUACAAUCUUACUUCGAUAACAAACUCACAUACUGUAGUUUUGGAAAAAUGAAUAUAUUAAACUCUUGAUCUUUUCUUCUUUGGCUCUCACAAUGCUCUUGUACCCGUUCAAAUCUCUUCAAUGCUUACUUUUUCUCUCUCUUGAUUUGCAAUUCAACUUCUAAAGCAAUGUUAACGAUAUCCCAAAAUUCAUAAGUCGCAACAAUUUGUAACAAAACUCGUUGCUUAAUAUCAGCACGUCAUCCUAUCACGAAUCUGGAAAUUGUAUCUUCAUCGUCUUUAGAAAGAUUCACAUGACAACGAUAAUUUCGAAGUUGAGAUUCACAAAAUUGAAUGGAAUUUAUACCUUGUUGACACUUAUCAAAUUUACGAUGGAUCAUUUGAAAAUAUUCAAGAGGAAUAAAAUAAGCUUUUAUCUUCAUUGUCAUGCUAUGCCAAGUUCGAAUAUGAUCUCUUCCAUGUUGAAUUCGUGCUGGUUGUAAGUUUGUCCACUAUUGUGAUAUAUGUUCCAUCAAUUUUGAGGACAUGUACUCAACAUGUUUAUCCUAUCUUUAAGAGCAUCUUUAAUUUUUUUAUCUUGGAAGAGGAUGGAAAGCUUGCAGCAGAAGUGCACAUUUGUGUACUAGCCUGACCACAAUGAAAGUCACGUAAAAGCAUAAAAGGCUGUUGAAGACGAUUGCUACGACGAAGAUCAGGGGCAGGUGAAUUUGAGUUUGAUGAAGAAGAUGUGGGUGAUAAAUGUGGUGGAGGAGAAAUGGAUAUAUUGGGAGAGGAAGGGUCGAUGCCAAGUGUAGAAGAUUGUAGAUUUUGUGUAGGUUCUGUAGAGGAAUUGUUAGGUGGUGUAAGUGAAGAUGAGGUGAGAUUUGGAUCAAAGUUAGAUAAAGACGUGUGAGAAGUAUUCAAUUGAGUAUUGAGAUCGGAAGUGGAAAAAGGAAAAGUGCUCUCAUGAAAAAUUAUGUCACGACUUGAGAAGCUUUUUUAUUAGAUGGAUAACCUACAAAAAUACACUUACGAGCACGUGGUGGGAAUUUAGUUAAAGGUUGAAUAUUGGUGGCAUAACAAAGAUAACCAAAAACUCGUAAAUGUGUGUAAGUGGGUGGUUUGUUAUAUAAUAUUUCAUAUGCCGAUUUAUAGUGUAACACUGGGGUAAGGAGUCGAUUGAUGAGAUAGGUGGCAGUAAGUAAGCUUUCCCCCCAAAAUUACAAUCGUAGAUGGGCUUGAAAUCGUAAAGCUCUACUUACAUUGAGAAGAUGAUGAUGUUUGUGUUCCACCACACCAUUUUGUUAUGGUGUAUAAAGAUAAGAGGUUUAAAGCAAGAUGCCAGGGCUAGAAAAAAAGGUUUCAUUGGGGUGAACUCUGAGCCAUUAUCAGCUCGUACACAUUUAAUUUGACAAUCAAAUUGAGUGUUAACAAACGUAAUAAAGGAUUUUAGUCAACCUUGAGUUUCAUAUUUGAAUUUCAUAAGAAAAAUCCAAGUAAAUCGACUAUAAUCGUCAACAAUUGUCAAAAAUUAAUGUGCACUUGUGUGAGUUGCAAUUUGAUGAGGACCCAAAAUAUCACAAUGAAUAAGAUCAAAAGAAUGCAUGCUUUCAAUUGAACUGGAAGAAAAAGAUAAUCUAGUUUGCUUUGCCAAAGGACAAAUUUCACAUGAAUGUUGAGAAUCAAACGUAAAAUAAGGAAAUUUUUGUCACAAAAGUUGAGAUGGUGCUUUAGAGGGGUGUCUCAAUCGUUGAUGCCAAGUGAUGGCAGAUGGAGAGGAGACUUGAUAAGAUUUUGGUAGUGAAGAUAACAACUCAGAACGUGGCUCAAGAUAGUACAAUCCUUUAUACUGCUUCCCCAGGCCAAUCAUCCUCUUUGUAGCUAGGUCCUGCAAUGCACAAAAGGUAGGGAAAAAGUGAAUGGAACAAUUUAAAGCUGAUGUGAGUUGACUAACAGGGAGAAGAUUCACAUGAAAAGAAGGUACACAUAGAACAUCUUUAACAUAUAAGUUGUUUGACUGAUGAGCUGACCCAAUACUUGUAAUUUUAGCAUGAGAGCCAUUUGGUAACACCACUAUCAAUGAUUCAAUUCAUUGAAUUAAAAUUUUGCAAGGUGGAUGACGAACAAAAAGGAGUAUAGAUACUUGUAUAAUUUGCACGAGGAUAAUUUUUACUGUUUCGGAAGAAGACUUUAAUUUGUGACAAUUCUUCGGGAGUAAAUUGAUGUGAUAAAUCAGAUGUUUGAACUGUCUUUAUAGGAGUUUGAGAGGAUUUAGUUCCUAUUUGAUUUACAGUAAAUUUAUGGGUUCGAUUUGGUGGUUGAACAUCCUUUCUAUGAAACUUGCGUCCAACAGGAAAACCAAUCAAAUAGUAACAUUUGUCUACUAUAUGAGGGGUGCCAUCACAAUAAGUGCACAAGAGCGGUUUCUUAGAAGAAUGAGAAUUGGACUAGUGUUGGAAAUCAGAUCCUUGUUGUUUAAAAUUUGACUGAGUUUUGACAUUCAUGGCAUGAUUUUGAUCUAUUCCCUUGUGUUCAACUAGCCCUUGUUGCUUUUCUUCUUCACAGAGAAGAGAAUAUGCUUUCUUGACUAUUGGUAAAGGCUGCAUCAACAUGAUUUGCCCUCUGAUAGCUGAAUAUUUUUCAUUCAAGCCCAUAAGAAAUUGUCUGAGCCUCAUUUUUUUCAUCUCUAUCAUUUAGAUGUUUUAUUCCUCCACAAUUACAAGGAAUGGGUGGGGUACACAUUUUCAAUUCAUCCCACAAGGUCUUUAUUUUGGUGUAAUAAGUAAAAAUGGAAUCUUGGUUUUGUUUCAAUUUAAUGAUGAGAUGUUGAACUUGAUAAUGAUGAGAAAAAUCACCUUGUGAGAAGCGUUCUUGUAGAUCCGCCGAGAUUUCUAAAGGCGUUUCCACGUAGAGAACACUGUUGGCAAGGUCUGGACUUAACGAGUUGAAGAUCCAAGAGAGAACCAUAUCAUUACAAAGUUGCCAUAUUUGAUAUGUAGCAUCGGUUUCAUUUGGUGUCGAUAAGGUUCCUUUGAUGAACCCUAAUUUGUUUUUGGCAUGUUUUUGGCAUUAAGACUUACCAACAUUGAUCGCCUCCAAAUAGCAUAAUUGGUUCCAUCAAGAACCUUUGGAAUAAGCAUCAUCCCUGGAGGGUCAGAGGCAUGAAUGAAGAGUGGAUUAGAUGGAUCUAUGGAUGGAAGAGACAUGACUUGAUCAAUAGGCGAUUGAGUUCCUUGACCAAUAAUAGAAUUUGUAGUGGAAAUAGUUUGGAUGACAAUAGUAGAAUCAGUAUAGAAAAGAGUUGCGGAAGCUUUGUUUUAGAGGUGUUAAGGUCAACGCUCUGAUACCAUGAAAAACUUAAGAAGAUUCCUUGUUUUCAUACAUUAUAGGAAGAUAUUACAUGAAUAUAUAACAGAGCUAAUAAGCUACAUAAGCAAAUGAAUAAAUCUAAUAUCUAAUUCCUAUAUCAAAGGGAUCAAAUAAAAUAAAUACAAUAAGUCAAGAGAAUCUCUUGACAAAAAUCAAUUACAUAAAUUAAGGGAAAUCAAUCUUAACAGUAAAGAGAAAACAAAAUAGACAAAUCCAUGAGAUCAAGAAAAAAAAUAACAAGUAAAUCAAACAGCCACUGAGUUAUAUGAACUAACCUUCCUUCAAAUUACGAGCCAACAAUCAUCUGUAUUAUUGUGCCUUGCCACCUCUUGAAAAUCAUGAACUUUGGCCACUCUUUUCUAUCUAUGGAGCUGGUGCUCACACUGAACAAAUUUAAUUGAGAAAAAAAAAGUUAACACACGAAUUUGCUUUCAAAUAAGUAAUUACUAAAGCACAAAAUCUUUACCAAAAUAAAAAAUUCUCAUUCCUAACAGUUGUGCAAAUUUUAUUGAACUCGCAAGUGCACGAAUCUAUUGUAGAAUAGAUCAAUGGUGACGAGUGUCGAUCCCACGAGGAGGUGGAUUUUAAUUAUAUAUAGAAUUAAUUUUCUAUGAGGGUGGUUGGAUUUGUGGUGAAAGUGAUUUAGACUAUCUUAGAAUUUAAAUUGGAAUGGCGGAAUUAAAUUAAAGUGGAAACUAUUAUAAUUGAAGUGCUUGGGUAUCUGAAUCCGCAUCAACAUGCACCAUGGGCUAAAUAUUCCUUAUUAAUGUCAAUUAAAUCAUGAGGGGGAUUUCCACACCUCAUGAACCACACUCUAAUCAAUAUGGUGCUAAGGGCUCAUCGUGCCAAAUAAUAAUAACCUUGUACUAGGGAGCCAGUGAAAUCAGAGCGGUAUCUAGACAAAAUUAUUAUUAUUUAUUAACGAAAAGUCAAAACAAUCACAAUAAUUAGAGGGGAAGAGAAAGUAAAUUUACCAAAUAAAGCCCAUGGCAUAUGUUGAGACUUCAUCUUCAACUCAAGCUUGAAAGAAAAUUAGCUACUCAUAAUUGAACUAGGGGCAAAAUGAAAAUUUAUUAAAAUACAUAGAAAAUACAAGAUGGAGAAGGAAUUACAGAAAAUUGAACUCAAAAAAUGAAUUCAAGGAUGCCAAAUUAGGGGGGAGAGCCCCCCUUUUUACAGAUACACUGAGUAAAUCAUGGCCAUCGGAUUAAAAAUAUUUUGGACGCUCAGGAUUGCGCAACGUCAUCAGUCAACAGUAUGUGGUUUGAACAGCAACAUGGUUGGACCACGCGGUUUGAACAAUCAGGCGACUUGAAUAGUUACGCGGUUUGGUUGUAAAUAAUCCCUUGCAUAUGCAUGUACCGUACGCGCGAUUUUUGGUCCACUGACAUGCUGCCACAUCACCGAUCAACAGUGCAUAAGAAUUUUAGUCCAAUAGGAUCAUGACACCUCAUCGGUCAAUAUUACAUCAUCGGUCAAUGCCAUGUCAUCGUUCUGUAUAUGUGAACAGUGUCGUGAACAGUAACAUAGACAGUACCGUACAUGUGAAUAGUACCAUACAUGUGAACAAUGUCAUUUUUUCUUUUAUGCUCCUCCUAAGGUUUUCGAUUGUCCUGAGUUCAAAAGUGAUGUCCGUUUUACUGUCUGAUCUUUCAUUUAUUGUGAAAUGACCAUGAUGCCCCUAAAAUACAUAAAAUAUUUAAUUAAAAUAAAACACACAUAAUUAAAUCACAAGAAGCUUAAAUAAAUAAAAGUAAGGAUGUUCGUAAGACUUGAAAUGUAAAAUGACGAUUUUCGCCUUUAUAAAUAUACACUUUCUAACACUCAACACUAACCCAUCCUUCACUAGAUUCUGAUAAAAAAAACUCAAAAUUCUGAUUAACAAUCCAUAUUUGACCAAAGAUCAACUUUUGGUUCCACCGUGGAAUUGCAAUUUCCCAUUAACAAUCUCUAAAAAGGAUCAUAUAUUUGAUUUUAUCAAUUAAUCAACAACCAAUUUAAAAGAAAAUUCCCAAAAAUUAAUCAAGAAAACCCUAGAUACAAACCAAGAUCCCUAAUCACAAAUUAAAAUGAAAUAAUUGAUUAUUAAGAAAAGAGAAAGACGCCAACUAACCACAUGAGAUUAAAGAGAGCGGCCUAAUUGACUUUGACGAAAUUAUUAUCCCAAGCCUUGAGAUAAUCAUCGAUGCCAGUAGUGGCGAUAUCGUCGGACUUAGAUGCCUUGUCAUGCUUAUUAGAAUACUCGAUGGCCUUAGAGACGGCCUUACUUGUGACAUUGGGAAAAAGGAUAUCGUCAUCGGAACAAUCGUCCUCAAACAUGUGCUUGACAAUGGUUAAUUAGGGUUUAAUUCCAAAAUUUUGAAAGGAAGUGAAAGAGACAAAAAAUAAUGGGGGACAAAAUAAAAAUGAGGAUAUUGCAGGCUUAAUAGGAACGAGAGUGAUAGCUGAACAAGAAGAAUAAAUCAAGCAUGAUGGCAACGGCAAUGUGUGAAUGGUAGAAGAAUGGCAAGAAUGAGGGGUUUAGACAAAGUGUAUGUUAACGGCAAGAAUGAAAGAACUAGCAUUUAGGGAUUUUGAUUUCUAAGUGUGUGUGUGUUUAGUACUUAGAAAAAGAAAAAGGAAUGUUAAAACUUAAAAGUAACCAAAACAGAACAUUUUGCUAGCAUUUUCUUUUCUUUUUUUUCAAUUAUUAAAACGUAACUUUUGUUUUUUUUAAAUAAUAGAUUAAAAUUUGGGUCAAACAUGGUCAAAAUAACUUUUUUAUCACAAUUUUUUGACAGAUCAAAUUUCUAUCACGAUUCUAUCAUAAGUUUGUGAUAUACAAUAAUUUUAUCACAACACCAUCAUAAAUUCGUGGUAGAAAAUAUUUCUAUCACAAAACUAUCAUUGAUCUAUGAUAGAUUGAAAAUUCUAUCACGAGUCCGUCGUAUUAUUAUGAUAAAGGUCAUUUUGCCUAGAAUCCAUUAUAAACUAUAUGUCAUCUAUUGUCUAUUUUCUGGUAGUGAAUGACUGUCAUGUGUUACACUUUUUUGUUAAAUUUUUAUGAUGGUUUUAAUUCAUAACCAUCAUUAAAUAUUCUUUUUAAUGAUGGUUGUCCAAUGAAAUCAUCAUGUUAUAGUAUAUCACUACUAGAAAAAUGGGCUUUACUGACACCAAUUUAGUGUCAGUAAUUACUUUUGCUGACACUUGUUAAUUGUGUCAGUAAUGCUCAAGCCAGAACACACUGACACUAAUCUUUGGUGUCAGUGAUUUUUGCGUCAGUAUUUUAUGUCACUAUAGUAUCACCACCAUAGUGAUACUAUGAUGUUAGUAUCAGUUGAUACUAUUUUUAUGUCAGUAUUUUGUGUCACUAGAGAGUCACAAGGAUAGUGACUCAAUCGCGUUAGCAUUUAAUGAUACUAUUUACAUGUCACUGAUUUACGUGACUACAGUAUCAGGAAUCCACUGACUCAGUAACAUCAAAAAUUCUUAUCGUCAUUUAAAUAAUUAGUGUCAGUAUUAACGGUGCUAUACUGGUUGUGUUUUAUUUUUUUUAAUGACAUUAUUCAUGUUUAUUUUACAAUUAAAAUAAACCCAAAAUAUAUUAAACAUACCAAAUCUUGUAAUGCAAUUCACAUAAUACACAUUUCAAAUACAUCAGUUAAAUUAAAAUAGUUCAAAUACAUCAUUGUUUGGGGGUAAAAAACAUGUUCAAGUACAAAAUUAAGCUUUGAACAAGUAGUAUACAUGAUAAAGUACUAAAUUAAUUUCGGAAAAUUUAGCCAAGAAGAAAAAACAGAUAACAAUGUCACUGAUUUUGGAGUCACUGAUUUUGGAGUCCGCAUAUGCCUUCAUUUUUUUUCCACCUACAAGUAUAUAAAAUCAAUUAGCACACCACAAAAAAUAAAUCACAGAUUUGUUUUAAGGAAAAAUAAUCAUAAAUUACUUGUAUGUUACCUCGCGAUUGUAGGCUGUAAUUAACUUGGCAACGUAUGUAGCCCACUGAUCACGAAGUCGCGAGAGGUCCUUGACAGUGUAUUCCUCAACUCCCUUGAACUUUAAUUUUAAAACAACAAGUUAUUCACAGAAAAUCCUUGACUAAACUACUUAAUUAUCAUUCAUUUAAAUACAUUUGUGUGUUAACAAUUAAAGCCAACAAAUAAACUCCAACAAUGUUACUGUUUUAUCCAAAAUUAUAUAGGUAAAUACUGAACAUCCUGAUCAUGGUAAUUCCAAAAAAAAAAACAACUUGUGAACCCCAACAACAACAAUAUUUGAUAGCCGAAGCAACUUGUGAACCCCAACAGUACGCGAUUUAAUACAAAUAUGGAUGUAGAUACAAAACCUUAAUUAGGAUGACAACUUAUCCUCAUCAAAGUAAAGUACAAGCAACGACACCAUAGCACAUCCCCACUAACAACUACUUUGCAACCCAAACAAUUGUUUUGUGUUGGGAUAUGCAGUACAUUGUGUAUAUCCCAAAUCCUAAUUCAUGUCUAUAUGGAUAUUCAUAUAAUCUAUUCAACAGUAUGCAACAUAGUCACCAUUAUAAGUACCCUCACAGUUUAUAAAAUGCAUACAAUACGCAAUAAAAAGAUAACUGUAAAGAAGCACACAGGUGUUUGAGCUGAUUCAUUUCACAAUAAAUUAAAACAAUAUGAUACAGUAUUGUAAAAAUCAUUUUCAAUACUUAUAUUAUUUUUCAGAACGUUCACAUUUGUGAUGAUAUCUUGCAUGUAUUUCAUCACAUAGUAACCACAUUCAAAGCUGCUCGGCUGCCUCGGACACUACAAGAUCAAAAUUACAUUAAUUUUUUACUGUACGUUAACAAUAAUUAGUUAGGUUUGUCUGAUUUUUACCUUGACAGGUAUCCAUUGAACAUUGGCCUUUGUAUCAGAAUUUAAACUCUGAUGUAUUCGAAUCCCCCUACAAUUAAGAGACAUAGCUAACGUUAGCAAAUAAUUAGCAUAAGACAUAAAAAUAAAAUAGCAUGAUCAAAGAUACAAAUAACAAACUUAACUGAUUGACAAUCUGCAUUAGCUCUUCAUCAGGACUACCUUCCAAAGGAUCAAGGUAAUAGGUUGUACGUCUCACCAUAUCAAUUGCCAAUAACACCCAGUGGGCACUAAACAAAGUAAAAAUUGUUCUCACACAUGAAUUACAAGUAAAAGUGAUUAAUCUACAAAUUAAAGAAUAUUACUAGCAAAUGAAAAAGGUUAUACCCAGGGUUAUACGGGAAUACGAUGACUUGUCCCAAUUCUGCCAAGCCUAACAGUUUUGAAAUGUAUUGAGUCCUGUCUUUGAAACUGACCCUUGGAUAUAGCUUCUCAAAAAGCCCAAACUGAACUGGUUUAGUACUUCCAUUGCUCUCCAUCUCCUCAUACAGGUGUCUAAGAGGAAACAAAUAUAUAUAACGAAGUAAGUUUGAAUAUAGGAAACAAAAUAAUAGGGCCAAGUUUACUAAAACAUAAGUUAUGAUUUACCGUACUUGAUCCAUAUGUUAAUGAUGCAGUUUGAGACCUCUUUAAACUCGAUGAUUUCAGCACAAAUCAUUUUGUCCAAGUGUGUUUCCCAAAUUUCACCAAAGGUUGCUGUGUCAUGCCGAAUCCUGAUCAACCGAGGUAAAGAAUUCUCGAUGAACAUGGUAAACAUGUUCAUAUAUUCACUCAUGUCAUUCUUUCUUGAUCGUGCUGCUGCCCGUGUAUUCUUCACACGUACAUUAAGGUCUUUUGCUGCUGGUCUGAUGACUCGGGGUUCUUUUUUGGCUAUUUCUGCUGGUCUGAUGACUCUGGGUUCUUUUUUGGCUACUUCUGCUGGUAUGAUGACUCUGGGUUCUUUUUUGGCUACUUCUGCUGGUCUGAUGACUGGUGGUUCUUUGUUGGGUACUUUGUCAUGACAGGAGAACUGCCUAUCUAGUACUUUAGGAGUUAGUCGAGGAGACCUUCUCGGUGUGGGCUUUAAAGUAAUUUCACAGUCUACUUUUUCGGGGGUUUGUUGAGGAGUUGCUUGGGAAAUUGUGGUGGGACUGUCCUUGAUUUUACUCUUCACAGAUUUUGGAGUCGACUUACCCGAUGGGAAAUCAGCCUUUGCAAUAAUCAAAAUACAUACCAUUAGUAGUAAUACAUGCAUAUACAAAUGGAAAUAAAAUAAUGACAUGUAACAGGCCAUAUACCUUUCUUUUUCCAAGAGUUUCAGGGGAUUGUUGAUCAUUGUCAAUCUGAACACCAGUGGAAGUUUUGGGCUUAGGAAAGUUAGAACUUCCAACUUCAGUAUUGCUGUACGCAUUUAACUUUGCAUUCAUGCAUUCUAAUUGAGCAGACAUGAAUUGGAAACUCUCUUGAUACAUCUUUCUUUCUCUUGCUAACUCAGUGGCAUCAGGGACAUGAAAGUACAUAGAUGGGGUGACGAAUUGCCCCACUCCUUGCACCCUACUUCCAUUUGGCUGCUUCUGAAGAGCUUCACCUAGAAUGUCAUGUGACCCUUGUGAUUGGAAUGUUCCUUGUUCAACAUGACUCUUCAGCUCAUUCUACAAAAAAAUAUAUUGUAAAUCCGCAAUUACGAGUACAAGACAUCAGCUAAACUAAACUAAUAUCCUUCUUGAAUCUUUAACAAAGAGCAAAUCCAUAUACAGUUCAAAUUGAAACUACAGAAAAUAUUACAAGACAACACCUCAAACAAGUUUUAACCUUUUAAUAUGCGAAGAAAUAAGUUCUGAUGAAAUCUUACUGAGUUUCUGUCAAUUGUAAAUGUUGCCAUACAAUUAUUACAAAAAGCAGUAUAUAUGUACGUUAAUAUCUACCCCCACACACACAUAUUAUAAAGAAAAUUCAUAAGAAUUAAGUAUACAAGUGACUUACUAUUUUCUCAGCAAUUGGCGUCACAUCAGAAUCAUAUUUGCCAUCUCGGUCUGCUCGUGCCAUUAACCAAGCUUCACUGCGAUCAAUCUCCCGCUCAGAAACUCCACUCUCCUUUUUCUGUUACAAGGUGACAUAAAACAUAAAUAAUUGAUUCUAUUAUAUUAUACGCAUUAGAUUACUUAUGUUACUGUAAUUACUCCAUAUUACCACACUUACUUUUCUAUACAACAUGCCACCAUAUCCUGUGCUACCCAAGCGAUGGUUGUAGACAUUCUUUGCUCUUUUGUCUUUUGCCUUCUUACUUUUUUCCUGCACAAACAGUUUAUAUGAAGAACAAAACGUUACCACUGAUUAUUAGUAACUACCAACAAUUAAACUUUGUCAACAAAAAGUUUCCAAUCUUCUUUUUUAAUGCUUGGAUAUUCAAUAGGAGGCAACCUUAGUGACUUUCGAUCGUCCUUGUUAGGUAGAACGAAUUCAGUUGCCAGUUCACAACGAAAGUUUCUUGAUGCAACCCCCAUCCACUUUAAUACUUGGCUUUUGCAUUUCAAGCUCAAUUUGAAUUUUUUCUGUCAACCAAUAACAUGGAUUAGCAACAACUUUAAAAAAAUCUGGAUGUUAUAUAAAAUCUUUAAACAUACUAUGAAACAAGAAAACAAAACCUGAAAAUGAACCCACAAAGUUUCCUUUAUCUCCAGUGGCACACGCCUCCAAUCAUCAAGUAAAAUUGAAAUUGUUUCACGUACAAUGACUCCAAUGUAACUCCUAAGAUCAUUUCUUCCCUUUCCAACCGGAACACCAUAAGAAUUGUACUCAAUUGCAGCUUCAUGACUAACUUCUUGUUUUUGCAAACCUUUUUUUUUGUUUGUUUUCUUCUCCUUGGUCUUCCGUCGAGCUCCGGAAGAGUGAACUCAACAUCGUCAGCCAUCUCCUACAGUCCUGAAAAUGAUUAAAAUAAAUAAGUAUAUCAUUUAGAUUAAUAAGUUAAUACAAGAGCAAUAGCAUAUAAUGAAAUAAAUAAAUCACUUACUGGAAAACUUUGAAAAUUGGUGCUGGAAACUAACUACAAUAAUGCAUUCACUGAUUUUCUAAAUCAAUAUCUAUUGGAAUAGCAUCACAAUCUUUUCUAUCAUAAAUUCCUUCAUCAUCUUUCUCAUCCAACUCACAUACUGGAAGUUUGUUAGAUAAUGGAGAAAAUACAUCCACGUCUUCACAUCUUUCCCCAUUUAACUUAUAAGCUUUGUCGGUCACUGAACAAACUAUUGAUUUAUUAUUCUCUAGCUGGUCCUUUACAUAAAAUACUUGCUUUGCAUGACAAGCCAGAAUAAAGCAAUCAGAUUUAUAGCCAAUCCGAUUUAAAUCAACUACAGUGAAACCUAAAUUGUCAGUGCAAACCCCUCUAUCAUCUACCCAAUCACACUUGAAAAGUGUUUUUUUAACCAUUAGAUAAUCAAGCUGCCAAAUCUCAUCAAUGACUCCAUAAAACGUCAUGUCUCCAAAAUGAGGACUUUUAUCUUUUGAGCUUGAAAUCUGUAGAGUGUUAGCAACAACCCUAACACCACUAUUUUGGGUCAUACGAUUACAGUCCCGGUCCCUCGUUGUAAAAUUGAAGCCAUUUAUCUCGUAGCCAGAGAAGGUCACCACGCUUGAGCGUGGUUUGUUUGCUAACCAGCACACUAUUUCGUCAAUCGGCACAUUAUUUGCUUUAUCAUGUGCCACCUAUAAAUUAAUUUAACAAGUACAGUAAUUAGUAACAUGUAGAAAAAUCUUGUUAAGUUUAUAUCCUAUAUUGUAUUUAGUUAAGUAAUUCUAACCUUUGCUUGUAACCAACCAGAAAAUGUUCGUAUGUGUUCAUUUUGCAACCACGGAUUUGUUUUUGCCUUAUAAGGGUUUCUUGAUGCCAAAUAAUGCAUAUGCUCCCUACCUAGAUGCUCCACAAUUUGGGCAUUCAGCAAGAUCAGCAAAUUCAUUCCUAUACAAAAUGCAGUCAUUUGGACAUGCAUGUAUUUUUUCAUACUCUAAGCCUAGCACUUUCAUUGUUUUCUUAACCUCGUACAUUGACAUAGGUAGAGUAUUAUUAUUUGGCAAAAUAUCAGCAAGGACUUCUAACAAAGCAGAAAACCCUUUAUCGGACCACCCAUAGUUCCCUUUCACAUUGUAAAGUCUCAUUAAACUAGAUAACUUUGAAUGUUUUGCACCCGGGUACAAAGGCUUUUCAGCAUCUUCAAGCAUAUCCUUAAAAGAACUAGGAUCUCUAUCACAAUGCUCGUAAGCAUCUUCGACCAUGUCAAUUAUAUUACUGUAAUCAUGACAUCUAAAUCUUUGACUAUGUGAAUGGUCUUCACAAUUUGUAAAUGUAGAUUUAGAGUCAGUCUCACCAUGCCAAGUCCAAACAAUAUAUCUUGGGAGAAAACCUUUUUCAAAUAAAUGAUCCUUCACUUGUUGAGGAGUAUGAAACUCCAUAUUACAACAAAAGGUGCAAGGACAUCUAAUUGACAUUCGAUUUUCAGCAUUCAAAAUGGCAAAAUCUAAGAAAUCAGCAACUCCAGAACGAUACUCUACAGACAAUCUAUCACAAGUUAUCCAACUUCUGUCCAUUUCAAAUAUUUUACCUGUUCACAUAUGUAAUGUUAGUUUAAGUUUAAUUAAAUUGCAUGAUUAAUUUAAAGUUCAAUGUUAUUAUGAUUAUAGUUGUAAUAAUAAACUUAUAAUUCUGGAAAAUCAUUAAUAGCCCUAUAAAUCAUUAAUUAUAAUAAUAAUUUAGACAAAAUCCUGAAAUUGAAACAAAAUAAGUUUUGAAACUUAAAUAGGAGAUUAAUAGGUAAGAUGGGUGCUAAUGGCUUUUUAAGUAGUCGAACUAAUUCAUAAGUCAAGUAACUAACAAAAGUUAAGAGUUCAAAUAAAUAAUGUCUUCAUACCACUUUGCAAGCCAUUUUUUAAGAUUCUAUAAAUCAUUUUUUAACUUCAAAUACAACAUGCAGAACUACUUUAAAACAAGCAUUUCUUUAUUGAAUCAAACACAAAUCAUCAACUUUAUACAAUCUCAAAAUACUCACAACCACGAACUUAAUUAAUUCAUAUCAUAGUCAUUGUCUCUAUUACAAAUCGUCCAACCAAAACAGAAUAAAUAAACAAGUAGGAUUAUAUAACAAAAUUUGCCUCUCUUUACAUGAAACAGAGAUGUAAAUAGUUUGUAACCACUAAAUACACAGUCAUUCAGCCAAUAUAACACCCAAACAAUCAUCUCCUAAUCACAAAGGCAAAAGCUAAAAUCAAAUUUCAUAUUUUAGUACAUUCAAAAUCAACUAACUUAUUGCUCAAAGUUAAGAAACGGAGCUAACAGUUUAUUUCAGAAACUAAAAAAAAUGCACAUUCUUAGUUUUAAAUAACAAUGACAGUAAAUCACAUGCACAAAAGUUUGAAACUGACCUCAAAUGUGGCAGAAAAAACAGAGUCGCAGCAGCAAGUGUUUUGAGUUUAAGUAAUGCACCACUUAAAAUGCCUGUAUUUUUGGACUGCAUGUGAGUGAAGAUAUAGAAAAUAAGAACAAAAAUUUCAAGUUACGAAUAAAUAAAUAAAUAAAAAAUUUGGAAAACAAAACCCACCAGGGUUGCACGACUGUUCAAUUUCUAAAUAUCUGAAACAACCCAAAAAUAAAAAUUCAAAAAUAUUAUUCAUAAGCCAAAUUAAAACAAACCCAAUAAUUAAAUUGCACAAAAAAAUAAAACAUUCCGCCAUUACCAGCUGAUAACCUCCUCUAUAGUUCUUUCUCUGGACUUAACUUGUCAGGGAGAAUGAGAUUACCUGAAUACCGAACCGAUGGUGCCACUUCACCCCUUGUCGAUGGCUUUUACUUGCUUGCCUAGUAUAGGCACUGGAUGGUUAAGUUGGAGAAAAACCCCUUCGAUAACAAGCGAUUAGGGUUUUGGUUUGUGUUUCAAUUUGGGGAAAAUGGAAAAACGAAUCAGAGUUUUAGGUUUUCAUUAUCUAUCUAAAUUAAUUGAAUUUAAUUUGUAAAUGGAUAGUGCAAAACAGAAGAGAUCGAGAAGAGAAAAACGAAAGCGAAAGUGAACGAUGAAAGCAAGAUAGAGACAGUCGAUAUAGUCUAGAUGGGGAGAACAAGUGUGUUUUAUGUUAUUGUUAUUUAUAUUUUCAUUUUUUAAUAAUUUAAAUAUUAUUAUGACUUUGACUCAUCGAGAUUUGAUGGUCUGUGCUCCAAACAUUAAAGCUUUAAAUCUUAGAGCUCCCAGGUUCGAGUUGGAGCUAAAACAAAAUUUUUAUGAAUUUUUUUUAUCAUUGAUACUUUAGUGUUAGUGAUUUUUGAUGUUUAGUUUACUGACACCCUAGUAUCAUUAAUCUCUGAUUCCUAUUUGUCAAAAGCGGAAAAUGGUGCAUAUGUACAUAAGUACUGACACUUUUUGCAAAGUGUCAGUAACGAAGUGUCAGUAAAGCCCAUUUUUCUAGUAGUGUAUUUUGCUACUUUUUAUGACGGUUUUUGUUAAUAUUCAUCAUUAAACAAACAUUUCCAAUCACGAUUUUGCAUAAAACAAUCAUCUUAUGUGAUAGUUUUAUAUUACUUGUUAUGAUGGUUUAUUAAAUAAUCAAUCAUGGUAUAGGAAUUUAAAAUGAUCAUUAAAAUAGUCUAACUGUUCAUCGUGCAACCAUUAUUCUUUCUUAAGACUUUAUGGGGUGCAUCUUCUUCAAGUAUUCAAAGUGCUCACUAAUACAAUUGUCCAAUGUGUUACCUAAUUUUAGAGAAAUUAAAUUAAAAUGGUCAUUAAAAUUAUGGACAUAUAAUGACCUUUGUAUAAAAAAAAAAGUCAUUCACAUUAAGACUAUUUUUAACUAGACAUAUGAUGACCGUUGUAUGUAAAACCAAUCAUUAAAAAUUUUUACUUUCAAUAAUGGUUUUUAAGAACCGUCACUAACAUUAAGACUAUUUUUUAACUAGACAUCUAAUUAGGGGUGUUCGCGGAUCGGAUUUUGCGGAUUAGAAAUCAAUCCAUAUUGAUCCACGAUUUUACGGAUUAUAAAUUUUUAAUUCAAUCCAAUCCAUGGAUUGAUGAAAUUCAAUUUAAAUAUAAUCCAUAUAUCUACGGAUUAGAUGCGGAUUUGACCCAAUCCAUAUCCAAUCCACCAUUUUUGCGGAUUGGUUUGCGGGCUAAAAAUUUUUAAUCAUGUCUUAUCCACGAAUUAACUAAAUAAAAAAUAAUAUAAAAAUAAUUUUACUAUCAAUCAAAUUCAAAAUUAAAUAAGAUUAAAUUAAAUUAAUUUUUUAAAUAAAGCUAGAAAAUACAUUCAAAGUUUCAAAAUAUAACACACCAAAAAGAAAAAAAAAAUAUCUCAUUUGUUUAGAUUAGUAUAUGAAAAUUAACUGAUUGGGAAGCUAUAUAUUUUUAUUUAAUUAUUUUUAUUUUAUAUUAGUAUUGGAUAAGAUAUAAUAUGAUGUUAAUGUAACUAUAUUUUAAUUUAUUUAUUUAUUAGUAAGUAUAAUGUCAUGUUUACAAGUUUAAUUUUUUAUUAAAUAAAUUUUUUUUUAUUUUUUUACGAAUUCACGGAUUUUUACGGAUUCACAGAAGUAAAUCCAUAUCCAAUCUACUGAUUGCGGAUUUUCAAAUUUUCAAUCGAAUCGAAUCCACCAAUCCACAUAUUGGAUUUUUACAGAUCGAAUUUUUGCGGAUCAGACGGAUUGAGCGGGUUAGAUUGGAUUCUGAACACCCCUACAUAUAAUGACUGAUAUGCUUAAAAACAAUGAUUAUUAUUUUUUUCUUUCAAUGAUGGUUGCAAUAAACAAAUUUGUCAUUAAAAUGAAGAGUAUAUUUUACUUGAUAUUUAAUGACUGUUCUUUUACAUAACAGUCAUCAUAAGUGUUACAUAUUGGACCAUACAUAAUAACAACUAUUAAAUAUCUUUAAUGAAGGUUGUUAAAAAGAACCGUCAUUACAUAUCGAUCAUUGUUUUACAUUUUUGUAGUAGUUAAAGUUCUAAAACAAAUACACACAUUUUUCAUUAAAAAGACAAAAUAAUAGCAUCCAUAUUCGCUCUCAUCUUUUGAAUGAAAAUAGGGUAAAUUGAUAUUUUCAAAAGAUUACGGAGAAAUUAAGAUUGUUAUCUUGAAUAGGGUGAAUGGUAUUUAUCCUAAAAUAAAAUUUUAAUUUGAAUCUAGAGAUGGCCAACAAGCUGGGCGGAAUGGCUCAUCAAAGGUAAGCUCGUGAGGGCCCAUGGGCUGGCAUAGCAUGAUCCACCAUGUCAAUGGCCCAUGCCUGUCUAAUUUUUUUUUCUUAAGUCCAGCACGGCACACUAUACAAGCCCACACAUGCCGUCCUAGACGGUAUUGUGGGCCAUGCUCAAGAAAAAGCAAGGCAAGUAUUUUUUCUUUUUCUUUUUUUUUAAAUUUUUUAAGAGUUUUUCAAGCCCAUAUACAUUUUUUAGGCUGUCUUUAGUUAAAUUCUACAUAAAUGAAAGUUCAAAACUCAAGUCAAUAUUCAAUAAUAAUAAACUAAUAAUAGUAACGGAAUGUAUUACUAACUAUUAGGUUAGAGCCUAUGGAAUUGGAAUUCAUUUUUCUUAACAACAACAACAACAACAACAAUAAUAGCAGUAGUAGUAGUAUUAGUAGCAGUAGUAAUAAAAUAAUAAUUAAUUAAUCUUUCUUAAGGGUUAAUAUUUAAUUGUUAACUUGAACUUAUAUAGAGUAAUAGAUCAUAGUUGAUAAUAACAUUAAUGCUUAUAAGUUUUAAAUUAAAAUAUAACAAUUAACUUUUGAUUUAUACUAAAACAAAUUUAUUGUUGUGUGUAAAUGGUGAAAAAUAAUUUAUUCAUAAAUGAAAUAUAUUUCAUUUGACUAAUAUAUGAUUUUAUAAAUGAAAUAUUAAAGUCGUAAAAGUUUAGAUUUAUCAUUUUUAAAAUUGUAAUAUUUAAUAUUUUAUUUGUUAAAAUCAUGAUAUUAUUGAUUAGUGUUAAAAAUUGUAUGUUUUUAAGAGAUAAAAAUGUUAUUUUGUGCUUAUAAUAUAAUUUACAUUUGUAAUUAUGUAACAUAUUAUGAAUUUCUAAUUAUUUUUCUAAAUAUUUGAUUUUGUGUAAUUUUGUGUGUUUAUUAUGUAAAAAUAAUAAUUUCACACAAUUUAAGCUUCCAAACAAAUGUACGGAUGUCAAAUUUGGAUCCCAGAAGUCCUGAAAAUUAGGUCAUUGUCAACAAGGAUCCACUACUUUUGUUGUAAAUUUAUAAUUUUUUACCAUGAUAAAUGUGGUAAUUGUGAAAUUAUAUGUUUUUACCAUAUUAGGUAUUGUAAUUAAUAGUGGAAUGUGUUGGAUGUGCUUGAGUGGAUUAAGUUAGGUUUAUAUUUUGUUAGUGGGACGAACGUAUGGUUAAGAUGUAAUUAGCUUUAUUUAUUUGUGUGGUGUUGAUUAAUCAUGUAUUAGUAUAAAUAGAGAGAGGGGGAACACACCACCACACCUUUUCUUGUCUUCUUUCCCCUCAAGUUUUUAUUUUAUUUUAUUUUAAUAAUUCCCUUUAUUUCAAUUAUGUUUAGUUAAAUACUAAUAGUUAGGGGAAGGUGAAACUCUUAGUAAAAAAAUAUGAUUUAAUCAAAUUAUAUUUUUAUAUUUUGAAAAUAUAAUAUUAUUUUCUAUUUAAUUUUAUCCAUAUUUUAUAUUUUGAAAUUUGGAUUUAUUGUAAACAAACAUGGGAGUUUGACACAAUGAAUUCUUAAUAUCUUAAUAUAAAAUAUGUAAAAUGAUAUUUUGACUUAUUGUAGACAAGUUAAGUUUUGACACAUUAAGUACUUAAUCCAUAAUAAAAUUAAUGGGAAAAUAGUUGUAAUUUAUACAAUUAAUCUUUUGGGCAAUAAAAUAAAAAUAAAAACAAUUUAUUAAAUUGUAUUUACUACCAAGAGUGGAUCCAUAACCCUAACUAAUUUAAUUUCAUAGUUUUUCUCAAAUUAAAUUACAUAUAUUUAAAUUUUAUUUUCAUUUUUUAGAUAAACUUAAAUAAAUAAAUUAAAUCAUUUUUUUAUGGAUCGACCUCGGACUCACCGAGAUAUAGUAUAAUUAGGUACUAUUAUACUUGGAAGUAAAUUAAAUACUUUUAAGCCGUGUCAAUCAUCUAUUCAUUUAAUAAAUUAUGGACAUAAAACAAUUAUAGUAUUUUUUAAAAUUAAUAUUUCAAUGAAUUUAAAAAACCUACGCUAAUAAAAUACAUUACAAGAUUCAAUUUCAAGUUAUUUGUAAAAUCAUAAAAUUUUAACUUCACUUUUCAUAAAAAAAUUUACUUUAAUAUACUUUGGCUGCGUGCUAGCCCAUUAGUGAAGUGUACUUAUUGCUGCUUUUUCACGUGUCAUUUUUAACUCAUCACUAAUUGGACUGCACUUUUAAAAUUUAGGUACCUAAAAUUCUUAGUCUAAUCCAGCUUAUAUGUGUGCCAUGUUGUGCCACAUGUUCUUUCAAAAAGUGAUGAUACAACCACAAACUCUUAUAUAAACUUAUCUUGUACAAACUGAUUUGACAUUAAUUAAUUAGUUGAAUGAAAAUAUAAAAUAAUAAAAAUAGAUCAUGUAGGUUAAGAAAUAUUUAAUUUAACAAAUUUUAUUAUGGCACAUCAAUUUGUAUAAAAUAAAUUUAUAUAAGAGUUUGUGCCUAUAUUAUUACUCUCUUUCAAAACGUGCUCCUACUAUGUCAUGUUGUACGAACACGUCCGUUGAGCAUAUGUACUUCAAUCAUUCAAAUUUCGAUAGGAAUUAACUAUUAAGGGACCCAUUCGAUAAACAAGAAGAAUAUUUUUUAUUAAUGCGAAAUGGAAACACAAAAGGGAGCCCAAUGUCAUUACCUCAGUGCUUUGCUCCCUGGGUGAAAUUAGAAUUUCAGAAAAGAUUGUCGAUGCCUGUGUAAUAUAAUAUAAUUAGAACGAAAGGAAUAUCGCGGGGUGGUGGUGCCCAGAGGACCAGUCAUUCAUGUUUCCAAUACGAUCGGGAUAUCAGAAGAAGAAGAUAAACAAGACGUCGAUUUGAGCUUCCUUUUCACUGAUUCACUAGGGCUUUUAUUCGCAGGUACAUCCUAUUACUCCUCACAGGAGAUCAUUUGCUGAAAUUUGAUUUUUUCUUUUUUUUAUCCAUCAAUUUCUUAUAAGUAAGUUAGUAAUGAAAUUUGAGCUGAGACUGAUGAAUUUAUAUCUGUAAUAUGCAAAAUUUAUCUCAGCGAAUAAAGCCGAGCUCUCCAUAUUAAAGACUUUUCGUUUUAACGUUUCCAAUUUGAUGGUUGUGAACCCUUAUCAAUACGCAUUUUUCAUAGAUUUGAUGAGAUAUUUGAAUCUGCAAUUAUAUGUCUUUCUUGUUGAAGCAGGGUUGAACCUGAUAUGAGAUGAGUGCAGGUCUUUAGUUUUAGCUAAGCUUAUUUUGCCAAAUUGUGCUUCACUCAUGCAUCUGGAUCUCUUUAGAUUUGAGCUUCAAGUUGGAUUUGAACUUCAAGAAUAUGAAUAACUCAUUGCAAUUGUCAUUUGCAAUUAGUAAUUUUCUGAAUCCAUCUUUUGUACGCCCAUUCGCCCAUCUAGUAAAAUUUAUUACAUCUUUUUUUUUAAAACAUAACCAAUUAUGAUUGUGAUGAUAAUGAGAGAGAAAUUUUAGAAUGUGGCUUGAUUUCUUAGAUGGUCCGUUCAUAUCUUGCAUUUUCUUUUGAAUUGAGGAUGUCGACUUGUUUUUACAAAGUUAAUGACAAAUAAUUUUUUUAAGAAGAUGGUUUUGAUUGUUGUUUUGAUUCAGGAAUUAGUCAAGAUGACACCGGUUUGUCCUUUUGCCAAAGCACGUCCAGAUGAUGCCUCUCCUAGAAAACCUGGUGAAAACUCGAAUAAAUACCCGGCAGAGUGUCCUUUUUCCAAAGCACGUCCAGAUGAUGCUGCUUCAAGAAAAGCAGUUGAAAACUCAGCUAAACCCCAGGCAGAGCAUGAUGGUGACAAAGCAAAGAGUGAUUCUAUAGACUCUGCCAGCAUUCCUCCAAAAUGUCCGUUUGGCUAUGAUGCUCAAUCGUUUAAGAUUGGUCCCCUGAGUUGCAUGAUUUGCCAAGCACUUCUCUUUGAAUGUAGCAAAUGCACGCCUUGUUCACAUGUAUAUUGCAAGUAAGCAAAUAAGGAUACACUUGUUUUAUUUUCUCUAUCUCCCGUUUAUCCUGAAAUGUUGAUUGGUUUUUCUUUUCAUUUUACUUCUGUGGGAUAUGUUCAUUUAUUUUGUUAAAUUGAAAUCAGAGCAUGUAUUUCACGCUUCAAAGACUGCCCAUUGUGUGGGGCUGACAUUGAGAAGAUUGAAGCAGAUACAACUCUUCAGGAUGUUGUCGAUCGCUUCAUUGAAGGUCAUGCUAGAAUCAAGCGAUCUCACACUAAUUCUGACAAAGAGGAAGAUGCAGCAGGUGAAAAUAAAAAAGUGAUAUAUGAGGAUGUUUCUAUGGAGAGAGGUGCUUUCUUGGUUCAACAAGCUAUGAGGGUGAGUUCAGCUAGUUUCUUUGCCAUUGUUUAUGGUCUAAGAAUUUGUGAGUUGGAAAUUAUGUGAGUAUUGAUGUUGUGUUAUUUGUCUUAAAUUCAUAAUUAUAUUAUUAGUCUAACACCAACGGAAGUGAUCCUUCUCUUCUCGAAACCCCUCCCACAAAAAAAAAAAACUCUCGUGAACCAUUCAUUGAUUGUAAUCGAAUGAUUUUAAAAGUUUCUGAGUUGGAAGUAUUAAAUGCCACAAAAAUUUAAGCUAUGUGGUUGUUUGUGUGUGUGUGUGAAGUGGAGUUGCAAGAUUAUCUUGGAGUCUGUCAAUUGCAACUUGCAAGUAGUUCAUACUCUCCAAUUCACCUGGUGCAAUGUGCUCCAUAAGCUGGGCUACAUCAAACACUAGAUCACUCUUUACCUGUCUAUGUAUGUCAUACACUGGAAGCGUUUCUUAAAUGCCUUUUCCAAAUAGCUUUUGUUUCUCUAGCUGAAUUGAUUUUUCAAAAUUUUAAAACUACCAGAUGAUGACCCAUUAGUUAAGAAGUCAUUUUCCUGAUUCAUUGCAUCUGCUUAGCUGAUUGCUUUUCAUGUGUAGGCUUUCCGUGCUCAGAAUGUAGAAAGUGCAAAAUCAAGACUCAGUCUCUGUACAGAAGAUAUCAGAGAUCAGAUAGAAAGAAUGGGCAAUACAUCAGAGUUGUGUUCACAGCUAGGAGCUGUUCUGGGUAUGCUUGGUGACUGCUGGUCUGUCCCCUCUCUCCCAUCACUUGCUUUGCAUUUUUUUUUUUCUUUUCUUUGGGUUCUCCCUUUUGAACUCAUUACAGUUUAUUAGUUUAGAACCAUUUUCCUUGUUAUGCUUUUGCAUUAUAAAUGUUUCUGGUGUUCGAGGGGUACCCAUUUUUGCAUAUGAGAAAUUGAUUUAUGUUGGAAUGAGCCUCAGUAACGCUUUAAGGCCAAUGAUGAUGGUGUAUUCAAAACUAGAUCUAGCUAAGAAAUUAAUAUGAUUGUUGUUACCUAGUAGCUCAAAAAUUUACCGAGUUAUGACAAAAUCCUGAUUAAACAUAAGAGAGACCUCUCAUAUAACAGCAGAAGAAUUCAAUCCAUACCAAUGUCACUCCAGCACAGUAUUCUAGAAAAAGGAUAUGCUUGAUGUACUGGGAUGGGGAUAGUCUUGAAGAAUUUCCUUGUUAGACUAAGAGUUUCAAAUUUUGAAGGAUUGAUUGUGGUAGCUAAAUUAAUGUAUCACCAUUUUCGCUGAUACUUCUCAGAGACUUUAACUAGAUCCAUCUUCUUGUUUAUGUUCCUGCAUUUCUUUGAACGCGUUAACCCAUGCUCAGACUUCAUUUCAGGCUCCCAUUAAGACAUUAAAUUUCUAUCAUGUGAACCUAGUAUUUUCCCCAUCAUAUCGACUUGAAGUGGGUUAUCCUAUCCAAAAUAUAAUAAACUAGAAUAAUCAAGAGGGGAAGAGCUGAGAUGAACUGAUGAGAGCUUUAUUUGCAAUUUUCCAAUAUGAUGCAUGAUAAAUAAGCUUUGAUUGUCAUCUUGAACUUAGAAAUUGGUGGAUCUUGAGUCUAUACAUCCAUUUUUAUAUUUUUACACUUCUUUUUGAAAAAUUAUUUCUGUCUUCAUUAUCAUGUCCAAAAUAUGAGAUUCUUACUUGUGGUAUUGUUUAUGUAAAACCUAAUCCCUUACUUUUUUAUGCAGUCGAGCUAUGGGAGAUGCUGAUGCUGCAGUGGCUUAUUUCGCAGAUAGUGUUGAAUUCCUCAUGAAAUUACCGAUGGAUGAUCUGGAGGUUAUAGCAUGACAGCCGUUUCUACUUAAUUUUGGCACUUUAUGCAUGGUUUUCACCUAAUUAUUUUUUACUUUUUUCUCUACAGAUAAUUCAUACACUUUCUGUUUCACUAAACAAAAUUGGAGAUCUGAAAUAUUAUGGUGGAGACCUGCAAGCUGCAAGAUCUUACUAUGUCCGUUCUCUAAAUGUCCGACGUGAUGCCGUCAAACGUCAUUCAAAUGUUCCAUCACAGGUAAUCCAUCUUCUCUCAGGACAUUUUUUAUUUUCUUUUAUGUUUCUUUCUACUUCAACAUUCUGCACUUCUGAUGUCGUUUCCUCGUACCAUCAUAUUAUUGCUAAAUUUUAGUCUUUUAGUUCGUUCUAUCAGUAAUCUGUUCAUCCUUUUUUUCAUUAGUCAAUGAGAGACAUAUUUUCAAUAUCAAUGUACUUAUUUGUUCUUCGUAUUCUCCUUUUUCUUCCUUUUUAUUGACUGUCAUACAUUUUUUUUCUAGUCUAUUAGGACUCUUUCCUUUCUGUCAUUUUUCUUUUUGUAUUCUACAACAAACUAUAUGAUGCAUAUUGGGGGGUGGAAUCAAGAAUUGAUAUUAUUCAGGAUUUUACAAAUUUAAGAUUAAUAUUGAUUUAAAGUCAAGGCUUUCUUAGGUGUUUAAGUCAAAAGAGGUGCUAUAUAUUCUUUAUCUGCCCAAUGUUGCAUAUGUAAUGAAAAGAAAGGGUAGUCCGUAUCCCGUUUAUUUUUGGAUUUUAAUAGCGUAUAUAGUUAUGCUUAGCAGAGGAUGUUUUGGUUUUGCCUCAAUCAAAUCAUCCUACUCCUAGCAUAGAUUCAUGAAGUUUUAGGGGGAAAGAUAUGAUUGGUAAAGUUUUGUGGAUAUGAGUGAAGUCAUUUCUAUGGUCAAUUUGAGUGAAAGCAAGAGUAAACAUUUAAAGAGCAGUAUGACAAAUUCCAAAUAUAUUAAAGGAAAAUAUUGUAUUUUACUUCUUAAUGGGCUUUGGGUUCAACUGUUUUGGAGGGAUUUCUCGCUGCUUGCAUUUUAGGGAUCAGAUGAGUGUUUCUGUAGGAUUUUCCUUCUUUCCUUGUUAUGUUGUAGGAUUUUCUUCUUUUGUUGGUUAUAAUUAUGUUAGCAUUGGGCGGCUACUGGUUCCAAUAUAUAUUUUUGUUAUUAAAAUGGUAAUGGUGAGAUGAGGUAACACCUGAAAAAAAAAAAAAAAUUGGAUUGCUGGGAAUACAGAGAUUUUAUAUUUGGUUCAGCAAACUUUUAUGGGAAAAUAAAAAAUUUUGUUGCCGGACAAACCUUUUCUGCAUUGAUGUUGCUUUUCACGUGUUGUGUAAAAUCUCAUUGAUUUGGGAUUUUCUUCAUCUCUCUUGACCAAAACAGAGAAUGAUAAAUUAAUGGGUUUCUCUUGUUCCUUGUAAAUUGAAAUGUCUUUCUGUAGAUGUUUGUUUUGUUCAUAUCAGAGUUUCACCUUUAAAAUACAUGGCAAUGUUGAAAAAUUGAUAUGAUGUUAGAUAAAUUCCAGUUGGAGAAAAAAAGUGUUGAGCUACUGAGUUUUAACUUGUUUCUGUGAUUUUAGGUUUUGGAUGUAGCUGUUUCUCUUGCAAAAGUUGCGGAUGUAGAUAGGAGUAUUGGUAAUGAGGAUGUGGCAGUUGAUGGAUUUCAGGAAGCCAUUAAGCAGCUAGAAUCUUUAACAUUGAAACCUGAAGAAGCUGGUUUGGAGCAACGGGUUAGAUUCCUAUUCCAACUUCUUGUUGUAAGUAGUUUAGAUUAUGAAAAUCUUGAUCCGACACUUUUUUGACAUACAGCGCCUUUCAGUGCUGGAAUUCCUCAACAACCAACUUUCAGAAAAAUCACCUGAAUCAACUCCCAAAGUUUAGGUCUGCUUGAAAAAUGCAAAACUAUCUGGUGAAAUAAAAUAGCCUACUGUAUAUGUAUAUACGCAAGUAAUAAAGCUCAGGCUAGCCAAGUCAGUCUCUACAUCAAGCGCUUUCGAGAAUAGCAAAAACUUGAUCCUGUCCAGAAGUGCAAGCGAUGGCUGCAGCUGGAGUCACACCACAGCUUCUUGCCUGGUGCGACUAUAAUUUGGAAGAGCAAACAAGUAUGUAGCUGCGGAUCAACAUAUUUCCUUGUUCUUUCAAGUAAUGGCGUGUAACUUUUUGUUUUCUGUGAAUAAACAUCAUGCCACUGGGAUUUUUGUAUAAUGUUGUAAUAGGCACAAAACUUAUUAAAAUUUCAUUAUGCAGUUCUAUGGAGCAACUUAAAUUAGGACGAUGUAUUGUCAUGUUAUGAAUUGGAAAAGAAUAAGCUGUCUUCUAUUGGCGAUGAAUAAAUAUUAUCAAUACGUACUACAUAGUCCUCAUUUCAAUACCGCAUGAUUCAUAAAUUGAAUUUUGGGUUGCUAGAGUCCCCAUAGGAUUAUUUCAGUUUGUUUAUUAUAUUUAGAAUAGCCUCUAGGAAAGAAUCAAUGAGAACCAAUUACUGCAUCUUUGAUGCACUUUCUAUUAUUAUUGGCACAUCUUAGGUUUGUUUACUAAUUGACUAAUUGUAAAAACCCCAAAAGUUCAGGCAUAAAGAAUUGCUUGAUUACAUUUAUGUUUUUUUCUUAAAUAAAAUUUUCUUAAAGGUCUUCUAAAUGUCAAAUUCAUCUAGCUUACUAGCCUGUAGCAAGAGGAAUAGAAAAUGUGUCAUUGAAGUUGGUUAUGGAAAAGCAAUACUCAGCUUAACAAAAAGCAAGCCCUAAAAAAAGCGCCAAGGAUAAAGAUUUGCACGAAACUAGAAGUAAAGGAGGAUUAAAUAAUGUGAAGGGGAAAGAAUAAUUAAAGCAAACAAGGAAAUGAAAUUUGCACAUGCCUAUUCACCUUGCUCUUUUGCUGAAAGAUAAAGAGAAUUGCUUGCAUCUCAAGUCAAUUAUUCAGUUUGUUCCUACUCGAAAUAAACUGGAGAGUAUCAUUUUCCUAUUUUAUUUAUUUUAUUUUCCUAAGAAUUAUAAUGUUUGAUAAUCCCAAAUGCCCAUCCCAUAAAACCGCGAUUUUCUCUUAUUAAUCUUAACUAUUUGCUAACAUUAAUAUAUUUGCUAAGAUUAAUGUCAACGACGAUCAAACAAGAUUUAUUAGAUGAAUAUACAAGUGAUGUAAUACAAGUCGUUUGUAUUAUGAAGAUAUUUCAUCAUUAGGAGGAAUCAAGAACAUGAAGGGUGGUAAUAAAGAUAUAUUCUGUCAACUUUUAAACACAAAAAAAAAAAAAAGGAGAGUAAAGAGAAAGGAGCAUACGUGAACUGGUUUUUCGAGUUGGUCAAAUAAAACAGAGUUUAAAUGAUUGUCCUUUUUACGCACGAUAACAAUAAGAAAAUUGAAAAAUGUGAACAAAUUAUGUUAAUUUUUUAUCAAUUAAACCAGCUAGGAUUAUGCAUCAAAUGUUAAUUUACAUAAUUAGAUGCUAAAUUUACACAGCUGAAAAGAAUCAAUGGGUGUUUGAGAUGGCGAUUAUCAUAUAGUAAUAUUAAUUAACUGAAAGCCAUUCCAAUCAUGCAUUGGGAUUUGCAUUAUAUUAUCUUUUCUUCAAACUAAAGUGAUUAUCAAGUAUAGAUAUUAAAAUUUUGGGCUUGUUCACUUUCUGCUUUUCUGCUCGGUUUGAUGAUUGUGAUGAAACCGACAGCACAAAAGCAUCAAAUCAAAAAUGGCCUACCAAAGGCGAACCGCCACCCCAAACCUAUUAAGAAGAUAAAGUGCUGUUUGCAAUAUUGGCCAUAAAUUAUUUUUAUUUUAAAAAUUAAUUAAUAAAAUAAUAAAACCCAUUAAAUAUUAUCUUAAAUUUCUUGUAAAAUUCAUCACGUCUAUUUUUUUGAGAAGGCUUUCACUUAAUCUCUGAACCUAAAAGUCUUAUCUUUAAUCAAUAUCGACCCUCAAGGAAAGUGAAUAAAAUGUUUUACACAAUAUUCAAAUUGCAAGUAAACAAAGAUAGUUUUAUUCCAAAACUUUUAUCUAAAUUUUUAUAAAAUAACUGCACCAAAAAAAUUGUUGAUAGUGUAGUAAUACUCAAGAAAGUGAAAAAGCUCUCACACUUCUUUAAAUUGAUGAGUGAUGACUGCUUAUAUAAGAUUAGCAAGUUCUUACAUAUGUCUACAAGCAUGUACAAUCAGCACUUCCAAAAUUCCAUGGCUUGCUUAUUGCUAUUUCCUUUUCUCUCCCUCCAUUGCCUUGUUGUCAUUGCUUCUUCUUCUUCUUCUUCUUCAUCAUCAUCAUCAAAUCAAAUUCCCAAGGUGCUUAUUAUUUUUUUUCCCUUCAUUGGUUUUGUUUUCCAAGACCAAAAGAAUAAAACUAUUAAUUAUAUUCAUUAUUCUUUUAAUGUAAUUUGUUUUUCUUGGCUUGGCAGCCUUAUGUUGUUUAUAUGGGAAGUUCAUCUAAUGUUGGAGUUGCAGAAUUGGCUCAUUUACAACUUUUAUCUUCCAUUAUUCCAAGGUUAGUAAUUACUUCUUGUUAUCAUCAAUGUUCGUUAUUAAAUAAUCAUCAACUUAGCAUUUUUUUUUCUAAUGGGGUUUAGUUAAUUUUUGCAGUGAAGAGAGUGACAGAAUAUCUCUAAUCCACCAUUAUAAACAUUCUUUCAAAGGAUUCUCUGCCAUGCUCACUGAGAAAGAAGCUUCUGUACUCUCUGGUAAGUAAUUCCUAUUACUUUACAGUAGCAAGAAGUUAAUAUGAAGAAUAUAUUAUUCUUUAGAUUAAAAAAAUUCCAAGUUUUGAUGGCUUACUUCAAACGUACUCUUAGUAUAAUUAUUUAAUAGGGAUGUUCACCAUUCUCGUAGGAAUUAGCUUUGAAUAACUAUUGGAAUUGAUAAAUGGAAAAGCAAUUUGAGAUAUGCUAUAAAUUUUAGCUCAUAACUUAUAUUAUAUGUAACUUACAGCAAGUAGUUACCCAUGAACUCCCACUUGUUGCACAUGCUACCAUUUUUUGAUUUUGGGUCUAAAAUGAUUUAAUGGGGUUGUAGAUUCAUGUUUUGGUAAAUUAAUGAUAUUCUAUGUGAAAUAAUUGUGUGGUUAAUAGAAUCAGCAAAUUAUCUCAUGUUAUUUUAUUCAACCCGGGCUAAACUAAAUUAAUAUUUCGAUAAAUAUUAUUCAUUGCGAUUAAUAUGAUUUUUUUAAGGGACUAAGAUGAACUUUAACAAUUUUAUUGAGACGAGCUUUAAUAAUUUUGCUAAGGUCAUAAAAAAUUGUGUUAAAGAACCAAUAAUAUAUAACAUUAAUUAUUUUAUUAUGGUAGCAUUUAUUUAAAAUUACCGGGUCUCAAGGAUAUUUUUCAAGAUCUUCUAGUCUGGACUCCCUCUCUUUACUUCGCCUCUUAAUAGAAUCAUGUCACGUGUCCAUUUGUGCUCCAUAAGAUAGAUGAGCUAUUUAUUAGAUUAUUUAUGAAUAUAUAUUAACACAUACGAUAAUAUGAAUAUAUUAUAACAUGAAUCAAUUCAUGGUUUGAUACAUCAGAUGGUAAAAUGAUUUGAUCUUAUUUAAUAUUUAUUACAAAAGUAUAUGGCAUAACUGGAAAAAAAUAUUUUUCCAAACAUUGUUCUUGAUUGAUUUGAAGUAAUUUGUUAAAUGGAUUGAUUUGUGAUUUGCUGAGCAGGGCAUGAGAAGAUAGUAUCAGUGUUCCCAGAUCCAAUUCUUAAACUUCACACAACACGUUCUUGGGAUUUCUUAGAAGCAGAAGCAGAAGCAAAAGCACCCACAAGCACUUGGUCCAGCCAUAAAUAUCAUAAUAUAUCAAGUGAUGUCAUUAUUGGCAUUAUAGACACAGGUAUAUUAAUUUUAAGGAAAAAAAUUGUACUUUAUAAUUAUCUCUCACUUAAAUUUUUAUUUUAUUUUGGUCCUUGAAGGCAGAACAUUACAUUUAAAGAAUUUAAAAAAAAAAUUAAAAAUAAAAAUCAUAGAAUUAGAUGGUAUUUAUUUGGUGGAUCCCAAAGUUAUUGAGCAAUAGAUACCUAACUUAACGGUUCCAUCUAUGGAAUAUGUAAAAGAGACACAAGACAAAAUUAAAUCACAUGAAUUGUAGUCCCCCAAGAGAAACGCCAUGUGCAUUAGAUAUAUAUAGAGUGAUCCCCAUAUAUCAUAUAUCGUCAAUAUCUUGUCUGUUUAUAAUUUGUGGAUCUUGUUAGCUAUCAACAAGUUCUUUUAUAUUUAUUUAUCCAUUUGUAAAAUUCAGCAAAACUUCAUUCUACAUCACAUUAAGGGAAUGCUUUUAUGCUCCCUAGAAAUAAUUGUAUAUAUUUACUAGUAUUAUGUUGGCAUCGCCCCUAUUUAACGUAAAUUUUUGAGUCAUGCUCAGCAAAUUUCGAGAUUUCUGGUUGAAUAUAUAUGGCCUAAAACGUGAAAAAUUAUGUCUUUAAUUUUCAAGAAUUUCAGUUAAUUAUUUUUUUAAUCUUUUUCCGUAAAUAAAAAUUCAUAGGUAAAUUAAUUUAGUAUGAUUUGAUGUGGAACAUGGAUUCUUUGUUUUGGUAAAUUACAGGGAUAUGGCCUGAGUCUCCAAGUUUCAAGGACCGGGGAAUGAGUGAAAUACCUUCUAAGUGGAAAGGAGUUUGCAUGGAUUCACAUGACUUCAAGAAAUCCAACUGUAAUAGGUGAACCAUUUUUCCCACUAAGAAUUUAAUAGUUUUCUCAUAAUGUUAAGUUUUCAAAAUGAUUAAUAAAAUGAAGAAUAAAGUCAAAAUUUACUAAAAUUCUUAUAAUAUUACUGAUCAUUAUCUAGCGCCGACAUUUGUACACAAACUUGUAGAUAUUGAGCAAAACUAUUGAUGGCAAAACAAUUAGAGCCGCAGCCAGCCUGGACUUGAAGGCCUUUUGACUCUUAAAGUUGAGUACUUAAAUUAUAAAAUUAUAAUGUUUAAUUAUUGAGUAGGCCUUUGGACUCUUAAAAUUCUUCAUAAAGUCCCCUUUUAAAUGAAAUUUACUUAAAUAAUUAAAGACAAAUCAAUUUAUUUUUAUUUUGAAUAAAAAUUGAAUUAAACACUUAAGCAGGUUAUUCUUUUAACAAACUUUUGACACUCACACCAUUGUAUAAUUUAUAUUUAUAUUUGAAAUUUUAAUAGAUUUUUUAGAAAAUUACAAGAAUUUAAUAUUUUGGAAAUAGAAACUAUGUGAUAAAAAAAAUUUUAACGUUUUGUGAUUUUUAUGAUUUUAUAAAUAAAAAAAUUGAAAGAUACCUUUUUUAGGGGUGAAAUUUUGGUGGGAAGAUGAUUAAAUUUAAUAGUGGGCGAGGCUAUUAAUUCAUCUCACACCCUUUUCGAAAAAAUAAAUUUAUUAUUAAAAUUUAGAGUUUCAAAAUCUUGAAAUUAUCAUUUACUAAUUUCUUUCUCUCUCUACCUCAUGAUUGCAUAGUCUCUUUAUAUUGUCACAUUUUGUAAACUAAACUCUCAAUUUUAUUUUCUUUCGGAUUCUUUUUUUGUAUUUCUUAAUAAAUCAUAAUCUUUAUUUCAUGUUUUCUAUGUGCAAGAUUUUUUUUUUGACAUUUAUUAAGUUUUGUGGUUGGUAAAAAUUAAUUUCUUGACAUUCAUAAAAACAAAUGUAGUGAUUUUCAUUUUUGACUGAUGGAUUUUGAUCCUUAGUUUAUAAUAGCCUAUAACGAAAUUAAUUAUUUGUAUUGUGCAGUCAAACGAAAAUAUAUGAAGGAAUUGAUGAGAAUUGAGAAAUUGAGAAUGAAAAGAAAAAAAAUUACUUAGUUUAUAACUAAGUAAUUUUAUUAAAAGUUAUUUUAAUAAAAAAAUUUAAUUAAAAAAAGAGUAUAGAGAAAAAAUUAAUGGGUUUCACCCUUUUAUAAAAUAAAGUUCAAAGAAGAGUAUUGCAGGGGUGUUAAAAGCUCCACUCCUAAGUGCACCAAGUGCUUUGUCUCAAAAGUGUACUUAGUAAUUUUGUAUGGGCCAUUAUGAGGCUUUGUGGACCGAGUUCAACAAAGUACAUUGGGCUCCGAAGCCAUGUUAAUCAAUGGCCCUAAUUGAGAUUUGAUUACGAUAUAACCUUUUGUGUUACUUGCCAAAAAGGACAAAAAGAUACGAAAAGAAGUCACUGACAAUUCAAUCUGACUUCACUUAAAAAUUUAAAUCUUUCCAACCCUAAUUUUAUUAUGCCAAAAUGAUAUGAUAUAUAUAUAAUAUGAAUAUAAUCAAGUUUUCAUUUUAGAAACCAUAAAAAACCGAGCAUCAGAAAACAGCCCCUGGUUAGGCCCAAGCUUAGCUAACGCAAGCUUGGCUUCCCCCCCAAAUGCAGUUAGGCGUAGAAUUAUUACGAUUAAAGGCUCAUUUGGAGUUGUUUUUGAGUCUUGAGAGAUUUAAAAAUGAUUUUAAAAAAUUAAAAAUUAAUUUUAAUAUUUGAUAAAUUUUUUUAGAAACACUUUUGGUAAAUUUACCUCAUCCUAUAGUAAGUUUCUAAAAUAAAGAAAGAAAUAACUUUUUAAAAUUUAAUUUGAAAAAUUGAUAUUAUACUUAAAAUAAUUCCGUAUAUAUCCUCCUAUGUAUUGUACAAAUCUAAGAUUAUCUUUAUUCACUUGAAAAUAAAAUUAUUCAAUUCAAAGAAAUUAUUAUUAUUGUCAAUUAUAUUGAGAUAAUAAAAUAAAAAAUAGAGUUAAAAUAUUAAAAUAUUUAUUUUAAUUAUAAAUUAUUUUGUAUAUAUGUUUAUAAAUGUGUAAACACUUAUAACUUCUUUAAAAACUCACAUCACUUUUAAAAUAAAUUUUACUAAAAUUUAACUUAUUCUUUUCACAGUUGAUUAUAUCUACAGUACAAUUAACAACAAUUAUUUUAAAAACUACAAAAUUAUCAAACUAAUCCUAAAUGCCACAUAAAUUGAAGAAAAUGAUCAAAAUUCUCUUUUGUUCGUUAAAAUUAAUUAUUUUCCUCUCAUAUUUCAUUACCGUUCUCAUUCAAAUGAAUUCUAGCUAGUAACUUUGAACAUUUUCCUAUCGUUAACUAUUUCACUAUUUUACAAGUCUAAUUUUUGGGAUAAAAUAAUAAAAUUUUUAAAAAGAAGUUGAAUGUAUAUAAAAUAUUUUUAAUCAAGCGACAGAAAAUGGUUAAUUUACUGAUACACCAUAGUGGUUUUAAUCAUUUUCCUAAAUAAAUUGUCACAAGGCUGUUGGCAAUUAAAGUAAAAUACAAUUAAAAGUAAAAUUUCCAAAUUGCUUAGGAUCAAAAUCCUCUGAUAUUAUUUGGAAAUUUUAGCAUUAUUAAAAUAUUUAUGGGUAUAACAAUACAAUAUUGUGGCUGCAGGAAACUAAUAGGAGCAAGAUUCUACAGCAUUCCUCUAACAUCAAACAACCACAACACAACGAGAACAACUCUAGCUGGGUCUCCAAGGGACUCCGUUGGCCACGGAACACACACGGCGUCAACCGCAGCCGGUGCCCACGUGGCCAACGCCAGCUACUUCGGCUUAGCCCGUGGCACAGCCAGGGGGGGCUCUCCAUCUUCCAGGAUUGCAAGCUACAAAGCCUGCUCCGAAGACGGCUGCUCAGGCUCAGCCAUAUUACAGGCAAUGGAUGAUGCAAUUGCGGAUGGAGUUGAUAUCAUCUCAAUUUCUAUUGGAAUGAGCUCCCUGUUUCAGUCUGAUUACUUGAAUGAUCCGAUUGCAAUCGGCGCUUUUCAUGCUGAACAAAUGGGAGUGAUGGUGAUCUGUUCUGCUGGCAAUGAUGGUCCUGACCCUUCCACUGUUGUUAAUACGGCUCCUUGGAUUUUUACUGUUGGUGCUUCGAGUAUUGAUAGAGAUUUUCAGUCUACUGUGCUUCUUGGAAACGGGAAAACUAUCAAAGUAAGUUUUAAUUUCAUUCAAGAAUAUUUUGUUUUUUAUGUUUUAAAACUUAUGCUUCUGAAAACUAAUUUUAGAACCUAAUUAAGAUCACAACAAAAUGUAUGCUUAGAAAUAUAUUUAUUGAUAAAUUUUUUGCUUUGUACCUUUUCGUUAGGCUGCUGUUUAGCUUGCCAAGAAAAUUCGAGCAAAAUGAGUGAAAAAGCGUUUCUCUAACAAAGAUUUUCUUGUUAAUUAUUUUUUUAAAAGGAAAAAUGCUAAAGCAACUAUAGUGUUGACAGAAAUUAGAUAAAAUUGGCGUUAGUUUAUCUUACUUUCAAUUGAGUAAACUAGCUAGCACUAGUUUCAUUAUCUUACUUUUAUCGGCGUCCUGUUAAAUUGUUCUGUGUUGAGUAUUAUUAACUUUCAAAAGUUAAACAAACAAUCACUUAGAUUCCAUUUGGUAUUUUUUUUUAAAUGCUGUUUUUGAAUAUAGAGAUUAUUUUAUUUUUUUCCCCUUGAAACUGGUAUCUAUUUCUCUUGCUUUUAAAAUGUCAUCAAACACAUGUUUACUAUUCUUAAUUUAAAAAAAAAAAAAUAGACGAACAAUAUUAAAUAAGUUUUCCAAUUUUAAGAAAAUUAUCUUUUUUAAAAUAAAAAAUUUUCUCUUACUAAUUUAUAAAAUCUAAUUAGAAUAAUUUUGCUGGUAGGGAUCUGCCAUUAGUUUAUCAAACCUCUCGAGCUCAAUGACCUAUCCCAUUGCAUUUGGAAAGGACAUUGCUGCUAAAUUUACCCCUGUAUCCGAAGCAAGGUAUUUCAUUGUGUGGGCUGUUUUUUCAAUAAUUAAUAUACUUUUUUUUCCAUAUUGACAAUUAAUUAAGUUGAUUAAUUUAAAUUACUGACAUUGAUUAAUGAAUUAAUUGAAAUGUGCAGGACUUGCCGUCCAGGAUCAUUAGAUCCUAAGAAAGUUGCAGGCAAAAUCAUUGUUUGUGUUGAUGAUGACCCAACAGUUCCUAGAAAAAUUAAGAAAUUAGUUGCGGAAGAUGCAGAUGCCAAAGGCUUAAUUUUGAUCGAUGAGGAUUAUGAGAAACAUGUGCCUUUUGAUUCUGGCAUUUUUCCAUUUUCAGAAGUUGGCAGCGUUGCAGGAUUUCAAAUCAUUCACUACAUCAAUUCUACCAAGUAACCCUUGUCAUUAUUAUUAGCUUACUCUAUGAUGACUAAUUAUUUAAUCAUUAAACUACUAGAAGUAAUUAUAAUUAUUUAAACAAACCUUAUAUAAUAUCUAGUGUUUUAGUUAGGCUCAUGAUUUCUAUAUAUAAUAGCUGCCCACCUGAACAAAAUUUCUAGCUUAGUCCUUGAAUGCAUCAACAACACAUACAUACAUACAAACAAACACACACACACACACAUAUAUAUAUAUAUAUAAUGUCUGGUCAAUUUGUCCAACCAGCAUGGUAUCAUAGCAAACACAGAAUUGGUUAAUGAGUGCAUGUGUCUAUUUUUAAAUUAAUGUAUUGGAUUAACUAAACAGGAAUCCGACUGCAACAAUUCUCCCAACAGUUGAUGUUCCAGGAUACAAGCCCGCACCAGUUGUUGCAUAUUUCUCAUCAAGAGGUCCAGGAGAGCUUACAGAAAACAUUCUCAAGGUUAUAAUUAUUAAUUAUUUAAUUUACCAAAAACAUAUAAUAAAUUAAUUGUUUAAUGAUAAAUAAUUUUUCUAUUGAUAUCUGCAGCCUGAUGUAACAGCUCCUGGAGUUGCCAUUUUAGCUGCAAUUGUCCCGAAAGCCAAUGCAGGGAGUUUUCCGAUAGGAAAGAAGCCGGCCGGAUAUGCAAUAACAUCGGGAACAUCGAUGGCUUGCCCACAUGUUACUGGAGCUGCUGCAUUCAUUAGAUCAGUGCACCGAAGAUGGAGUUCUUCCAUUAUCAAAUCAGCUCUUAUGACAACAGGUACACUAAUUUUUUAAAAAUUCAAUAAUUAAGUAGAUGGCCUCAUUUUGCAUACAUAUACUAGCCCUAUUGUUGAAUUAUAAUUUUUUAUUUCAGAUCUGUGCAUAUUUUUUAUCAUAUACAGUCAAUCAUGUGUAUUGAAAAAAUACAGACUUGAACUAGAUAUAUCUGCAGCACUAUUUGCUGCAAAGUGAGAUUGUUUUAGAAUGAGGAGGGCUAGAGGGUGGUAACUAGCUAUAUUUUUUAGGGAGAAUUAACACUGAGGUCUGAACAAUUUUCACUUUUACUACUUUAGUCUCUAAUUUUUUCUCUUUUUUUUUUUUUUUUCUUUUGGUUAAAAGUACUAAAGAAUGUUGAAUGUAAUUUUUUAACAUGCAAAACCUCCCUAUCUUUUUAUAGACAUAUCACAUAAUUUAGAUUGAUAGCAGCAUGGAUGUAAUGGUAAAAGAAAUAAAAGAAAUUAUAUUCUUUCUGCAACUAUUUUAUCGCCAGGUUUCCCAGUAUUCAAUAAAUUAUAAAUAUCCUAGCUUAGAUCCGCUUUUUGAAAUGUAUAUCCUAUACCCUAGCUUGUUUAAUUGUUAGAAAAAUUAUUCUUCAAUUAUUUGCACCUUCUAAUGCGGUUGUGUGCUAUAAAAAUAAACGUAUAAAAUGGAACUUACAAAUAUUUUAUAUAUGCAGCAACCGUUUAUGAUAACACGGGAAAGCCCUUGAAAAACAACGCAGGCAGCACUGCAAGUCCACAUGAAACUGGAGUUGGGGAAAUCAGCCCACUCAAAGCUUUAAAUCCAGGGUUAGUAUUCGAAACUACAACGAAAGACUACCUUCGAUUCCUUUGUUAUUUUGGAUAUUCAGAGAAAAAUAUUCGAUCAAUGUCAAAGUACACAAACUUCAACUGUCCAAGAAACUCCAUUGAUAAUCUCAUCUCAAAUAUUAACUACCCAUCAAUCUCCAUAAGCAAGCUUGAUCGCCAUAGAGCUGCUGAAACUGUUAAACGAACUGUGACCAAUGUCGGAUUGCAAAAUGUCACAUACAUUUCCAGGGUGAAUGCUCCUUCAGGAUUAAUAGUCAAGGUACUUCCUCAAAAACUUGUUUUUGCUGAAGGUGUAAAAAGAAUGUCUUUUAGCGUUUCCUUCUACGGCAAGGAAGCUGCUGGUGGAUACAAUUUUGGAUCGGUAACGUGGUCAGAUAAUCGACAUUCUGUCCAAAUGAUGUUUGCUGUGAAUGUUCAAUAAAUAUAAUAUAUAAUUAUGUACACACAUGAAAAUUUGAGAUAUAUAAUUGGGUGAAUAAUGUUCACAUGUAUAGACAUUGUUUUUUGUUUAAUAUUCAUUUCCUAAUUUUAUCGUUAGCGUGAAUCAAACUAGCUAAUGUUUUUUGAAUUUGUUGAAAUAUACUUGAAAAGCAAAUCCGUACCCUCAACUCAUUCAUCUUCAUCUACCAAUAAGUAGCCAACCAACAGUUGUAGCAACCAUCGCCAACAGUUGUAGCAACCUUGACAAUUUUUUUUUUUUGGUGACAAUUUUGGUAGUUGGAUGGUGUUAGAGGCGGUUGUCUCGACUUCGAUAGUGAUGCAUGAAUGUUCUGAUGGCCAGAUGGCGGUUUUCGUAUAGGCUCUUCGGUUGAAAUUUUUUCGAAUGUACGGAUUUUAUUUUUCAGUGUUUUUAUUUUAAUGUUCUGAGUUUUCUGUGUUUUUGUUGUUGAAUACAAUCAUCGAAAUAAAUUUGAGAUUAUUUUCGUUCCGAUUUUAAACUAAAUUUUUUUUUUUAAAAUACAUCAAAAAUAUCAUAUCUACCAUAUAACAAGUAAAUGAUAUUAUGACUUGUGUAUUUGUUUUGAAAAACUAUCAUGUAAAUGAUAGUUAUGUUAAAUUUAAUUAUAUAUGUCAUCUAUGUAUUAAUUAGUUGUAUUAUCUUGAUAUAUUCUAGAAUAUCUCUAAAGCUACAAUGACUGUAAUGGCAUUGUUACAUCCAUUAUUGAGAAUUGCUUUGGGAGAUUGCUAUUUCCUUUAUUAAAAUCAAUAUGCAUCACUUUUUUUUUACUAUUUUUAUGAUACUCAAUGACCACUUGAUAUAUAAUAUUACUAUAUUAUCUUUAUUUCCAAAUACACUUUUUAUUAAUAUUUCUUAUAAAUUAGAUAAAUCAAAUAAUUUGAAAUAAAAAUAAAAAAAUUGUUAAACACUAAAAAAAAGAAAAAAAUUGUAUUUUGAUUUUUUUAAUUUAUUUUAAUCUACUUCUUAUUCUUAUGUUUUAUUUAUUCUAUUUUUUAUUUAGUAAAAUAAAAUGUAUGAAAUAAAUGAUAAAUAAAAAUAUUUUAUUCUUAAAUGCAUAUUUUCUUUUCACAUUUAUUGCAACAAAUACAUUUUCUUAAAUAUUUUUUUAUAGUAAAUGCAUAUUUUAUAUUAUUAGGAAGAAAUAUCAAGCAAAUAAUUUAUUUUAAUCCACUAGUAGGGAAUGAUUAGUAGAUAGUGAUUUCAGUUGGGGAAAUCAACAAUCUUCCUUCUCCCUUCUCCCUUAUUUUGAACUUUUUGAAAUCUUUUAUCUUAAUUUUAUGCAAUUAUUUUAUUUUUUAUGUUUGGCACUAUGUAGAAAAUUUUAGUGGCGCUUUAGAAGUCUUUUGCGUAUAGACUUGACACCUUCAAAAAUAAAUUAAUAGAUUAUAGUUAUGAGAUAAAAAGGUCCCGUUUGUUCGAGAUUCUUCCAUAUAUAGUAAUAUUACCAAUUAAUUGACGUAGGACGUUAUUUUAGAAUUUUAGAUAUUGUUAUUUUAGGUAUUUUGAUAUUUUCUAUUUUAAUUAAAGUUCUUAGUCUUUUAUCUUUAUUAUAGUUAUGAUUUAGUAGGGAGGGUAAAAUCCUCUAUGAAUUUGGACCUCAUGGGGCCCCACCCCAAAUAAAGUGAAUUUUGAAUAAUUUUUGGGAAAUGGAGUGAAGAAUGAGGGAAAAAAUAAUCUCAAAUUCUUAAUGGAGUGGGGUUUGAUUUUGUACCUUUCACUCCACCACCACCCCAAUUCCCAUUAUAUAUGAAUAUUUGUUUAUUUUUGUUCAAAUUUUUUUUUAUCCAUUAUAAGGGUCCGGCUACGGUGCAACUGUNNNNNNNNNNNNNNNNNNNNNNNNNNNNNNNNNNNNNNNNNNNNNNNNNNNNNNNNNNNNNNNNNNNNNNNNNNNNNNNNNNNNNNNNNNNNNNNNNNNNNNNNNNNNNNNNNNNNNNNNNNNNNNNNNNNNNNNNNNNNNNNNNNNNNNNNNNNNNNNNNNNNNNNNNNNNNNNNNNNNNNNNNNNNNNNNNNNNNNNNNNNNNNNNNNNNNNNNNNNNNNNNNNNNNNNNNNNNNNNNNNNNNNNNNNNNNNNNNNNNNNNNNNNNNNNNNNNNNNNNNNNNNNNNNNNNNNNNNNNNNNNNNNNNNNNNNNNNNNNNNNNNNNNNNNNNNNNNNNNNNNNNNNNNNNNNNNNNNNNNNNNNNNNNNNNNNNNNNNNNNNNNNNNNNNNNNNNNNNNNNNNNNNNNNNNNNNNNNNNNNNNNNNNNNNNNNNNNNNNNNNNNNNNNNNNNNNNNNNNNNNNNNNNNNNNNNNNNNNNNNNNNNNNNNNNNNNNNNNNNNNNNNNNNNNNNNNNNNNNNNNNNNNNNNNNNNNNNNNNNNNNNNNNNNNNNNNNNNNNNNNNNNNNNNNNNNNNNNNNNNNNNNNNNNNNNNNNNNNNNNNNNNNNNNNNNNNNNNNNNNNNNNNNNNNNNNNNNNNNNNNNNNNNNNNNNNNNNNNNNNNNNNNNNNNNNNNNNNNNNNNNNNNNNNNNNNNNNNNNNNNNNNNNNNNNNNNNNNNNNNNNNNNNNNNNNNNNNNNNNNNNNNNNNNNNNNNNNNNNNNNNNNNNNNNNNNNNNNNNNNNNNNNNNNNNNNNNNNNNNNNNNNNNNNNNNNNNNNNNNNNNNNNNNNNNNNNNNNNNNNNNNNNNNNNNNNNNNNNNNNNNNNNNNNNNNNNNNNNNNNNNNNNNNNNNNNNNNNNNNNNNNNNNNNNNNNNNNNNNNNNNNNNNNNNNNNNNNNNNNNNNNNNNNNNNNNNNNNNNNNNNNNNNNNNNNNNNNNNNNNNNNNNNNNNNNNNNNNNNNNNNNNNNNNNNNNNNNNNNNNNNNNNNNNNNNNNNNNNNNNNNNNNNNNNNNNNNNNNNNNNNNNNNNNNNNNNNNNNNNNNNNNNNNNNNNNNNNNNNNNNNNNNNNNNNNNNNNNNNNNNNNNNNNNNNNNNNNNNNNNNNNNNNNNNNNNNNNNNNNNNNNNNNNNNNNNNNNNNNNNNNNNNNNNNNNNNNNNNNNNNNNNNNNNNNNNNNNNNNNNNNNNNNNNNNNNNNNNNNNNNNNNNNNNNNNNNNNNNNNNNNNNNNNNNNNNNNNNNNNNNNNNNNNNNNNNNNNNNNNNNNNNNNNNNNNNNNNNNNNNNNNNNNNNNNNNNNNNNNNNNNNNNNNNNNNNNNNNNNNNNNNNNNNNNNNNNNNNNNNNNNNNNNNNNNNNNNNNNNNNNNNNNNNNNNNNNNNNNNNNNNNNNNNNNNNNNNNNNNNNNNNNNNNNNNNNNNNNNNNNNNNNNNNNNNNNNNNNNNNNNNNNNNNNNNNNNNNNNNNNNNNNNNNNNNNNNNNNNNNNNNNNNNNNNNNNNNNNNNNNNNNNNNNNNNNNNNNNNNNNNNNNNNNNNNNNNNNNNNNNNNNNNNNNNNNNNNNNNNNNNNNNNNNNNNNNNNNNNNNNNNNNNNNNNAGGAUCCACUUAGAUGGGUGGGGUCCAUUGAAAUCCAACGGAUCGAUGCAACUGUGGCACGGUACCACAGUUGCACCACAGUUUUCCCCUAAUUAUAAUGUUGGUUAAUAAAAUUUUAUUUUAUUUUUACCUAAUAUAAAUAAGUUAUAACUAAAAGAAAACCAUAUAUUAUAAUAUUUAUUUAACCUUAAAAUAUUGUUAUGUUUCUUUUCUCUCUUAAGGUGUUGCUCUCUUCAAACUUUUUUUUUAAAUUUUGAUAUCAUUUCUAGAUAUUAUUUCAACCCUUUGGAGAUUUUUUAAAAUAAUUUAAAUACUUUAUAAUAUGAAAAUGAUUUUAUUUAAGUCUCUAAUUUUUAAUUACUGAAAUCAUUUAUCUAUAUCUACUAUAAAAUAAGUAAAUGAGGAGUGGGGUGAGGAUGGGGAAAUCAUUCCUUAUUGUUGAGUAGCUAAAUUCAAACACUUAUGGAAAGAAAACUGGCAGCAUUUUGUAAAUGUUUGAGUUGUUUUGAAAUCACAUGAAUGAAGCAUGAUUACUUAAACUUGAAACGGCAACUGAAAUGAUCCUUUUGGCUAUAACAGUUUUUCAUUUGCCACGUGACUUGUCACUCGAAUGCUUAAUGACCUCAAGGUCGUUAUAACAACUUGUACAUGUGGCCAAAUCCUAUACAUUCUAGGUUUACAGAUUGUUAAGCAACUUUUGUAUAAAAUGGGGUUAUCAAGCUUAUUCAGUAAUGGUUCUAGAGAGUUCCUGUGAGAGAUUUGUGAGUCAGAAAACUUUUUCUUAAGCUCUAUAAUCUUCACUUGAGUUCUUGUAAUCUUCUUCUUUGAAUCAAUUGAUAAAGCCAGCUCUGAUGUUUUACCCAUGGAUGUAGGCCACUCAAAGAUCAAACCACGUAAUCUUGAGUUCUUGUUGAGUUUUUGAUUUGUGCUCUGUGUUUCAUUUAGAUCCGUUUUGUGUUUUUGAUUGUAUUGAUUUGUUUAGAUUUUUUUAAUCUAAUUUGAUUAAUCUUCAAGUAAUAAAUGCAACUUGUAUUGAUCUUCGAUUGAGAUCUUGGGCAGAGCUUUGCUUUAGUUGAGGUUUAUAUUGAUUAAGCUUUACAAUUGGUAUCAAAGCAGGGUUCUUAAUUAAAAUCCAAGUAUGGCUACUUAAAAGGUUGAUCUAGAAAAGUUUAAUGGCAGGAACGAUUUCAACAUUUGGAAAGUUAAAAUGAAAGCUCUUUUUAUCAGCCAAGGCUUGGGGGAUGCACUUGAAUCUUCAGUAAAGAAGGGAGGCAAGGAGGUAUCAUCAUCCAGGACUCUAGAAUAGAUGGUUGACAUAGACAAGAAGGCUAGAAGCAUUAUAAUUCUGAGCCUUACAGAUUCUAUGACUAGGGAAUUGGCCAAGGAAACAUUUGUUACAACCUUGAUGGAGAAGCUUGAGAGCUUGUACAUGAAGAAGUCACUGGCUAAUAGGCUUCACAUUUAGAAGAGGAUGUUCACCCUUAAGAUAGCUGAAGGCUCAUCAUUUGACAAACACAAUAAUGAAUUUAAUCAAGUAUGUGAUACACUAGCUACCAUUAACGAGGCUUUAGAUGAUGAGGGUAAAGCCUUAUUAUUGAUCAGCUCGCUACCAAAAUCAUACAAAAACUUUGUUGAUGCACUGAUGUAUGUGAGACAAACACUUUCACUUGAUGAAGCUAAAUCAUCUCUCAAUAUUAAGGAGUUAUAAGAAAAGCAUGGUAAUCUUGAAAAUGGAGCUGGUGAGGAGCUAUCUGUAAAGGAGAAGUUUGACAGGAAAGAUGAAAAGAAAAAGAAGCCAAACAAAUCCAAGAACAAGAACAAGGUCUUAAAAUGCUUUCAAUGUCACAAAUAAGGUCAUUUUAAGAAAGAUGUUCCAAAAACAAUCCAAACAUAAAGGUCAAAAUGGUGAUGCAAUAGUGGUUGAAGAAAAAGGAUAUGAGUCAGCUGAUGUUCUCAUUGCCUCAGAAGUAAAUGAAAGAGGUUAAUGGGUUUUGGACUAUGGAUGCUCAUUCCAUGUGUCCAUUUAUAAAUCAUUUUACUAAAUAUUUUGAAUGUGAUGGUGGUAAGGUGAUGAUGGGUAAUAAUGUAAUGUGUAAAGUUGUUGGCAUAGGCAACAUAAAUCUAAAAUUACAUGAUGGGUCUACCUAUGAAUUAAAACAAGUCAAACAUGUUCCUGAUCUCAAAAGGAACUUGAUUUCACUUGGUAUGAUAGACCAAAUAGGGUGCAUUGUUAAGCUUCAAAAUAGGGUGAUGAGUGCUGUCAAAGGGUCUUAAGUCCUGUUGAAGGGAAUUAGGAAGAAUGGGCUUUAUGUUCUUGAUGGUACCAUUGAAUCAAGAGAGGUAUCAAUGUCAUCCAGCUCUAGUGUUCAUAAAACUAGACUAUGACACUUAAGACUUGGACAUAUGAGCUUAAAAGGCUCAAAGAAUUAUCUAAACAAGGGUUGUUGAAUGGAUAUAGGAUUGAAGAUCUAGUGUUCUAUAAAGAUUGUGUCUUAGGUAAAUCUACAAGGGCUAGCUUCAAACCUUUAGUGCAUACAUCGAGGGGGGGGGGGCAUUGGAGUACAUAUAUUCUUAGGAGGUUUCACUAGGUGGAGCCAAGUAUUUCUUGUCGAUUAUUGAUGAUUAUUCAAAGAUGAUAUGGGCAUAUUUACUUAAGCAAAAAGAUCAAGUGUUUGACAAGUUUAAGGAAUGAAAGAUCUUGGUUGAGAAUCAAGUAAGGAAGAAGGUGAAGAAACUGAGGAUAGAUAAUGGGUUGGAAUUAUGUAAUCAAGUUUUUGAUAAUUGUUGUGUUGUUGAGGGAAUUACAAGACACAAGACAGUAAGGCUCAAACGACAACAAAAUGGCCUUGUUGAGAGAAUGAAUAGGACACUUAUGGACAAAGAAAGAACCAUGAUGAUUCAAGCUAAGUUUCCAAUGAAUUUAUGGGCAGAGACUCUCAACACAUCCUAUUACUUAGUGAACCUAAGUCCCUCCUCUACAAUAAGUUUUAAAACACCUCAUGAAAUGUGGUUUGGGAAUCUAGCUAGCUAUGGAAGUCUUAGGGUAUUUGGUUGUCAACCCUAUUGUUAAAGCGUAUUAUUGUAGGUGUUAAUGUGCAAGUGUACACAACAAGUAAUAUAAGUAUGAGUAUCCAGAUCGUCUCCACAGGGAUUGAUGUUAUAAGACUUGCCACAAUAAUCUUAACUGGGCAAUUUCAGUCUAAUUAAAAUAAAUUAAUUUAUGAAAUUGAUGACCUAAUGAAAUAAAAAAAUUGCAAUAAACAUAAUCCAAUAAGGAAAAUCUAAAGUCGAAAAUAAAGAUAUACUCAAUGAAAAAGGGGUAGUUGAGUGCUUAAACUCACUUAAUGAUGUUGACUAUUUUUCAAUUGUCAUAUUGUUGCUACAACAUCUACUACAGCACUAGGCAGAAUCUCUCAUGCAUCCUCAUUUGUCGCAUGUUGGAUAUCUUAGAUCUAUAUGCAACCUAACAGUGGCCAGUUGUUAUGCUAAUAUUAUAUAUAACAUUAUGCAUUCUAGAUUCCAAUUGCCCUAUAAGGUGAAUCUUCAUGUCCAGUUCUUCACUAAUCUUAUAUUAAGUAUGGUCUUAUUUAAAUUGAGAUUAACUUAACUUGGGAAACUCAAUCUAAAACCAUGUAUUAUCUAGAUAUUUUCCACUAAGUCAAACUUUUUUGAGGUUUUUUCUUAGCUAGUAUCCAUUAAAUGGGUGGUCAACUAAAAUAAAUGCUAUAACAGAUUCUAAGCAACAUACGUAUAUAAGUCAAAUAACAAUUAAACUUAUUUAACACCUAACUACAUCAAAGUUUAGUUUAUGAUAGGUGAUAAAACAAUAACAACACACAUUUUUGCCAUCAAAUACAUUUCUAGAGAGAGAUGAAAAUAAGCAAAACAAAGAGUAGAAAUUGAGAUCUACUAAAUUCAAGACAUCCCUCUCUUAGGUUUUUGCGAUCUCUCAUUCUUUUUCUCAGAAAUCCCUUGCUGCAACUCUCAUGAUAAGUGCAUAUUUUCCAUAUAUUUUGCUAUUAAUUUCUCCAUUUUUUUCUUGUUUUGGUCAUAAAUAUUCUAGUUAUUUUAGUUAAUUUUUAAUUUAAUAAAUUAUAUUUUAUUGUGUUAAUUUUUAUCUUAGUUUUAUUUAUUUUGUUAUUUUAGGUAUAUUCUGUUAUUUAUUUUGUUAUCGGUUUAAACAGUACCAAGAUGCUGUUAUUGGCACUGUCCUCACAACCCUUCAUGCAGGAAGUGUGUUACUCACUUUCUAUCCCAAUUUCAACCUUUCUCUCCAAGAUCCCAACUUGCCCACAACCUUGAAGGUCCAAAUCCAAAUUCAAGGUGCUGAACAAAUUUCUUCUGCCAAAAUUGCCACUUUACACCACCAACUGGUCUACAGGCUUCAAAAUCAUGCCUUAGAUCUACCCACACCAGAACACCACUCUGACACCCUCAUGGUGUUAGCAGAAUCUGACCAAAUCCCGAAAAUCAUCCAGAUCCCACGACAAAUUCCUCGUCAUGAGCUCAUCAAGCUUAUGCCUCUUGAAUGGAUCUCCAACUAUGAACAGUUCCACAAUAAUACAGCUCCUAUUCAGACAUCUGAAAGUAUGUUUGAAAGACGACAAGAUGGAACAGUCAGAAUGACUUUUAAACCACCUCCCAGUGCUCCACAAGAGCCUCCUCGGCUCUCCUUUACUUAUUCCUCAAUGAUCACAGCUGUUCAGACAGCCCAAGAAGAUCUGCCCAUUACAGGGUUUAAUUCUGAAGGUUACCCUAUUUAUCCAGCCAAACACAAUGGCCAUUUCCUAUGGGAUGCCCCUGGUUCCGGCAUGUGUGACCCAAAUUGUCCCUGCUGGGAUGAUUGGGAAGAAGACGAUGAUUAUGCAACCACAAGGAAAAAGAAACCCAAAAAGAAAAAACCUCCUGUCCCAUGUCACCACUGUGACCCAACUUUUGUCUCAAUCUGUUCAGUUCGUAAACUGAUGUUCUCAACUUUUGAAUUGAGAUGCAACAAGGUAUCAUUUUGUGCCCUGGCAUUUUGGGUUUGCCAGUUGAGGACUGACUCAAAGGGUUUAGGGGGCUCCAGGUGGCCAGUGGAGGUAAUAGGUGAAGGGAUAAAGGGUUUUGACACAACAUUUCGUUGGGGAUCUGUGUGGGGUUCCAAAGAAGGAAAGGAAGAAGAGUAAUCGGAACAGGUAGAGGAAAAUAUCAUACAAGCCAGUGGUUGGACGAUAGGCGUUGGGUUUGGGAAAAAGGUCUUGGAGAGCUUUGGAUGCUUACAAGAGGGACAACGGCAUGGUGGAUAAGGGCAAUUAUAGUCUCUGGGAGUACACUUUGGAGUAUACUGAGGGGAAGUUUGGGUAGCUUUGUCAACUUUGGAUGGUUGAGCUGGUCGUUUGGAAGAUUGGGUUGAGGGUCCUGGUUUAGAGGGGCCAGGUUCAUCCAUUGUUGGUUGGGGAAACUGGUGAAGGUGUUGGCUCAGAGGGAGAAAUGCAUCCCAUGGGUCUUGGGAAUCCUGGAACAAGAAAUCAGUGUAAUCUGGUUUUUCUUCUUUGAUGAUGAUACCAGUGGACUUAGGUUUAGAUAUGGCCGAUGGAGUGGGGAUCAUGAGGAGGUCAUGUUGUGGACCUAAGGAGGUGUGGGAGAUAUCUUUAAGUGGCGGAGGUUGGUGGUUCAGUUGGCAAAGGUAGUUGUGCAGGACAUCUUGUAUGUCAUUUUCAAUUACAGCUAUAUGUGGUGCAGUGAACCAUUCAUAUACCUGGUCUUGGGUCCAAAAGAGUUUGGUGUCUGGAUGUUGGAAGUAUGGCCUGUGAAUAAUAAAAACUGAUGUGAACAUUUGUGCUUCAUGGGCAGGCAUACGGUCAAGGUUGUGAAUGUCAGACAGUUGUUGCAGUUUCUUUCUCCACCAUGGUAUGGGGGAGAACCAUUCAAGUAAUGUCCAGGUAAGAGAGGUGGCUUUGUCUGGGUCAAGGAGAUGUUCCAAAGUAGGAGAAAUGGGAAGGAUUAGCUUGGUGGCAUAGAGGACAGUGAGGCACCAAACAUACCAUAACACAUCUUCAGUGGUGUCUCUGGUCGGAUCAAGGGUUAAACCUGUAAGGAACAGAUUUUCUGGGUGGAAAGUGGAAAAAGAAAAAGGGUCUGUGACAAGGUAGGCUUUCAUGAAAAAGCGAAAGUUUGGGAAAAAGGUCUUGGAGAGCUUUGGAUGCUUACAGGAGGGACCACGGCAAGGUGGAUAAGGGCAAUUAUAGUCUCUGGGAGUACACUUUGGAGUAUACUUAGGGGAAGUUUGGGUGGCUUUGUCAACUUUAGAUGGUUGAGCUGGUCGUUUGGAGAGUCUGGAGAGCAUAUCAGGGAUGAGGUUCUGGGAUCCCUUUAUAUGCUUGACUGAAAAGUCAUAUUUGGAAAACCAAUCUUUUAAUCUGAGUAACAUUUUUUCGGGAACAGUUUUACCUUUGAAAUGAAAGAUAUUGGGGAAGGCUGAGCUGUCCAUUCGGAUGAGAAAAUGGUGUCCAAUCAAAUGAUACUCAAACUUUUUGAUGCCAUUCUUGACUGCUAAGAUUUCUUUGAACACGCUAUGGUAGUGCUUCUGUGUGUCAGAAAAAUGUCCAAAGUUAUUGGUUCAACUCUUCCUAAUAAGGAUAUCUUGUUAGGAUUUGACAUCCUUCACCAAAUCAAACAUCUGUCUGUAAGAUGCGCUUGCCAUUUGUAAUCAACUUUAAAGGAGGCGGAUUUUGCGCAAUCUGCUUUAGGGUAGUGACAGCAAAUGUGUGGUCAGCAUUCCAUUCUGGGGGCUUCUUUUUCAAUAAAGCCGAGAGAUGGUGAGUGUAAUGAUCCACGUGGGGGAUGAAAUCACGGAUGUAGUUGAUGAUGCCGAGAAACUGUUGAAUUUGCCUUUUGGAAAGUUGCUGAUCUGGAAAGUGAAGCAAUUCUUGGGCAAUGUGCUUUCCUGGCUGGUAGUGUCCAUCUUUUAUGAUCAUACCAAGGAAUUCAACAUUAUCUGUAGCAAUGAUGCUUUUCUUGGCCGAUAACAUGAUUCCAUGACUUUGGAGAAUAUCAUAGAAUUGAGUUAACAGCUGGCGAUGUUCAUCAUGUGAGCCUGAAAAAAGCAAAAUAUCAUCAAUAUAAAUCAAUGCAUGAUGCAAAAUGGGUUGGAAGAUUUGGACCAUGGAUUUUUGGAAAAUGGAUGGGGCAGUUUUGAGACCAAAGGGUAGGACGGUCCAUUGAAAGUGGGCAUUGGGAAUACAAAAAGCGGUUUUGUAGCGUUCGGAGGGUUCAAUGCCUAGUUGCCAAAAACCUGAUUUUAAAUCAAAUUUUGAAAAGAUCUGGGCAUUUUUUAGAAAAGUAAACAUGCUUUGUCGACGAGGUAAUGAGAAUUUGUCAUCUUGUAAAAACAUGUUUAAUGGCUGGUAGUCAAUGACUAGGCGUUUCUUUCCUCGGACAAUUUCAGAAUGCUUUUCAACAUAAAAGGCUUGGCAAGCCCAUUGAGAACUUGUGGGCUCAAUUAAACCUUGGGCUAACAAUUGUGAACAUUCUUGUUGGGCUAGGAGUAAGUCAGAAGGACUCAUUCCUAGAUGGGUAGCUUUAGUUGGGUUAAUGUCUUCAUUGAGUUUGAAGGGUAACUUAAUGAAGAAAGACUUAUUUUUCCACAAGGGAUUUGGAUGGGUGAACUCAGAAUGGGACUCUGGACAGAAACUCAAAGUUUGGUUGAAAUAUCCUGGUAAGACUGGGGAGUUUCAGACAAAUUGUAGAGUUUCAGAAUGUCUGUGAACGGUUUGAACAUGGACUUGACUCGGAUUCCAGUGGGAAUGAUUUGGAGGUGUUUGAUUUGGUGAAGGAUGUCAAAUCCUAACAAGAUAUCCUUAUUAGGAAGAGUUGAACCAAUAACUUUGGUCCAAAUGACACAAUUGGGGAAGAUUUGAAUACCAAUGGGUUUUUUGGUAAUCAAAGAGGUGGUAAAGAGUUUGCCAUUGACAGCUUUGAAAUGUUCUUCAGACUGGAUCCAAUAUUCUGAUGGAAGAAUAUGGGGGUUUAACAUGCUGCGUUGGGCGCCAGUAUCUAUAAGACCAAUUGCUGGAAUGGGCCUUUGGAAUUUUGAGGGCAAGAUCUGGAGUUUGAUGGACGGGAUAGGAACUGUAGUAUCAAGGGAGAGUGACUGUUGAUGGAAAAUCACUUGAGACUGGUCACUGUCUGAAUCAGAGGAAUUCUGUAGUGCGAACACUGUUUCAUCAUUGGGUUCAUCUUGUUCAGAGAAAUAGAAUUCCAGCUCAUCUUUGGCAGGAGAGUAGUCGGUAGUUGCUUGAAGAUGCUCAACUAACCGGAUGAAUUUUUCUCUUUUGUUGGGGCAAUCUUUGGCAUAGUGGCCUUUUCUCUUGCAGAUGAAACAUCUGCUUGAUUGCUUUCGUUUGAAUUCUCUAGAGGAGGAAGAUUUCUUCCUGAAGAACCGGUAGGGCUUUCGGGAUCUGCGAGGCUUGGAGGAAAAUUCUGGAGGUUUGAAUUUCCGAAAAUGCCAUUUUUUCUUUGAACUGCAAUCACAAUCCUUUUUCUUGUGGCAUUUGAUCUGCAGAUAAGGCUUUUUGCAAGCACUUCGGAAAGGUUCUUUGUCUUUCAACAGUUCUUUGAAAAACUGUUUUUGCUCGCAAAGUUUGUCAAGACAAGUUUUGGCAAGCUGAAAGAUUUUGCCAAGAGAGAUGUUGUCUAGGGAAAGAUUGGAUGCGGUGAGUUGUCUCUGGAUGUUGGGUUGGAGUUCUUCGGGGAGGGAAGCCAGAAAGACAUGCUUUAAUGUCGGCUCAUUGAAUCCAUUAAGCUUAUAGAACAGCAGGGACAUUCGCUUAUAAUGGAAGUCAAGAUCCUUAGCAUUGAGGGAGCAGCAUUUCAUGUUGAGAUAAUCUCGUCUGGCAGCUUCAAAGACUGCAGAAGGGUCUCCAAGGAAUUGAUCAUGAAGUACAGUAAGAGCACUUGAGACUUCUGGGAGAUCAACAAACUGUAGUUGGCGGUAUUGUCCUAACGAAUCAAACCAAUCUCUUAGAGCACCCGUGAAACGAGUAGCAAAUUCUCUAAGGACUGAUUGAGUUGUUGCUCCUGGUCUUAGCAUCUGGAGGUCAAUCCAGGCAGACAUUUCAUUGAGUCGGUCACGCCAUUUAUGAGAUGAAAGAUCAUCAAAUGUGAACCAUGGACCAUUUGACGAUUUGUGACUGGGUGGAUUGGUCUGGGUUGGAGGAGGGUGGUUUGUGGCAGAAGAUUCAUGCAUUUCUUCUUCAACUUCGGAGGGAAUAUCAACAUAUGGGUCUGUAUGAGAGGUUUGGCCUUGGGUAGGUUGAUCAGGUUGAGCCAUCAGGAUUUUGGUGAUAUCAGCAUAAGACUUUUCAGAGUCACUGGUGGAUAAUGAAGAUUCUGUAUCAGUUUCGGUAGGGCUAUCUGAAACAGCUGGAUUUGAAUCAGAAGUUUGAUCAUUUGGGGUAGAUGAAUGGGUGACUGUAUGAGCAGUAAACUGAUGCAUGGGUUCUUUAUCUUUUGAUUGGGUAGGGACUAACAAAGGAGCUGGUGGUGAUAUUGGUGCAGAAGUAAGAGAUGGUUGGCCAGGGAUGGUCAAUGAGGAAGGAUGAAGAGGGGCAGGUCGAGGCUGCGGUCUAGGUUUGGGUUUAGGUUUAGGUGGUGGUGGCAAAGGAUUGUCUCGGAAAAGAGUAUGAGUCAUACCAAAUAACUUGGAAGGGUCAUACUGUUUAAUAGGAGAAAGCAUAGAGGCAAAAGGAUGAUAAGUUGGACCGAUGGAAGGGAUAUGAGGAGAUGUGGUGAAAAGGGUAGGUCUCUGUUUUUCAGAUUCAAUCUGGGCAAGUUCAGCUUUUAAGCGUCUGAUUUCCCUUUCUUUUUGGUCAAAUUCGGGGCCUGAGUAACGAUGGGCAAGCAUGGCUCGUAACUCAGAGUCAAGUUGAGAAAUUCUGGACUGGAGGUUUUGGUAGAUCUGCUGCAUCUGUGCAGUGAUGGAGUCAACUUUUGUCUCAAUCUGUUCAGUUCGCAAACUGAUGUUCUCAACUUUUGAAUUGAGAUGCAACAAGGUAUCAUUUUGUGCCCUGGCAUUUUGGGUUUGCCAGUUGAGGACUGACUCAAAGGGUUUAGGGGGCUCCAGGUGGCCAGUGGAGGUAAUAGGUGAUGGGAUAAAGGGUUUUGACACAACAUUUCGUUGGGGAUCUGUGUGGGGUUCCAAAGAAGGAAAGGAAGAAGAGUAAUCGGAAGAGGUAGAGGAAAACAUCAUACAAGCCAGUGGUUGGACGAUAGGCGUUGGGUUUGAAAGUGGUGAUGGAAUCUCAGAUUUGCAAUGUUUGGCAAUCCAUUUGAGUUCCUUUCGAUAGAUGGGUAAUGGAGCCGGUGGAGGUGGAGGAUCUGAUGGUGGUUUAGGGUCACAGUGGUGACAUGGGACAUGAGGUUUUUUCUUUUUGGGUUUCUUUUUCCUUGUGGUUGCAUAAUCAUCGUCUUCUUCCCAAUCAUCCCAGCAGGGACAAUUUGGGUCACACAUGCCGAAACCAGGGGCAUCCCAUAGGAAAUGGCCAUUGUGUUUGGCUGGAUAAACAGGGUAACCUUCAGAAUUAAACCCUGUAAUGGGCAGAUCUUCUUGGGCUGUCUGAACAGCUGUGAUCAUUGAGGAAUAAGUAAAGGAGAGCCGAGGAGGCUCUUGUGGAGCACUGAGAGGUGGUUUAAAAGUCAUUCUGACUGUUCCAUCUUGUCGUCUUUCAAACAUACUUUCAGAUGUCUGAAUAGGAGCUGUAUUAUUGUGGAACUGUUCAUAGUUGGAGAUCCAUUCAAGAGGCAUAAGCUUGAUGAGCUCAUGACGGGGGAUUUGUCGUGGGAUCUGGAUGAUUGUCGGGAUCUGGUCAGAUUCUGCUAACACCAUGAGGGUGUCAGAGUAGUGUUCUGGUGUGGGUAGAUCUAAGGCAUGAUUUUGAAGCCUGUAGACCAGUUGGUGGUGUAAAGUGGCAAUUUUGGCAGAAGAAAUUUGUUCAGCACCUUGAAUUUGGAUUUGGACCUUCAAGGUUGUGGGCAAGUUGGGAUCUUGGAGAGAAAGGUUGAAGUUGGGAUAGAAAGUGAGUAACACACUUCCUGCAUGAAGGGUUGUGAGGACAGUGCCAAUAACAGCAUCUUGGUACUGUUUAAACCGGGUAUCAAGCAUAGCAAGGCGAGCUGUAACCGGUAAUCCUUUUCUCCCAUGAAGGGUAAGGAUUAAUCUGAUGCCUCCAAGGUGGAGAUGAGUGUAACCUUCUCGUUUCCAGUUGGAAAUCAACUCUGAGGGUAUUUCAAGAGUGACAUAUUGCUCAGCAGGGGUUGCUUGGAGUGAACACUGAUCCAGGCGAGAAGACUGGAUAUAUUCUUUAGGGUGAGGUCUUCGGGUGGAUAUGAGAGUACGGAUACUGCGAGUAAAAGAACUGGGGCGUUUGUAUAGGUGGUAAGGGCUGAGGAGAGGGUAAGAAGAUUCACUGAUUUGGGCGGAUUCAGGGAUGUAGGAGUAUUCUACAAGAUGUUCAAUUUUGUUGGUAGUAUGAGAAGUGCAAGAUUUCGGCAAAGAAAGAGUGGAAGAAAGAGUAACAGGAGUUUAAGGAUUGGAAGAUGAAGUAGAAGCCAUGAAUGAGAAAUUCUCUCUGCGUCUGAAGUCUAUGGAGCAAAAAAGAAAAAAGACUUAAAUUAUACCAUUUUGAUCAUGUAAACAAGAAUUUAGAAAACAAGUUUCAAGGAACGGUAUGGCUCUGAUACCAGUUAAGAGUGUACGUGGCGUUGUUAUACCAGAACUACAACAGUAAAACUGUUCUUUGGACCAGUAGUCCGCAAGCUCGGGUUUCCAGCCGAUAUACCUCUGUAAUCAAAAACCUUUAAUAACCGGGUAUCAAGCAUAGCAAGGCGAGCAAUUCAACAGUUUCUCGGCAUCAUCAACUACAUCCGUGAUUUCAUCCCCCACGUGGAUCAUUACACUCACCAUCUCUCGGCUUUAUUGAAAAAGAAGCCCCAAGAAUGGAAUGCUGACCACACAUUUGCUGUCACUACCCUAAAGCAGAUUGCGCAAAAUCCGCCUCCUUUAAAGUUGAUUACAGAUGGCAAGCGCAUCUUACAGACAGACGCAAGUGAUGAAUCAUGGGGUGCCAUACUCCUUGAAGAAAUCAACGGAAAAGAACACUUUAUCGCUUACGCUAGUGGACAUUUUUCUGACACACAGAAGCACUACCAUAGCGUGUUCAAAGAAAUCUUAGCGGUCAAGAAUGGCAUCAAAAAGUUUGAGUAUCAUUUGAUUGGACACCAUUUUCUCAUCCGAAUGGACAGCUCAGCCUUCCCCAAUAUCUUUCAUUUCAAAGGUAAAACUGUUCCCGAAAAAAUGUUACUCAGAUUAAAAGAUUGGUUUUCCAAAUAUGACUUUUCAGUCAAGCAUAUAAAGGGAUCCCAGAACCUCAUCCCUGAUAUGCUCUCCAGACUCUCUAAACGACCAGCUCAACCAUCUAAAGUUGACAAAGCCACCCAAACUUCCCCUAAGUAUACUCCAAAGUGUACUCCCAGAGACUAUAAUUGCCCUUAUCCACCAUGCCGUGGUCCCUCCUGUAAGCAUCCAAAGCUCUCCAAGACCUUUUUCCCAAAAAGCAAUCCUGACAACCCAUAUGAGACAGAAAGCUCAUCCGAAGACGAGUACAUGAACCUCCGCUCUCCAUAAAGUUGUUUGUCUUGUUGCUUUCCAUAAAGUAGUUUGUCUUGUUGUCAUAAUGAUGUUUCGCUUUAUGCUUGCAUAAUUAUUAAAGUUUGCUUUUACUUUAAGCUUUUGCUUUUGCUUUUGUCAAAGUCAUGCUUUAAUUAUUAAAGCACUUUUGUCUUUUGUAAUAAUUAAAGUUGUGCCAUUAUGUAAAAGAUAGGGGUCCUGUCCUAUCUUAUCUUUUGCUUUUGUAAAAGAUAGGGGUCCUGUCCUAUCUUCUCAAGAAUCCUCCUCUAUAUAAAGGAUUCUCCCCUUGCUUGUAAGAUAUAAGAAAAUUUCCAAGAAAGAAAUAAACUCGUGUUUCCUCUUACAACAUGAAUCCCUAAACCUCUUCUCUCUCUCUGCAAAUGAAGUUCUAAGAAAGAAAAAGAAUAAAGGAUUAAAUUUGUUCAUUUUGAAAACCUAAGGAAGUAUGCUCUGCACUUGCCUUCUAGUAAGGAUCCUGUGCAUCAGAAAACUUUUGACCAUUUCUUAUCUGGUUUGGUACCCUGUUUUAGACUAAAGAGAAGUCUGUUUUGGGUUGUAUAACCUGAGAAAAAAUAUUUUAAAGGUUUUUGAUUACAGAGGUAUAUCGGCUGGAAACCCGAGCUUGCGGACUACUAGUCCAAAGAACAGUUUUACUGUUGUAGUUCUGGUAUAACAACGCCACGUACACUCUUAACUGAAAUUAAAGAGAAAUUAAAUCGGAGCAUUCAGGAAAGAAAUUUGAUUGAAGAUUGAGAGACAAAAGUGCACAAGAAAUCAAGAUUUGGAAGGAAUUAGAAAAUAAAGAAUAUUCUCUAAUUAAAGCUUGUAUGAGCCAAGCAAAAUUAAUGUUGCACAUGGAGCUAAAAUUGGAAAAUGGAAGUAAAAAAGGAAGCCAAGCCAUCACAUGAAAGCAAAAUUGGAAAACAAAGAUUGCAAACCAAAAGUGGUUAGCACGUGAAACGAAAGAGAAUAAAGUCUUUUGGCUUUAGGAAAUCAUGGCCAAAUCAUUAUUGCCUUAUUAAUUGAAGCAUGAAAGUGGCGGUUUUGGGCUUUUGGAUUUAAUUCUUUCCAUGCAAGGAUUUAAAAAGAAAAAGCCACAAUUGAAGCAUUAUAAAAAGGAUAAAGCGGAAGCAACACAGGGGGAUGAUAUAUUCGGCAGCCAAGAGGAUUUGAGGAACUAGCAGCUGGAAGAAGGAAAAACAAGGGAGAAACCGAAAAGGAGUUGAAGAAAAAGGUAGCCGCUUGAAUUAAUCUCUAUGAUUGGUUUUGUCAAUUCUCUUAUUCCUAAUUCAAUUAUGUUAGGCUAUAUUUUUAUUUGGUUGAGGGUGAAUUCAAAACCCCGAACAUGUCACAUGAUUAAUUUUUAAUUUUUAUCAUUUAAUUUAUUUAACUGAGAUUGUUUAUAUUCUUCUAUACUUAAUGUUCAUGGUUUAUUUUUGUUUUAUUUGAGUGGCCAAUUAGAUAGGACUUGAAUAAAUUCUAUUGCUAGAUUAAAAUUCUUGAUCUGUAAUUGUCUUGAUAUUUUAAUCAUUAGUAGCAGGUUGGAAUCAAUGAUUUCAAUUGGAGAACAUAACCUAGGUUAAAUAAUCCGAGCUUGUGUGUUUAUUGCCUAGAUCAACCUAAUAUCUUUCUCUGUUUAAUGCUUCCAUUAUCUUAAAUUUAAAGAGUUUGUUUUAAAUUAUUUAAUGGUUAGAGAUUAGGUGAAGAGCUUAUUUUGCCUAACGACACACUAAGGAAAGAUUGAGACUAACAGAGCUUAUUGUUGUCUACCGUUGAUAGUUUCAAUAUAAAUUGAUGAUAUAAUUGAUAUAUUAUGUGCAUGUUUGGUGGUGGCAAAUGAUCCUUUAACCAAAGUUUUCAUCAUUAUUAUUUCUUUCUCCUUUAAUUAGAGUUUUUAUUAAAUUCUUGUUCGUAAUUUUAAUUUCUUUAUUUCUUACUAUUUAGUUAAAAAUUCAUAAACCCCCUUUUUAUUUGUAAUUGGCAUUUUUUUAGUUAGAUUAAUUUCUAUUAUUACUACUAUUAUUUUAUUUUAAAUCUUGCUUUAGAGUUGAUAAUAAAUAUAACUAGCAUAGUCUCUGUGGGAUCGAUCUUUACUUGCUCUGUACUAAUUAGUUAUAUUAGUGGUAAGGUUUUAAAUUUGGUGCACCUUAACGACACUACCAAAUUUUUGGCGCCGUUGCCGGGGAUUAGUGUCUAGUUUGUUUAUUAUCACUCGUUUUAUUUUAUUAUUUUUAUUUUUAUUUUUAUUUCUUUUCUCAUUUUAUUUAUUUAUUUUAUUUUAAUUAGUUAUUUUUUGUUCUAUAUUUAGAUUUUCAUGAGCAUAGAGGACAUUCGAUUGAAACUCGAACAACUUAGAGCAAUCUCAUCAUAUUCAGAACUCGAUUUUGCCAUCCACAUUCCACUCCCGAAGACAGAGCCAAGCAGCCCAGAACCCGAACCAAUGGCUCAGAAUAACAACCGAACACUUAAAGAGUUGGCAGCUCUUAACUUGGACCAGCAACCCUUAUGCAUUGAGAAUCCAAACCCUCAGGUAAACUUUGAACUCAAAUCUGGGAUGAUUCAUCUUCUUCCUACUUUUCAUGGUCUUGCAGGAGAUGAUCCAAAUAAGCACUUGAAGGAGUUCCAUGUGGUCUGCUCCACAAUGAAACCAGCCGGAGUUUCUGAAGAGUAAGUUAAGCUAAUGGCCUUCCCAUUCUCUUUGGCGGAUUCAGCCAAGGAAUGGUUGUACUAUCUCCCCUUUGGUACUGUCACUACAUGGAAUGAGAUGCAUAAGGUAUUUUUGGAGAAAUAUUUCCCAGCAUCAAAAGCUGGCAGCAUUCGAAAAGAAAUUUGUGGAAUCCAACAGUAUAAUGGAGAGCCGCUCUACGACUAUUGGGAACGAUUCAAAAAGCUAUGUGCCAACUGCCCCCACCAUCAGAUAAGUGAUCAGCUCCUUAUUCAAUACUUUUAUGAGGGUCUACUACCUAUGGAUAGGAGUAUGAUUGAUGCCGCUAGUGGAGGAGCACUCAUGGAUAAGACGACAGAAGCAGCCCGAAAUCUCAUUGCUAACAUGGCUGCUAAUUCUCAACAGUUCAACACCAGGAACGAUCUACUGCCGCCACCUAAGCGAGUCAAUGAGGUAAGUACUACUUCCCUAGAACAACAAGUUUCAAAUCUUACGUCUUUGGUGCAACAAUUAGCUCUAGGGCAACAAAUGAGACAGUGUGGCGUAUGUUCUACGGUCGGGCAUGCGACUGACAUAUGCCCUGCUAUCUAAGAGGGUUCACAUGAGCAGGCCAACGCAGUUGAGGGGUUCCUAGGCCAACCAAGACAAAGGUAUAAUCCUUACUCUAAUUGUUAUAAUGAAGGGUGGAAGGAUCACCCUAAUUUUAGGUAUGGGAACCAACAACAAGGUAUUUCUAAUGUGGCACCGUCUUGACCACCGGGCUACCCCCAACACCGAGUACAAUAGCCUUACCAAGUUCGGCCACCUCCACCUCCUCAAAAUCAAGGUACGUCUUUGGAAGAUCUUGUAAAAGCUCUCGCUACUAACUCUAUGCAAUUCCAACAGACUACCCAGACACAGCUCCAACAUUUAGAGAAUCAAAUUGGCCAAUUGGCCACAUCUAUGAGUAUGAUAGAGAGUAGAACUUCAGGAAAGUUACCUUCUCAACCAAAAAUUAAUCCAAAGGAGAAUACUAGUGCUAUGUCUCGUAGGAGCGGAAAACAGUUGGAACCAUUAUUAGCUAAGCCAUCAAAAGUGUCCAUAACAUCAUCACACUCUGUGACCAAUCCCUCCCCUGAGGCUCUUCCUUUAACAAAGAAAGACGAUUCCCACUCGGGAUUGCCAGUCGAUCCAUCUGGCCAGGUAAGUACCCCCUCACCUCGAAUUAAGACUCUUUCCAUUCCUCUACCAUUUCCUAGCAGAUUUAAACAAUCCAAGAAAGAGGAGCAAGAAAAAAAGAUCCUUGAGACCUUUCGUAAAGUAGAGGUAAAUAUUCCUCUACUUGAUGCUAUUAAACAAGUGCCGCGUUAUGCAAAGUUUUUGAAGGAAUUAUGCAGCAACAAGUGAAAGUUGAGCGGUAACGAAAAGGUAAGUGUUGGAGAGAAUGUUUCUGUUGUACUUCAAAGAAAACUUCCGCCUAAGUGCAAGGAUCCAGGUACUUUCACUAUCCCCUACACUAUUGGUAAUACCAGAUUCGAAAGAUAUAUCCUAGAUUUAGGGGCCUCAAUUAAUGUUAUGCCAUAUUCGAUUUAUAACUCCUUGAAUUUAGGUCCAAUGGAAGAAAUUGGUAUAAUUAUUUAAUUCGCUGACAUAUCUAAUGCUUACCCGAAGGGGGUUAUGGAAGAUGUUCUUGUGCAGGUCAAUGAAUUGGUCUUUCCAGCUGAUUUUUAUAUCCUUGAAAUGGAGGAUGAGUUGUCGUCCAAUCCCACUCAUAUUCUGUUGGGGCGACCAUUCCUUAAGACAGCCCGAACCAAGAUUGAUGUUCACGAUGGAACCCUUACAAUGGAAUUUGAUGGUGAAGUGAUUCGCUUCAAUAUCUUUGAGGCAAUGAGGUAUCCCAGUGAUGUUCAUUCUGUUUUUGCCAUAGAUGAUAUUAAUACUUUGGUGCAGGAUUUCUUUGAAUUAUCUGGUAAUGACAGUUUUAAAAUUUCCAUAAGCAAAAAUCUUACGAAAGAUGAUUCUAAGGAACAUGCAAAUUUGAUAAAGUUGGAUGAUGAGGUAGAGGAAGCUAUGGCGAUCUUAGAUGGAGCAGUCACAUUACGCACCAAUGGGUAUAAUGUCUCUUACCUUGAAUUGCCUUUAUUAAACGAGAAACUUUUACCUUCAAUUGUGCAGGCACCUACCUUAAAACUUAAGCCACUCCCAGGGCACCUACAAUAUAUUUACUUGGGUGAGAAUGAAACACUUCCAGUCAUAAUUGCUAAAACCCUCACUUUGGUUCAACAAGAAAAGCUAAUUAGGGUGCUUCGGGAUCACAAGACGGCAAUUGGCUGGACCAUUGUCGACAUUAAGGGAAUUAGUCCUUCCAUGUGCAUGCAUCGCAUUUCGUUAGAGGAAGGGUCUAAACCAACGAGAGAUGCACAACGCCGCCUUAAUCCACCAAUGAUGGAAGUCGUAAAAAAUGAGAUACUGAAACUCCUUAAUGUGGGGAUUAUUUAUCCAAUUUCUGAUAGUAAAUGGGUGAGCCCUGUGCAGGUAGUUCUAAAAAAACAGGCAUCACAGUGGUCAAGAAUGAAGAAAACGAGCUUGUACCAACAAGAGUUCAAACUGGGUGGAGAGUUUGCAUUGACUAUUGUAAACUGAAUGCAGUCACUCGCAAGGAUCAUUUUCCUCUGCCAUUCAUUGAUCAAAUGCUUGAAAGGUUAAGUAGUCACUCUCAUUAUUGUUUUCUUGAUGGUUACUCAGGUUAUAAUCAGAUCGUUAUCGCUCCGGAAGACCAAGAGAAAACGACCUUCACAUGCCCCUUCGGAACAUUUGCUUACCGACGCAUGCCGUUUGGUCUCUGUAACGCUUCUGCCACUUUCCAAAGGUGUAUGAUGAGUAUUUUUUCUGAUUAUGUAGAGAACAUCAUUGAGGUAUUUAUGGAUAGUUUUACAGUUUAUGGUGAUUCUUUCGAUAGAUGUUUAGAUAACCUUACACUUGUUCUUAAACGAUGCAUUGACACUAACCUUGUGCUUAAUUGGGAAAAAUGUUAUUUUAUGGUUAAUUAAGGUAUUGUACUAGGCCAUGUUAUUUCUGAAAGGGGGAUUGAAGUUGAUAAAUCUAAGAUAGAUCUUAUUCGCUCCUUACCACCUCCCACUAGUGUGAGGGAGGUUCAUUCUUUUCUUGGUCAUGCAGGUUUCUAUCGCAGGUUUAUCAAGGACUUCUCCAAGAUAGCAUUACCCCUCUGUAACUUACUUCAAAAGGAUGCAACGUUUGACUUUAAUGAAGAGUGCCAAAGAGCUUGUAAGAAGUUAAAAGAGGUUUUGACAUCGGCCCCUGUGAUUCAACCACCAAACUAGGAUUUACCAUUUGAGAUUAUGUGCGAUGCCAGUGACUAUGUUGUUGGAGCCGUGUUGGGCCAGCGUGUGGGCAAGCUUCCUCCUGUCAUUUAUUAUGCCUCUCGUACAUUGAAUGAUGCAUAACUUAACUACUCCACUACCGAGAAAGAACUUUUAGCAGUUAUCUUUGCUUUAGAGAAAUUUCGUUCUUAUUUAAUUGGAUCUAAGGCAAUCGUUUACUCUGACCAUGCAGCUAUUAGGCACUUGCUCACCAAAAAAGAUGCCAAGCCGCGCCUUAUUCAAUAGAUACUUCUAUUGCAAGAAUUUGACUUAGAGAUUCUAGAUAAGAGAGGUUCUGAGAAUUUAGUGGCAGAUCAUUUGAGACUUACCUAUAACGAAGAUGCACUUCCAUUGCAUGAGAAUUUUCCAGAUGAGCAGUUAUUACAUGUAGGUAUUGUUACUCCUUGGUAUGUAGAUAUUGUCAAUUACUUGGUUACCAGGACAGUACCGAAAGAGAUAACCCGUGCACAAAAGGCCAAGAUCAAGAGUGAUGCCAAGUACUAUGUGUGGGGUGAGCCAUACUUGUGGAAGCAUUGUUCUGAUCAAGUUAUUAAAAGGUGCGUACCCGAAGCUGAAUUUACUUCUAUUCUCACAUUUUGUCAUACUUUGGCUUGUGGAGGACAUUUUGGACCAAAGAGAACAGCCCUUAAGGUACUUGCGAGCGGUUUUUAUUGGCCAUCACUAUUUAAGGACGCAUAUUUUUUUUGUAAAGCUUGUGAUCGUUGUCAGAGAACAGGUAAUUUAGGACCUAGAAAUCAAAUGCCACAAUCUCCCAUUCUUGUAGUUGAGAUUUUUGAUGUUUGAGGCAUCGACUUCAUGGGACCAUUUCCUUCAUCGUUUGGUAAUCUCUAUAUUGUUCUUGUGGUUGAUUAUGUUUCAAAAUGGGUGGAAGCAAAAGCCACCCGAACUAACAAUUCUAAGGUUGUGGUAGAUUUUAUAAAGAGUAACAUCUUUACAAGGUUUGGAAUGUUGUGCAAAUUUUAAUGUACUCGCAAGCGCACGAAUCUAUUGUAGUAUAGAUCAAUGGUGACGAGUGUCGAUCCCACGAGGAGGUGGAUUUUAAUUGUGUAUAGAAUUAAUUUUGCAAAUGGUUGAUUGGAUCUGUGAUGGAAAUGAUUUGCAAUAUGCUAAAACUUAAUUUAAAAUGGCGAGAAUAAAUUCUGAAAUUGGAAUUAAAAUGGCGAUAAUAAAUAUGCUAAAAUUGGAAUUGCAAUGGCGAGAAUAAAUUGUAGAGAAAAUCGAUUAAAUUGACUUACUUGGGUAUCUGGAUCCGUAUCAACAUGCAUCAUGGGCUAAAUAAUCCGUAUUAAUGCCAAUUAAAUCAUGAGGGGGGAAUCCACACCUCAUGAACCACGCUCUAAUCAAUAUGGUGCUAAGGGCUUAUCGUGCCAAAUAAUAAUAACCUUAUACUAGAGAGCCAGUGUAACCAAGGCGGUAUCUAGACAAGAUCAGUAUUAUUUGUCGACGAUAAGUCAAAUCAUCCACAAAAACUAGAGGGGAAAAGAAAAUAAAUUUACCAAAUAAAGCCCAUGACACAUGUUGAGACUUCACCUUCAACCCAAGCUUGAAAGGAAAUUAGCUACUCAUAAUUGAACUAGGGGCAAAAAGAGAAUUUAUUAAAAUACAAAGAAAAUACAAGAUGGAGAAGGAAUUACAGAAAAUGGAUCCCAAAAAUGGAUUUAGAGCUAUCAAAUUAGGGGGGAGAGGCCCCAUUUUUAUAGAUACAUGGAGUAAAUCAUGGCCAUCGGAUUAAAAACAGUUUGGACGCUCAGGAUUGCGCCACGUCAUCAGUCAACAGUCCACGGUUUGACCACGUGGAUGAACAGUAACACGGUUUGACCCGGAUGAACAGUAACGCGGUUUGGUUGAAAAUAAUCCUGUGUGAUGCAUGCACCGUACGCGAGAUUUUUCGUCCACUGAUAUGCUACCACGUCACCAUCAACAGUACAUAAGAAUUUUAGUCCAACAGGAUCGUGACACCUCAUCAGUCAAUGCCACAUCAUCGGUCAAUGCCACGUCAUCGAUCCGUCUAUGUGGACAGUGUCGUGAACAGUAACGUAGACAGUACCGUAUACGUGAAUAGUACCGUACAUGUGAAUAGUGCCAUUUUUCCUUUUAUGCUCCUCCUAAGGUUUUCGACCGUCCUGAGUUCAAAAGUGAUGUCCAUUUUGCCAUCUGAUCUCUCCUUUAUUGUGAAAUGACUAUAAUGCCCCUAAAAUACAUAAAAUACUUAAUUAAAAUAAAACACAUGUAAUUAAAUCACAAGAAGGUUAAAUACAUAAAAGUAAGGGUUGUUAAUAAGACUUGAAAUGUAAAAUGACGGUUUUCUCCUUUAUAAAUAUGCAUUUUCUAACACUCAACAUGGAACACCAAAGGCAAUUAUUAGCGACAGAGGCACUCACUUUUGUAACAGGUUAGUAGAAGCCCUCUUUCGAAAAUACAACAUCACUCACAAGGUGUCUACAUCCUACCAUCUACAAACUAGUGGGCAAGUUGAGGUGUCUAAUAGGGAAGUGAAAUCAAUCCUUGAAAAGACAGUUAAUCCAAAUAGAAAAGACUGGAGCUUACAACUUGAUGAUGCACUUUGGGCAUAUAGGACCGCAUAUAAAACUCCUAUAGGUAUGUCACCCUACAGGUUGGUAUAUGGUAAGCCUUGUCAUCUUCCAGUGGAACUUGAACAUAAAGCAUGGUGGGUUGUGAAACAAUGUAACAUGGAACUGGACACCGCCGGCCAACACAGAAAGCUCCAAUUGCAAGAAUUAGAGGAAAUUCGAAAUGAUGCCUAUGAGAGUUCACGAAUCUAUAAGGAAAAGACUAUUGCUUUUCAUGACAAGCAGAUCUUGAGAAAGAAUUUUAAAGUUGGACAGAAAGUUUUGUUAUUCCAUUCUCGCCUUAAGUUGUUUCCAAGUAAGUUACGUUCUCGAUGGGUUGGGCCUUUUGUUGUUAUUAAUGUUUUUUCUCAUGGUGCAGUUGAGAUCAGGAGCUUAAAGACAGGUAAAGAGUUCAAAGUUAAUGGUCAUAGGUUGAAGCCUUACUAUGAAAACUUUCAGACACUACCAAAUGUAGAUGAGGCUCCACUUUAUGAACCUGCGUACGUUGAUGAGUGAAACUUGAGAACCAUGUCAGGCUGAGGACAAUAAACCAAGCGCUUAUUGGGAGGCAACCCAAUGGCUGGAGAAAAGAUUUUGAGAGCACGCCAUAACAGAUUUGAUCUUUCUCCCUCUCAUUCUCAUUUACUUUACCCACUUUGUGUUGAAUUUUGUUUGUUUCUGUUUGUGUCUCAUCUCAUUUUCCCAUAUUUAAUUCCGUCUUUUGUUAGCUUAGGCUUACAUUGAAGACAAUGUAAGAAUUAAGUGUGAGGGGUGGAUUUCGAACUUAGUUUUUAUUGCUUCAUCUUUUUUUUUUUUAAAAAAAAUAUUGUUUUGAAUAUUAGCCAGUGAUAAGAAUUUGAUUGACAAUGAAUAUGGUUCUUAGACAGGGUUGAAUAUUACCUUAGUUUAUACUUGAUUCUUGUGUUGAUUUCCUCUUAAUUGAGAUUCUUUAAACCAUGAGCACUAAUAUCAAUUCUUUCAUAAUUUUGACUUAGAAUUUGAGAUUGACGCAGUUUAAGUUGAGAAUUUUAGAUAGAGUAAAUGAUUGUUUGUCUUGAUUCUUAUCUCCACAAUACAAAAUAGUAUACACAGGCGCCAAAAUCAGAAAUAUCUACCUAUAACCCUUAAGAGUGAAGCUAUCCUUGAGUAAUUUGGGCCUAUGUACCACAAGUAUGUAGAGGAUAAUCUACCAUGAAAAGAAGGCUACCUUAAGGGGUAGAGUGAAAGCUCCUGACUAUAGUUCAAAAAAAAAAAAUCAAAUCAAGUGCAUGUACUGAAAAAAAAAAUCAAAAGAAAAUGCACAUAAAAGCCUGCGAGAAAAAAAAUUGGAGAUCAAGAUGAUAAGAUUAGUUUGACCUACUUUUUUCUUUGUUUGAGGUGAAGGCUGUUGAUAUUGAAGAUUUUGGGAAUGGAUGUGAUUGAAUUGAUUUCACACACACACUACAAGAAUUGAAAGAGAGAUGGGAUUGACUAUUGAAUUAAAGUUAGAACUUCGAUAAUAUUUGAAAUUUUCUUUGAGCUAUAUGACUUAUGCAAUCUUUGAGGCUAGUUUUAUUUUAAAUUCCUUUGUUCUUUUUCUGCUAAAAAAAAAUAAAAUUGCAAUGAUGUUUAUGGCUAUCAUCGCUGAAGCCCUCACGAGACUAUAACUCGUCCACUAGGGCCGCCUAGGGGUUUAAAGGCUUGUUGCAUACGCUAAAUGCAAUCGUGAUUUCCUACGAAAGUGGACUAGUUUAGGUUUUUUUUUUUUUUUUUUGUUCUAGGUUUGCUCGAGGACGAGCAAAGAGUAAGUGUGGGGGAAUUUGAUUAGUGGAUAUUUUCCAUAUAUUUUGCUAUUAAUUUCUCCAUCUUUUUCUUGUUUUGGUCUUAAAUAUUCUAGUUAUUUUAGUUAAUUUUUAAUUUAAUAAAUUAUAUUUUAUUGUGUUAAUUUUUAUCUUAGUUUUAUUUAUUUUGUUAUUUUAGGUAUAUUUUGGAAUUAAAGAGAAAUUAAAUCGGAGCAUUCAGGAAAGAAAUUUGAUUGAAGAUUGAGAGACAAAAGUGCACAAGAAAUCAAGAUUUGGAAGGAAUUAGAAAAUAAAGAAUAUUCUCUAAUUAAAGCUUGUAUGGGCCAAGCAAAAUUAAUGUUGCACAUUGAGCUAAAAUUGGAAAAUGGAAGUAAAAAAGGAAGCCAAGCCAUCACAUGAAAGCAAAUUUGGAAAACAAAGAUUGCAAACCAAAAGUGGUUAGCACGUGAAACGAAAGAGAAUAAAGUCUUUUGGCUUUAGGAAAUCAUGGCCAAAUCAUUAUUGCCUUAUUAAUUGAAGCAUGAAAGUGGCGGUUUUGGGCUUUUGGAUUUAAUUCUUUCCAUGCAAGGAUUUAAAAAGAAAAAGCCACAAUUGAAGCAUUAUAAAAAGGAUAAAGCGGAAGCAACACAAGGGGAUGAUAUAUUCGGCAGCCAAGAGGAUUUGAGGAACUAGCAGCCGGAAGAAGGAAAAACAAGGGAGAAACCGAAAAGGAGUUGAAGAAAAAGGCAGCCGCUUGAAUUAAUCUCUAUGAUUGGUUUUGUCAAUUCUCUUAUUCCCAAUUCAAUUAUGUUAGGCUAGAUUUUUAUUUGGUUGAGGGUGAAUUCAAAACCCCGAACAUGUCACAUGAUUAAUUUUUAAUUUUUAUCAUUUAAUUUAUUUAAUUGAGUUGUUUAUCUUCUUCUAUACUUAAUGUUCAUGGUUUAUUCUUGUUUUAUUUGAGUGGCCAAUUAAAUAGGACUUGAAUAAAUUCUAUUGCUAGAUUAAAAUUCUUGAUCUGUAAUUGUCUUGAUAUUUUAAUCAUUAGUAGCAGGUUGGAAUCAAUGAUUUCAAUUGGAGAACAUAACCUAGGUUAAAUAAUCCGAGCUUGUGUGUUUAUUGCCUAGAUCAACCUAAUAUCUUUCUCUGUUUAAUGCUUCUAUUAUCUUAAAUUUAAAGAGCUUGUUUUAAAUUAUUUAAUGGUUAGAGAUUAGGUGAAGAGCUUAUUUUGCCUAACGACACACUAAGGAAAGAUUGAGACUAACAGAGCUUAUUGUUGUCUACCGUUAAUAGUUUCAAUAUAAAUUGAUGAUAUAAUUGAUAUAUUAUGUGCAUGUUUGGUGGUGGCGAAUGAUCCUUUAACCAAAGUUUUCAUCGUUAUUAUUUCUUUCUCCUUUAAUUAGAGUUUUUAUUAAAUUCUUGUUCGUAGUUUUAAUUUCUUUAUUUCUUACUAUUUAGUUAAAAAUUCAUAAAUCCCGUUUUUAUUUAUAAUUGGCCUUUUUUUAGUUAGAUUAAUUUCUAUUAUUACUACUAUUAUUUUAUUUUAAAUCUUGCUUUAGAGUUGAUAAUAAAUAUAACUAGCAUAGUCUCUGUGGGAUCGAUCCUUACUCGCUCUGUACUAAUUAUUUAUAUUAGUGGUAAGGUUUUAAAUUUGGUGCACCUUAACGACACUACCACCUCAACUCUCUCUUGUUCUCUUCUUUUCUUUUCUUCUCUAUUGAUUUUGUGUGACGACCCCGUGCCCUGUUUCUUUCACAUGUGCUCCUUUUAUAUCUUGGAGUUAGGGCAACCCAAAGCCUGAGACCAUGUGUCUCCUUUUUGGAAACCUCAGAUCGCAUAUCUUUUUAUGCCGUCUGUCACUACUUUAUCAGUUAACAUGUGGCUAGUUUUGUAUGUAUUUGUUCCUAGAUUGCUGUUGCAAUUUCUACAACAUCAUCUAUGAUUCAGACUUGUUUUAAUUCAUCUGCUGACAAGUUCUUUGUCAUUUCUGCAAGCCUGCUAUUAUAACAUCCAUCCAUAAAGCUUGAGCUUUUUAGUCACCUACAAUCAUGCACAUAAUUAGAACACAAAGUGAUCUAAAACACAAUCAAUUUAUUAAAAUUAAACUUAAAUAGAUGCUCAUGCAAAAUAUAAAUAAAAGUACAAUAAAAACACAUCAUUUACUCUCUAAGUAAUAUUAGUUUAAGUUUAGAAAUGUUAUGAUAACUCUCAUUUUAUAAAGUUAUCACCUAUGCUCAUGUCAGCUAAGGAAAGCUAGCUCCAAGAGCUUUGAGGGGUAUCUUUAUUGGUUAUCCACAAGGAGUCAAGGAUUAUAAGCUGUAGUGAACAGAUCUAACUCCACCAAGAUGUAUAGUCAAUAUGGAUGUUGUUUUCAAUGAAAAAGAGAUGGUAGAUAUAGCUCACAGAAAUAAAGAACAUAAUCAAAUUUAAACAAUUGAUAUUUAGUUCGAGGUGAAGUCAUUUGAACAAAAUAACUCAAAUAAGAUUGCAGUAUUAGAUGAUGUUAGUGAUGGUUCAGAUAGACAUUAGACAUCUUAAGAUGAAGACUCAGCUCAGGAUCGGACUCAAGACUACCAACUUGUCAGAGAUAGACAAAAAGACAGAUUAAGGCACCUAGGGGGUAUGGAUAUGAUGACUUAAUUGCUUUUGCAUUGCAUUCUGCUCAUAAGAUUGAUUAAAAAAAACCAAAAAGCUUUAGAGAAGUUGUUUCAUGUCAAUAUAGAAAGGAGUAGAAGAGAGCAAUGGAUGAUGAGAUCAACUCAUUGCAUAAGAACUCUAUUUGAGAGUUGGUUAAUGUUAACAUAUAUGUUUCCAUAAUAUUGAUUUUGAUGAUAACAAACAAGAUUAAAAAUGAUUAAGUUUGAUGAAGUCUUUAAUUGGAUUAAGAUACUUAGGUUGUAUAAUGAUUUAAGCAAAGAAUAAACUUUCUAGAAAAAAAUGAAUAACCGUUAAUAACUCAACGACACACCGAUUAUACAAGGAUAAAUGAAAAAAAAUGAUUAUAGAAGAAAACAAUGAACCAUUUCUUAGAAAACGUUGAGCCGAUAGCUUUCCAGAGAGCAAGUGAGUUGCAAAUGGUGAAUCGUUUAAUGGUAAACCGAUAACAUUCCAGAGAGUAAGUCAGUUGCAAAUGGUGAACUGUUUACGGUUAAUGGUAAACCGAUAGCAUUGCAGAGAGCAAGUCAGUUACAAACGGUGAAUCGUUUAUGGUUAAUAGUAAACUGAUAACAAUCCAUAGUGCAAUCACCUUGCAAAUGGUAGACAGUUUAUAACAAACGGUUGCCGAUAAUUCUGGACAGGUUUUUAGAAUGAUAACGGCGAUCCGACUUCUCCAAACGGGAAUCCAAUUAUUCAAAAUUAUGGCAUAAUGGUCACUUGCUCAAGUCAAAACGGUGAUCCAACAGCAGCUAACGUCGAUCCGAUUGUCUGCAGAAAGUCAAUAAUGACUAGUUUUAAGCUCUAAUUAUAAAAAGGCUCAAUCAAAUUCAAACAAAAGAGGAUCCAACAAUUAUCAUUGACCUUGCUAUUGAGUAUUCAAUCUCUCUUGUGUUUAAAUCUUGUAUUCUUUUUAUUAAAUCACACUUUGGUCUUUUAUUUGUAAACAAAUAUAUUGUGUGAGGAAAUUUUCUUUGUAACUUGAUUCCAAUAUCAUAUUUGAGUGAUUGAAAGUUUGGGAAACACUAGGGUUAAGAGGUUUGGCAUAACCUUUUGUUGUAAAGGUUUGUUGACACCUUAAAAGUCAAUUGUAAAGAUUCUAAAGCCUUAGGGUGUAAGGCUUGUUUAGUUGAAUCCUUAAGCUCGGUGAGUUUGGAGGUGUGGAUGUAGGUAGAGUUUGCUAAACCACAUAAAAAUAUUGUGUUUGCUCUCUUUUCUUUUAUGUCUUUACAUUUGUUAAUUGUUAAAUUUAUCUUUAUAGAAAUCUCUGAGGCAUUAGUUUGAGUUGUUUUGUGAUUGUAUUCGUUUACGUUUUUUUUUUUUUUUAGAAACCCAAUUCAGCCCAGCUCUUGAGUUGCUUAGUUAGUAUUUCAGUGAAAAAAAAGAGAAGAAUAGUGGGAUGCAAAUGGAUAUAUAUAGUAAAUAAAGGGCUUACAAAAUCAAAUCUUAAAAGGUUUAAGGCUAGAUUUGUUGCCAAGGGAUAUACUCAAAAAGAAUGGUUGGGCUUUAAAGAAGUGUUUUCACCAGUUGUUAGACAUGCAUCAAUCAUAACACUGUUGGCAUUAAUAACAAUAUAUGACUUGGAACUAGAGUAGCUUGAUGUCAAGACUGCUUUUCUACAUGGUGAAAUGAGAGAACAAAUUUAAAUGACUCAACCUGAAGGGUAUGAAGCUCCAGGCAAAAAGGAUUAUGUUUGUUUACUUAAAAAGUCUCUUUAUGGUAUUCAUCAAUCCCUAAGGCAAUGAUCUCUUAAUUUUGAUCAGUUUAUGGUUACACAUGAUUUCAAAAGGUGUAGUUAUGACUGUUGUGUAUACUCUAAGACACUAAACCCUAAUAUGUAUAUCUACCUAUUGUUGUAUGUCAAUGAUAUACUCAUUGCUUGUAACGAAAGAACUAAAAUAGAAGCCUUGAAGAAGCUCCUGAACACUGCUUUUGACAUGAAGGAUUUCAGAAGAGCAAAAAAGAUAUUGGGAGUUGAAAUCAUUAGAAACAAGAGCAGAGGUUUAGUAUUCUUGUCACAAGCGAAACAUCUUAAAAGAGUACUAUAGAAUUUCAAUAUGCUGGAUUGUAAACAUGUACAAUUGCCACUAGCUACACAUUUAUAACUUUGCAAGCUCUAUUAUCUAAAGUUGGAGGAAGGAAAGCAGAAGAUAAGUCAUGUUUCUUAUGCAAGUGUAGUAGGCUAGUUUAUGUAUGCCAUGGUUCACACUAGACCUGAUAUCUCACAUGCUGUGAGUGUUGUUAGCAGAUACAUGACAUCUCCAGGCAAAAAACAUUGGGAUGGUGUGAAGUGGAUUAUGAGGUCUCUCAAGAGCACUCUUAACCUUGGUAUCCCAUAUAAAAGGAAGACUGAUGCUGCAUUUACUAAAUUGGAAUGUGAAUAGUGAAUGGGAAUAAGAAUAAGUUAUUUACUUGAACUGUAGGAAUCGAAAUUGUAAUGAGAAUGAGUUAAAUUGUAACAAAUUACCAAAAAGUACUUAAUGAAUUAUUGUCACAAUUAUUAUGUUUAAUUCAAGUGGAUAAGUGUUGAGCAGCUGAAUUCAAACACUUAUAGAAAGAAAAUGGUAAUGAUUUGCAAAUGUUUAAGUUGUUUUCAAAUCACGUGAAUGAAGGAUGGUUGCUUAAACUUGGAAUGACAAUUGAAGUGGUCUUUUCGGCUAUAAAACAGGGUUAUCAAGCUUAUUUAAUAAUGGUUCUAAAGAGUUCCUAUAAGAGAUUUGUGAGUGAGAAAGCUUUUUCUUGAGGUCUGUAAUCUUCAAUUGAGUUCUUGUAAUCUUCUUCUUUGAAUCAAUCAAUAAAGCCAGCUCUGAUGUUUUACCUAUGGAUGUAGGUCACUCAAAGACUGAACCAUGCAAUCUUGUGUUCUUGUUGAGCUUUCGGUUUGUGCUCUAUGUUUCAUUUAGAUCCAUUUUGUGUUCUUGAUUGUAUUGAUUUGUUUAGAUUGUUUUUUUGUUUUAUCUAAUUUGAUUAAUCUUCAAGUCCUGAAUGCAACUUGUAUUGAUCUUGGAUCGAGAUCUUAGUCAAAGCUUUGCCUUAGUUGAGGUUUAUACUGAGCAAACUCUACACCUACAUAGGGAUUCUCUAUCCCCAGUCCACUGAAUGUUUUGAGGGAUGACAUGGAGAAUGGAGGUAAAAUUUUUAAUGGGGUGAGGAAUGGGGUAGGCCUCUCUACCCCCACCCUACCCCGUUGCCAUCCUUAUGAUUUAGUUUCUCUUUUUCGGUUAACUUAGGCAACUAAGUUUACUUUAUUAUAAAUAGAGAGGUCUAGUUAAACUUUUCAUAACUUUAGCUUUAAUUAUUCAAUAAAAACUCGUCUUUUAUAAUUUACUUUGGGAUAAUCUAUUGAAAAAUCUCUUUUGUAGAGCUGUUUGGAUUAGAGUGUCAUAUAAUCUCGUUUAAUGCAUUAUUAAAAUCUCACUGAGUUGUAUGGAUUAGAAUAAAAUCUAAUCAUACUUCCAUUAGAGUUAUAGAAUUUUCCUUAGUGAUAACAUGAAGUGCUGUUGUUAUUCAAUAUAUGGCAUACAUCAAAGGAUGUUGUUGAUUUAUUAUACAAUUGACUUAGUACAUACCCCUGAUGUAUGAAGAUGUUUCUUGUUUGUAGAUACUUUCACUAUUAUUAUUAGUAUUAAUACUUUAAUUUGUUACAUGUUUCUCUAAUCCAUAAUUCAUUUUUAAUUUAAAAUUUUCUCUUUCUUGGAGUCUCAAUUUCUCUAUUAUUGGGCAUCUCAAUUUUUUUCUUAUCAUUAGGUAAACAAAUUUUUUUUGUUCAUAAAUUCUCAAUUUCCAUUCACCUAAUGAGAGUAGAUCUAGAAAUGAUAGUAAUAAUUAAAAAAUUAAAAAAUAUUUAUGAAUUUGUGGAAUAAAUAAAUAUAUUAAUCUUUCUGAAGUUAGGACGCAAACAUAAGCUUUAUUUUAUAUUUAACGAGUUGUGGCUCUUAUAAACUAGUAUUGAAUCAUGCAUUGUAAUUGCCUAAUAUCAAUAAUAAAAGUUCUCUUAAAUUUCCUACUUCUUCCUUAUUCAUAUCAUUUAACAACUAAGCCAAUAAAUAAAAUAAUAAUAAUUAUAUUUUUUCCUGACAUUUUAGAAAACAAGAGGGAUUGCAAUGAAAAUAGCCUAAAUAAAUAUACCUUGCCGUUGGAUUUGCUUUUACCAUUCUUGCCUUGGAUCCAAUGGUUAAAUUACAAAAUGACAAAAGAAAUGGUAUGCUGCAACUGUUACAAUAUAUAUAUAUAUAUAUAUAUAUAUUCUCUAAUUUAGGAUCCUAGGUAUAUUAAAGUCCAAGAUCCUAAACUUUAUUAGAUUAUGCCUUGUUUUAAUUUAAUAAGGGAUUAGGUGUGUAUUUCUCUUGUCUUUUAGAUUAUUCAUUACUUUUAUCCGUCGGAUCCCAAGUACUUGGAUCAACCAAAAGGUCGAUUCUAUUUGAGCUAAUCAUUUUCAAAUGAUAUUUGCAUUGUUCACAAAGAUACUUUUUUAUUUAAGAAAUUUUCUAUAAUUUAAUCCAUAACAAUUUUUGCAUUGAACCCAUAACUGCCUGUAUUUUUAAGUUACAUUACUUUCAUUUGAAAUUUCGCUUAUAGUUAGAUCCCUUAAACAUUAUAUAUAUAGAAAUUUAUUAAUCUAGGAUCCUAACUUUGUUCAAGCCCGAGAAAGCUAUUAAGGCAUAUACUUUAAUAGUAUAAUGGCAUGACGCUAUUGAUCCAUAUGACUGAUAGCUUUUCCGGACUUCGAUAAAGUCUAGGAUCCUAGACCAUAUUAGUAUUACACACACACACAUAUAUAAGUACUGAUUUGGUCCAGGAUCUAGACUUUAUUAAUGUCUAGGAAAGCUAUUAAGCCAUAUGGUUUAGUAGUAUAAUGACAUUAUACUACUAAACCAUAUGGCUUAAUAGCUUUCUCGCCCAUUGUACUAUUAAACUAUAUAGUUUAUAGCUUUCUUGGACUUUGACAGGGAUAUCAGAUUAGAAUAUUUAUAUAAUCAUUAUUACGUACAGACGCCAUCAUUUUUUUAAAAUGUAGAAAUGCUGUUAAGUUAUAGUUUUAAUAGAGUUAUUUUUUAAUGCACUUUAAAGCAGUGCGGCUUUAUGGCAUUAAAAUUUAACUCUAUAAAAUCCCAUGGCUUAAAAGUGUAUUUGCAUGAGAAAAAUGGCGGCGCUCGUGUUGGAGAUGGACUGCAGAUAUUCGCAUAAUUUUUUGUAGAAAUUUGGGGUUUCACAAUUGUUUGAAAGCCUUUUGCAUCAUUGUAAAUCAUUUCACAAUGUUGUAAAAACCUUUCACACUAUUAUAAAACUCUAAAUCUGUACAAAAAUCAUGAUGACAUCUGCUAGGAGAGAAUACCUCUUUCUCUCUCUCUCUCUCUCUCUAUAUAUAUAUAUAUAUAUAUAUAUAUAUAUCAUGUUGAUCUAGUCCACACGAUUUAACAACUUUCCCAUAUUUAAAUAGAGUUCAGUAUCCCGAAUUAAAAAAUAUAUAUAAUUGUUUUCUAGUGUGGAUACCCGCAUCUUUUAAAAUAUGGAUUUAUUAUAUACACUAUAUGUCAUAUACGACGAAUCCACAUUUUCAGAGGAUACAUGCAUCCGCAUCUGAGCAUGUUUAUAUAUAUAAUAUAUAUGAAGUCUCUCACUUUCCAAGCACAAACAUUGAAAAAACAAAUGAAAGAACAAGAUGUUUCUACCAUAGAUUAUCACUAUGUACUUGUUUGUGUAUAAUAAACAAAGAAUAACACGACUCACUUAGAACAAGUCGUUAAUGAUCUACACAAAACGUAACAAGUAAUACAUAAAUAUUUAAAUCAAGAAUGCUAUUGCUAUGAAUUUCAAAUAUUAACAAUUUAUUUUUGUGAUAGCUACAGUUAAAAUGUUAUAUUAAUUAGAACUCGAACAAGUGGACUGGGUCGCCAGUGAAAGCCAUUGGUUGAUCUAUAUCAGUNNNNNNNNNNNNNNNNNNNNNNNNNNNNNNNNNNNNNNNNNNNNNNNNNNNNNNNNNNNNNNNNNNNNNNNNNNNNNNNNNNNNNNNNNNNNNNNNNNNNGAAACAAAGUAUAAUUACGUACAUAUUUACAAUAAUUAAUUAAAAGGGGGGAGAGAGAUUAAAGCAAAUAAAGUAAAGAAAUUUAAAAAUAAAAUGGCCACUCUGAAAAAGAGAGGAUUGCAUAUUUUAUCUAUACUUUUUAAUAAAUAAUGUAAAAUUAUUUAAUGAACAAAUAUAUUGAAUGUAUAUAUAUAUAUAUAUAUAAAUAAAUUUAUAUUGAAUUAAUUAAUAAUAUGUUACGAAGAUUGAUCCAGAAGGAUAUUGCUUCACAUAAAGUCUGGAUCUUAAACAUUACUUCUUUAACUUUUUUAGUCCUACAUAUUUAAUUCACUACUGCUACUUUGACAAUUAAAAUUUAAUCAUUAUAAUGAAAAAGUAAAAAACCGAAAAUUUACUGUUUUACAUGCAACUAAAAAGGGCAAUAAAUUUACUAACACUUUGGGCUUGUUUGGCAAUUGCUUCUUGGAAAGAUUAAAAGUGAUUUUGAAAAAUUAAAAGUUAAUUUUGAUUUUUGAUAAACAUCUUAAAAAUUAUUUUUGGUAAAAUUUAGUAGAUUUUGAAAAGUAAGUAAGGAAUGGCUUUUCAACAUUUGAUUUCGAGAAUAUGUUUUAUACUAAUUAUAAUUUUAUAUAUAUCCUCACAUAUAUUAUAAAAAUAUAAAAUUACCCUUAUACAAUUAGGAAAUGAAAUGAACAAAUUUAGAGGGAUUAAUAUUUUUACCAAUAAUAUUGAGAUAACAAUAUAAAAUAAUUACUUUAAUUAUCAAUUAUUAUAUUUACACAAUAAAAAUAUUAUAUAUAUAUAUAUAUAUAUUUGUAAAUGUGUAAAUAAAUUUUAUUUAAUAUUAUGUCCAUUUGUAUUCUUACAACAAUUUAAUAGUAUGAUUUAUCAAAUGCAUACAACUAUUUUUAAAACUCACAAUACUUUUAAAAAUUAAAUUUACUAGAUAUUUAUGAGAUUCUCUUCACAGUGGAUUAUUUCUAUAGUAUAACUAGUAGUAAUUAUUUUAAAAGUUACAGCAUUACCAACUGUCCCUAUACCACUUUUUCAUGACAAUAGUGAAAAGUUGAAAAGACCCGCAAAUCAAUUGAAGAAAUUGAAAUAAUUAAAGGGAAUUUUUUGACUUUUCACUUAUUAUAUAAAAAUUUUCUCAACUUUUGAACAAAAUAAAUUUUGAAGUUUUCAAUGUUUAGUUAAAGGAAUCUCAAAAUGAUAGGAAAUAUGACUUGUUUUUUUUUUAAAUAAGGAUUUCUUAGGAUAUUUUUUUCUUUAACAACAUUCCUAUUUAAGGAAUAAGUAAUUUUCCCUUGGGAUUUAACUUAUUUAAGGAGGAGCAUAUCUAGUGUAAGAAAAUGAAUACUUCUCCUAUAAGAAAUAAUCACUAUAUAUAGGGAGGUUAAGUUUACUUAUUUGAAUAAUAUAACAAUCAGUUCUUUACAAGUAGAUAGUUUCUAAUAUGAGAGAAACAAUAGGUCUUUUGAGAGAUUGAAUGUUAUUGAGGUUUUGGAUAUGAGAAAAAUACCAGAGUAUUGUAAUAAUUUUUCAUAGUGGAUUUUUCUCUCGCCAUCUUUGGCACCCAUGGUUUUUAUCCAGUUUAGGAGUUUUCCACGUAAAUUCUUAUAUUGUGUGAUUGGUUUUAUUCUCCAUCUAUUUUCUAUUUAUUAUUUGUUUGAUAUUUUUGCUUGUGGGAUCUUGGGUGGGAUCAAAAUUUUCCUAACAAGUGGUAUUAGAGAUAAGGUUGCAAUGCAGAGCAAAUAUAUCAACAAUAAUGUUUUCAAAACUUUUGAAGAUAGGUGAUGGUUGUCGAAGCCAGCAAAAAUAAAUACCUACCCUAAAUAAAUUGUGUAUAGUGAUUGAGCAUGGUCGUGUCCACAAAGAUCGGUAAUUAUUUAAAUCCUUUUAAAAUGUAAAAUGUAAAAUGCAAAAUGGGGGAAUUGUUGACAAUAAUAAAAAUCAAAUUAAAAUAACAAGAAUGCAAAUUAAAAUUUGUAAUUCAAAUUGGGGAAAGCUCUGGUUGAAGGAAUUAACUCGGCUUGAUUCGACUACUAAUAUUGAUUGAAAUAUAAAUCAUUACUACUUAUGAAUAGACCGGUUAUAGCUACUCAGACCCUCUAAUAGCCAAUCUCUGCUUAACUAGUCGAUAACUAAGGUACGACCAUUGGUUAUUUCCCCAAUCAAUAGGCAACUCUAGAUACAAUCAUAAGAUUUAAUCAAUUGACAACCUGAAAAACCAGAGAGACCCAAAUCCUAAUCAACAAACGCAUACAAUGGUUCAUUUAAAUUAGAUUGUUUAUUCUCAUAACACAACGCAUUGCUAUGCUAUUUGUCACAAACAUUAAAAUCUUCAUACGAUGAAUCUUUUAAUUGACAAUAGAUUGAGUUGAUAAUUAAAUAGUGGCCAAUUAUCUAAUUAACAAACAUAAUCAUGACAAUAAUUUAGAGAAUAAACAAAUACCCAAAAAGCAAUAAAACAAUUAAAGCAUAAGAAAGAUCUCACAGUAAUGAUGAAUCAAAGCUUUAUUAACCUUCAACCAGAAUAAUAGGUUUAGUUCUUCAUAGAGAGAAGAGAAAAAUUUAGAUCUAGGGUUUCUUUUUUCCUCUCUCCUUGACAAUAGAUUCCUCCCCUUUAAUUCUCUCCCCCCCUUCUCCUCUAGAGUUCUUUUUAAAGAAUACUAAUAUCUAAAAUAUUAUCUAAAUAUUAAAUUCAGAAUUACAAAAAUAACCAAAAAGACAAAACACGUUAAACUAAAAACUGCAGGUCUUUAGUUGACAGCACUCGCCCACGCCUUAUCAACAAAGUUCUUCUGAAGCUCAUAAUUUCUCCAGGAAAACAAUCAUCCUCAAACAUCAUCUUGUAGCUCAAUUUUAGCACCAAUCAAUAGAAUUGCACCUACAAAAAUAAAACACAAGUAAAUCACUAUUAUUAAGUGCAAAACAUUGAUAUUAAAGGAAGUAAAUAAUACAAAACUAGUGCAUAAAUUGCACUCUAACAAUAGGAAUAGAAAAGUUUGAUUGAAGAAUCAAUUUUGGCUAGUGGCAAGUUUAAGUUAAGGAUAUAUUAAUUCAAUCUGGCUAUAUAAGAAAAGUAAGGACAUUGUAAACCUUGUUCCCAUUGGUGGAAACCCCUGAAGGUGUGUCGACAAUCAAGGCACCAUCAAGAAGAAUGUCGGAAUAGAGCAAGUUUGACAAAUAGCUCUAAAAUCAAUAUAUUGAGAUAUUGAUAAUGUCAACUAGUGGUGAUCUCUUUUCUCCAUUUGAGACAGGUUUAUCUUUUUUGGCGUGCCAUGGAAGAGGAUGUCUUACUGCUAGUGGAUCCACAAGAUUUGCACACGAGGCAUGGUUUGGCACUAAUGGAAGGUGUGUGGUUGAAUUUUAUGUUGAUGGCUGAGGACUAUUGAGGAAGCCAAACAUGAAAGUGGCUAUUUUUUUUAGCAAAGAGAUUGACAUAUGCCGUAUAUGUGUACUCUAAAUAAAGUAGAGUAUGAUGAUUCUUGGUGUAGAGAAUUAUGACUGCUAGAUAGAGGAUAAGAUUUUACCCAUGGUGGAGUGAUUCUCAUAAGCCGUACGUGAAUGUUUUGGGGGGAGUAAAGAAGGUGAAGAUGACAUGGUUGUGUGAAUACACGAUAGAUCAUGUUUUGUCACUUAAUUAAAAAACUCGCUAAGGUAGAGAUUGUUAGGAAAUAUAUCUAAUUUUUCAGUAUAGAUUUCUAGGAUAUUUUCUUCUUUAGAAGGGUUCUUAUUUAAGAAAUAAGUAAUUUCUCAUUUGGGACUUAACUUAUUUAAGGUGAAAUACAACUGAGAUAAGAAAAUGAAUACUUCUCUUGAAAGAAAUAAUCACUAUCUAUAGGUAGGUUGGAUUCACUUAUUUAAAUAAUACAACAAUUAGUUCUAUGCAAGUAGACAUUUUCUAGUGUGAGAGAAACGACAAGUCUUUUGAGAGAUUGGGUAUUAUUAGGGUUUUGGGUGUGAGAAAAAGACUAGAGUGAUUAUAACAAUUUUUCACAUUGUGAAUUUUUCUCUCGUCAUCCUUGGAAGCCUUGGUUUUUCUCCAAUAUGUGAGAUUUUCACGUAAAUUCGUGUAUUGUGUGAUUGAUUUUAUUUCUCAUCUAUUUUCUAUUUAUUAUUUAUUUGAUAUUUUUCCUUGUGGGAUCUUGGGGGAUUAAAAUUUUCCCAACACAAAACAUGAUUUAUGCCGAGAGCUACUCUCGUAGAAUUUCAUGCAGAUCACGUGAAAUUGGAUCAAUGAUUAGAAAAAUGAUAACCGAAUUAUUGUAUUAAUUAACUACGUAUAAUGGAUCCUAAUCAUGCAAAAAAAAAAAAGCAAGAUUAUAUUGAUUUGUUCACUUUGGCUCGUGAUUCAUGCCGUUGAAAAAGAUCUUAUCUCGUAGAAUUUAGUGCAGAUCGAUAACGUAAAAUUGGAAUCAAUGAUUAUAAAAAUGAUGACCUAAUUGUAGUAUUAAUUAACUAAAAGACAUCCUAAUCAUGCAUAUGAAAGUUGCAUUAUAUUCUCUAAAUUAAAGAACGUACAUAUGAGUUAAUUUCAUUAAAAAAUCUUGAAUUGUUCACUUUGGCUUUUGAAAGCUUCAGUGAAACUAGCGCAGAAUCAAACUUUUCAAAGUAAAAUAUAAUUUUUUUUUCCAAAUGUAAUUUAAAAUUUAAACACGAUACGAAAAAUAGAAAAUAAUUAACCCGCAAUGUGUUAAGUAAUAAUUUAUUUUAUUAUUUCAUCAAUAACGUAUUCAUUAUUGACAUCAAUUAUUAAAUGACCUGAUACAUCAUAUAUCAUGUCACUUGAUAUACAAACUUAGCAUCCAAUUUUAUAUGUGUAGCUUUUUUUUUUUCUCUCUCUCUCUCUUGAAUAAUUUUCAAGAAAAUCUAGCCAAAUUCAAGAUUUUUUUUUUGAAAUGAAUGAACAAUCGUAUUUUGAAAACAAAAACAAAUAAAUACAGUUAAAAAUUAAGGUUUCCAAAAAUAAGACCCAUUUUGUGGUUGUUGCUAGUUAUAAAUUAAUAAUCUGGCUAUGUUGGGCCAAUGAAAUUAAUAAUCAAAUGGACAAAAGUAACUAGAUGUUUGAUAAAUUAUUUUAUUAUUUAUGAGUUUUAAAAAUAGCGUGCAUCAAUGGUGAAGUUAUAAACUUAUCUUAACCUGUUUUAAAUUAAAAUAAUUUUUCAAUAAACAUUAUUUAUUGAGACUAAUAUUAAUUGUUUUUAGUGAAGUUUAUGAAUUUUUUUAGGGACUAAUAUGAAAAUAUUAACUUUAUUAAGAUUAUAAAGAAUUGUGCUAAGGAGCUAAGGACCACUAUUAACUUUAUUUUAUUAAGAGUCGGAAGAGGUUUUUAAUCACGAGGCUCAUAGCUUUGCCUUUGAUGUGUAUGUGCUUAAUAAAUUUACUAUUAAAGCGUUUUGUUGUAUCCCAUCAAAAAUUUGGGAAAAAUUUUCAAUUUUGUUUACAGAAACAUCAUUAUACUAAUUUUACAAAACUGCUGUUGUUAUAUUUAUAAGUUUAUCAAUCCAUAUAAUUUUAAAAACAAGCUAUAUAAAUUAUUAAAUUUAAUUCAAAUCCUAAUAGCUCAUCAUAUCUACUAAAGCUCAACGUUUUUGUUUCUCACCUUAGAUUCUUGUUCUUUUUAAUUUAAUAAUUUUUAACUAAAUAAUUUAAAUCUUAAAAUCCAAAACCCAAUCACCAUAUGAUUAUAAAAAUAAGGAUUGUAAUUAAAGUCAAACAGUAAUUAAAAUAAAUUGAAAAUAAAUUAAUCAAACACGUUAGAAAAUAAAACACAAAAUUUACUUAUUAAUAUUUUACAUAAUUACAAGACAAACACAAAAAAAUAAUUAAAUAAAUAAACAAACUGAAAGAAAAAAUGGUAAUCAAUUCCUAGUGAUCUAUUUAAAUUCCCAGCAACUUCAUGUAGUAAUAUACAGUACCAAUUAAAAAAAUUUAGCCAACCCAAAAAAAAAAAACAAAAUCCCGGCUUUGCCCGUUUUAGCUUUUGAUAUAUCACUUUAAUAUUUCAAAAAAUCAAAUUUACAUGAAAUGAUUAAAAAAAAAAGAAACACUCAAUUAAAUAAAAAUCCAGUGAACACUACAACUGAAAACAUAGAAUAGAAAUAUGAAUAAAAUAAAAAAUAAUAUAUAUUACAGUUAUACUACACUUUUUGUAAUGCUUCUUUUUAAAACUCAAUAAUAGAUUAUAUGAAGAUAAAAGUACUACACAAAAAUAAAUGAUACCGGAUAAAAAAUUUUGGUAUUGCUAAAGACAUGAUUUACAGUAAUCAUAGUAAUGUAAUAUAUAUCAGGGACAUGAUUUUCAAAGUAGGAUUCGUGAAAAAAUAAGGCAAAAUUUUCUUUUCACUAAAAUAAUAUAUAAGGCUAAAGUAGAAACUCUAGAAGUGUUAUGUAUUACGUGGUGUAUUAUUUCGUAAGCUUCUUUAUGCAAAACAAUUCUCAAGUUAGUUUUGGAACUGCUACAAAAAGGAAAUAAUUAUAAGGAAGUGGAUAAAAAAUUGUCAAUUACUUUUUGUCAAAAUUGUAAAAUAAGUUAUGUUUAGCAAUCGAUUAUAUUCUUAUAAAGCACAUUAAUUAUGGUUUUCUUUUUAGAUUUAGAUUCAUUGUUAAUCUUAUUUUUAUACUGACAUCUUAAAAAUAUGUGAUUGGUAAUUUAAUUUAUUCGUAUGCACAAGAAAGAUAACAUUAUAAUUCUUUGUUUUUAUAAACUUGACCAAAACGUAUGCACAAGAAAUUCAGAUUGACAUCGACAACUAUAAACGAGGAGAUGCAAGCAUAAUUAUAAAAUAAUUGAAAAAACCUCACUGCUGCCGACAGCCAAUAUAUCACUCUAUAAGUAGCUGCCUGCAUGACCAAGCAUUUGUACAAACAAUUCUAUACAGAAGUACUUUCAUGGUACUGCGUCCAUAUGGCUUCCAGCUUGAUGCUGCUGCAACUACUCCCCUUUCUCUGCUUGCAUUGGCUUAUUUUUAUUGCCUCUACUUCAUCAAAUGAAAUUCCCAAGGUAGAUCAAUAUUCUAUUAAUUAAUUAACUUCUUUAACUAAUUUAAAACUUGCACAUAGCAAGCACAUUCCUUUUGUUAUCUCUAGUUUUCUGUUAUAGCAGCCUUAUAUUGUUUACAUGGGAAGCUCAUCGAAAUCGAAUCUUAUUAUUCAAAAUGGAGAAGAUGUUGAAAUUGCAAAGCUGAAUCACAUGCAACUAUUAUCUUCGAUUAUUCCAAGGUUACUUUUGUUAUUGUAAUCAUUUUUUAUUCAUCAUUAACAGCGGAUAUUAAUUUGCCACCAGUUGGUCCUAUACUUUUAAAUUUUUGUCAAUGUAUUAUUGGUAAGUGGUUAUACUUCCCAAAUAGAGUUAGCAGUUUUAUGUAGAAUUAAGUAAUUGUAAAAGGCUUAUAGAUGUAUGAUUACCUAGUGGUUCAGAUUUCGCUAUCUGGGUUUUUUAUCAUGUAUUAUUUUGUUAUAUCCCUGUUUAGAUGUCGUUUCUCUUUCAUUUAUUUAGCUCUCGUCGUUCUGCCGAAGCUUACUUCAGAAAAAAAAAAAAAUUCUUGCAGUGAAGAGAGUGAAAGAUUAUCUCUAAUCCACCAUUACAAACAUGCUUUCAAGGGCUUCUCCGCCAUUCUUACAGACUCUGAAGCUUCCGCACUCUCUGGUACUUCCUUUUCUUUUCCUUUUUUUUUUAGAAUUACAUAAAUUAAUGUGAACUGAAUCCGAGAGUGAAAUUGAAAAAUAAGUUGCUUUUGCUUUGUAAUAGUUACUUUAGUGUUUUUUGUUGGGUAAAUGUUUGUUUUGUCUAUAAUUUUGGUUAAACAUUUAUUUAGUCCUUAUCUUUUGUAAAAUAUAUGAAGACACCCCUGGUAUUAAAUAUAUUAUAUUUAUACCAUUACUUUUUUUUUACAAUAAUAACUUUACAACUAUAUCCCUGGUACAUAAAUAAAAAAAUAUAAAUGUUAUCAAAUUAGACCUAAAAGUAAAAUAAUUUUAUUAAAAAAUUAAAAAUAAUUUUAUUAUUAUUAUUAUUAUUAUUGUUGUUGUUGUUGUUGUUGUUGUUGUUGUUGUUGUUUACUUUUAGGUUACAAUGGUAAAUUAAAUUUUUUUUAUAAAUAUUCACUAGCAAGAUUGUCGCAAGAUUAAACAUUGCUUUAAGGUGGCUGGCAUUUAUUUAUUUACAAAUAAUUAUUAAAAAAAUUGUUACAAGAUUAUAAAAACACCCGAUGUUUGAAACUGACAAUUUUUGGUUAAACUACUACCAAUAAAUAAGUUUUUUUUCUUUGCUAAUUAACUUUUUUUUACUAUUACAUUAAUUAAUAUCCCUUAGAUUGUUGCAAAGGUAUCAUUGUAAAAGUCAAGAAAAAUAAGGAAAAAGUAAGGGCAAGAAUCUUAUAUUUAAGUGCAGAGUUAUCUUGAAGUAUUUUUUAAAAUAUAAGAACUAAAUAGAUAUUUAGCUCAAAAUAUAAGAACUAAAUAACUAUUUAUCGUUUUUUAUUUUUACCACUUACCCUCUUAUAGUGUAUAUAGUAAUAAUCGGAUAUUCUCUUGCUUUGAAAAUUUUAGCCAAAAAAAAAAAAAGAAAAAAAAGAAACUCAUCUCAGACUCUCGGUACGUUACAAAGAACUAUAUUGUUUCUUUGUUAACAUUUUGAACAUUAAGAUUCAGCGGAGUAACAGGGUAUUAUAAAAUCUAUAUACGUGUAGGUGACAGAGGUACUUUUUUAGGGGGUAAAGUGAUAAUCUCUCAAUUUUAAUUUUAUGAAAGCUUGUUUUUGGUAAUGGUAAUCUGAUGAUGUCGAAAAAUAUUUGAUGAAUGCAAUGUUACUGUUAAGCAGGUCAUGAUCAUGUUGUAUCUGUCUUCCCUGAUCCCGUUCUGCAACUCCAUACAACUCGUUCUUGGGAUUUCUUAGCAGCAGCCGCGAAACCAGCCAAGAACACUUGGUUUAACCACAAAUAUCAUAAAGCAGCAAGUGAUAUCGUAAUUGGAGUUAUAGACACAGGUUAAAUACUUAUGCUUAAAUUUUCAUUUCAGGCUAUAUGAAUAUUUAUAAGAAAUUUAAAAGAACUAGCUAGCUUUUAUUAUUUUAACAAAAUCUCUAGACAAAGAGAAUAAAGUCAUAGCAAUCAGACACUUACUUUAUGAUUACUCUCAAAAUACCAGUUUAACUUUUCUAUAUUUGAACUUUUGGAUUGGAAAAUUUUUUAUACUUCAAUUUGAUUUAAUAUUGAGGAAUGCUGCUCAUAUUAUGUAAAGCAAUACUGUUAAUUGACAAAAUAAUCUAAUUAAUACACAAAUUUUAGUACCUUUCAAAAUGCAAUACAAAAAUUUCUACGUUUAUAUAGUAGCGCUCGAUAAUAGAGUUCGAAGUUACUCAUUAGAUUAUUUAACAUGAUCGUUUUUCGUUUAGGAAUAUGGCCUGAGUCUCCAAGUUUCAAUGACCAAGGAAUGGGUGAAAUCCCUUCAAGAUGGAAAGGUGUUUGUAUGGAGUCCCCUGACUUCAAGAAAUCCCAUUGUAAUAGGUGAGGAUAAAUAAAAUCAAUGGUGGUACUGAUAAUCAUGUUGAGGCGCGGGCGUUCAGAUUUUAUAAAUAUGGGAUUAAUUUGAACAGCUAGAAUCAAAAUUGUACAGUGCUUUAAGAUAAUUCAACAUUAUACAAUCUGAUUCUAGUUCAAAUCUGAAUUCUACAAAAUUCGAAUGUUCAGACUUGAGCAUGAUACUAACUAAUAUCCCACCGUAAUACAAGUAUCUUCUCUGGGUGUACUGCAGGAAGUUGAUUGGAGCAAGACACUGUAGCAGAGCAUCCACUAAUAAAGACAAUAGUGGGUCAUCAAGGGAUCCUCUAGGCCACGGAACUCACACUGCAUCAACAGCAGCUGGCAACUAUGUGUCCAACGCCAUCUAUUUCGGCUUAGCCGGCGGCACAGCCAGAGGUGGCUCCCCUUUUUCCAGGAUUGCAAGCUACAAGGCCUGUAAGGAAGGUGGCUGCUCAGGUGCCGCAAUUUUACAGGCAAUUGAUGACGCAAUUCAUGAUGGAGUUGAUAUCAUUUCAAUCUCAAUUGGGUUGUCUAAUUCAGAAGCCGAUUACAUGAAUGAUCCAAUUGCUAUUGGAGCUCUUCAUGCUCAACAAAGAGGAGUCGUGGUUAUUUGUUCUGCUGGCAAUGAUGGACCUUAUCCUUUCACUGUUGCAAAUACAGCUCCAUGGCUUUUUACAGUUGCUGCUUCUACGAUUGAUAGGGAUUUUCAAUCUACGGUGCUUCUUGGAAAUGGGAAAGCUAUCAAAGUAAGAUUAUAAAAGAAAAUUUAGGAUUCAUUUUACUUCUUUUCAUGCUCUCUUUAAUUAAAUGAUUUUUCUUCUUUUCAUGCUCUUUUAAUUAAAUGGGGCUCAGGUCUAGACUUCCGGAUUAUACAAAAUCUGGAUUUGAAAUACCAUUAGAAAUAUAUUUAUUGUAAAAUAACUUUACCGUGCAGUACAACACGGAUCAUAGUUCAAAUUCAGAUUUUUUUUUAAAUCUAUGCAUAAGAACCCAAUUAAGCAUAACUGCCUUUCAUUUAUUAACAAAGCGUUUUAUUUGCAGGGAACUGCAAUUAGUUUAUCAAAUCUUUCUCGCUCAAAGACUUAUCCCCUUGCAUAUGGGAAGGCUAUUGCUGUUAACUCUACACUUGUUUCCCAAGCUAGGUAAUUCUAUGCCCUUUAUUCUCUGACAUUUUCAUCCUUCUAAAUGACAAGGCCAUUACAUCUAAAGGGAUAGUAAUGAUCCUAACAAUAUUGUUUCUCACUUAGUAUACAUAGUGAACACCACCACUACAUGGCAUUAUUUUGAUUACUGAGGUGCUAUAAGGUGAUGUCUCGUUAGUGAUUACUGACCAUACCAUCUCUCUCUCUCUCUCUCUGUGUCUUAUAUAUAUACAUACACACAUACACCAGUGUGGAAUUUUACAUAGAUAUAGACAUCCAGUGUUGAAUUGACAAACACCAUGGACCGAUUUGUAAGUCGACUUCAUAAUUGGAAGACGACUAUGACACUUUACUGGCUGUAUUAUAAACAUAUCUUUAAAAAAAAAAAAAAAGAAAGAGAGAGAGAGAAAGAGAGAAAAUUUCAUGAAAUGUAAAAGACUAAAUGAAAAUUUCUUAUUUAGCCCCUAUUGCUAUAUAUUAUUUACAAAACCUACCAAAGUUUAAGGUCUCUUGACUAUAGCCCCCCAAUUUUGGCCUCCUAAAUUUUAUAAAGUUUAUGUUAGAACUUAUUCAACUGUAUAGUUUCUUUAUUAUGUUCCUAUCGAACCAAAAUCCUUGUUCAGUCAGUGCCUUUAUACAACGCUAUGUAUAGUAUAGCCAUAUUCACAUUGCAUCUCAUGAAUAAAUUUGCAGAAGUUGUCGUUUAGGAUCCAUAGAUCCCAAGAAAGUUGCUGGCAAAAUCCUUGUUUGCAUUCACACAGACCCAAUGGAUACAAGAGGAAGGAAGAUAGCAGUGGCAGAAAAUGUUGAAGCUCAAGGGUUAAUUUUUAUUAAUGAUGACGAGAAAAUUUGGCCUACUGAAAGAGGCAUAUUACCAUAUGCAGAAGUUGGCAAAGUUGCCGGAUUUCGGAUUAUUAAUUACAUCAAUUCUAACAAGUAAGCCAAAGCCUAAGUAUUCUUAUAGUUAAUGUUGUCUGUACUACAAAUUAAUCAACCAUCAAUCGAUUGUUAUCAAAUAUUUACACCAGCAGGAAUCCAACCGCAACAAUCCUGCCAACAGUAACCAUUCCAAGACAUAGACCGGCACCGGUUGUUGCAUAUUUCUCAUCAAGGGGUCCAGGAUUGCCUACAGAAAACAUUCUCAAGGUUAUUUCUCAGUCAAAUUAGACUUUACAUUAAAUACAUUUAUAAACCAUGUGGAAAAAAAUAACUGAUGGUCACAUCGAUUCUUAUUACGACAAAUAUGCCUUUAAGUAUAGUGAACCAUUUGUAUUUCAUCCCGGCAUAAUUAUUUUAAAUGGGGCCUAUGUGACCAUUUCGCCAAAUCACAAGAGUGUCACUGUUCUUUGCCCUAAAUCAUCAGUUGAAAAUCUAGAAUGCUCAUUGUUUUCAAGAUUAUUAUUCAGAGUCAAAUGGAUGUCCUUAAAAAGUACUUUUUGUGUGUUAAUUUUGUUUGCCAUGUGCAUUCAGCCCGAUGUAGCGGCUCCAGGAGUUGCCGUUUUAGCAGCAAUAGUUCCAAGGCCAGAUAGACCUGGGGGCAUCCCAGCAGGAGAGAAGCCGGCCACAUAUGCUUUAAGGUCUGGAACAUCCAUGGCUUGCCCGCAUGUCACAGGAGCUGCUGCAUUCAUCAAAUCUGUGCGCCGUAAAUGGACCUAUUCCAUGAUCAAAUCAGCACUUAUGACAACAGGUACUCCAAUAUUCCAAACACCAAGAUUCUCUCCUGAUCUGAGUUUUUUCGGAACAAAAUUCACUCGGAUUAUUGGUAGUUUUAGCUUAAAUUAUGCUCCAAUUACAAUAGAAUUGAUACUGGUUAUUUUCGUUUUAUAUAUGCAGCAACCGUGUACGAUAAUACAGGGACACCCCUAACAAAUAGUUCAGGCAACAAUGCAAAUCCUCAUGAAAUGGGAGCUGGAGAAAUUAACCCGCUGAAGGCUCUAAAUCCAGGACUAGUUUUCAAAACUACAAUAAAAGAUUACCUUCGAUUCCUUUGUUAUUAUGGAUAUUCUAGGAAAAAUAUUCGAUCCAUGACAAACACAACGUUCAACUGCCCCAAAAAAUCAUCCGCAAAACUAAUCUCAAAUAUUAACUAUCCAUCAAUCUCUAUAAGCAAGCUUGCUCGCCAAGGAGCAAUUAGGACUGUCAAAAGAACAGUGACAAAUGUCGGAUCGCUUAAUGCCACAUACAUUUCCAUGGUGAAUGCUCCUUCAGGAUUAGCAGUCAAGGUGUUUCCUCAGAAACUUACUUUUGUUGAGGGUAUUAUAAAAUUGUCUUUUAGAGCUUCCUUUUUCGGCAAGGAAGCUUCGAGUGGGUAUAAUUACGGUUCGAUAACAUGGUCGGAUGAUCAACAUUCUGUCAGAAUGAUGUUUGCUGUGGAUGUUGAAUGACUUAAAGAUCAAUAAUUAGUUGAAUAUAUAAGAGGGUGAUGAAUAAUAAUUGAAUGUGUGGAGGCUAGUUUUGAGUAUAACCAAUUGAAGUUUAUGCACAAUUAUGUUCAUUCGUUGCAUCGAUAUCAGUGAUGAGAAUGGUGUUCGUGCUUUGAAAAUCUUAAGAUGAUCAUUGUUGUUAAAUGUAAUUUAUUUGGGAGGACGAUGUUUUUAGUCAGGUGUGUAUUCAUAAUCCAGAUUGUAUCUUUUCUGCGGCGUAAAGAAAUUAAUUUGUCUUUUCUAGAAAAAAAAAAGUUCAAAUCAAUUUUUAAUCUCUACCUCCUAGGAUUUAAAAUUCUAAAUCUGAUAGUUAGUUAAAUAAAACUACUUGUUGUACUUGAGGUAAUUAUCUUCUCAUUUUUUUCCCAAAAAUUAUAACAAUAAAUAAGAGAGUGGGAUAGUUGCUUAUAAGAAAUAAUGAUAGCAAUAACAAGGCUCCAGUACUGAACAUAUAUCUCAUCAUAUACUAAGCUUAAAGCAAGCUCAUGUGUCACAUUCCAAAUAAAGGAUCAAAGGGUGAUUUUUCUAUCAAAUAAUCUCUCUCUUAUAUAUAUAUAUAUAUAUAUAUAUAUAAAAUAAUACCUCAAAAGGUCAUUAAACAUAGAAUUGAACAAAAUUACUUCUUAAAAGAAAAAGACAUAUAACAUUUAAUAAGAUAAAAAGUUUGAUGUCUUAAAUAUACAUGUCAAAAGUCUUUCUAAGACUAAGGGAACAAAGAAACACGAUUAGCUUUGCCCAAUUUAUUAUGCACGCUAGAUCCUUCAAUCAUUUGUGAAUCAUAACAAGCUAUAAUGAGUAUAAAAUUCAAUAAGUGAAUUAGUUUUUCAUUUAGCACGAUAAGUACACAAUAUAUGAAUUACGUGUGGCAUGUAAUGGCAUGACUACAAACUUACUUACAUUCAGAGGUUUCACAUUUGACAAAUCACUUACAAAAUCUUUCACUCUUAUUCUAGGAAUGCCCACACCUGGUUACUAUUAAGGAUACUCCUAAAGUCAUGGUGUAAUUGUACAAUUCCUUUAUUAUUUGUAUAUUUGACUUUCAUAACUCUAGGAUAUAAUUGUGCACUUACUGUAAUUAACUAGCUCUAGUUGUGUAUAUAUUGAAAACAUAUAAAUGAAAACAGCAAGUUGUUCCUGCUAUCUCUCCUACCUAUAUUCUUUAUUUUAUAUAGAAUCAAAGCAUUUCAUAUUCCAACGAGUGCUCCAAUGGUUGAUGAUAUCUCUUCUUCCUCAUCCUUUUAUUCUCCUAAUGUUGUUAAUCCUAUUGGAUAUAUCAACAACCUUAUCUCCAUUAAUGUUACAACCCAAACACCAUUAAAACUCAACCCUUCAAACUAUACCCCUUGAAGAGCACAAUUCAACUCCCUUCUCAUUGGAUAUGAUCUAAUGGUUUACCUUGAUGGAACUCUACUCUGCCCUUCACCCAUUCUCAAAGAAAAUGGAAAAGAAGUUGUCAAUCCCAAUUACUCUCUGUGGAUCCGCCAAGACCAACUUCUCCUUAGUGCCAUUUUGGCUUCUAUUUCCACCAAUGUCAUCCCCUUUGUUGCUUCUGCAAAAACUUCCGAAGAUGCUUGGGACACACUUGCUACUAUAUAUGCCAAACCUUCUAUGGUCGUAUCAUGGGAAUUCAAGAACAAUUAUCUCAGGUCACUAAGGAUUCCAAAAGUGUGACUGAUUAUAUGCAAACUAUUAAGAGCCUUGCCGGUGAAAUUGCCCUUAUUGAUGCUCCUCUCAAGAGUCAAGAUCUUACAUUCCAUGUACCUAAUGGCCUUGGAUCUGAUUUCGAAGAAGUUGUUGCUGUUGUAUGUGCUCGUGAAAAUCCAAUAUCUUUUGAUGAACUCCAUGACAAGCUUGCUGAUCAUGAGAGUUUUCUUAAGAGAGAGGCAGAAAAUUUUGAAAAACCAACUAUUACAGCCAACUACGCAAACAAACUUAGUCAAAAUGGUGGAAAAUGAAACAAUCAAAAUAAGCAAGGCAAUCAGAAUAAUCCAUACAAAGGCUAUCAGAACCAGCCAGGACAUCCAUCGGCCAAUAGCCAGCAAUCAAAAUCCUAAACCUUACAAGGGCUUUUGUCAAUUGUAUGAUCAACAAGGUCACACUACUAAAAGAUGCCCGAACUCCCACCAUGCUCCUAAUUUUUUCCAUGCUCCUUCUCCCUGGAUGCCUUCCACACUACCUCAGUCAUACUAUCCCAGAUUUGGUUAGUCUCCACGUGCUCAUUUCGCAGCACAACUGGGUUCCACCACCAAUUGGCUUGUGGACUAUGGGGCCUCUCACAAUGUUACUGCUGAUAAAAAAAAUCUUUCUUGGCAUUCUGAUUAUGAUGGUUCAGAAGAUAUAAUGAUUGGUGCUGGUAUUGAGCUUCCAAUAACUUGCACAGGUUCAACUAAUUUACCCUUACCUUCUAGAUCCUUUGUUCUUAGUGAUGUUCUUUGUGUUCUUAGCUUGAAAACAAAAAUCUUUUAUCAGUUUCUGAACUUUGUAAUUCAAAUAAUGUUUCCAUUGAAUUCUUACCAUCUUCUUUUGUGGUGAAGGAUCUUCGUACGGGUGCACAACUCCUCGAAGGGCCGAAUAAAGAUGGAAUAUAUGAAUAGCCAGCCCAUGCAUCGUCCAUGUCAAAACCUAUCCUUGCCUUCGCUAGUGUCAAAGCACCAUUCCAACAAUGGCAUAACAAACUUGGCCAUCGCUCUAACAAAAUACUUAAUAAUAUAAUUUCUGCUCAUAAUUUGCCAUUAUCAUCUUCUGUCACCUUAGAUCUUUAUUGUAAUGUUUAUAACUGCAAUAAAUCUUAUAAAAUUCCUUUUAACGUGUCAUCUCUUCGAAGUAAUUCUCCAUUAGAACUUAUAUAUUCAGAUGUUUGGGGACGAUCACCUAUUCCAUCUCUCAAUGGAUUUAACUAUUAUGUGAUUUUUGUCGACCACUAUACAAAAUAUAUAUGGUUAUUUCCUAUUAAAAGAAAAUCUAAUAUUGCUUUAAUCUUUACUUGUUUUAAAUUAGUUGUGGAAAAAUUCUUCCAAUGUCCCAUCAUUUCCACUUACACAGAUGGUGGUGGUGAAUUUCAAGCUUUAAAAUCCUUCAUUGAAUCUCAUGGUAUCUUUCAUUUCCUUACUCCAUCACAUACUCUCCAACACAAUGGUUCAGCUGAGCGUUGUCACCAUCAUCUUGUUGAAACGAGACUCACUCUCUUGAAUCAAGCUUCUUUACCCCUUUAAUUUCGGACUUAUGCCUUUUUCACUGCUGCCUAUCUUAUUAAUCAUAUGCCCACUCCACUCCCCUAAGUAAUCGCACCAUUCGAAAAUUAUUUGGUCAUUCACCUAAUUACAUAAAAUUACGAGUGUUUGGGUGCCUCUGUUAUCCAUGCCUCAAACCUUGCACUCCUCAUAAAUUAUAACCUAAAUCUAAGCCUUUUGUUUUCUUAAUUUAUUCCUCCACACAAAGUGCUUUUAAAUGCCUUUCUCACUCGCCUAACCGAAUUAAUAAUAAUUCUGAUAUCUAAGAAUUCUACCAAAAAUUCGAUAGAGUCUCCUAUAUAAUUAUGACAUCCCCAACCUGCAAUUUAUACAAUUAACACUCCCAAAAAUGAUGUAAUAUUUAAUCAACCUCCACAACCAACUUCCUUAAUUUAAAUACCAGUAUCCUUCAAACAUAUAAUGUCAAGAAUACAAUAAUUUAUCCUUAAUCACAAAUAAGUAAUAAAUUAUACAAUUCAAAAUGUCCCAACAAAACAUCUAUGAUUCCUAACACCAUCACGUGGCCAUAAUUUUAAAUCUAACUAUCGUUGCUAGGUCAACUGAUGUAACUGCAAAUCUCCUAUGGGGGGGGGGGGGAAUAUAAUAAAAACAGGGUGAGUAUAAAACUUAGUGAGCUCAGUGAGUGGAUAGUAGUUUUUGGAAAAGUAAAUUUAUUUAAAAUUCAAAUCAAUUUCAUCAAAACAUCAUAAGAACUUACAUAAACUUAUUUAAUUUAAAUCAUGCACUGAAAUAACAAUAUUUCAUAAAUGUGCAUAAAAUCAAUGAAAUUAUAACACUUAUAAUAUCACUUACAAUAUCAAAUAUUGAAUACCAAAAACUAUCACCAAACAAGUACCCAGGGGAAUAAUCUCAUCAUAUCCGGACCUCGACAGAUUGGCAAUUAGGGAACCAUCAUGCCCUAGAGCUACAAUGGAUAGACAGGGAAAUGUCAUCUCAUAUCUCAUGUAUCUCAUCAUAUCUGUGCAUGCAUAAUCUGAUCCCCAAAGGACAAGGCGCCCAAGCACACGGCCCACAGCCUCUAUGUGUACUCAGACGGGCCCCAAAGGCCUAUAUCUCAUCUGUAUCAUCACAUCUCAUCUGUAUCAUCAUAUCUCAUCGGUAAAAUCUGAAUCUCAAUAUCUGUAUCUCUAUAAUCAUCAUACUGCAUGCAUAUGCCCCCAAAAGGUAAAAACGACCAAAAACACGGCCUAAAGCCUCUAUGUGUGUUCAGACGGGCCCUAAAGGCCUCUCAUCUCAUAUCAUCUGUAUCACUGUAUCUGGAGGGGAUGAGUAUUGUCCAAUGAUUUUACAAACAACAUUUUACACACAUGUACAUAAACAUAUAAUCACAUCUGAAUUCUCAUUUCCUUUUUAUUCAACAUAUCUCAAUUCCACUUAAUUCUCUUUUAAACUAUUAUCAUGAAUUUACUCAAAAGCGAUAAUAAAACCAUUAAUCAAACUCAUUCUCAAUAAUAAUAAAUAUCAGCACGCAGAUAAAAAUUCAUUUUCUAGAAAAUCAUUAAAUCGAAGUAUCAAAUACUUAUUAUCAAAACAUGUUGUACUGUAUGGUAAAAUUAGAAUAUACUAUGAAAAUAGGUUUUGUAUAUUCCACUCACAGUGACUAUGUCCCGACUCGGUAUCAACAAUGUCCAUGGGUUGAUUCUCGUUCGCGGUUCCUCCUAAUCAAGUAAACGACAUAAUCAUUCCCCAUAAAUUUGAAAUACAACUAAUUUUACAUAAUAAUUCUCGAAACGAAUAUCUAUCCACAAUAAACUAUUCCCACAUACAUAAAAUUACCAAAAUACCCCUACAUGUCAAAAUUACCAAAAUGCCCCCAACAUCAUUAUUUUACCGAAUUAUCCUUAGAAUCUUUAAUUACCAAAUUGUCCUCAAUUAAGAUAACAAAAAUAACCACAAUGUCAGAAAUUAUGAAAUUACCCUCGGAGUGUAAAAUUACCAAAUUACCCCCGAAAUCUCAAAUUACCUCACUGUCUCAAUCUAAAAUUACCAAAUUAUCCAUCGAUUCCAGACAUUACAAAUUCACCCUAAAGUCUUGUGAAAUUAUUGAAUUGCCCCCACCGCUCAACAGUGACCGAACUUCAAUCAACGGCGACGGGAAGCUCAAGUCUGAUAGUUCUGACCUCGGUGAGUCCAAUGGUGUUGGCGGUGACUUCCCACGCGCGGCGAUGGCGGUGGAUCGUGCUCCCAAAGCUGUGAGCUUUCCGACGAUCAUUCACAGCCAAAACGGAGGUUUUAGGUGGCGAGGUUAGUCAGAAAAUGAUGAGGGUGAGCUGAGGAUCAAGAUCCAAGUGGUGGUGCAGCCGCCCGAACUCCACAGGGUGAAUCUUACUGCGGUUCAAAUAUCUAUACAAAUAAUAAUAAUAAUAAUAAUAAUAAUAAUAAUCCUUUUACAGUCCAUAAAAAUUCAAGCCUCAAAAUACAAAUAUAUUACUCAAACUACAGCGGAAGAAUCUUAAAAUUUAUGCCAAACCAUCUACCGUCCUCAGUUCAUGCCCGCUCGUCACUCAUCACAAAUCAAUCCUGAUUUAUGGGAACUGAAUCACAAUAAACUAGAAUGAGUACAAAACUUAGUAAGCAAACCAAUUUUUCAUAUACCAAAAUACAUACAUACAUACAUACAUACAUACAUAUAUAUAAUGAAAAUGGAUGACGUGCUAUGGUAUUCGAAAACAUUGUAAAACAAUUCAUCGAAAUCUCAUUCUAUCAUUCUCAAACUUUCACAUUCUCUUUCAAAUCACUUACUUGAGCUACUUUCAUUCAAUUACCGCUUAGUAGGACACUCCAUUAACUUUCAUAACUUUCAUACACUUUGGGCUUCUCGCCAAUGAGUCCCUCGCCCACUUAUCUCAUAACCAUAAUAUAACAUCCAGAGUAUCCUCCACUAAGCCAGUAACGAAUUCAAGCAUCCAAGCCAAAACUGUAACUUUCUUUCUACAAAUUCCAUUUGGCUACAAAUCCACUUUCUCAUUUUACAGAAAACAUAAUGCAUUUUCGUGCUCAUGCCAAUGAAAUUCCACACAUAUGUAUGCCCAUGUCCAUAAACACACAUAACAACACAUCAUAUCAACACAUCACAUAAAUACAUGGGAUGAUCAUAUAAAUAAAUAUCCGUAUAUAUCGAAAUAGACUUUUCGAACAUGUCAAACAUAUAUAUUGUUUACUGUGAUUCGUUUGGAAAUCUAGUUUACUUACCUCAUGGCAUCCUCGAGUAACAAAUGUGUAUCGAUAUCAUUGGCCUAAAAUCAAUAAAAAUACUCUCAUAAGAUAAAAUUUAUUCAUAAUCAUAAACUCCAAUAUUCUCAAAUUUCUCAAUAUAACCACAUUCCAUACUUAACCUCAAAUAAUCUCAAUUUAAAUCAUAAAUCACCAAAAUACUCAUAAUUCUUGAAAUUACGAAAUUACCCUCAAAUUUAAUAAAAUUACCAAAAUGCCAUUGAAUUCAAAAUUACCAAAAUGCCCCUAAAAUCAUAAUUUACCAAUUUAACCUCAACAACAUAAAUUAUCAACUUUAUCCUCAAUUUCAACAAUUACUAAAAUACCCAUAAAAUUUAAAAUUACUAAAUUACCCCAAAAGUGUGAAAUUACCGAAAUACCCGUGCCGGUCAACAAUCAUCUGAAUUCAAUCGACGGCGACGGGAAGCUCGGGUUAUGUACUUCUUGCCGAGCGGAGUCCAACGGUGGCAAUGGUGACCUUCAACGUGCGGCAAUGGCACCAGAAUCUAGCUCCCAAAGCCGUGAAUCCUUCAACAGCCGAUCAACGGCAAAACGACGUCCCCGGCGGCAGUGGAUAGUCUGAAAUGGCAAAGGGCAUGGUGGGGAACAAAAUCCAAGCGGCGGCGUCACCGAAAAUUGGCAAAAUCUGUGGAGACUAUUAGACAGAUGGUCAUAGAUACUUUCUGUGAAUAAUAUAGAGAGAGCGGUGACAAUGAGUUAAUUGCGAGAGGGUGAGAGGGCUGUUGAAGGAACCAAUCAUGAUAAACAACCUCGAGAUUAUCACCAUGAAGAGGUUCGACUGGGUUUCAAUCACGAAGUAGUACCGUAGGACAUCAAUCGUGAAGUGGUACCUCAAAACCUAGAACUAGUGAGGCAACUACAACCGCUCGUAUGAGAAGAGUUAUGUAGUGAUUUAGAAGAAUAAGACGCUGAAGAUUAGGAUAUGAGGCACAUGAAGAAUUCUAAAUACAAGAUUAACGUGGAUAUUGCAGAGUUUUAGGGUUGGAUGCAUGUCGAAUAACUUUUAAACUGGAUAUUAGAUGUAGAAAAUUUCUUUUAGUAUAUGGAGAUUCCAUAGGAUAAGCGGGUUAAGCUUGUGGCGUUUAAAUUGAAAGGCGCAGAAUCUGUAUGGUGGCAAAAUGUACAGAAUCGAAGAAGAGUUGUGAGAAAGCCACUGAUCAAAUCAUGACCUAGGAUGUAGAGGAUGAUGAAAAAAUAUUUCCUGUUGGCAGAUUGCUGGAUAUCAGAUGUAGAAAAUUUCUUUUAGUAUAUAGAGAUUCUGUAGGACAAGCGGGUUAAGCUUGUGGCAUUUAAAUUGAAGGGCACAACAUCUGCAUGGUGGCAAAAUGUACAGAAUCGAAGAAGAGUUGUGAGAAAGCCACUGAUCAAAUCAUGGCCUAAGAUGCAGAUGAUAAUAAACGAAUAUUUCCUGCCGGCAAACUACCAACAACAAUUGUACAUGAAAUAUCAAAAUUGCAGGCAAGAAAAUUGCAGUGUUGAUGAAUAUACUAAGGAAUUUUAUUGUCUACAUAUAAGAAAUAACAUGGACUAGUCAGAGUUUUAGAUAGUUACAAAGUAUCUUAGCAGAUUGAAGCAAGUGUUACAAGAUAAGAUCGUAGACGCGAUCUGGGAUAUGGGUAUAGCAGUUGAUAGCCCAAAGAAGUUGGAAGAACAGAACAACAUGCUGUUUAUUCAAUAGAGACAACUCACUGCUAUGCAGAAUAGACAAAACCGUGUAGGAAUUGAAAACAAGCAAAAAACUUGGGCUGGUAAUAGUCAAGCGUAACAUCCAGUUUAACAGCAGCUGCCUAGACGGCAGUAGCCAUCUAGACAAUAGAAUAAUCCUUGUGUAAAACCUAUGUCGAAUAAGUGCUUCAAGUGUGGAGAACCAAGGCAUAGAUCUAGUGAUUGUUGUUCUAAAAAUUUAAAUUUGGUAGAGGUUGAAGUCGGCGAGGCAAAGAUGAAUGAAGUUAAGGAUAGAAAAGACAAGGAGGCCUUGGCGUUGGAAGCAGAUGAGGGAGAGUUGCUAAAUUGUAUUGUGCUGAAAUUUUUAUUGGCGUCGAAAUUUGAAGAGGAUAACCAGUGAAUAAGAUUUUCAAAACACGUGGCACCAUUAAUAAUAAGGUAUGCAAUGUGAGAAUUGAUAAUGAUAGUGUCAUGACCUAACCCAGACCUGGUAAGAUAUUGUCCGCUUUGGGCAUUAACAAGGCCCGCACGGAUUUCUUCUUGGGGCGCCCAUAACCCCAAAACACAUCAAGAGGACACGCAAAGUCGCUCUGAUACCAUAAUGUCAUGACCCAACCUAGACCUGCCAAGAUAUUGUCGGCUUUAGGCCUUAACAAGGCCCGCACAGAUUUGUUCUUGGGGCAAACCUCAGCGAGGACGCUGAGUCCCCAAUGGGGGUUGUAUGUAACAUCCUAGGUGAAUCCCACAUCGGUAAAGCACGGGAGAGAUGCUGGGUUUAUAACGGGUGAUCCACACCUUAAUUGGCAAGACGCGUUUUGGGGUGUAUGGGUGCCCCAAGAACAAAUCCGUGCGGGCCUUAUUAAGGCCCAAAGCGGACAUUAUCUUGUCAGGUCUAGGUUGGAUAAUGACAUUAUGGUAUCAGAGCAGCUCUGUGUGUUCUCCUGAGCGAUGGUGAGGCAAACCUUAGCAAGGACGCUGAGUCCCCAAGGGGGGUGUAUGUAACACCCUAGGCGAAUCCCACAUCGGCAAAGCACGGGAGAGAUGCUGGGUUUAUAAAGGGUGAUCCACACCUUAAUUGGCAAGACACAUUUUGGGGUGUAUAGGCACCCCAAGAACAAAUCCGUGCCGGCCUUGUUAAGGCCCAAAGCGGACAAUAUCUUGCCAGGUCUAGGUUGGGUCAUGACAUUAUGGUAUCAAAGUGGUUCUGCGUGUCCUCUUGAGCGAUGGUGGGGCAAACCUCAGCGAGGACGCUGAGUCCCCAAGGAGGGGUGUAUGUAACACCCUAAGCGAAUCCCACAUCGGCAAAGCACAGGAGAGAUGCUGGGUUUAUAAGGGGUGAUCCACACCUUAAUUGGCAAGAGGCGUUUUGGGGUGUGUGGGCGCCCCAAGAAGAAAUCUGUGCAGGCCUUGUUAAAACCCAAAGCGGACAAUAUCUUGCCAGAUCUAGGUUGGGUCAUGACAUUAUGGUAUCAGAGCGGUUCCGCGUGUCCUCUUGAGCGAUGGUGGGGCAAACCUCAGCGACGACGCUGAGUCCCCAAGUAGGGGUGUAUGUAACACCCUAGGCGAAUCCUACAUCGGCAAAGCACAGGAGAGAUGUUGGGUUUAUAAGGGGUGAUCCACACCUUAAUUGGCAAGACGCGUUUUGGGGUGUGUGGGCGUCCCAAGAAGAAAUAUGUGCGGGCCUUGUUAAAACCCAAAGCGGACAAUAUCUUGCCAGAUCUAGGUUGGGUCAUGACAUUAUGGUAUCAGAGCGGUUCCGCGUGUCCUCUUGAGCGAUAGUGGGGCAAACCUCAGCGAGGACGCUGAGUCCCCAAGGAGGGGUGUAUGUAACACCCUAGGCGAAUCCCACAUCAGCAAAGCACAGGAGAGAUGCUGGGUUUAUAAGGGGUGAUCCAUACCUUAAUUGGCAAGACGCGUUUUGGGGUGUGUGGGCACCCCAAGAAGAAAUCUGUGCGGCCUUGGUAAAACCCAAAGCGGACAAUAUCUUGCCAGGUCUAGGUUGGGUCAUGACAUUAUGGUAUCAGAGCGGUUCCACGUGUCCUCUUGAGCGAUGGUCGGGCAAACCUCAGUGACGACGCUGAGUCCCCAAGGGGGGGUGCAUAUAACACCCUAGGCGAAUCCCACAUCGGCAAAGCACGGGAGAGAUGCUGGGUUUAUAAGGGGUGAUCCGCACCUUAAUUAGCAGUAUGCGUUUUGGGGUGUAUGGGCGCCACAAGAACAAAUCCGUGCGGGCCUUGUUAAGGCCCAAAGCGGACAAUAUCUUGCCAGGUCUAGGUUGGGUCAUGACAUUAUGGUAUUAGAGCGGCUCCGCGUGUCCUCUUGAGCAAUGGUGCGGCAAACCUCAGCGAGGACAGUGAGUCCCUAAGGGGAGGUGUAUGUAACACCCUAGGUGAAUCUCACAUCGGCAAAGCACGAGAGAGAUGCUGGGUUUAUAAGGGGUUAUGAACACCUUAAUUGGCAAGACGCGUUUUGGGGUGUAUGGGCGCCCCAAGAACAAAUCCGUGCGGGCCUUGUUAAGGCCCAAAGCGGACAAUAUCUUACUAGGUCUAGGUUGGGUCAUGACAUUAUGGUAUCAGAGCGGCUCCGCGUGUCCUCUUGAGCGAUGAUGGGGCAAACCUCAGCGAGGACGCUGAGUCCCCAAGGGGGGUGUAUGGAACACCCUAGGCGAAUUUCACAUCGGCAAAGCACGGGAGAGAUGCUGAGUUUAUAAGGGGUGAUCCACACUAUAAGGUACAAUUUUCUUAAAUAUAGUAGAAUUUAUUUUUAAGCUAACAAGUCCCUUGAGUUUAUAAUAUUUAAUUUUAAGGAAUGAUGACAUAAGCAAUGACAUAAGGAAUGAUGAUGUAAGCAUUGACAUAAGUGAUGAUGUAAGAAGAAGUGUAGAGAAAGUUAAGAAAUUCUAGAAUUUAGCAAGACAUUUAUCAAGGAUAAUCUCAUCUUUACUUAGAUAAUUAAUUCUAAGUAAAAAUGACAUAAUCAAUGACAUAAGUGAUGAUGUAAGAGAAGGUUGUAGAGAAAAGAUAAGAAUUCUAGAAUUUAGUACGGUGUUUAUGAAGGUUAACCUCAACCAUUGAUCAAGAGUUAUGGUGGCAAAAUCCUAGCCAUCCAUUAGCCUUAAAAAAUCCUAUAAAUACCCCCACAACCUUUCAUUUUGAAUGCAACUUAGAAAUUUCAUUCUCUUCCAUUCUAAGUCAUAAUAACAAGAGUAGAGAAAUCCUUAAUUUAGAAAGGUCUAGAGAAAUCAAGAUCAAGAGGUAAGUAACACUUCAACUGCAAUGUAAGGACAAAAUUACUUUUAUACUUAAGAUCAGUUUUAACAAUCCCUUUAUAUUAUGAUGGUUGUUAUAGUGUGAUUAGUUAUAUUUUAAAUCUUUAUAUGGUCGGUCCUACCGCCUAAUAUGUGAUGCUAUGAUCGGCUCUGCCGCCUAAUAUGUGAUGUUAUGAAUGGCUCUGCCGCCUAAUAUGUGAUGUCAUGGUCGGCUCUGCCGCCUAAUAUGUGAUGCUAUGGUCGGCUCUGCCGCCUAAUAUGUGAUAUUUAUACUUAAUUAUGCUAUGGUCAGCUAUGCCGCCUAUACUAAAGACUCUUGUUUUUAAAUAAUGUUGUAUGUUGAUUUUGUUAUGCAUCGAGGUUAUAAGUUGCAUUGGAUACAUGCAUAUCAUGGACUACAUUAUGAAGAAGACGUUUCAGAAAAUGAAUUUAUGAAAAAUAGGUGGUUGUACUACCAGGUGGCAAAGUUCUAAAGAGGGCAACCCCUCAAAGCUAAGUUGUAAGAAAUCUUUUGGGGACGGCGAUACGUAACGUCCAAAAGUUCAACUAAUGAGGCCCAAGGGCAUAAUGUUUAAAGAGUAAAAGUGCCAGCCUAGUAGUGCAACAUACCUAGGGACCAAAUAAAGUUGUUUUGUAUUUUCUAAGUUUAUUUUAAGAAUGGUCAUUCAUAUGCAUCAUAAUUUAUACAUGCAUCAAAGUGUUAUCUUACUGGGCAUUAGCUCACUAAUGCAUCAUAAUUUAUACAUGCAUCAAAAUGUUAUCUUACUGGGCAUUAGCUCACUAAGUCCUUACAUUGCAGGUAACGAUGAGUAGGGCAAGAUGGCGCCAAGUCCUAACCAAGACGAAGUGCAUAUGGGCAUAACUGACCUUGGGAUUUUAUGAUGGGCUCAUCUUUGUGUUAAUAAAAAAAUAAGUAUCUUGGCUUUAUGUAAUAAUUAACUUUUUAAAUAAACUAAGAAAUCUCUCUAUGACUUUUACUUUUCUGUAAGAAAGUUUUUGUUGGAUUGUGCUAAACUUUUAAAAUUCGUAUUUAUAUUAAGAGUAACUGUCCUUUUAAGCAUUUUUAAGUAAAUAAUAUAGUGGAGUGUUACACACACCUUAAUUGGCAAGACGCGUUUUGGGGUGUAUGGGCACCCUAAGCACAAAUCCGUGGGGGCCUUGUUAAGGCCCAAAGCGGAUAAUAUCUUGCCAUGUCUAGGUUGGGUCAUGACAGUUAUUGUUCUCUUUCCCAUUGUAGGUCAUGUUAAGCAUAAAACUGAUAUUGUGAUACAUAGAAGGAACUGUGCUAAAAUAAUGAUUUGGAACCGUUAUGACUUAUUAGUUUUUGCUUAAUGAUGAUUUUAUGGUUUCACCAAUGCAAGUAAGGAUUAAGCCCUUACUAAGCACAUUUAAACUGUUAAAUUGAGUGUGUUACAUGGGCCAAGUGGGAGAAUGUUGGUGUAUUAGUGGCCUAUGCGCCACAUUACUGAAUGGGUUAUAAUUGAGAUUUAAAUAAUAGGCUAAAAUCUUAUUGGUCAAUUGGAAAAGCCUAACUACCCAUGAUAAAAAUGGAAAUAAGAGUUUUAUUGAAAUUGAUCCUCCCUCCACCCACGUCUAUAUAUGUAUCACGUUAUUUUUCUAUCCAUUAGAAAAGUGAGUCACUCUAAAGGAGUCAAGAGAGAGAGAGAUCAAUUUUGCUAAAUCUUUAAUUCUUGCAGUGAAACCUGAUUAAGAAAAUUGCAAUGGAUUAAGAUGUCUUUUCUCAAUUAUGAUGAUGUGAAAAUCAUAAUAUUUUAUGAUCUUAGCGAUGUGCUAAUAAUUUAUAUAUUAAUUUAAUUUUUCCCUGAUUUAAUUCAUGUCAAGUUAUAUUCUAUUACGUUAAUUUUUAUCUUAAUUUUUAUAUUUUGUUGUUUUAGGUAUAAUCUGGAUUAAAGAAAAAUUAAAUCAGAACAUUAAAAAAGAAAUCUACUUGAGGGAAGCAUGCUUGACUUUUCAACAAUUCUUCACCUCGUCGAAGAUUUUGUAAAUCUGAGCUGACUAUUUUCAAAUUUGUAAGAUAUUGAUCAAGUUUAGACAAUGUUCAAACUUGAUCGCCGUCACCACCUUAGUCAACAUAUCUGCUGGAUUCUCUGCAGUCUUGAUUUUCUGAAGAAGAAUCUUUCCCUCAUCAACAAUUUCCUGCAAAAAGUAAAAUCGUACGUCGUUAUGGUUCGUACACACAUGAUAAAUUUGAUUUUUUGUUAAAUGAAUAGCACUUUAAUUGUCGCAAUUCACAUUAAUGUGCUCAUGUGCCACCCCUAAGUUUUCAAGUAAGCUGUUGAGUGUUAGAAAAUGCAUAUUUAUAAAGGAGAAAACCAUCAUUUACAUUUCAAGUCUUACUAACAACUCUUACUUUUAUGUAUUUAACCUUCUUGUGAAGUAAUUACGCGUGUGUUAUUUUAAUUAAGUAUUUUAUGUAUUUUAGGGGCAUUAUAGUCAUUUCACAAUAAAGGAGAGAUUAAACGGCAAAACGGACAUCACUUUUGAACUCAGGACGGUCGAAAACCUUAGGAGGGGCAUAAAAGGAAAAAUGGCACUAUUCACAUGUACGGUACUAUUCACGUGUACGGUACUGUAUACGUUACUGUUCACAACACUGUUCACAUAGACGGAUCGAUGACGUGGCAUUGACCGAUGAUGUGGCAUUGACUGAUGAGGUGUCACGAUCCUGUUGGGCUAAAAUUCUUAUGUACUGUUGAUGGUGACGUGGCAGCAUAUCAGUGGAUGAAAAAUCUCGCGUACGGUACAUGCAUCACACAGGAUUAUUUUCAACCAAACCGCGUUACUGUUCAUCCGAGUCAAACCGCAUUACUGUUCAUCCGAGUCAAACUGUGUUACUGUUCAUCCGCGUGGUCAAACCGUGGACUGUUGACUGACGUGGCGCAAUCCUGAGCGUCCAAACUGUUUUUAAUCCGAUGGCCAUGAUUUACUCCAUGUAUCUAUAAAAAGGGGGCCUCCCCCCCUAAUUUGAUAUCUCUGAAUCCAUUUUUGGGAUCCAUUUUCUGUAAUUCCUUCUCCAUCUUGUAUUUUCUUUGUAUUUUAAUGAAUUCCCAUUUUGCCCCUAGUUUAAUUAUGAGUAGCUAAUUUCCUUUCAAGCUUGGGUUGAAGGUGAAGUCUCAACAUGUGUCAUGGGCUUUAUUUGGUAAAUUUAUUUUCUUUUCCCCUCUAGUUUUUGUGGAUGAUUUGACUUAUCGUCGACAAAUAAUACUGAUCUUGUCUAGAUACCGCCUUGGUUACACCGGCUCUCUAGUAUAAGGUUAUUAUUAUUUGGCACGAUAAGCCCUUAGCACCAUAUUGAUUAGAGCGUGGUUCAUGAGGUGUGGAUUCCCCCCUCAUGAUUUAAUUGGUAUUAAUAAGGAUUAUUUAGUCCAUGAUGCAUGUUGAUACGGAUCCAGAUACCCAAGUACGUCAUUUCAAUAUAAUUCUCUUCAAUUUAUUCUCGUCAAUUCAAUUCCAAUUUUAGAAUUUAUUCUCGCCAUUUUAAUUUAAGUUUUAGCAUAUUCCAAAUCAUUUCCACCACAAAUCCAACCACCCAUUUACAAAAUUAAUUCUAUACACAAUUAAAAUCCACCUCCUCGUGGGAUCGACACUCGUCACCAUUGAUCUAUACUACAAUAGAUUCGUGCGCUUGCGAGUACAUUAAAAUUUGCACAACAAGUUUUUGGCGCCGUUGCCGGGGAGGUAAGUAAUUUUAAUUCAUAGAAUUAAUUUUUGUGAAUAAUUUCUUUUAUUUGUUUUCUUGUAUUUUUUUUAAUUAUUUAAAAAAAAAGAAAAAAAAAAGUAAAUCUACAUUUAAAGGUUAGUAUUUCUUUUCUUUUUCUCUUCUUUAAAAUUCUGUAAUUUAAUUUUCAAUUUAUUUUUUUCUUUGUAAUUUUUGUUUAUUUUAUUAAUUUAAUUUUUAGUUAAUUUAUUUCACGUAUUUGUUUUUGUGUAUUUUUAUAGAAAGGUUGUAAUAGCGCAAUAAGGUUAGUAUCGUAAUUUCUCCCUCUUCUUUAUUUUUAUUUGUUUUGUUCCCAUCUUUAUUUUUAUUUUAUUUGCUUUGCAUGCAUGGUCGUAGGUCAUUAUUACCUAAUCUUGAACCUAUAGACCUUGAACUUGAGAAAACACUUCGCACACACAAGAACGUUAAAAAUAAAUUUGGAAUGGAUUUACAAGCACCACAGGAGAGGCCAUUUAAGGACUAUUUUAGUCCCUUAGCUAAUUUGAGCACAUCAUGUAUAAGAUACCCAAAUGUAGCUGCUAGGAGUUUUGAAUUAAAACCUAGUGUGCUAAAUUGUCUCCCAACAUUUUAUGGCCUAGAAAAUGAGGACCCAUAUAAUCAUCUGAAUGAUUUUCAUGCCAUUUGUCAAACUUUUAAAUAUGAAAAUUUUUCAGACGAUGAUGUUAAACUCAGAUUAUUCCCAUUUUCUUUAAAGGAUAGAGCUCGUUCAUGGUUAAAUACUUUGCCUGCUAACAACAUUUCAUCAUGGGAACAAAUGGUAACGAAAUUUCUGAAUAAAUAUUUCCCAGUUCAUAAAACCAACGCUAUUCGCAGGGAAAUCUCGGAGUUUACCCAAAGAGAGGACGAGCAGUUUUUCGAAACAUGGGAACGAUUCAAUGGGCUACUCUUGAAGUGUCCACAUCAUGGGUACGAAAAAUGGCACCAAUGCCAAUACUUUUUGGAGGGAUUAUUGCCGAAUGUGCAAGAAUGGCUAAUGGCAACAAGUGGAGGAGAGCUAAUGUCAAAAAGCGCAUCAGAGAUUUGGGAAUUCUUUCAGCGACAAGCGGAUAAUUCCCAACAACGGAGUCGAUCACUCAGGAAUACCAAAAGAAUUAAGGGAGUAAAUGAGGUUCAAAUUGGCGAGUCAACUUCGAGAAUCAAAGAAGUCAAGGAGAUGGUUGAAGGUCUUGCUCGACAAAUAGCAUCGUUAUCGACUGCUAAAUCAACAGAGCCACAUGACCAUGACUCAUACUCAGAUCAAGCCAAUGCCAUAGGUGUAAUGAGAAAGCCAUCUAAUUACAACCCAUACUCCAACAUAUAUAACCCUGGAUGGAGAGACCACCCCAAUUUUUCAUGGUCUCAAGGAUUCCAACAGAAUGGACCAGCAGCUCCAGCUCCACCAAUGCAACAAAUUCCUCAAAAUCCUCAAGCCUCUCAGCCUCCAUUUAGAACAUACAAUCAGAACCAGAACUACUCUCAACCCAGACCAUGGGAGGAUGCAUUCCAGAAUUUCAAGAAUGUUACUCACUCCACGAUUGAGCAACAGAAUCGCACCAUUGAUGGACUACGAAAUGAGUUGAGAGCAGGCUUCAAUUCACAAGCCCAAUCAGUUUCAAGCCUUGAGAAGAUGGUAGGACAACUUGCUUCUUCAGUUCAGACCUUGGCAAUGACUGUUGAGAAAGGUAAAUUUCCAAGUCAACCAGUGCCUAAUCCUAAAGGAGUACAUGAAGCAAGUACUAGUUCACCACAGCAGCAUGGAGAGGUCAAAGCAGUCAUGACCUUGCGAAAAGGAAAAGAAGUCGACAACAAAGUGGAGAUGCCGGUGACCAAAGAAAAUCAAAUUGUACCUGUGAAUGUUGAGGAAUCAUCACCGGAGGAAAAAGAAGAAACCAACUCACGAGAAUAUGUUCUUAAAGCUCCAUUUCCUCAGAGAUUAGCUAAAGGAAAGAAGGGAAAAUCCACAGGUGAGAUUCUCGAAAUCUUCAAACAGGUAAGUGUUAACAUCCCUUUGCUUGAUGCUAUUAAACAAGUUCCAUCUUAUGCCAAGUUUCUUAAAGACCUUUGUACUAAAAAGAGAAAUAUGCAUGUUCAAAAGAAGGCCUUUUUAACAGAAAAUGUUAGUUCUAUACUCCAACAUAAAAUUCCUCUAAAAUGCAAAGACCCAGGCUCCCCCACUAUCUCAUGUAGUAUAGGGAACCACACAAUUGAGAAUGCUUUGUUGGAUUUAGGAGCUAGUGUAAAUCUAUUGCCUUACUCAGUAUUUUUGAAACUUGGACUUGGAGAAUUACACCUAACUCCAGUGGUGUUACAACUUGCAGAUCGGUCCACAAAAAUACCUCGUGGUAUUGUGGAGGACGUGCUUAUCCAGGUAGACAAGUUUUAUUUUCCUGUUGAUUUCAUUGUAAUUGACACUCAACCAAUACAGGAUUCAAGGAAGCACAUCCCUAUUAUUCUAGGCCGACCUUUCUUGGCAACUGCGGAUGCUCACAUUCAAUGCAGGACUGGAAAUAUGCAGUUGUCCUUCGGCAACAUGACUAUGGAGCUAAACAUUUUUAACAUUGUCAAACAACCUCAUAAUGCAGGUGAUGAAGUUGUUGAUGUGGAUUUAAUUGAAGCAUUAGUUGAUGACACUUUUCUUUCAAACCUUAGUGAUGAUCCUUUACAAACAUGUUUAACUCACUUUGGUUUGGAUUUUGAUAUUGACAGAUCGGUCGAUGAGGUCAACGCCCUGCUUGACUCAGCACCAUCCAUGGACACUAAUAAAUGGAAGUUAAGAGUUGAACAACUAGCACCAUCAGAGAAGAAACUCAUCCCAUCAUCAGAGAAGAAACUCAUCCCAUCAUCAGAAUCACCACCGAAACUCGAGCUCAAACCAUUACCCAACACAUUGGAAUAUGCAUUUUUGGGGGAAGAAAGUACUCUACCGGUAAUCAUCUCAUCAUCCCUUAAUGACGAACAAAAAGGUAAGUUGUUGGAUGUUUUGAAAGAGCACAAAGGGGCAUUAGGAUGGACCAUAGCAGACAUCAAAGGUAUAAAUCCAGUAGACUGCAUGCAUUACAUUCACCUUGAUGAAAAUGCUAAAUCUACUAGGGAAAUGCAACGUCGGUUAAAUCCUAAUAUGAAAGAAGUUGUUAGAACAGAAGUCCUUAAGCUAUUAGACGCAGGUAUCAUUUACCCAAUUUCUGAUAGUUCAUGGGUCAGUCCUGUACAAGUUGUCCCCAAAAAGUCAGGAGUCACAGUAGUUACCAAUGAUGAUAAUGAAUUGAUACCAACUAGAGUAACUACAGGAUGGCGUGUAUGCAUUGAUUAUAGAAAGUUGAAUUCUAUCACACGUAAAGACCAUUUUCCUUUACCAUUUAUUGAUCAAAUGCUUGAUAGAUUAGCAGGCCAUGAAUUUUAUUGCUUUCUAGAUGGCUACUCAGGAUAUAAUCAGAUUCCCAUAGCACCAAAAGAUCAGGAGAAAACUACUUUCACUUGCCCUUUUGGCACUUUUGCAUAUAGGAGAAUGUCAUUUGGAUUAUGUAAUGCACCUGCUACAUUCCAAUGAUGCAUGUUGAGCAUUUUUUCUGAUAUGGUUGAACGAUUCCUUGAAGUCUUUAUGGAUGAUUUUUCUGUCUUUGGUGACUCGUUUGAUCAAUGUUUACAUCAUUUAACGCUAGUUAUGCAGAGAUGUACCGAGAAGAACUUAGUCUUGAAUUGGGAGAAGUGUCAUUUUAUGGUAAAACAAGGUAUUGUUCUCGGUCACAUCAUUUCGAGCAAAGGUAUUGAGGUUGACAAAGCCAAGGUGGAUCUCAUUUCUAAUCUUCCUCCACCUAAAACAGUCAGAGAAGUAAGAUCUUUCCUUGGGCAUGCUGGUUUCUAUAGACGUUUCAUUAAAGAUUUUAGCAAAGUUUCUAGACCCUUAUGCAAUUUACUUGCUAAGGAUGUACCUUUUAUCUUUAAUGAUUCAUGUCUUAUGGCUUUUGAAAAAUUAAAGCAAUUGUUGACAUCAUCACCCAUCAUUCAGGCCCCAAACUGGAGCUUACCAUUUGAGCUCAUGUGUGAUGCAUCUGAUUAUGCCGUAGGAGCAGUAUUAGGACAAAGAGUUGAUCGAAUUCCCCAUGUUAUUUACUAUGCUAGUAUGACAUUGAAUGAUGCACAGUUGAACUAUUCAACUACUGAAAAAGAAAUGCUAGCAGUAGUGUUUGCAUUAGAAAAAUUUCGAUCUUAUCUCAUUGGUUGUAAAAUAAUUAUAUUCACAGAUCAUGCUGCUCUUAAAUAUCUUCUCACAAAGAAAGAUGCAAAAGCUAGACUAAUUCGUUGGGUGUUACUUUUGCAGGAAUUUGACUUGGAAUUUAAAGAUAAGAAAGGCACAGAAAAUGUUAUGGCGGACCAUCUCUCUCGUCUCCAUUUUGACACAAUUACAGAGCCAUUACCAUUAAAUGAGUCAUUCCCAGAUGAACAAUUGAUGAAUGUGGAAGUAUUACCUUGGUAUGCUGAUGUAGUUAAUUAUCUUGUUACAGGUAAAUUUCCAGAGCAUUGGACCAAGCAAGACAAGGCUAAAUUCUUUGCAGAGAUAAAGAAUUUCUUUUGGGAUGACCCGUAUUUGUUCAAGUAUUGUGCAGACCAAAUUGUUAGACGAUGUGUCCCAGAAAGUGAAAUUCAGAAUAUCCUUUCAUUCUGCCAUGAACAAGCUUGUGGAGGCCAUUUCAGUGCUAAGAAAACAACGACUAAAGUUUUACAAUGUGGUUUCUAUUGGCCAACUAUAUUUCGAGAUGCUUACACUUUCUGUUCUUCAUGUGAUAGGUGUCAACGAAUGGGGAGCAUUACACGAAGGAACAUGAUGCCACUAAAUCCAAUUUUAGUGGUUGAGAUUUUUGACGUAUGGGGUAUCGACUUCAUGGGACCCUUUCCCCUUUCUUUUGGCCAUCAAUACAUAUUGGUUGGUGUUGACUACGUAUCGAAAUGGGUGGAAGCAAUUCCAUGCAGAACCAAUGAUCACAAAGUGGUGAUAGGAUUUUUGAAAAGCAACAUUGUUUCACGCUUUGGAUUCCCUCGAGCGAUAAUCAGUGAUGGUGGUGCCCACUUUUGUAACAAAGCAUUUAAAGCACUUUUGACAAAGUAUUCAAUCACUCACAAAGUGGCAACCCCAUAUCAUCCGCAAACCAGUGGCCAAGUUGAAAUCUCCAAUCAAGAAAUAAAGCACAUAUUAGAAAAGACGGUGAGGCCAGACAGAAAAGAUUGGUCAUUAAGACUUAGUGAUGCAUUAUGGGCAUAUAGAACGGCUUUCAAGACCCCGAUUGGGAUGUCACCCUACAGGCUAGUGUAUGGAAAAGCUUGCCACCUACCUGUGGAACUCGAGCAUCGUGCAUAUUGGGCCAUCAAGAAAUUCAACUUUGACAUGCAGCAAGCCAGCUCAGAAAGAAGAUUACAACUGGCAGAACUUGAAGAAAUUCGCAAUGAUGCAUACGAAAAUGCCAAAAUUUACAAGCAACGAAUGAAAGUCUUUCAUGACAAGCACAUUAUGAGAAAAUCUUUCACUCCAGGUCAGAAAGUGCUUUUAUUCAAUUCUUGCUUGCACCUAUUCCCAGGUAAGUUACACUCUCGAUGGUCUGGUCCAUUUAUUGUUCAUACUAUUUUUCCACAUGGGGCAAUUGAAAUUAAAGACCCAAAGAACGGUGUCACGUUUAAAGUUAAUGGUCAAAGAUUAAAGCCAUAUCUAGAGUACCAACCACAUGGAGAAGACACCGAAAUAAAUUUGAGUGACCCACCAAUUUGAAUUGAUUUUUUUCUUUCUUUAUAUUAUUCUUCUACUAAUUGAAAUUAUUUUUGCAUAAGUGUGUUUGUUUAACUGUUAAGUUUUCUUUUAUCAUUUUUAAUCAUGAGUACCAUACUUAGACCGUUCCUCCUGAACAUUCUUAAACCACUUCAACGUGUCAAAACUCAUCUCAAAAAGCAGAUUCAAUUUUGUAAAACACAACGCAUCUGGGCUCUACAACCACCAGAGUUAGUAGCCUAUGUUGAGAAUCUAGAAAGCCAACUCCGAGAUGUUGAGAGAAGUGUUUACGACAUCCAGUCGGAGCUUGAGGUAAAUUCAAUAAGAGGAUGAUUUUAAUUUUCUUUGUGUGUUUUGAUUUGUUUUUCUGUUUGUGUGCUUUAGUUUGUUACCCCGGUGAAGUGGCGGAUAACGGUACUCCGUGACAAUCAAGUCGGUUAACUUCAGUUUCCCACAAUAACUGACAUUCUGAGGCGAAAGUAUGGACAGAAACGAGAUUCUAGCGAAGCUUCACAAGCAAUUCCCUUCACUUCCUCAGAAUGCCCUCCUUACGAUCUAUAAAGCUCGAUCCGUACACAUGCGAUUACUCAUGAAGAAUAACAUACCUGCUGACAUCCGUUGGUUAAUCGAGGCUAAAGUACGAUCGGCAGGUGAGUUACCUCCAAAAUUUAUUGCAUUCAUGCCUGGUUGUGGUAAAGGAAAUUAUGCAAGAAAACGACGAGCUCGAAGAAUUUCUGUUGCUUGUCAUAAGUGUGCCAGAAUGAGUUGCGAUAGAAACCCAUGUUCUUUAGGAAUGGUGUCUGAUAACAGGGAAGAUAAGAUUCAAUUCAUUAGGGAUGGCUUGAAUAAGGAGUCAUUGGAUGAUAUCCUUUUGUCUCUUGAAACGCAUCCUAGUGGAUAUGUGCAAGGAGCGAUUCUCCGGUUAUGGCCAUUAUUCCAGAAAGAGCAUGCACGAUAUAGUCUCGGGAAUCUGACUAUAAACGACCCUGUUUGUCAGUUUAUAAGAAAACUGGAUGGGAAGCCGAUCCUCGACCCAUAGAGGGCGUUCAAGCCGUUUCUGGACGUAAAACCAGAGGAAGAUGUGAGCCACAGUCGCAACUACGUGUAAAUAUCCUUUUACUUUACUGUUAUUUUAUUUCAUUUCACUGUUGUUUUAUUGUUUGCAUUAUUGUCUUUAAUAAUUUUGUUACUGUUUGCUUUUCCCUUUUUACUGUUUCCUUUUUGACUCGCGAGCCACGUGCUUUACGCGUUAUUUGACACUGACAUGUUACCUCAUUCACAGCUGUGAUCCACUGUCACCAAUAUUCUUAAAUAUGAUUUAUCUUUUGUCAAGCACUCACAAAUUGUUUUUGAGAACUAUCACAAUGGCAGCUACUCCCAAUAGACAAUUCAAGAACAUUUGUGUGCUUUCUGGAUUUACCUAUGGCAAACAUAAAGAGUUCGUUGAGGCAGCUAUAGAUCUUGGUCGAAGCAUAGCAGCGAGAAAAUUACACUUGGUGUAUGGAGGAGGUAACCGAGGGUUAUCAAAAAUGGUCUCAGAAGCAGCUUUUAUCAGAGGAAGUCAAGUGUUAGGCAUCAUCCCAAGAGUCCUAAAACCAUUGGGCAGUUCGUCUGACUCAUCAACUGGAGAAGAGUUAGUCGUCUCAGGUAUGCAAGAAAGAAUAACUGAAAUGCUUAAUCAUGCUGAUGCUUUUAUUUUCCUUCCAGGAGAUCUUGCAACACUAGAGGCACUUAUGACACUAGCAUCUUGGGCCCAUCUACACAUUCACCAGAAACCCAUCGGUUUGUUAAAUGUCAAUAACUUUUAUGAUGGCUUUAUCGCAUUUCUUAACCAUGCAAUAAAAAACUAUUUCAUUCAUUCUAAUGUGAAAAAACUCUUUAUUUGUGCUCACAUUGCUAAUGAGCUACUUGAUAUGUUACAAGCUUAUAAACCGGAGCCAGACCCCUGGACCGUUGUGUUGGAGCGACCAAAUAAUGAUGGUAACAGUAACCGCAGUAAGAAGUACAAAUUAGAUUUAACUCUCCGCCUGUAAAUAUUUUCUUCUGUGUUGCACCACCCAGGUGAUGUCUUCUAAACUCUACUUCUUUCUUUUAAAACAUUGAGGACAAUGUUUCGUUCUGGUUGGGGGGAGGGAAUAGUCGACAAUUGUGGAAUCUUGGUUAAGUUUUUACUGAUUUUUUGUUGUAGAAACUAACUGUUGCUAACGUUUUGUGUUGAAGAUGGCUGAAUAUGGAGUGUAGUUACUCUAGAAACGCAUCUUCAUCGUUUUAAAAAAAAAAAAAAACCGUUUUCUUCCUCUUUCUCCUUUAUAAAUAUAUAUUUUCAAAUUUUUGAGUCGAAGAUGGCUGAAUAUGGAGUGUAGUGCCUCUAGAAACGCAUCUUCUUAGUUAAAAAAUUUUUUUUUUCUUUUUCUAAUUAAUUUUUCUACAUCAUUUUCACAUUUCUGCAUGCAUAUUUUCCUUUCAUGUUUAGAAUAGGUUGGGGGGUAGAAUGUUGUUUAAAAAAAAAAUUGUGUUAUUUGUUUUAACAUUGGAUGACAUGAUUAAUUUCAAAUUUUAGUAUUUGUAUUAUCUUUGGUCUUAAGUGAUGUUACGCUAUGUUUGCUACUUUACAUGUUGAUGUCAAAGACAAAUAUGAGUUGCUUGAAGGAAUGAACAUGUCAUAAAUAAGUGCCAAGUGAGUUGUUGAGCCUAUCAUUUUCUUGGAGAGUAACCCUUUUGCCCAUUCUCUAUACAGCUUAGCAGUUUAUUAUUUUAUAAACGAUCUCUAGAUUUCUUUUGAGUUAACCCUUAAAAAAAAAUGGUAAAAUUAAAAAAAAAAAAAAAAGAAAAAAAUGUGUGUUGCUACAUUAGGAGGCCCAUCUAACUAGUAGAUAUGGAUGAUUAUUUAGAGCCCUAAAAGACGAUGGAAAGACCAUCUUUGAUCCGUUUGAGCCUUUCUAGCCAUCCCUUUUAUUAAAUAUCCAUAGUUACCCCUUUUGAGCCUUUAAAAAAAAAAAAAAAAACCUUUUCUUUGUCAACUUAUCAUCUUGACCCACUCCGAUUUGGAGUAUUACCCGAUGUCUUAUAAGUUCCAUCACCUAUUUAUGUUUGAGAAAAUGUAAAUAAUUAUAUUGUUCAGUGAAGUUAUGCCAAAUAAAAGCAAAAAAAAAAAAAAAGCCAAAAAAAAAACAAAAAAAAAACAAAAGUUGUUGUUUCAAAAGAAUAAAAAUAACAAUAAUAGGUGAAAUACACCUUACAACUUUAAAAAAAAAAAAAAAAAAUUUCUGCAUUUUUCUCAAACAUACACUUUGUUUUCCUUAUUUCCUUUCUUUGUUAGCCAUAUCUCUAGCCUACGUUACGUCCUAAUAAAAGUCCUUCUUGAUUUUAGGGAACUAUAGUUUGAAGUAGAAGCUAGUUAUAUGGGCUAAAAAGAUGUAGUGAUGCAUAAAAAAUAAAUAAAUAAAUAAAUGAAGUGGGUUGACUAACAUUUUAUUUGACUUGAGAUCGUAUUAUUUCUAAGCUGAUGGCAUAUUUAUUUCAUCUUGGUGAGAGCAUGUGAUAUCAUUUCUUUAUUAUUUUCUCUCUCAAUUACCAUUCAUUGGAGUGACUAUGUUUAUUGGGUUUUAAUUUCUUUGUGAGAGUGUCACUACUUCCAGUGAGAUUUUGGGGUUUGACAUGUCAUUCUUGAAAGUAGUUAUAACAAAGUCUACUGGGCUAAUUCAUGUGGAUGGUUGAUGUGGGUGUGAUGUUGCUUUAGACUGGAGAUAAUGCUUAUACUUUUAUUUGAUUGCUAUCAUUAAUCUGAUUGAAUAAACACGAGUGUUUCUAAAAAAAAAAAAAAAAAUCAUUUUGAAUUUAAAUUUUGUUUUCGCUUUAUUUGCUAGGGACUAGCAAUAAGCUGGUUGGGGGGUGUGUUGAGUGAUAGAAAAUGCAUAUUUAUAAAGGAGAAAACCAUCAUUUACAUUUCAAGUCUUACUAACAACUCUUACUUUUAUGUAUUUAACCUUCUUGUGAAGUAAUUACGCGUGUGUUAUUUUAAUUAAGUAUUUUAUGUAUUUUAGGGGCAUUAUAGUCAUUUCACAAUAAAGGAGAGAUUAAACGGCAAAACGGACAUCACUUUUGAACUUAGGACGGUCGAAAACCUUAGGAGGGGCAUAAAAGGAAAAAUGGCACUAUUCACAUGUACGGUACUAUUCACGUGUACGGUACUGUAUACGUUACUGUUCACAACACUGUUCACAUAGACGGAUCGAUGAUGUGGCAUUGACCGAUGAUGUGGCAUUGACUGAUGAGGUGUCACGAUCCUGUUGGGCUAAAAUUCUUAUGUACUGUUGAUGGUGACGUGGCAGCAUAUCAGUGGAUGAAAAAUCUCGCGUACGGUACAUGCAUCACACAGGAUUAUUUUCAACCAAACCGCGUUACUGUUCAUCCGAGUCAAACCGCAUUACUGUUCAUCCGAGUCAAACUGUGUUACUGUUCAUCCGCGUGGUCAAACCGUGGACUGUUGACUGACGUGGCGCAAUCCUGAGCGUCCAAACUGUUUUUAAUCCGAUGGCCAUGAUUUACUCCAUGUAUCUAUAAAAAGGGGGCCUCCCCCCCUAAUUUGAUAUCUCUGAAUCCAUUUUUGGGAUCCAUUUUCUGUAAUUCCUUCUCCAUCUUGUAUUUUCUUUGUAUUUUAAUGAAUUCCCAUUUUGCCCCUAGUUUAAUUAUGAGUAGCUAAUUUCCUUUCAAGCUUGGGUUGAAGGUGAAGUCUCAACAUGUGUCAUGAGCUUUAUUUGGUAAAUUUAUUUUCUUUUCCCCUCUAGUUUUUGUGGAUGAUUUGACUUAUCGUCGACAAAUAAUACUGAUCUUGUCUAGAUACCGCCUUGGUUACACCGGCUCUCUAGUAUAAGGUUAUUAUUAUUUGGCACGAUAAGCCCUUAGCACCAUAUUGAUUAGAGCGUGGUUCAUGAGGUGUGGAUUCCCCCCUCAUGAUUUAAUUGGUAUUAAUAAGGAUUAUUUAGCCCAUGAUGCAUGUUGAUACGGAUCCAGAUACCCAAGUACGUCAUUUCAAUAUAAUUCUCUUCAAUUUAUUCUCGUCAAUUCAAUUCCAAUUUUAGAAUUUAUUCUCGCCAUUUUAAUUUAAGUUUUAGCAUAUUCCAAAUCAUUUCCACCACAAAUCCAACCACCCAUUUACAAAAUUAAUUCUAUACACAAUUAAAAUCCACCUCCUCGUGGGAUCGACACUCGUCACCAUUGAUCUAUACUACAAUAGAUUCGUGCGCUUGCGAGUACAUUAAAAUUUGCACAACAUAAGCCUUGUAACCAAAUAGCCUCUUUAACAACCUCUAUAAUUGCCAUGUACUCGGCUUCUGUGGUCGACAGUGCAACUGUAGACUGUAGUGUAGACUUCCAACUAAUUGGCCCUCCAGCAAAAGUAAAUACAUAUCCGGUGGUUGACCAUCGUUUGUCCAAAUCACCAGCAUAAUCAAAAUCAAUGUACCCGAUCACACCUUACCCAAUUGUAUCAUCUCUCUCAAACAGUAAACCAACGUUCAUGGUCUUCUGAAUGUACCAUAGAAUCUAUUUCACAGCUUGCCAAUGUCCUUUACCAGGAUUAUGCAUAUACCCGCUCACUAUACCAACUGCAUGUGAAAUGUUAGGCCUUGUACACACUAAUGCAUAUGAUUAGUGUUAAAAAUUGCAUGUUUAUUAAGGGAUAAAAAUGUUAUUUUGUUUUAUUAAUGUAAUUUAUAUUUGUAAUUGUGUAACAUAUUGUGAAUUUCUAAUUAUUUUUCUAAAUAUUUGAUUUUAUGUAUUUUUGUGUGUUUAUUAGGUAAAAAUAAUAAUUUUAUGCAAUUUGAGGCUCCGAACAAAUGUAUGGAUGUGAAAUUUGGAUUCCGGAAGUCCGAGAAAUUAUGUAAUUGUCGAGGAGGAUCCAAGACUUUUGUUGUAAAUUUUUACGUUUUUACCAUGGUAAAUGUGGUAAUUGUAAAAUUAUAAGUUUUUAUCAUGUUAUGUAUGAUAAUUGUUAGUGGAAUGUGUUAGAUAUGCUUGAGUUGAUAAGUUAGGUUUAUGUUUUAUUAGUGGGAUUAUUAGUGGGACAAAUGUAAGGUUAAGAUGUAAUUAGAUUUUUUUAUUUGUAUGGUGAGGAUUUACCAUGUAUUAGUAUAAAUAGAGGGGGGGGGGGGGGAGGUGAACACACCUCUCCACACCUUCUCUUCUUUUCUUUCCCCCCAAAUUAUUCUUCUUAUCUCUCUUUGUAAUUUAUUUUCAAUCAAUAAAUUUGUUUUAUUUCAAUUUUCAAAUUCCAUUUUUAAUUAUGUGUUUUUCAAUUUUAGUAAUUUCCUUUAUUAAAAAAAUGUUUAGCUGAAUAAUAAUAGUUAGGGGAAAGGUGAAACUCUUAGGAAAUAAAUAUGAUUUAAUCAAAUUCUAUUUUUAAUUUUAUAAAUUAAGUUAUUUUUUAUUUAAUUUUAUACAUAUUUUAUAUUAUGAAAUUUUGAUUUAUUGUAGACAAACAAGGAAGUUUUGCACAAUAAAUUCUUUUUAUCUUAAUAUAAGGUAUGGUAAAAUGAUAUUUUGACUUAUUGUAGACAAAUUAAAUUUCGGCACAGUGAAUACUUAAUCCAUCAUAAAAUUAAAGGGAAAAUAAUAAUAAUUUAUAUAAUUAAUCUUUUGGGCAAUAAAUCUAAAAAAAUAGCAAAAAAAAUUUAUUAAGUUUUAUUUACAACUAAGAGUGAAUCCACAACCCUAACUAAUUCAAUUUCAUAGUUUUAUUUAAAUUAAGCUGUUUAUAUUUAAGUUUUAUUUUCAAAUUUUAGAUAAAAUAAAAUAAACAAAUUAAAUAUUUUCUCUGUGGAUCGACCUCGGACUCACCGAGAUAUAUUAUAACUAGGCACUCUUAUACUUGAGAGUAAAUCAAACACUUUUAAGUCGUGUCAAGUUUUUAGCGCCGUUGACGGGGACAAGUAUUUAUUUUGUUUUAUUUUUCCUUUUAUUUUUAAUUUAUUUUGUGUAAAUUUUCAUUUUCCCCCUUUUCUUUUCUUAAAUUCUCUUGUACCCCCACAUCUUUCAUAAUUCUAGUUUCACCCCAAGAAUUCUCGUUUCUUGCUCAUUCUUCUCAUAAUUACAUUCUGACCCUAAAACUUUCUGAAGCUUCACUUUCAUCCCACAUGACUCAAUUUUAAACUUCUAAAAAUUACGGUGUGGACAUAAAAUUAUAAAUAAUUUGCAAUAAGAUCCCUAGACGAAAUUUCUCACAAUAAUUAGACUUGGACUUAUUUGGACUUAAUUUGGACCAAGCAAACUAACUACUAAUUUUUUUAACUAACUAACUACUAAUUUUUAACAAACUAACUACUACUUCUUUAUUUCAGUUUUUUUAUUUCGCAUUUUUUUCUUUUUAUUGGUGGGUUCAACCACCAAAGUUGUUAUUUAAUUUUAAGUUAUUUUAUUAUUUCACUUUUUUUUGUUAAUUUAAUUGGUGGGUUCAACCACCAAAAUUGUUAUUUAAUUUUAAGUUAUUAAUUUUCUUUUGUACACCCAUAUUAUUUGCAUAUUUAAUUAUCAUUUUUUCUUUUUACAAUUUUCAUUUAUUUUUUGUGUUACUAAUUUGUUUGUUAUCUUUGUGAUAUAAUUAUUGUAUGAGACGUUGGUCUCGAACUUCAAGUGACAGGUUAAUUCGUAAAUCUCAAUCACCACCACCAAUCAUGGACGAGAUCCAAGAUGAAAACAAUUUAGGCCAACUUAAUCCUCUAAUUGAUCAGGGAGACAAUCAAUCUCAACAUGAUCAGAAUCAACCAAAAACUUUGAGAGACUACAUGAAUCCAACAAGAACUGGAGCACUGUCGUGUAUAGUAUUUCCUCAAGAAGCAUCUCGAUUUAACUUCAAACCAGGUAUUAUCCAACGUUUACCAACAUUUCAUGGUUUAGAAUAUGAAAAUCCAUAUUUGCAUCUAAGAGAUUUCGAGGAAGUUUGUAAUACAUACACAGACCAAAAUUGUAGCAUGAACAUAAUUAGAUUAAAGCUUUUUCCUUUUUCAUUAAAAGAUAAAGCUAAAACUUGGCUACAAAACCUUAGAUCUGGAUCAAUAAGAACUUGAAAUAACAUGCAAGAAAAAUUUUUGAAAAAAUUCUUUCCACCUCAUAGAACAAAUUCUUUUAAAAGGCAAAUCACUUUUUUCACUCAAAAAAAUGGAGAAACAUUAUACCAAUGUUGGGAUAGGCUUAAAGAAUUGCUAAACAUAUGUCCACACCAUGGUUUUGAAACUUGGCGAUUGGUCACUUAUUUCUACAAGGGCUUAAUACCACAAACUAGACAAGUUGUAGAAAUGAUGUGUAAUGGUGAAUUUAAAGAUAAAAAUCCUGAAGAUGCACUAGAUUACCUUGACCAACUAGCUGAAAAUGCACAACAUUGAGAUACUGUUGGAACUUUUGAAUUAACUAAUAAACCACAGCCAUCUCCAUCUAGUGGAGGAAUCUACAACCUUAGGGAAGAUCAUGAUUUACAAGCAAAAUUUGCAUCCCUAGUUAGGAAGGUUGAAGCUUUGGAAAAUAAAAAAAGUGAUCAAGUAAAAUCUGUUCAAGAAAUUGCAUGUGAUGUUUGUAGUUCUAAUGAUCAUUUCACUCAAGAUUGCCCCACCCUGCCUGCACUUAAAGAAUGUUUGCAUGAUCAAACUAAUGUCAUCAACACUUUUAACAAGCCAAACCCAUAUUCACAGACUUAUAAUCCUGGUUGAAGAAAUCAUCCAAAUUUUAGUUGGAGGAAUAAUAAUAAUGCACAAUUUUCACAAGCACCACCUCCACAAAAUUUUCAAAAUACUCAGCCUUAUGCACCAUAUGUUCCACCACCAUGGAAAAAUUUGGAAGAUACAAUGCAUUCAUUCAUUAGGAAGCAAGAUGUUAUUAACAAUCAAAAUGCACAAACCUUUUUUUAUUUGAAAUAUACUCUUGCUAAAAUUGCUUAUGCACUCACAAUUCAAGAAAAAGUAAAAUUUCCAGCUCAACCACAACCAAAUCCUAAGAUUCAAAAUGCACUCAUGGACUAUGUUAAGCCAGUUAUAACUCUUCGUAGUGGUAAGGUUAUUGAUCGGCCUAUUCCUGAACCUUAUGAAAAUGAAAAUUCAAAGGGUAAGGAAGAACUAGAUAAACUUACACCUAGUGAAAAAAUAACUAAUGUGCCAUAUGAACCACCAUUUCCGCAUGUAUUGAAUAAACCAAGGAAAUCAAACAACUCUUCUGAAAUUUAUGAAAUCUUUAAGCAAGUGAAAGUUAACAUUACUUUGUUAGAUGCAAUCAAGCAGGUACCUUCAUAUGCCAAAUUUUUAAAAGACUUAUGCACUGUUAAGAGGAAAUUGAAGGUAAAAAAGAGUGCUUUCAUGGCUGAACAGGUAAGUACCAUUCUAUCUACUAAUAAUAAGUUGAAAUAUAAAGAUCCUGGUUGUCUUACUAUUUCUCGUAUUAUUAGAGAUCACAAAAUUGAGCUUGCUUUGUUAGACCUUGGCGUUAGUGUUAAUUUGAUUCCACAUUUAGUUUAUUUUCAACUUAAUCUUGGUGAGUUAAAACCAACUUCAACUAUACUUUUGCUUGCCGAUAGAUCAGUUAAAAUACCAAAAGGAAUAGUAGAAGAUGUUUUAGUACAAGUUGAUAAAUUUAUAUACCCUGUGGAUUUUAUUGUUUUAGAAACUGAACCUGUUGUGAAUAAUUAUAAACCAAUUCCUGUAAUUUUGGGUCGACCAUUUUUAGCAACUGUUAAUGCUUUGAUUAAUUGUAGGAAUGGUUUAAUGAAUUUUUCAUUUGGAAAUAUGACUCUGGAAUUGAAUGUUUUCAAUAUGUGUAGGCAACCUAAUGAGGAAAAUGAGAAUGAAGAUGAAAUUGAUGAACAAAAGGAAUUGCUUGAAUCUUGUAUAGAGGAGAAUAUUCAAAAAUGGAGUUUUUCUAAACUUAGUGAUAUUUGUUUGGUUAAUUUGAUUGAAUCAAAUAAACAACUUGAACAUGAUACUUCUAAUAUAAAUUUGUUAUUUGAUUCUUGUCAGACUUUGCAAAGUGAUUAUGGGAAACCAAAAUUUGAGGAGCUUGGAAUCAUUGAAAAGACUGAACAACAAGAAGCACCUAAAUUAGAAUUUAAACCUUUGCCAGAGGGAUUGAAGUAUGCUUAUCUUGGAGAAGAACAAACUUAUCAUGUUGUGAUUUCUUCGACCUUAUUAAGCGACCAAGAAGGUAAGUUACUAUAUGUUCUUAAAAAGCAUAAAAACGCAAUUGGAUGGACUUUAAAUGACAUUAAAGGUAUUAAUCCUUUAAUUUACACACAUAGAAUCAAUUUGGAAGAAAAUGCUAAAACAUGUCAACAACCUCAAAGAAGAUUAAACCCACACAUGAAAGAAGUAGUAAAAACAGAAGUUCUUAAGUUACUUGAUGCGGGAAUUAUCUACCCUAUCUCUGAUAGUAAGUGGGUAAGUCCUACACAAGUAGUGCCUAAAAAAUCUAGAAUCACUGUAGUUAGAAAUGAAAAAGACGAAUUAAUUCCAACACGAAUUACGUCUAGUUGGCGCAUGUGCAUUGAUUAUAGGAAAUUAAAUGAAGCCACUAGAAAAGAUCAUUUUCCAUUACCAUUUCUUGACCAAAUCUUAGAAAGAGUAGCUGGACAUCCCUACUACUGGUUUUUAGAUGAAUAUUCAGGUUAUUAUCAAAUUCCUAUAGCACUUGAAGACCAAGAAAAAACCACAUUUACAUGUCCCUUUGGAACAUUUGCAUUUAAAAGAAUGUCAUUUGUACUUUGUAAUGCUCCUGCAAUAUUUCAAAGAUGUAUGCUAAGUAUUUUCACUGAUAUGAUUGAACAUUGUUUAGAGGUCUUUUAUGGAUGAUUUGACAGUGUUUGAGAAUUCUUUUGAUGAUUGCCUUGAUAAUUUGGAAAACGUUUUAAAAAGAUGUGUUGAAAAAGAACUCGUUUUAAAUUGGGAAAAAUGUCAUUACAUGGUUACUUCUGGAAUUGUUUUGGGUCAUAUUGUAUCUUUUAAAGGAAUUGAAGUUGACAAAGCAAAAAUUGAAGUCAUAUCUAAAUUGCCACAACAAAAAACAAUUAGAGAUGUGCGAUCCUUUUUAGGGCAUGCAUGAUUUUAUAGGAGGUUUAUAAAAAACUUUAGUGUCAUAUCUAAACCACUUUGUAACCUCUUAUUAAAAGAUGCACCACUUGAAUGGACUGAUGAUUACCAAAAAUCUUUUGAGAAAAUAAUUUAUCUUUUGACAUAUGCACCUAUUAUGCAAUCUCCUGAUUGGUCUUUACCUUUUGAAUUAAUGUGUGAUGCAAGUGACUUUACUGUUGGUGCUGUUUUAGGACAAAAAAAGGAUCGUCAGUCAUUUGUGAUUCAUUAUGCGAGUAAGACUUUGGAUAGUACUCAAAUGAAUUAUUCUACAACUGAAAAAGAAUUACUUGUUGUGGUGUAUGCAUUAAACAAAUUUCGCUCAUAUUUGCUUGGUUCUAAAACUGUUGUUUUUAUUGAUCACGCUGCUGUGAGAUAUUUGAUGACUAAACAGGAUGCCAAACCAAGACUAAUUCAUUGGAUUUUGUUACUUCAAGAAUUUGACCUCACCAUCAAAGAUAAAAAGGAUGCCGAAAAUGUCGUUGCUGAUCAUUUAUCACGACUCACAUAUGAAAUCUGCACUGAUAUAACACCCAUCAAUGAUUCCUUUCCUGAUGAAUUUUUAUUAUCUGUUACUUCCAUACCAUGGUAUGCUAACAUUGUUAAUUUCCUUGUUACAGGUAAAAUGCCUUCGCAAUGGAAUACUCAGGAGAAGAAGAAAUUUUUGGUUGAAGUAAAAAAAUUUUAUUGGGAUGAUCCUUACUUGUUCAAAUAUUGCCCUGAUCAGAUUUUUUGACGAUGUAUUCCUGAUAAUGAGGUAAGUAAUGUCAUUAAUUUUUGUCAUUAUGAAGCAUGCAGUGGACACUUUUCUUCAAGAAAAACUACGGCUAAAAAUUUGCAAUGUGGAUUUUAUUGGCCUACCAUAUUCAAAGACACAUGAAUUUCAUAAAACUUGUGAAAACUGUCAAAAAUUAGGAUCAAUUAGUAAAAGAAACAUGAUGCCCAUAAAUCCCAUACUUGAGAAUGAAAUAUUUGACUGUUGGGGAAUUAAUUUCAUGGGUCAAUUUCCACCAUCUUUUGGAUUUGUGUACAUAUUAGUUGCAGUUGAUUAUGUCUCAAAAUGGAUUGAAGCAAUGUUUGGUCGAAAUAAUGAUAGUAAAACCGUCAUUAAAUUUUUAAGAGAAAACAUUUUAAGUCAAUUUGGAAUCCCUCGAGCCAUUAUUAGUGAUGGAGGUAGGCAUUUUUGUAAUAAGUCAUUUGAGUCUUUAAUGAAAAAAUAUGGAAUUACACAUAAAGUUGCUACCUCUUAUUAUCCUCAAACAAAUGGUCAAGUUGAAUUAGCAAAUAGGGAGAUAAAACAAAUUUUAGAAAAAAUAGUUAACCCAAACCGCAAAGAUUGGUCUCUUCGAUUGACUGAUGCACUUUGGGCAUACUGUACUGCAUUUAAAACAUCUUUAAGAAUGUCACCCUAUCGGCUAGUUUAUAGUAAACCUCGUCACUUACCUGUUAAACUUGAGCAUAAAUCAUUUUGGACUGUUAAAGCUUUUAAUUCAAAUUUGGAUGAUGCUGGUAAUGUGCGAAAAUUGCAAUUGAAUGAGCUUGAGGAAUUAAGAAAUGAUGCAUAUGAAAUUUCAAGAAUUAUUAACGCAAGAACAAAAAAUUUUCAUGAUGAAAUUUUUUUUUUCGAAAAACAUUUAAAAUUGGUCAAAAAGUGUUGCUUUAUAAUUCUCGUCUUAAUUUGUUUUCAGGAAAGUUAAAGUCAAAGUGGAGUGGCCCAUUUAUUGUAAAAAAUGUAUAUCCACAUGGGGCUGUAGAAAUUGAGAAUAAAAAAAAUAGUGUCACAUUUAAAGUUAAUGGACAAAGAAUAAAGCCCUAUCUGGAAUACCAACCACGUGAACCAAGCACUAAAAUAAAUUUGAGUGACCCACAAAAUCUUGAUUAAGUUUUUAAUGAGUGUUUUAACUUUUCACUGUUGUUUUACCGUUUGAAUUGUUUGACUGUCUUGAAUGAUACGCGUUGUGAUGUUUCUUACUUAAGUGUGUUUAAUAAUUGUGUUUUCUUCAUCAUCAUACAUUAUGAGUACCUCAAUAAGGAAGAUUCUGUUCACACAUCUUAAAAGACUUUUGCGAAUAAGAUUUCACUUGAGAAGAUUGAUACAAAGUUGUAAAUCACAUCCAAUUUGGGAACGACAACCACCAGAAUUAGUGGCCUACGUUGAGGAUCAAGAAAGACAACUCAGAGCAAUAGAGCGUGGCAUAUAUGAAUUUCAAUUGGAGCUUGAGGUUAACUCAAUGAGAGGACGAAUGUAAGUUCAUUUUCCUUUGUACAUAUUGUGUUUCUUUUUUGUUGUUCACUUUCACGUUUGAUUUGAUUUUGCAGAUUUGAUUUUGGUGUGUUUUGAUUUAUUUUCCCGUAUAAAUGGCAGAUAACGGUACUCCGUGACUUCUUAAGUCGGUAUCCUCAGUUUCCCACAAUAAUUGAAAUCUCAAAAUCAAGCAUGGAAGAAAUACAACAUAAAUUGCAUAAUCGUUUUGCUUCUCUCCCUCAAAAUGCACUCAAAAAAAUUUACAAAGCUCAUUGUGAAAGAUUGCAUUUGUUAAUGAUCAACGGAAUUCCUUCUGAUAUUCGUUGGUUAAUUGAAGCAAAAGUCUGAUUAGCUGGUGAGUUUCCUGAUCCAUUUAUUUCUUACAUGCAUGGUUUUGGUAAAAGCACAUUUGCUAAAAAACGGAGAGCUAGAAGACUUGGCUCAGAAUGUCAUAAUUGUGUACAACUUAGUUGCAAACUAGAAGUUUGUAAAUCUUUAGGAAUGGUUUCUGAUAAUCAAGAAGAUAAAAUUAAAUUCGUUAAAGAUGGCAUGAGUAAAGAAUCGUUGGAUGAUAUCUUACGAUCUCUUGAGACGCAUCGAAGCGGACAUGUGCAAUAUGAGAUACACAGGUUAUGGAAACUAUUCCAAAAAGAAAGUGCACAAUUUAGUCUUGGGAAUCUGACUCAAAAAGACCAUGUUUGCCAGUUUAUAAGAAAAUUGGAUGGGAAGCCUAUCCUCGAUCCAUAAAGGGCGUUCAAGUCGUUACUGGAUGUAAAACCAGAGGAAGAUAUGAGCCACAAUCACAACUACCAGUAAAUAUCCUUUUACUUUAUUGUUCUUUUAUCAUUUACAUUAUUGCAUUUAAUGGUGUGAUUUUGUAUUUAAUCAUUAUUUGUUUUCUUUUACUUUUUUUUUCUUUUCAAUGUUUGCUUUUCUUUUUACUGUUUUUUUUUUAAUAAUUGAGACAUGAGCUUUACGCGUCAUUUGACAAAUACAACAACCCAUUUACAACUGUUUCUUAUUUUGUCUGUCACUCAGAUCUUUAAAUAAGAGCUCUUUUUCCAAACCACUCACAACUUAUUUUUGAAGAUUAUUCUAAUGGUAGCAUCUUCGAGUAGACAAUUCAAAAAUAUUUGUGUGCUCUUUGGAUUUCAUUAUGGAAAAUACAAAGAGUUCGUUCAAGCAACUGUAGAUCUUGGUAGUGCCAUAGCUGAGAGGAAACUUCACCUUGUAUAUGGAGGAGGUGACCGCAGGUUAUCAAAACUUAUCUCAGAAACUGUUUUUAUUAUAGGAAACCAGGUACUAGGUAUCAUUCCACAAGCCUUAAAACCUCUGGGAUGCACGUUUGAUGUACCAAUUGGAGAAGAGUUAGUUGUCUCAAGUAUGCAAGAACGAAUAACUGAGAUGUUAAAUCAUGCUGACGCUUUCAUUUUCUUGCCAAGAGAUCUUGCAACUUUAGAGGCAUUGAUUACAUUUGCAUCUUGGGCCCAUUUAAACAUCCAUAAAAAACCCAUCGGUUUACUAAAUGUUAAUAAUUUUUUUUGAUGGGUUGCUCACAUUCAUUAACCAUGCAAUUAAGAAUCAUUUUAUUCCAAUCUCUUUGUUUGUGCUUCUACUGCUAAUGAGUUACUUGAUCUUUUACAAGCUUACAAACCAGAGCCAGAUCCUAAAACCUUGGCAUUGGAAUGGUCGACUAAUGAUGGUAACCCUAGCCCUAGUAAGAAGUACAAGCUGGACUUAACUCUUCGGUUGUAACUAUCUUCUCAGAGCUAUGAGGUUAUGUCUUCUAAACUCUACUUCUUUCCUUUAAGUCAUUGAGGACAAUGUCUUGUUCAGGUUGGGGGGAGGAAAUAGUUGACAAUUGUGGAAUAUUGCAAAUCCUAGUAAUGCUUUUGUCGAAGAUGGCAGAAUAUGGGGUGUAGCGACUCUAGAAAUGCAUCUUCAGCAGCUUGUUCAGGUGUGAUCUUUCCUAUUUCUUCUUUUAUUUUUUUAAUUUUUUUUUCCUUUUUGCAUGCAUAUUUUUAAAUUAUGAAUUAUGUUUAGAUUAGGUUGGGGGGGGGGGAGGGUAGUUGACGUAAAUUGUAACUAGGUGUGUUUAUUUUUUUUAAAAAAAAGCCCAAAAAAAACCAAAAACAACAAUUUUUGUGUCUAGGAUGGCUGUGUAAAGAGUCACAACUUUUGAGACGCAUCCUAAUAGUCUUAUUGUAUUAUAUUUUGAUUUUAAAAUUCAUAAUAAGUUGUUUUUGUUCCAUUUUCUUUGAAUUACUCAAAUUUGUGAACUCUCCUCCAUUUAGUUAUAAAGUUAUUUUGUAGUUUACUCAUUUAACAGGUAUUAUUAAAUCAUUCUUCACACACACACACUAUGACACAUACUAGUGGGUUGUAAGUUAAAAUUUUUGCAGCAUUUAGUUCUUUUAAUUUAUUAGGGAUAAUAUCUAAGGUGGUAGAAAAUGUAUAUUGCAAAAAAGAAAAAAAAAAGAGGUGAAAAAAAAGAGAAAAAGAAAAAAAAAUGAAUGAGUUUAAUUUUGUUAUAUCUAGAACUCGAGUAAUUAAGUCCGUAGGGGCGUUUUAACACCUAGUGCCCUAAGGUCAACUGGUCUGGGAGUCACUAGCCUAAAGCUCGCUACAUGGGUUAUAGAUAUAUUGUUUGCUUAUUUAUUAAAAACUCGAGUAAUUAAGUCCGUAGGGGUGUUUUAACACCUAGUGCCCUAAGGUCAACUGGUCUGGGAGUCACUGGUCUAAAGCUCGCUACAUGGGUUAAAAAUGUAAUUUAAAAAAAAGGUUGAAUAAUCUACUGCCUGAAGAUAGAAUUUCUAAUGAGUUUUAGAAAGAAAAUGUUGUUUUCUUUUAAUGAAACCCCAUAAGUAUUGUGUUAAUUACUUGAGCACAAAAGAAGGUUUAUGAUAUUCUGGAUAAUGAGUGGAUGACCAAGAGUUAAAAAAAAUUUUGGGAGAGUUUAUUUAUUUGGUAGUUUAGAGGAUAGAUGAACAACUAUUAACUUGUAUGUGAAUUUUGUAAAUCUUAAUUUAAUAUAGCGCUUUAAUUGCUAGGGGCUAGCAAUAAGCUAGUUGGGGGGGUGUGAUUAGUGUUAAAAAUUGCAUGUUUAUUAAGGGAUAAAAAUACUAUUUUGUUUUAUUAAUGUAAUUUAUAUUUAUAAUUGUGUAACAUAUUGUGAAUUUCUAAUUAUUUUUCUAAAUAUUUGAUUUUGUGUAUUUUUGUGUGUUUAUUGGGUAAAAAUAAUAAUUUCAUGCAAUUUGAGACUCCGAACAAAUGUAUAGAUGUCAAAUUUGGAUUCCGGAAGUCCGAGAAAUUAUGUCAUUGUCGAGGAGGAUCCAAGACUUUUGUUGUAAAGUUUUUACGUUUUUACCACGGUAAAUGUGGUAAUUGUAAAAUUAUAAGUUUUUAUCAUGUUAGGUAUGGUAAUUGUUAGUGGAAUAUGUUAGAUAUGCUUGAGUGGAUAAGUUAGGUUUAUGUUUUAUUAGUGGGACAAAUGUAAGGUUAAGAUGUAAUUAGAUUUUUUUAUUUGUGUGGUAAGGAUUUACCAUGUAUUAGUAUAAAUAGAGGGGGGUGAACACACCUCUCCACACCUUCUCUUCUCUUCUUUCCCCCCAAAUUCUUCUUCUCAUCUCUCUUUGUAAUUUAUUUUCAAUAAAUAAAAUUAGUUUUAUUUCAAUUUUCAAAUUUCAUUUUUAAUUAUGUGUUUUUCAAUUUUAGUAAUUUCCUUUAUUAAAAAAAUGUUUAGCUAAAUAUUAAUAGUUAGGGGAAGGUGAAACUCUUAGGAAAUAAAUAUGAUUUAAUCAAAUUCUAUUUUUAAUUUUAUAAAUUAAGUUAUUUUCUAUUUAAUUUUAUACAUAUUGUAUAUUAUGAAAUUUUGAUUUAUUGUAGACAAACAAGGGAGUUUGGCACAAUAAAUUCUUUUUAUCUUAAUAUAAGGUAUGAUAAAAUGGUAUUUUGACUUAUUGUAGACAAAUUAAAUUUUGGCACAAUGAAUAUUUAAUCUAUCAUAAAAUUAAAGGGAAAAUAAUAAUAAUUUAUAUAAUUAAUCUUUUGGGCAAUAAAUCUAAAAAAAAUGGCAAAAAGAAUUUAUUAAGUUUUAUUUACAACUAAGAGUGAAUCCACAACCCUAACUAAUUCAAUUUCAUAGUUUUAUUUAAAUUAAGUUGUUUAUAUUUAAGUUUUAUUUUCAAAUUUUAGAUAAAAUAAAAUAAACAAAUUAAAUCUUUUCUUUGUGGAUCGACCUCGGACUCACCGAGAUAUAUAAUAACUAGGCACUUUUAUACUUGAGAGUAAAUCAAACACUUUUAAGUCGUGUCAGCAUACAUCAAGCUACCCACUGCAUUUGAGUAUGGAACUUGUAACAUGUAUUCUCAUUUUGCAAUUGUCGAAGGAGAUAGUUAUGCAGAAAGCUUGAAAUGAGAAGCCAACGGUGUACUCACAGGUUUUGUCUGCUCAGUCAUGCCAAACUGUGGUAGUACCUUCUUCAAAUAUUGCUUUUGAGAUAAGCUGACUUUGCCAUGAGCUCUAUCUCUUUAUAUCUCCAUGCCAAGAAUCUUCUUAGCUUUACCUAGAUCUUUCAUCUCAAAUUCUUGAUUGAAUUAAGUCUUUAACUUCUCAAUCUCAUCUUUGCUCUUAGAUACUAUUAGCAUAUCAUCGACAUACAAGAGCAAAUAUAUAAAGGAUCCCUCUUGUAACUUGCGAAAAUACACGCAAUGAUCAAAUUUAUUUCUUGUGUACCUUUACCCUUUCAUAAAUUGAUCAAAUCGCUUAUACCACUGCCUCGGAGAUUGUUUCAAUCCAUAAAGCAACUUUGUCAAUUUGCAAACCCAAUUUUCUUUUCCAGUAACCUUGAAUCCAUCUGGCUGAGUCAUGUAGAUUUCCUCUUCCAAAUCACCAUGUAAAAAUGCAGUUUUUACAUCAAGCUGAACUAGUUUAAGAUUAAAUUGCGUAACCAUGGCUAGUAAAAUUCGAAUAGACGAAUGUUUUACAACUGGAGAAAAUAUCUCAUUGUAGUUUAUUCCUUCCUUCUGAGCGUAACCCUUCGCUACCAAUCUAGCAUUGUAUCAAAUUUCAUUUUUACAAGGAAAUCCUUCCUUUUUUGCAUAUACCCAUUUGCACCUAAUUGCCUUCUUUUCCUUAGGCAGUGUAACUAGCUCCCAAGUUUCAUUUUUGUGAAGAGACUGCAUUUAUUUAUUUAUUGCUCUCUUCCACUGUAUACUUUUUGGGUUACUUGCUGCUUCUCUGUAAGUGGAAGGAACAUAAUCAUCUACAAUUGGAAGUGCAUAGGCCACCAUAUCAACAAAGUGAGCAGGUUUAUGAAUCUCUCUGUGUGGCCUUCUAUAUGCAAUUAAAUCUUGUUGCUGUGAAGGUUCUUGGGCCAGAACCUAUUCUUUAUAAUCGGUUGAUGGAGAAUCAGUAUUUGUCUCCCCAAUAUUGGCUGGAUUAUCUUUAACAUUUUCAAACUCUACCUGCUGCAAUAUGCUACUGGUCUUGUCAUCCUUUUGAGAAUCAUUUUGUUUCAAUAUGGCUGAUUCAUCAAAAGUCACAUCUCUGCUAAAAUUAAUUUUCUUUGUAACUGGACACCAAAGCUGGUAUCCUUUUGCUCCACCAGUUAUACCCAUAAACAAUGCUUUCUUUCCUCUUAGGUCUAACUUAGAUUCCUUUACAUGAUAAUAAGUAGUGGAACCAAAAACAUGUAAAGAAUCAUAAUUAGUAGCAGGUUUACCAGUCCACAUCUCCAUGGGUGUUUUGCCCUCAAUUGCAGCUGAUGGCAAACGGUUGAUCAGAUGGCACGCAUAUACAACUACCUCAGCGCAAAACUCUUUGCCCAAUCCAGCAUUGGACAAUAUACACUGAACUUUCUCCAAUAUAGUCCGGUUUAUUCGUUAUGCCACCCUAUUCUGUUGUGGUGUAUCUCGAAUAGUGAAGUGUCGCACAAUGCCCCCAUCUUGGCAUAUUUGUAGAAAUAGAUAAUUCUUGUACUCACCACCAUUGUCUGAGCGAACUCUUUUGACCUUUCGACUAGUCUGAGUCUCAACCAUCUUCUUUUAUUUAAGAAAUAUGCCCAAAACUUCAUUUUUAUUCUUCAUCAAAUACACCCACACUUUUCUUGAAUAAUCAUUAACAAAAGUAACAAAAUAGUGCAUAACUCCCAAAGAAAUUGUUUUGGUAGGUUCCCACACAUCACUGUGAACAUAGUCGAGAAUUCUUUUUGUAUCGUGAAUUGCUGAAACAAAUUUUACCCUUGUUUGCUUGCCCAGAACACAAUGUUCAAAAAAUUCCAAUUUGCAAGAAUUUACGUCUUUCAAUAAGCCUUGCUUUACUAAAGUCUGCAAUGCUUUUUCACCAGCAUGUCUCAAACGCAUAUGCCAUAACUUGGUUGCUUUUAAAUCUGCAUAUUUUCCAGAAAUUGUUGAUACUGAUCCAAUAAUUGUACUUUCUUGAAAAUAAUACAAUUUAUUUCUUCUUGUGCCUUUCGUCAUUGUCAGUGCACCGGCUACUACCUUCAACAAUCCAUCUCUCAAAGUGAUUGUGAGCCCUUUAGAUUCUAGGACUCCUAAUGAGAUAAGAUUUUUCUUCAAACUUGGUACGUAGCGAACAUCCGUCAAGACUUGGAUUGAACCAUUAUGAUUUUUUAAUUGGAUUGUACCUAUUCGCAUGGUUUUACAGGCAUUGUCAUUGCCUAUAAAAACAACUCUACCGUCCAACUCUUUGAAGUUAUAAAACUAGCCUUUGUUAGGACACAUAUCAAAAGUACAACCCGAAUCUAAAAUCCACUCAUUUGAGUGACAUGUCAACGUCAUGCCAACUAGACUAAAGUUUGACUCCUCAUCAUGCUUUGCUACACAUGCAUCAAAAGUAGCCUUGCCCUUUUGUAACCUAGAACAAUUCUUUUUCCAACGCCUUUUCUCACGAUAAAAAGCACAUUCAUCUUUGUCAGGCCUCCUUUUAGACUUACUUCUUUUUCUAGGUUUUCGGCUUUGUGAACGACCUUUCAUUGUUAAUGCUUCUACAACUGUAUCUUUGUGAUCCUUUGUGUCUUUCUUUCUAGUCUAAGAGUUGUACAAUGCACUGCAUACAGCAUCGAAUGUGACACUAUCCUUCCCAUGAAGCAAAGUGGUGGUGAGAUGAUCAUAUUCAUCAAGAAGGGAAUUCAACAAUAACAAUGUCUUAUCUUCAUCUUCAAAUUUCUCAUCCAAAUUUAACAAAUCUGCCAAUAUUUUGUUGAAUGAGUUAACAUGGGCAUUCAUUGACAUGCUAGAUGUAUAUGUGAAUUGAUAGAGUUUCUUCUUCAUAUAAAACCUAUUUUCAAGGCUUUUCUUCAUAUACUCUUCUUCCAGUGUCUACCAAAAUUUUUUUGCUGAUGUCUCCCUCAUGACUGAGUAUUUUUUAUCUUUAGCCAGACAUAGGCGAAUAGUACCAUAUGUCUGUCUAUUGAUCUUUAUCCACUCCUUGUCAUCCAUCACGUCAGGCUUUUCUUCAAUAACAACGUCCAACUCUUGCUGCCAUAAGACAUCCAACACCUCACAUUACCACAUACCAAAAUUAUUGGUACCAUCGAAUUUCUCCACUUCAAACUUUGCAUUAGUCACACUAGUCCUCACUCAUGAAGACGAUGACGAUGCCUCUGCCAUCCCUUUUAACUUAAAUGAUUAGUGUCUUCAAAAAUUAUUUACACUUGAAAAAAGCCUUUAUGAUGUUUAUUUCGCAUGAAUAAAUGCACCAGGAAUGUUCCCAAGAGAAUGGAUGGGUCACAACAGUCCCAUAUAAAACCCAGACUCAUUAGGCUUUUAUUGCCUUAUUGACAGAACUUUCCUACACAUGCAAAAAUACACACUACUUACAAUAGACUGUCUCCCAAGUAUAAAUGGUUGUCUCCACCGUAUUAAUGAACAGUACUGUAUAUGUGAAUUGUACCGUAUACAUGAACAGUACCGUAUAUGUGAACAAUGUCGUAUGCCCCAAGCGCGAACCUUCGGUUCUGAUACCAAUUGUUGCGGAAAUGCGGGUUGAGCUAAUACCAAUAUUAUGGUGACUGCGACUUUUGAAGAAAUAUAAAUGUGACAAAUAAAUGUAAAGAAAUAGGACACAAUAAUUUACGUGAUUCAGCAUAAAGCUCACGUCCAUGGAUAAAGACUGUAAGAUAAUUUUACUAACAAAUGAGAAUUUACAAAAGUGGAAAAAACUCUCAAAACCCAAAACCCCAAUACACCCAAUUGGAUCAUCUUAGCACCCAAGAAAAUACUCUCUCUAAACUCUUGAAGAGCUCACUUGCUAUGCUCUUAGAUCUCACAAUUUGAGAUGAUUUACAAAUGCUUUCUACUCCUCUAUUUAUAGGCAAAGUUUACAAUAUGAAUGCAUGAAAAAAACUUUGGCCAUUUUUAAUUUUAAUGGCUUCGGUGUGAUUUUUGGUGAAGAGAUCAUGCUAGCACAUGCAAUUGCAUCAUGCUAGCUCAACAAUUGUGUGUUGGAAAUUUGCAUGCUUGCUGGCUCAUGCAAGCAUGCUUGACUUUUCAACAAAAAUGAGAAAAAAAAAAUCUUCUAUUCAUUCAUAGAACAUGUUACAGCUAUUUCCUAAAUUAAGGAAAGGAAAUAUUCAUUUAUUCGUAUAUAAAGUUUCACAACCACUUGUACUAAGUUCUUGUGAGUAAAUUAAAUGACUACGAUUUAUAAUUGGAGGAUAAUUUUGACAUUUUCACAAUAACAGGACCACAUAUGCAUGUUGUGUUAAUUUGAAGUUUUACACCAUCUGAUAACGAAAUGCUUGAUGUUUUGGCUUCUAGAGUCAUGUCAAUUAUUGCCUUAUAGAUAGGUGAAAUGCCUCAGUAUUAGACCCUUCUCGAAGCGAAACAUAUUAAAUGAGUAACAACUUUUAAAUCUGCAAGCGCGAAUUGUCCGACAAUGAUUUGUAUCAACCUUAGGACCUUAGCUGGAGCCUCAUUUUACCACACCCAAACAUAUUCGGUCUUUCAGUAUUGAUCACAUAAUCUAACUCGGACUGAAUACUUAAUUACCUUCUAAAGUGGCAAUUCAUGUAGCUGAAUCGUAUUCUUGUUGUAUUGUAAUCGUGUCCUGUCAAAUUUAAGUACCUAUAGAUAUUACACAUUUGAUAAUCAUGUCAAAAAAUUCAAACACAGAUACGUCCCACUUAAUAAAUGGGUGACAUGACAUGAUGCACAUCACACGUUUCUGUUGGACACGAUUUUGAUACAAUUACACAGCUAACAACCUGAUUAUCAAUGGAAAUACUAUCAUAAUUCAACAUUAAAUGAAUAAAAUAAAAAUAAAUCAGUUCAUUAGAAAAAUAAAUGACAUAAGAACCUCAAACUAAUCCAAGAUGUGAAAAUUCAAUUAUCUAAGCCAAUUAUAAAUUUAAAUCAUUACGGACAAUAAUUAAUAAAUAAUAACUCAACCAAAAUAUAAAAUAUGAUAAACUGAAAAUUUAUCAUUCAUGCCAUAAAGAUGUAAUUGUAUUGAAGCAGUCCAGCAGUAUCCUAUAUAUAGCUAGAAGCAGAGACCAAGCUUACCAUCAAUUUUCCAAAUUCACCAAAAAAAAAAAUGAGCUGGUUCUGGGCAGGAGCUAUUGGCGCUGCUAAGGUAAGGAGCUACUCUCUAAUUUAGUUUAUGUACGUAUAACAUCUCGAUAUUUAAAAUAAUGUUUGUUUAAUUUUUACUUGAACAGAAAAAAAUUGGAAGAAUAUGAUCAAAGUCGGGACUACCAGAACGUGGGACUUGUAAUAGGUGUGACGGGAAUUGUAGGCAACAGCCUGGCUGAGAUUUUACUCCGAUCAGAUACCCCCGUCGGACCGUGGAAGGUCUACGGAGUGGCCCGACACCCCAGGCCUAACUGGAACGACGAUUACCCCGUUGAAUACAUCCAAUGCGAUGUCUCCGACCAGGAGGACACACAAGCCAAGCUCUCAAAACUCACUGACAUCACCCACAUCUUCUACGUGACGUGGGCCAGUCGUCGCACUGAAGCGGAGAAUUGCCAAAUCAACGGCGCAAUGUUUCAUAACGUACUCAGUUCUGUAAUCCCAAAUGCACCGAAUCUCCGCCACAUUUGUCUCCAAACUGGAGGCAAACAUUAUGUGGGGCCAUUCGAGUUUGUUGGUAAAAUACCAUCUCACGAUCCGCCUUUUACUGAGGAUUUGCCAAGGUUAAACGUUACACUAUUUUACUAUACUCUAGAAGAUAUAUUAUUUAAAGAAAUUGACAAAAGAGAGGGCUUGACUUGGUCCGUACAUCGACCGCACGGAAUAUUUGGGUUUUCACCUUAUAGUUUGAUGAAUAUUACAGCCACUCUCUGCGUGUACGCAGCUAUUUGUAAACAUUAAGGUGCUCCUUUACUAUUUCAUGGCACUAGAGAUACUUAGGAAGGCUUCACACAAUUUUCGGAUGCAGAUUUGAUUGCGGAGCAGC
rnacentral:lncRNA from 1 species